GGAUAGGCUGGCGCUGCUUGCCAUCAAAGCUCAAAUAAAGCAAGAUCUCCAUAAUUACAACGUGAUGAGCUCCUGGAACGAAUCCACGCACUUUUGCAUGUGGCAUGGUGUGACGUGCAGUCGACGACAUCGCCAAAGGGUCACUAACCUGGACCUGCAAUCUCAAAAUCUGGUAGGGAACCUAUCCCCAAACAUUGGAAAUCUAAGUUUUUUAAGGGAGCUGUGGCUGCGAAAUAACAGCUUCAGUCAUGAAAUUCCUCCACAAAUUGGGAAUUUGCGUAGAUUGCAUGUAUUGCGAUUAGAUGUUAACUCGUUUAGUGGUAGUAUUCCACACAAUAUAUCACAUUGCUUCAACCUUAUCCUUGUGAAUUUCACUCGCAACAAGUUGGUGGGUAAAAUUCCUUCAGAAUUUGGAUUGCUAUCGAAGCUGCAACAUUUUUCAUCAAAUGUUAAUAAUGUAACGGGACAGGUCCCUCUUUCCUUGGGCAACCUUUCGUCUCUCCAGAGACUAAGUCUUGUUAGUAAUAACUUGAUGGGAAACAUCCCCAGUUCUCUUGGCCAAUUGAAAAAAUUAACCUUCUUGGCAUUGGGGUUAAAUCAGUUGUCUGGUAGCAUCCCUUCCUCCAUUUAUAACCUUUCUUCUCUUGUUACAUUUUUCAUAGGAGGUAACCAAAUUCAAGGGAGUAUUCCAUCAGAUAUUGGCAAAAGUCUUCCUAAUCUCGGAGUCUUCGACGUCGGCUCAAACCAAUUUACCGGGUCCAUUCCUCCCUCAAUAUCCAAUAUCACAAGUGUUUGGUCAUUUGAAGUUGGGCCAAACAACCUAAUCGGACAGGUACCGAAUCUCCAAAAGCUUCACAACCUCCUGUAUUUCAACAUUCAAUUUAAUAAUAUUGGAAGCGGUAAAGAUGGUGACUUAAGUUUUCUCUCGGACUUGGCCAAUGCCACCAAGUUAGAAUGGUUGGUUAUUAGCGACAACAAUUUUGGAGGGACAUUGCCCAUGUCAAUAUCCAAUCUCUCAACCAAACUUGAAAUGUUUUGGGUUGGCAGUAACCAAAUAUAUGGAAGCAUCCCAUCUGGGAUAGGGAAUCUGGUGAGCUUGCAAUCGUUGCCCUUCGGGAUUAAUAGCUUCACAGGUAACAUUCCCUCUGACAUCGGCAAGCUUUCAAACCUUGAAGCAUUACAAAUUUCCAUGAACAAAUUAUCUGGAAAUAUUCCGUCUUCCGUAAGAAAUUUAACCAAGUUAUACUAUCUUGCGCUGGAUGGAAAUCAUCUUGAGGGCAGCAUUCCUUCAGGUCUGGGGGAAUGCCAUGGGUUGCAAUUGUUGAAUCUUUCUUAUAACCUCCUAAAUGGCACAAUACCAAAACAAGUUUUUAGACUCUCCUCCUUAUCGAUUUCUUUGGACUUGUCUAAUAACCUCUUCACAGGUUCCCUUCCCCCGGAGGUUGGGAAUUUCCAGAGUCUAAGUGAACUUUAUCUUUCUGAUAACAUGUUAUCUGGAGAACUCCCCAGUAGCCUUGGUGGUUGUGAGAGUUUAGAAGUCCUGCAUUUGCAAGGAAACUUUUUCAACGGGUCCAUUCCUUUGUCUAUGAGUUCAGUGAGAGCAAUUCGAGAUCUAGACCUUUCUCGCAAUAAUUUUUCAGGGGAAAUUCCACAUUUUUUAGAAGGUUUUAGAUUCUUGAAUAAUCUGAACUUAUCAUUCAAUCAAUUUUGGGGAGUGGUACCAACUGGAGGUGUUUUCAAAAAUGCGAGUGCUAUUUCAGUUGUUGGCAAUACUAAUCUGUGCAGCCCUGUUGAUAAUUUAAAGCUUCCCAAGUGCAAGUCUAAAGAGACCAAGAAACGAAGAUUGUCUCGUAGCUUGAAACUAAUACUCCCUUUAGUAUUUGGACUUACUCUUCUAGGAAUAGCCAUGGUGUUCUUCUAUUUCUUUCUUUGUUCGUCAAGGAAGAAAAAGAAAGAAAUUUCAUUGAGCACUUUGGGGAACACUAUUUUGCAAGUGUCAUAUGCUACUCUACUCAAAGCUACUGACGGGUUCUCAAAGGCUAAUUUAAUUGGUGCUGGUAGUUUUGGGUAUGUGUACAAAGGAGUUCUUGAUGAGGAUGAUAAAUCUCAACUUGUUGCCGUGAAGGUGUUUAACUUGUUACGCCAUGGAGCUUCGAGGAGUUUCAUAGCCGAAUGUGAAGCUUUGAGAAAUAUUAGGCACCGAAAUCUUGUCAAGAUUAUAACCGUGUGUUCAAGUGUUGAUUUUCAUGGUAAUGAUUUCAAGGCUCUAGUUUAUGAGUUCAUGAACAACGGGAGCUUAGAAGAGUGGCUGCGUCCACCUACUGGAACUGAAGAGUUAAGAGAUCAUAUACCCAAGAAGUUAAGUCUUCUUCAUAGGCUAGAAAUUGCCAUUGGUGUUGCUUGUGCACUGGAUUAUCUUCAUAAUCAUUGUGAAACGCCAAUAGUUCAUUGUGAUCUCAAGCCAAGCAACGUUCUCUUGGACAACGAAUUGACUGGCCAUGUUUCUGACUUUGGAUUAGCAAGGUUUCUCUCACAAGUAACGAGUAAUGUUUCAGCAAUUCAGAGUCAGACAAGUUCCGUUGGAAUAAAAGGAACGGUUGGUUAUGCAGCUCCAGGUAUACAUAUGUUAGAUAUAUACUUCAUUAUAUUUCCUUUUUUAUUUUGUAGUAUUUAAUUUACAAAAUUCAAACUGAACUUUUUAUACACAAAUGUGAUGUUUGAAUUGUAGAGUAUGGCAUGGGGAGUGAGGUGUCAACGAACGGUGAUGUCUACAGCUUUGGCAUUCUCUUGUUGGAGAUGUUUACAGGGAAGAGACCCACUGACAACAUGUUUGGUGAUAGCUUGAACCUUCAUAACUUUGUCAAGAUGGCUCUCCCCGAGCGAGUUAUUGAGAUUGCAGAUGCACCACUUCUUGAAGGAGGCACGAACGACAAUCCCAAUCAAUGCAGUGCAAGAAUUCAUAAAGUUGAGGUGUGCUUGAGUUCAAUAUUUAGAAUUGGAAUUGAUUGUUCUGCUGAAUCCCCAACAGAUCGACUAAAGAAUAUCAAUGAUGCUGCAUCUGAACUUCAUUCAAUUAGGAAUACUUUUCUUGGGUAGAAACUCUUUUUUAUGUGCUUUUGUAAUAAGAGAAAUUUCGUUUACUGCCUAUGAAGUCUAGCUUUUACGUUACCGCAGUAGAUGUGGAAGUUUGCAAUGUAAAUAAUCACCAAUGAGGUUUGUUGUGUGAAGAUUGUAUUCCUACUUUUUGUACUUGGUAUUUUUGUGUAAUAUUCUCAUCAAUUAAAGUCUAGUUCGUGCCACAAAAUUGUUGAAUAUUCACAUUGACAGAUUCCAAAUUUUUGAAAGAUUCAUAACCUGAAGAGCCUCAACAUUCACAAAAUUAUCUUGAAAGCUGUAAAGAUGGUGAGUUGAGUUUCCUAUCAGACUUGACCACCAUCAAUGUAAUGUGUUUUCGAAAAUGAAAGUGCUAUUUCAAUUGUUGACAACACUAGAUUAUGCACGGCAAUUCCUAAUCUCAAGUUGCCCAAUUGCAAGUCUAAAGAGCUCCAAGAAAAGAAGAUUAGCUUAUUGCUUGAAAUUAAUAAUCCCUUUCUCAAAGGCCACUGAUCGGUUUUCUUCAGCUAAUUUGACAAUAAAGCUCGGCUUGUACUUGUAGCUAUGAAGGUGUUUAACAUGUUACGUCAUGGAGCAUCAAAGAGUUUCAUAGCCGAAUAUGAGGCUUUGAGAAAUAUCAAGCAUCAAAAUUCGUCAAGGUCAUAUCUGCAUGUUUUCUCGAUGAUGAUUUCAAGGCUCUAGUUUAUGAGUUGAUGCACCAAAGGAGUUUAGAGGAGUGGUUGCAUGAUUUGCAUCCACCUCCUGUAAUUGAAGAGGUAAGAGAUCAAUACAACCAAGAAUUAAUAUCUUCUUCAAAGGCUACAUAUUGUUAUUGGUGUUGCUAUUGUGCAUUGGAUUAUUUUCAUAACCAUAGCGAAUGGUCAUUUUUUGUAGAAUUUUAACCCCAUUUUAAAGCCCAUGGGCUAUGAAAAAUCAAGGUUGUCUAGCAUUGUUGCUAUAAUUAUUCGCCCAUGUGCAUUCUGAAUUCAAAUCCAAUAGUUUUAGUAGUCGUUCUAUCAAUCUUGACAAUAAAAGAGUAUUUAUUUUAUUUUUUCAAACAAAUAGUAUUAUUUCCACUAAGGGGAAGGGGAUAGGCUUAGCCUCACAAUGAUGUAGUUCAAAUUCGUAUUUGGCAAUAAUCGAACAUAAAAUUUAUCAGUUACAAGUUAAGAAAAUACCAUUAGACCGUAGUACUAAGUGGCAUAAAAGAGUUUCUAUUAAACCAGUAAAAUGAAAAUUCUCAACCAUUCAUUAAUGGAUUUGAAUUUAGAUUUAUUACAAUUGAUAGAUACUUUUUUUGGGCAAUCAAUAGGAUACUAACAAAUUUGUUUUUAGAACAAAGAUAUGUCACGAUAAUGUGACUUAAAGCUGUGUCAUUGGCCUUUUCACUUAUUGCCCUAUCUUUAACGCACUCCAAUUAAUAUCGUCCACUAAUAUUAGUAUUUAAUGAAUCUCAUCAUAAAUUGUUACCCAAAAUAUUAAUUAUCAAAGCAAAUAAACUUGAUUGAGUUUUAAAUUUUUCGUGACUAACUCCCAAAUAAUUCUCGUUACCAAGCAAAUUAAAUACCUUUAAUUAAAAGCUUAAAAACUUUUUAAUUAUUACCUCUCUAUUUUGCUUUUGCAAUCACGAGCGUACAAUAUUAUAGGAAUAUUUUUGUUCUUCACACUCAAAUGAUGGUAAUGCUCACUACCUUAUUUAUCACCAUUAUAUGAGUUUAAUAUCUUGGAUAGACAAUUAUCAAAAUUUAAACUCAUCCAACGGUAAUAAAUAAGGUGGUAAGCAUUACCACCACUUGAGGAUGUUGAAUAAAAAUCGCCCCAAUAAUAUUAGUUAAGUUAGUUGGUGUGGUAAUUGGUCUUUAGCAAGCUUCUUAUAGAAAAAAGAAGAAUCUGAGUACUUUGGCUGUUUUGCAGAAGAAAAAGAAAGAAAGGGGCAUUUGAUGUUUGGACAGAUAUUAUGGCUGUUUGGAUGAAAUUAUUUAUUAUGGCUGUCUAUGACAAUGAGAAAUUUGAUUCUUCUAGUUGUAGCUAGUCCCGUUUUCUAUGUUUAUUUGCUUUCUUAUAUGAUGGAAUGGCGUUUUACCAUGAGAUUGAAUGGUUUUUUAUUUGGUUCUUUGUUUAGUUUGAACUAGAAAAAUUGCCCACGCGCUGCUGUGGGUUUUGAAACCAUAAUGCAGAACAUACUACGAAUAUUUUCGACAGAAAAAGACACAAAUUAUUUAGAUUCAGUUCACUUCACAUCAACAUAGUGUGCAUAAUGAAGAGAGCGUAUAUUUGAAAGUUUGAAUUAAUGAAACAUAAAAAAAGGUCGUACCCAGUGCACAAGGCUCCCGCUUUACGCAGGGUUUGAGAGAGGUAAAUGUCGGCUAGCCUUACCCCCAUUUAUAGAGAGGCUGCUCCCAAGUCUCGAACCCGAGACCUACCGCUCAUGGGCGAAGGCACUUGCCAUCGCACCAAGUGCAACCUCUUUGAAUUAAUGAAACAUGCAACAACGAAAUAUAAUGUUUUUUAUCCCCCCCCCCCCCCCCAGUCCUAUAAAAAGAAGCAUAAAUGGAAAGGAUGGUUCCCAAACUUUGUUUCAAUUUAAGUUUUAUGGCUUUCCUACUCUGCCCUACAUCACAGAACAAAAAGAAGGUUACCUAAGAAUUCAUGCAUUCAUCUUCUAAACAUGCAACAGAAAAGCACUCAUGCAUAAUAAAGGGUACAUUGACAUUAAAUAGAUCAACUUAAGUGCUAACAGCCAAUCAACAAAUUGAACAUAAUUGAAGUUUUAGUAGAAUGAGUUAACAAAAAGGAAGCUUGGUUUCCGCAUGAAAGAAAAGAUCCGCUUGAAAUGGUAGUCAUUCAAGAUGUUUUCUGGUAUUUAUGCGAAUUCGGAAAUGCUAUAAAUGUAAAAGUUACCUCAAAAGCCUUUUCUGCGUUGGUUUCUGUAAUCACUCCUACUGCAGCAUUUGCAGUCAGUAUCAUGAGAAUAACAUGUGUCUAAGACCAAGUUGUAUCCCACGUGCUUAAUCAACAACAAACAUAGAAAACAGUUAUCAUAUAUCAUAAAAUUCCAAGUCUUAACUUGUAAAGUUUCAAGUGCUCAACAAAUUUUGAACAAUGUAUGGUUCAAAACUUAAAAAAAAAAAAGACAUGCAUCAAAGACUUUAGGGAGAAAAAAUAUGCAUUGGCUGAAAUAGAUAAUUAGGAUUUUAAAUGUUAAAAUUUUCUUUUUGGCUCACUAAUUAGUGCAAAAGUGAGAUUGUAUGAACAAUUUUACACCCGGAAACAUGAACUAUACAUAAUCACAACUAAUCUAACAAUGAGAAAGUAUAUAAGACAAAACACUAACAGAAGGCUAAAACACUCUUUUAUUUGAUCUAACAAUAGGGUAAUAGGAUUAACUAAAUCAUUAGAGACUGCAACAAUGAGAAAGUCUGAAGAUUAAAGUUCUUGUUGAAUACCUUGAAAAACAUUUUCAGUAAAUCCGUUCAGGAAAAUAUAGAAACUUAAGAUUCUAUGCAAUUCCAUCAUCCGGGAUAGCACAUAUUUACUUGGAAUCCAACCUUAAGCCAACAUUUUUCUAUCUAUAGCAUCCAUCAUACCUAAGACAUUUCUCAGUAGGGGCACAUGAACAAUCAUAAUUGAGAUUUCAUAAGUUUAUUUUUUUGUUAACUAUAGUGAAAUUUAUAAAACAAUUUUAGCAAAACUCGAGUGUAGAUAAUGGACUUUUGUUCCAGUUUAAAAAAUAUUGACUUGUGUUCUAAGCAACAUAAUGCAUUCACAUUUCAAUUGUCAAAAGGCAUCACAGUAAUCCCCAACAACAACAACAAAGCUUUUUCCUACUAAGUGGGGUCGGCUAUAUGAAUCCUAGAACGCCAUUGCGCUCGGUUUUGUGUCAUGUCCUCCAUUAGAUCCAAGUACUCUAAGUCUUUUCUUAGGGUCUCUUCCAGAGUUUUCCUAGGUCUUCCUCUACCCCUUCGGCCCUGAACCUCUGUCCCGUAGUCACAUCUUCGAACCGGAGCGUCAGUAGGCCUUCUUUGCACAUGUCCAAACCACCAUAACCGAUUUUCUCUCAUCUUUCCUUCAAUUUCGACUACACCUACUUUACCUCGGAUAUCCUCAUUCAUAAUCUUAUCCUUUCUCGUGUGCCCACACAUCCAACGAAGCAUCCUCAUCUCCGCUACACCCAUUUUGUGUACGUGUUGAUGCUUCACCGCCCAACAUUUUGUGCCAUACAGCAUCGCCGGCCUUAUUGUCGUCCUAUAAAAUUUUCCCUUGAGCUUCAGUGGCCUACGACGGUCACACAACACGCCGGAUGCACUCUUCCACUUCAUCCAUCCAGCUUGUAUUCUGUGGUUGAGAUCUCCAUCUAAUUCUUCGUUCUUUUGCAAGAUAGAUCCUAGGUAGCGAAAACGGUCGCUCUUUGGUAUUUCCUGAUCUUCGAUCCUCACCCCUAACUCAUUUUGGCCUCCAUUUGCCCUGAACUUGCACUCCAUAUAUUCUGUCUUUGAUCGGCUUAGGCGAAGACCUUUAGAUUCCAACACUUCUUUCCAAAGGUUAAGCUUCGCAUUUACCCCUUCCUGAGUUUCAUCUAUCAACAUUAUAUUGUUUGCGAAAAGCAUACACCAAGGAAUAUCAUCUUGAAUAUGUCCUGUUAACUCAUCCAUUACCAACGCAAAAAGGUAAAGACUUAAGGAUUGUUAAUGCACAAAAUCAAUGAGGACUUUGAUACAACAGAAAGUAUUAAGCUUGUGAUCUUCGCUAGAUUGCUCCGGUCAUUAGUGUGGAUAAAUAUGUAAAUGGAUAGAAACAGGAAAGCAAACACAAGAUGUACGUGGUUCACCCAGAUUGGCUACGUCCACGGAGUAGAGGAGUUCUCAUUAUUUUUGAAGGGUUUACACAAGUACAUAGGUUCAAGCUCUCCUUUAGUGAGUACAAGUGAAUGAUUUAGUACAAAUGACAUUAGGAAAUAUUGUGGGAGAAUAAUCUCGUAAUCACGAAACUUCUAAGUACUGAAGUGUGGUAUCGUCUUCACUUGCCUUAUCUGUCUCAUAGGUAGAUGUGGCAUCUUCUCUGGAAGUACUCUUCCUCCAUCCAGUGGUGAUAUCUUUAACUGGUGGAGAUGCACAAGGUAAUGUAUCAAUUUCACUUGAAGCUUACUUGUAGUUUCGGGCUUGGUCAAGUGUGAUACAAACCAUAUAGUAGGAGUCCCCCAAGUCGCCGAGCUAGGAGGAUCUGCCGAAAGAGGUGACAGACAAGGUAAGCAAUCAGACUUCCAAGCAAGCAGUCCCAGGAUCAGAAGUUUGAUUUCGGCUUCCGGUUGAUUGUUCUCAUUCUCCUUAUCUUGCAUUCAAGCAUGCCAGGAUAAAGAGAAGAAAAAUGGAGAAGAGAUGAUAUGAGAUACUUUUGCUUUUGAAGAAGUAACUUUCCACAGGCUUAUUCUUGAACUGGGCUGGAGGGUUUUCUGGUUUCCUUCAGAGUAUAAGGCCGACUGAAAAAUUUGAGGGUCAAAACAAGUCCAUCAAAUCUAGAGUACGUUCGACCCUGAUGAUAUGGGAUACUUUUGCUGUUGACAAAGUAUGUGGUAUGUAUCGGCACGUGUUUCUGUUACGCUUGUCUCCACAUGCUUCCUUGUAUCCUUCUCACUUGCCCUAUCUGUUCCUCAGGCAGAUGUAAAGGCCAAUAUCUUCUCUGGAAGCAUGAAGAUGUUGAAGAUGAGUACUCGAGAGCAAUGCUAAGGUAAGCAAUCAGGUAAGGGGUUCCAGGCAGUCAGUUCCUGAUUGGAAGUUUGAUUUCAGGUUCCUGACUGAUUGCUCUCUUUUUCUCCUUGUCCUUGCAGGUAAGUGGAACAAGGACAAAGGAAAAGACAGGGAAAAGCAUGAUAUGGGAUACUCUUGCUUUUAACCCUGAUGAUAUGAGAUAUUCUUGUUCUUGGUGUGGCUUGUUUGCUGAGGUAUUAUCGGGGGGAAAUAAAGCUGAGUAUUUCGAGAGGUUACUUCGUUGAGGAGUGCCUUUCUCAGAUAUGAGGAAAGGGUUGAGCAUUUUUGCAGGUUUGCCUGUCCGUUGAGGAGGGAGGUCGACAUGUAUAUAGGAGUCUCCCUAAUAACAAGUAGUAAUGCUAUUCCUUUACCCUUCUUGGUCACAGCAAUGUAGUGGGAGCUGCCAGCUUCACGUGUUUUUAAUUUUGUCAGAGCACUUUGAAAAAGUGGUAUGUGGUAUCUGGAAAGCUGAUGUUACGUGUGAAGAUUACAGACAAGCUUUAUCUAAGGAAAUCUGGCUCUCGAAGUUCUGAGAAAGUUGUGCCUCUUCGGUUUUCGAACAAGCAAUCCCUGUCGGGGAUCUGACUCUCGAGAUUCAGAGAAUAGUGCCUCUUCGAUUUUUUAGAAAGCAAUCCUGCUGGGAGUCUGGCUCUUGAGAUUCGGAGAGCGGUGUCUCGUCGAUUUUUGAGAAAGUAAUCAUGUUGGGAGUCUGGCUCUUAAAAUUCGGAAGGCGGUGCCUCUUCGACUUUGAAGCAAGCAAUCUUGUUGGGAGUGUUUUCUCGAAUGUGAGUAAAGGUUGGGCAUGUUUGCUAGUCUACCUUGCCACAAGAGCACGGAGGUUGACACACAUAGGGACUUUCCAAUUGUCAAGCAGUGGUGCUGUUCCUUUACCCUUGUGGGUAAUAAUAUGGUAGCUAGACCUUCAAAAUUUAUGCGUCUAAACUUUGUUAGUGUUGUUUCUUUGCUAUUCUUUUACCCUUCUUGGUCAUAGCGAUGUAGUGGGAGCUGCAAGCUUCACGUGUCUAAACUUUGUCAGAGAUCUUUGACAAAGUUAUAUGUGGUACCCGAGGAGUUGAUGGUGCAUAUGGAAAGUGGUGAUUGAACAGUAAGAUUCACGUGCUUUCUACUUCACCAGAAAUCUUCGACAGAUUGCCCGUAAUUUCCGCAAAGCUGAGUGUGCAUGUGACAGGUGCUGACGAGGCUGAAAAAGCAGGUGCUUCUUCGAUUUCUGAGAUCGGCCCUCGUGGUCUCUGAGCAGCCCAGCUUUUGAGAAAGCAAGCGCCUCUUCGAUUUCUGAGAUCGGCCUUCGUGGUCUUUGAGCAGCCCAGCUUUUGAGAAAGCAAACGCCUCUUCGAUUUCUGAGAUCGGCCCUCGUGGUCUCUGAGCAGCCCAGCUUUUGAGAAAGCAAACGCCUCUUUCGAUUUCUGAAGCUCCGUCGAGUGCAGAUUUUUUAUAGAGGCUGGCAUUAAGUUCCAAAGCACACUUGAAUCUCUACCAGUAGAAGCUCCAUUUCUUGCACUUCUAAGAUCUUGAUUUGUCUGACCUCUUCUCUUCUUCAACACAUUUGAAAAUGUCUGGACCCUCCGACCGUCGUUUUGACUUGAACCUUGGAGAAGAGGACAGCCACGCCUUCUCCAGACAACAUAUGGCGCCCAUCCUUCAUAUCCCCUACUGGUCCUCUUACCGUUGGGGAUUCUGUGAUGAAGAAUGAUAUGACCGCUGCAGUGGUGGCCAGGAACCUUCUCACUCCCAAAGAUAACAGACUACUUUCCAAACGGUCUGAUGAGUUGGCUGUUAAGGACUCUCUGGCUCUUAGUGUUCAGUGUGCAGGUUCUGUGUCUAAUAUGGCCCAACGCCUAUUUGCUAGAACCCGCCAAGUUGAAUCAUUGGCUGCUGAAGUGAUGAGUCUCAAACAGGAGAUUAGAGGGCUCAAGCAUGAGAAUAAGCAGUUGCACCGGCUCGCCCAUGACUAUGCUACAAACAUGAAGAGGAAGCUUGACCAGAUGAAGGAAUCUGAUGGUAAGGUUUUACUUGAUCAUCAGCGGUUUGUGGGUUUGUUCCAAAGGCAUUUAUUGCCUUCGUCCUCUGGGGCUGUACCUGGUAAUGAAGCUUCAAAUGAUGAACCUCCAAUGCCUCCUCCUUCUGGGGUUUUGUCAAGUACUGAGGCUCCGGAUAACCACCCUCCGGUGCUUUCUCUUUCUGGGGCUCUACCGACUGCUGAGACUUCCCCUAAGCAACCUUUGUGAAGGCUCCCUUUUGUUUGUUUAUUUUGACUCAUGUAUAUGUACAUAUUUGUGGCUUAUCGAAAAUAUUAAUAAAUAAGCUUUGCUUCAUUUCAACGUAUUGUGUUAAAUACACCAAAGCCUUCUUCACUAAGUUCUUUGAAUUUUUCUUUUGUUGAAGCUUGUAUGUUGAAGCUUUCAUUCAGUUUAUUUCACUUGUCCAUUGGAAUUUUAUUCAAAGAAUUAUCAAAUAAAGACAAUAGCAUGCCAAAGAUUAAAAACCCUCAUUUCAAACUUUGCUAAUGCAUAACUCUGUUUGGUUUUCUUCUCCGAAUACCAGACUGAGAGAGGAGUCAAGUUCUCUAGUGCACCAUCAAUCUCCUGUUUGAGAAACCAUCACCACAGCCACUCCCUUGAGGCACCACCGUCGCCAUUUUUCACGGAGAACAACGCCACCACGAAACCACCACCAUUAAUCUCGCCACCUACGCAACUUUUACCAUCCCCGAACCCACCCUCUGCAAAUUGCCCUCAUCCCUUCUAAUUUCAUUUCUUGCAUUUCUUGUAUGGUAUCCAUUUCUUGCACACUCAAAUAUUUAUAUACCAACUGAGAAUAACAAUAUAAAUCCCACACCCACCCCUUUUCCCCACUUGAAAAAUUCACCAAAAGACCGCAUUAACCACCAUAGUUUAAGAAUCCAGACCCCAAAUUUCAAUCUAAUUAAUUAAAUUACAGAUGAUUCUAUCUACCUCAUGAAAACAAAUAUGUUCAGUUAAAGAAAUUCCAUAAUCACUGCAUCUUAAACCACUUCUUAAAUAUGUCCGCCAUACCAAUCUAAUAAAAAAUCCAUGUUCAAUCGAUUCUUAUUAAUUCCAACACCAAGUAUUUCAGCAUCUAGAUUAUAGAAAAAUCACAAUAAAACAAACUCAGAACACCCAGAUUCCAAUCUUGGUGCUAAAGCACACUUUGUUAACCUCACCUUCAUCAAGUCCAUGUUUCCUGCCAUGAGAUCUUUCUCUUUAUCCAGACUUGCCUUUAGCUGCAAGAUCAAAAUAAUGAAGCAUUCAAUUCCAUUUCUAUACUCAUAAAAUUAAAAAUUGAAAUAUGUCAUAAUUUACUCGGAAUCUUCAUAUGUAUUAUGAAAGCAUAUGAACAGAUACAUUUGAAAACUUAUAACGCUACCUAAUAAAGUUGAAAAGUAACUAAUUAAGAUCAAGUUCCAGUGCAUCCAGUGAGCCUUCCAGGGAAAGAUGGCCCCAUGGACUUAGACCUUGAAAACUGAGGCUUGUUUUGCCUUGUAAUUGUAUGAUCAGUAGCAUCCUUAUGGAUUGCAAUUGUAUGAUCAGUAGUAUCCUUAUGGAUUCCCAAAUUAAUCCUCAAAAUUUUGUUCUCAUCCGAUAGCUUAUGCACCUGGGACAAAAGUCGCUCAAUUGUUUCACUAUUCUCCUUGUUUCUCUUUAUCAACUCAGCCCGGUGCUGCAUAUUUUCGUCAAUGAGUUCUGAGAUCUUUUCGUGCAACAUUUUCUCUUUUUCAACCACAUUACCAUCACAUUCUACACCAUUAUCAAUAUUCUUCUCUUCCAUAUAUUCUUCGAAUGUACACAAAACCUUUUUUUAGGACAUACCAGCAUUUGUUUGUUUUGAUGGCUCUGAUUUUGGUUUCCGUUUUCUCUUUUGUGGUGGUCUAAUCAAGAUGCACUCCAAAACACUAAUUUGAGUGCCUACACAGAUGAACAUCGCAUAAAAAUCAUAAAAAAAAAUCCAAAACAGCAGCAGAGAUAAAAAAAUGAUAAUAACUCUAAAAAAAAUUUAAAUCAAAAGCUAAGACUAACUCACAGAAUUUUUGGGCAAAAAAAUUUCUUUAAAUACUAAUUUAAUGCAAUCCAGGAGCUAAAUGCUUAAAUCAGAAAAAAUCCUUUAACCCAGAUACUCCUAUGGUCACAAAUACUGAUAUUUGUGCAGUGCAGCAAAGUUUUUCUUGAAACUUGACGUAUGUCACUAAAAUUAUCCCAAAUAUAUCUCAGAGAUUGCAGAAAUUCAGACUAUCAAUAAUGAGACAGCCGGAAUGUUUUACCCUAAUCUUAUUAGGAUUUUUAACUAAACAACUUGCUCAUGUAACAGCUAUAUUACAGCAUAAAUAUUCAUGAACACUCAUCACCAAUAGCAAAAAGGAGCAAAGUACUAUUACAGAAAUCUAAAGAUACCCAUCAACAAUAUAACAAAAAAAAUUGCGGUGAGAUUUUAAAAUACCAACUUUAUUCGAUAUUACAAUGAAAUAUAACAAAAAGAAAAAUAAAAACAAAAUGUACAAAAAUCAUUAUUUUCAUAAAUAGACAGUGGAAUAACAGAAGAAGCCAAACCCAGAAAAAUUAAAAACAUAGAAUCACAGUAGAAGAAGCACACCAUUUCAGAUCUUUUUAUCCUCUUUGAAGAUCGAUCGAUUCCAGAGAGAGAGAGAGGAGGAGGGAGAAGACAAAUGGGAGAGGAGGUAGACGGAGGCGAGAGGAGGAAAACGACGGAGGUAGUUUAUCGGAAGCAUGUCUUGUCUUGCGUUGCUAGUCAACAAGUCAGUGGAAUCCUCACAAAAUCCCUCACUCAAUCGGGUCAGUGACAACUCCCUCAAUUUUCUCCCUCUCAAUCUCUCAAUCAUCGACAACUACCCAUUAAUUAAGGCUUCUAGUGGCAAUUUUGACCAAUCCCUUAAUCCCGACACCAACCCUUGAUUUGAGGAGGAAAAAUCAACCCUAACCCCCUUUAUGGCAACCUUACUAAGUCACGCCUCCCUCUCACUUCCCCUCCCUGCCAUCCCCCAACUAUCUCCCUCUCUGUCUCUGCACCCCAUGCUUUUUGGCAAUGGCACGAAUGUAAAUAAUACAAAAUCAAAGGAUCAUUUCAAAACAACAUAAAUAGACUGGCAAAACCGUAAAUAUUUCGAAAUCUGUUCAGAUACAAAAUUACCUUCCUAACUUUUAAUAUUUACCCACCAACCCAGUCUCAAAUUUGAUGGCAAUGGUGUAAAUAAAGCAAAAUCGAGUGACAUGUAGAAUAGGUAAUAUCUAUGUGUAGAAAACCUGUAACGGGAAAAUUGAAUUGUAGGAGCCGUAGCUCAUAUUCAUUCAUUGAUAGUGUAUAAAUAUAUUUGAUUACAAAGAGUCCUACAGGGCUCCAGUUCUGCUGUCCCCUUUUGUGUGUCUCCUUUAUGUUUCAACUUUCAUUGCUAAUAUUUUGACACAUGUCUUCUAGCUUAACUUAGUUUCUAACUUUGUUAACUUUUUAUUUAACAUUUAAAAGUAAAAAGAAAAAUCCAAAAUAAUCUGACUGUUGGGUUCUCGAGGUCUGCAAAUCCAAAAUAGAAUUCUUUCUGUGGCUGUCGGGUUACCAACGUGAGCAAACCUCUUCCCAAUUUUUCUCCAUCGUUGUACUGCUUCUUCACUUCUUUCCAGGCCAGCUCUGGUUGAGCUUGGAUUAUGUCCAGUUGAAAGUUGAAAACAAGCUUACCAUGAGACCCCAUAUCCUGCCAACUUUCUCUACCAAAUAUGCCAAAAGCUGUUGGCUGAAGUCAAUGAGAAGAUCAUGGAAUAUGGAUUUGCUGAGAGGUGGUAGAGUGAGAGAUUUUUCAGGUGUGAAAUCCCAUUGUAUUCUAGGAGUCAAGGAUUCUCUGGGAAUUCUGGAUCGAAGAAGACUUAUAAAUUGUUUAGUGAAGACGGAAACGAUUCGAAACAGUGGGACAAGCAUACUGGGUGAAUAGUUGAGUAAGCGAACGGAGGGCUUUAUUCAUUAUCAAUUGUGUGUAUGUUGCUGUUGUUACUGUCGUGCAGAAAAUCUCAGUUUGAGGUGACUGAGAUUACAACAAAUAUGAAAUCAUCCCUCACAGUUGUAGUGCUCUGUAUGUCCUUUAAAUGCAAGAACUGAUUUGUGACUCGAAGAAAGCUCUUGCAGGGUUCGUUUGCUUGGUGUCAAACGAAUUUCACUCUAAAAACAAAAUAAAAUUCUUUUUUCUCAAUCAAACUAUUUUAUGAGUCAUCAGAAAAUCACAAGAAUUGAUAGUCGCUACUACUUUCCAAACAUCAAACUAUUGAACUAAACAUGGUAAAUACCAAUAUUAAACUAAACAUGGUAAAUACCAAUAAUAUAUGAUAAUAUUUGGGAAUUUCUUAUAUUUCAUUAAUCUCCAAAGUGGAGUAUAUAUAGGAGUUACAAUUGGUAUUACAUAUGUACUUCACAAAUGUGGGACAAUAAACUACUAUUUACAUUUUAACUAAUGUAUAACUCGCAACACUCCCCCUCAAGUUGGUGCAAAGAUGUCAUGCAUGCCCAACUUGUCAAGCGAGUCGGAAAAUGCACUAUUAGACACAGCCUUAGUAAGAGCAUCAGCCAGUUGAUCUUCAGAUCUCACAAACGGAAACAUAAUAAUUCCUGCAUCCAAUUUUUCCUUAAUGAAAUGUCGAUCAAUCUCCACAUGUUUUGUUCGAUCAUGUUGCACUGGAUUAUGAGCAAUCUCAAUAGCAGCCUUGUUAUCACAAUGGAGUUUCAUAGCACUUUUGUGUUUAAACCCAAGAUCUCUCAACAAUUUUUUCAACCACAACAACUCACUUACACUAUGAGACAUACCACGAAACUCAGCUUCUGCACUUGACCUAGCCACCACUUUUUGUUUCUUGCUUCUCCAAGUAACUAAAUUACCACCCACAAACAUAAAGUAUCCAGAUGUAGAUCGUCGAUCAGUGAUAGAACCAGCCCAAUCUGCAUCUGUAUACCCUUCGACAUUCAAAUGAUCAUUCUUGGAGAAAACCAGGCCUCUGCCAUGAGCCAUCUUCAAGUACCUCAAAAUACGAGUUACUGCAUCCAUAUGAGCUUCACUAGGUGAGUGCAUAAACUGACUUACCACACUAACUGCAUAAGCAAUGUCAGGGCGAGUGUGAGACAAAUAAAUUAAUCUCCCCACAAGCCUCUGAUACCAUUCCUUAUGAGUUGAAACUUGAUCUGGAAAUAAGCCCAGACGAUGAUUCUGCUCAAUCGGAGUAUCAACAGGUUUGCAAUCUAACAUACCUGUUUCAGCUAACAAAUCAAGAACAUACUUCCUUUGAGAUAGAAAAAAUACCAUGCUUGGAUCGUGCAACCUCGAUUCCAAGAAAAUACUUCAAUUCACCCAAUUCUUUCAUCUCAAACUCAGUAGCUAGGUACUUUUGAAGGUGUUGUAUCUCCUUUUGAUCAUCACCAGUCACUAUCAUGUCAUCAACAUAAAUAAUCAAUGCAGUUAGCUUACCAUUUUGUCGCUUUAGAAACAAAGUAUGAUCUGAAUGACUCUGGAUAUACCCAAACUUCUUCAUUGAACUUGUAAACCUCCCAAACCAUGCUCUAGGAGAUUGUUUCAAACCAUACAAGGCCUUUCGUAACCUGCAUACAAUACCUUUUCCAGGAGAUGUUCCAAUACCAGGUGGGAGAUCCAUAUACACUUCCUCCUUAAGAUCACCAUGAAGGAAAGCAUUCUUAACAUCAAACUGCAACAGAGGCCAAUCCUGGUUUGCUGCCAAGGACAGAAGAACACGCACAGUAUUAAGUUUGGCAACAGGAGCAAAGGUCUCCUGAUAGUCCACCCCAUAGGUUUGAGUAUAACCCUUAGCAACUAAUCUGGCUUUAUACCGAUCAAUAGAACCAUCUGCUUUGUGCUUAAUAGUAAACACUCAUCUACAUCCAACGGCUUUCUUCCCGUUUGGUAACGGAACAAAAUCCCAAGUAGAAUUCUUUUCCAAAGCUUCCAUCUCAACUUUCAUAGCAUUAACCCACUUAGGGUCAGACAAAGCAUCUUGCAAUUUUGUUGGAAUUGAUACACUAGAUAGCUGACAUAUGUAAGAUGCAUAUGGUUGGGACAAACGAUGAGAAGACACAUAAUUGUUGAUAGGAUAUUUGGCUUUGGCAUGCAUAUCAGGCUCAUAUUGUACUUUAGGUUUUCCACGAUUAGCUCGUGGAGGCAACUGAUAAGUAGAAGAAUCGUCAGAAUUUACCUCAUGUAUGCCACCAUCUUGUACCAAACAGUUAGAAGAAUCAUCACUGGACGAACCAUCAUCAGGCAACUCGUUAGACAUAUCAGCAGCAGGCAACCGAUCAUCAGAAGGUAAUUCAUCAGAUAUAUCCGCAGCAGGCAACCGAUCAUCAUCUGUAGCCGACUGAUUAGUAUCACGCAAAAUAAUAUGUUCUGUUCCCAACUCUGUCUGUAACACAUCAUCCAUAUCAUCUCUUCGAAUCUGCACUUCACUCCCCCUCUCCCCUUGAAGUGGAGAGUCGGAAGAGGGCUUCACAAAAUACGAAACUUCCUCAUGGAAGGUGACAUCCAUGGUAAUAUAAGUUUUUUGAGUCGGAGGAUGAUAACACUUAUAGCCUUUUUGAUUGUUAGCAUACCCAAUAAAGACACACCAGAGAGCACAUGCAUCAAGUUUACUCCGCUGAUGAGAGUAGACAUGCACAUACGCAAUACACCCAAACACUUUCGGAGGAAGCUUUGAGACAGAAACAAGAGAAACAUGUUUUUGUAGCACAUCAAACGGUGUCUGAAAAUCAAGAACCCGACUUGGAACACGAUUGAUCAAAUACACAGCAGCCAAAACAGCAUGACCCCACAAAUGAUUAGGAACACAUUUAUCUAACAUCAAUGAGCGAGCAACCUCCAUUAUUUGACGAUUCUUCCGUUCGGACACACCAUUUUGUUGAGGUGUAAACGGAGUAGUCGUCUGGUGAAUAAUACCAUGAUCACGGAAAAAACAUGCCAAAGUGUGAUUCACAUAUUCUCCUCCGUUAUCAGACCUGAAGACCUUAACUUUGGUCUGAAACUGAGUAGAUACCAUUGUACAAAAUUCUUGAAGAAGUAAUGGAACAUCACUCUUAUUUUUCAUCAAGAACACCCAAGUUACCCGAGUACAAUCAUCAAUAAAAGUAACAAACCAACGGAAUCCAUUAGAAGUAACUUUUGCAGGACCCCACACAUUAGAAUGUAUCAAAUCAAAUGGUAAAGUAGCUUUAGAAUCACUUACAGGAAAGGAAGCACGAUGACUCUUAGCCAUGACACAUGUUUCACACUUGAACUCUGAAUCACUACAAGUGCGAAACAAAGAAGGAAAUAGAUGCUUCAUAUAACUGAAUGAUGGAUGUCCCAAUCGUCGAUGCCAUAACCAAAUUUGAUGUCUGUUAUCCACUUUAGCACUUAAAACUUGAUGAUGAUUUGAACCGGAAACAACAGUAUCCUCCAUAGUCAAGAUGUACAAACCCCUUAUCCUUUUACCAUAACCAAUUAUCUUCUGAGUUUGAAUAUCUCGAAAAUAACAAUACGUAGGAUAGAAGUGAGUAGAACAAUAUAAAGUAUCAAGAAGUUUUCCUACCGACAAAAGAUUGCACUUAACAUCAGGAACAAGUAAAGCACGGACCAGUGAUAAGGUUGGAGUCAAAGAGAUAGUGCCUUCACCCUUCACAGGGGAAAGUGCUCCAUUUGCACUAGUAAUAUACGGAUCACGAACAUAAUCACAUAACUCAUCAAACACUCUAGGGUCACUUGUCACAUGAUCAGUGGCCCCAGUAUCAAUUAUCCAUUUAUUUGUUCCACCAAGAUGCAUAACAACACUAUGAUUAUAUUGAGCCAUUGAACAAAAUCACGAACAAUAAAGGCACAAAAGAUAUGCAGCGGAAUGAAAACAAUUUACCAGAGUACUGUAGCAAUCACUGUUCACGGCACUGUAGCAAUACCAUUCACGGCACUGUAGCAAAUAACAAUCACUGUCCACGCACUGUAGCACGACACUUUUUUUUUCACACGGAGGAAAUCACGAAAAAUGUGGCACAAAAUUUAAAGCACAUAGGUCACCAAGAGCGAACUGCUCUGAUGCCAUAUUGAACUAAACAUGGUAAAUACCAAUAUUAACUAAACAUGGUAAAUACCAAUAAUAUAUGAUAAUAUUUGGGAGUUUCUUAUAUUUCAUUAAUCUCCAAAGUGGAGUAUAUAUAGGAGUUACAAUUGGUAUUACAUAUGUACUUCACCAAUGUGGGACAAUAAACUACUAUUUACAUUUUAACUAAUGUAUAACUCGCAACACAAACCAAAUAAAAUUAAUCUUUAAUAAAAAGUAUUAACUGAAACUUUAGUCCCAAAACAGAGUAAAUUCGUUGAGCAUUUUUCUCAUAGCAUCUUGCACUUUCAUAUCAUUAUCAUGAGUCUUUGUGGUGCUUGUCAUUUGAGAGCUGAUCAAAGCCUAAAUCCUUCUUUGGUGCUUUUCAUAUGCUUCGGUUCCAUUGGCUUCACAGGGAUUAUUUUAUCCGUCCAUGUCCUUGAGGAAAAAUGAAAAAUACAAUAUGAGAGCCAAAUUUAUAUAUGAAUAAGAAGCAAGAAAACUAUAGAUGAUUCAAAUAUAUAUAUAUAUAUAUAUAUAUCCUAUACUUGAUUCGUUGCUUAACUUCUCAAGGAUAAACUAUAGAGAAAACGCGGUACAACCAUGGCGAAAACGAACUCCUAUAAGAGCUUGUUUUCAAGUUUCAACAACAACAACAACAACAAAGCCUUUUCCCACUAAGUGGGGUCGGCUAUAUGAAUCUUAGAACGCCAUUGCGCUCGGUUUUGUGUCAUGUCCUCCGUUAGAUCCAAGUACUCUAAGUCUUUUCUUAGAGUCUCUUCCAAAGUUUUCCUAGGUCUUCCUCUACCCCUUCGGCCCUGAACCUCUGUCCCGUAGUCACAUCUUCGAACCGGAGCGUCAGUCGGCCUUCUUUGCACAUGUCCAAAUCACCAGAGCCGAUUUUCUCUCAUCUUUCCUACAAUUUCGGCUACUCCUACUUUACCUCGGAUAUUCUCAUUCCCAAUCUUAUCCUUUCUCGUGUGCCCACACAUCCCACAAAGCAUCCUCAUCUCCGCUUACGUGUUGAUGUUUCACCACCCAACAUUCUCUGCCAUACACCAUCGCUGGCCUUAUUGCCGUCCUAUAAAAUUUUCCCUUGAGCUUCAGUGGCCUACGACGGUCACACAACACGCCGGAUGCACUCUUUCCAUCCAGCUCGUAUUCUAUGGUUGAGAUCUCCAUCUAAUUCUCCGUUCUCAUGCAAGAUAGAUCCUAGGUAACGAAAACGGUCACUUUUUGUGAUCUUCGCUAUAUUGCUCCAGUCAUUAGUGUGGAUAAGUAUAUAAAUGGAUAGAGAUAGGAAAGCAAACACAAGAUGUACGUGGUUCACCCAGAUUGGCUACGUCCACGGAAUAGAAGAGUUCUCAUUAAUUGUGAAGGGUUUACAAAAGUACAUAGGUUCAAGCUCUCCUUUAGUGAGUACAAGUGAAUGAUUUAGUACAAAUGACAUUAGGAAAUAUUGUGGGAGAAUGAUCUCGUAAUCACGAAACUUCUAGAUGUGGCAUCUUCUCUGGAAGUACUCUUCCUCCAUCCAGGGGUGGUAUCUUUAACUGGUGGAGAUGCACAAGGUAAUGUAUCAAUUUCACUUGAAGCUUACUUGUAGUUUCAGGCUUGGUCAAGCGCGAUACAAACCAUGUAGUAGGAGUCCCCCAAGUCGCCGAGCUAGGGGGUCUGCUGAAAGAGGUGACAGACAAGGUAAGCAAUCAGAGCUCCGACUGAUUGUUCACCUUCUCCCCAUCUUGCAGCAGCAUGAAGGAUAAAGAGAAGAAAAAUGAGAAGAGAUGAUAUGAGAUACUUUUGCUUUUGAAGAAGUAACUUUCCACAGGCUUAUUCUUGAACUGAGCUGGAGGGUUUUCUGGUUUCCUCCAGAGUAUAAGGCCGACUGAAGAAUUUGAGGGUCAAAACAAGUCCAUCAAAUCUAGAGUACGUUCCACCCUGCUGAUAUGGGAUACUUUUUCUUUUGACAGAGUAAUGGAUGUAUCGGCACGUGUGCUGUUACGCUUGUCUCCACAUGCUUCCUUGUAUCCUUCGCACUUGCCCUAUCUGUUCCUCAAGCAGAUGCGGAAUCUUCCCUGGAGACAUAAGAUGUUGAAGAUGAGUACUCGAGAGCAAUGCCAGGUAAGUAAUCAGGUAAGGGGUUCCAGGCAGUCAGUUCCUGACUGGAAGCUUGAUUCCAAGUGCUGACUGAUUGCUCUCUUUCUCCUUGUCUUGCAGGUAAAAACAAGGCCAACAGAAAAAACGGGGAAAAAGCAUGAUAUGGGAUACUCUUGCUUUUAACCCUGAUGAUAUGAGAUAUUCUUGCUCUAGUAUAGCUUGUUUGCAGAGGUAUUAUCGGGGGGAAAGAAAGCUGAAUAUUUCGAAAGGCUUUGUUGGGAGUGCCCUCUCAGAUAUGAUGAAGGGUUGAGCAUUUUUGCAGGUCUGCCUGUCCGUUGGGGAUGGAGGUCGACAUAUAUAGGAGUCUCCCUAACAACAAGUAGUAAUGCUAUUCCUUUACCUUGGUAGUGGGAGCUGCCAGUUUCACAUGUUUUAACUUUGUCAGAGCACUUUGAAAAAGUGGUCUGUGGUAUCUGGCUCUCGAGAUUCGGAGAACGAUGCCUCUUCGAUUUUUGAGAAAGCAAUCAUGCUGGGGGUCUGACUCUCGAGAUUCGGAGAGCAGUGUCUCUUCGAUUUUUUUUAGGAAGUAAUCAUGUUGGGAGUCUGGCUCUCGAGAUUCGGAGGGCGGUGCCUCUUCGAUUUUGGAGCAAGCAAUCUUGUUGGGAGUGUUGUCUCGAAUGUGAGUAAAGGUUGAACAUGUUUGCUAGUCUACCUUGCCACGAAGCACAAAGGUUGACACACAGGGACUUUCCAAUUAUCCAGCAAUGGUACUGUUCCUUUACCCUAUCUUCGAUUUUGAGAAAGUAGUCAUGUUGGGAGUCUGGCUCUCGAGAUUCGGAGGACGGUGCCUCUUCGAUUUUGGAGCAAGCAAUCUUGUUGGGACUGUUUUCUCGAAUGUGAGUAAAGGUUGGGCAUGUUUGCUAGUCUACCUUGCCACGAAGCACAGAGGUUGACACACAGGGACUUUCCAAUUAUCCAGCAGUGGUACUGUUCCUUUACCCUUGUGGGUAAUAAUAUGGUAGCUAGACCUUCAAAAUUUAUGUGUCUAAACUUUGUUAGUGCUGUUUCUUUGCUAUUCUUUUACCUUUUCUUGGUCAGAGCGAUGUAGUGGGAGCUGCAAGCUUCACGUGCUCAACUUUGGCAGAGAACUUUGGCAAAGUUGAUCUGUGGUACCCAUGAGUUAUUGUUGCGUGUGGAAGUGGGUGAUUGAACAGUAAGAUUCAUGUGCUUUCUACUUCACCAGAAGUCUUCGACAGAAUGCCCAUAAUUUCUGCAAAGCUGAGUGUGCGUGUGACAGGUGCUGACAAGGCUAGAAAAGUAGGUGCCUCUUCGAUUUCUGAGAUCGGCCCUCGUGGUCUCUGAGCAGCCCAGCUUUUGAGAAAGCGAGCGCCUCUUCGAUUGAUUCGGAGAACGGUGCCUCACCGAUUUUUGAGAAAGCAAUCAUGCUGGGGGUCUGGCUCUCGAGAUUCGGGGAGCAGUGUCUCUUCGAUUUUUUGAGAAAGUAAUCAUGUUUGGAGAGUCUGGCUCUCGAGAUUCGGAGGGCGGUGCCUCUUCGAUUUUGGAGCAAGCAAUCUUGUUGGGAGUGUUUUCUCGAAUGUGAGUAAAGGUUGGGCAUGUUUGCUAGUCUACCUUGCCACGAAGCACAAGAGGUUGACACACAGGGACUUUCCAAUUAUCCAGCAAUGGUACUGUUCCUUUACCCUCUCUUCGAUUUUUAAGAAAGUAGUCAUGUUGGGAGUCUGGCUCUUUAGAUUCGGAGGACGGUGCCUCUUCGAUUUUGGAGCAAGCAAUCUUAUUGGGAGUGUUUUUCUCGAAUGUGAGUAAAGGUUGGGCAUGUUUGCUAGUCUACCUUGCCACGAAGCACAGAGGUUGACACACAUGGACUUUCCAAUUAUCCAGCAGUGGUACUGUUCCUUUACCCUUGUGGGUAAUAAUAUGGUAGCUAGACCUUCAAAAUUUAUGGGUCUAAACUUUGUUAGUGCUGUUUCUUUGCUAUUCUUUUACCCUUCUUGGUCAGAGCGAUGUAGUGGGAGCUGCAAGCUUCACGUGCUCAACUUUGGCAGAGAACUUUGGCAAAGUUAUCUGUGGUACCCAUGAGCUAUUGUUGCGUGUGGGAAGUGGGUGAUUGAACAGUAAGAUUCAUGUGUUUUCUACUUCCCCAGAAGUCUUUGACAGAAUGCCCAUAAUUUCCGCAAAGCUGAGUGUGCGUGUGACAGGUGCUGACAAGGCUGGAAAAGUAGGUGCCUUCUUCGAUUUCUGAGAUCGGCCCUCGUGGUCUCUAGGGAGCCCAGCUUUUGAGAAAGCGAGCGCCUCUUCGAUUUCUGAGAUCGGCCUUCGUGGUCUUUGAGCAGCCCAACUUUUGAGAAAGCAAACGGCCUCUUCGAUUUCUGAGAUCAACCCUCGUGAUCUCUAAGCAGCCCAAGCUUUUGAGAAAGCAAACGCCUCUUCGAUUUCUGAGCAGGCGCCUCUUUCGAUUUCUGAAGCUCCGUCGAGUGCAGAUUUUUUAUAGGGGCUGGCAUUAAGUUCCAAAGCACACUUGAAUCUCCACCAGUAGAAGCUUCAUUCUUGCACUUCUAAGAUCUUGAUUUGUCCGACCUCUUCUCUCUUCAACACCUUUGAAAAUGUCUGGCCCCCUCCGACCGUCGUUUUGACUUGAACCUUGUUGAAGAGGCAGCCCCGCCUUCUCCAGACAACAUAUGGCGCCCAUCCUUCGUCUCCCCAACUGGUCCUCUUACCGUUGGGGAUUCCGUGAUGAAGAAUGAUAUGACCGCUGCGGUGGUGGCCAGGAACCUUCUCACUCCCAAAGAUAACAGACUACUUUCCAAACGGUCUGAUGAGUUAGCUGUUAAGGAUUCGCUGGCUCUCAGUGUUCAGUGUGCAGGUUCUGUGUCUAAUAUGGCCCAACGCCUAUUUGCUCGAACCCGCCAAGUUGAAUCAUUGGCGGCUGAAGUGAUGAGUCUCAAACAGGAGAUUAGAGGGCUCAAGCAUGAGAAUAAACAGUUGCACCGGCUCGCACAUGACUAUGCUACAAACAUGAAGAGGAAGCUUGACCAGAUGAAGGAAACUGAUGGUCAGGUUUUACUUGAUCAUCAGAGAUUUGUGGGUUUGUUCCAAAGGCAUUUAUUGCCUUCGUCUUCUGGGGCUGUACCGCGUAAUGAAGCUCCAAAUGAUCAACCUCUGAUGCCUCCUCCUUCUAGGGUUCUGUCCAGUACUGAGGCUCCAAAUGAUCCCCCUCCGGUGCCUUCUCUUUCUGGGGCUCUACCGACUGCUGAGACUUCUCCUAAGCAACCUUUGUGAAGGCUCCCUCUUGUGUGUUUAUUUUGACUCAUGUAUAUGUACAUAUUUGUAGCUUAUCGGGGAUAUCAAUAAAUAAGCUUUCCUUCAUUUCAACGUAUUGUGUUAAAUACACCAAAGCCUUCUUCGCUAAGUUCUUUGAAUUUUCUUUUGUUGAAGCUUGUAUGUUGAAGCUUUCUGAGUGGAGCAUGUAGGUUGGGGUAGUGUUCCCUUAAUUUCCCGAGUGAGGAAAACUUCUUGGUUGGAGACUUGGAAAAUCCAAGUCACUGAGUGGGAUCGGCUAUAUGAAUCUUAGAACGCCAUUGUGCUCGAUCCUGUGUCAUGUCCUUCGUUAGAUCCAAGUACUCUAAGUCUUUUCUUAGAGUCUCUUCCAAAGUUUUCCUAGGUCUUCCUCUACCCCUUCGGCCCUGAACCUCUGUCCCAUAGUCGCAUCUUCUAAUCGGAGCGUCAGUAGGCCUUCUUUGCACAUGUCCAAACCACCGUAACCGAUUUUCUCUCAUCUUUCCUUCAAUUUCGGCUACUCCUACUUUACCCCGGAUAUCCUCAUUCCUAAUCUUAUCCUUUCUCGUGUGCCCACACAUCCAACGAAGCAUCCUCAUCUCCGCUACACCCAUUUUGUGUACGUGUUGAUGUUUCACCGCCCAACAUUCUGUGCCAUACAGCAUCGCCGGCCUUAUUGCCGUCCUAUAAAAUUUUCCCUUGAGCUUCAGUGGCAUACGGCGGUCACACAACACGCCGGAUGCACUCUUCCACUUCAUCCAUCCAGCUUGUAUUCUAUGGUUGAGAUCUCCAUCUAAUUCUCCGUUCUUUUGCAAGAUAGAUCCUAGGUAACGAAAACGGUCGCUCUUUGGUAUUUCUUGAUCUCCGAUCCUCACCCCUAACUCGUUUUGGCCUCCAUUUGCACUGAACUUGCACUCCAUAUAUUCUGUCUUUGAUCGGCUUAGGCGAAGACCUUUAGAUUCCAACACUUCUCUCCAAAGGUUAAGCUUUGCAUUUACCCCUUCCUGAGUUUCAUCUAUCAACACUAUAUCGUCUGCGAAAAGCAUACACCAAGGAAUAUCAUCUUGAAUAUGUCCUGUUAACUCAUCCAUUACCAACGCAAAAAGGUAAGGACUUAAGGAUGAGCCUUGAUGUAAUCCUACAGUUAUGGGAAAGCUUUCGGUUUGUCCUUCAUGAGUUCUUACGGCAGUCUUUGCUCCUUCAUACAUAUCCUUUAUAGCUUGGAUAUAUGCUACUCGUACUCCUUUCUUCUCUAAAAUCCUCCAAAGAAUGUCUCUUGGGACCCUAUCAUACGCUUUUUCCAAAUCUAUAAAGACCAUGUGUAAAUCCUUUUUCCCAUCUCUAUAUCUUUCCAUCAAUCUUCGUAAGAGAUAGAUUGCCUCCAUGGUUGAGCGCCCUGGCAUGAACCCGAAUUGGUUGUCCGAAACCCGUGUCUCUUGCCUCAAUCUAUGCUCAAUGACUCUCUCCCAGAGCUUCAUUGUAUGACUCAUUAGCUUAAUACCCCUAUAGUUCAUGCAAUUUUGUACGUCGCCCUUAUUCUUGUAGAUAGGCACCAAAGUGCUCGUUCGCCACUCAUUUGGCAUCUUCUUCGUUUUCAAAAUCCUAUUGAAAAGGUCAGUGAGCCAUGUUAUACCUGUCUCUCCCAAAACUUUCCACACUUCGAUUGGUAUAUCGUCUGGGCCUAUUGCUUUUCUAUGCUUCAUCUUCUUCAAAGCUACAACCACUUCUUCCUUCCGGAUUCGACGAUAAAAGAGUAGUUUCUACACUCUUCUGAGUUACUCAACUCCCCUAAAGAAGCACUCCUUUCAUGUCCUUCAUUGAAAAGAUUAUGAAAAUAACCUCUCCAUCUGUCUUUAACCGCGUUCUCUGUAGCAAGAACCUUUCCAUCCUCAUCCUUGAUGCACCUCACUUGGUUUAGGUCCCUUGUCUUCUUUUCCCUUGCUCUAGCUAGUUUAUAGAUAUCCAACUCUCCUUCUUUGGUAUCUAGUCGUUUAUACAUAUCGUCGUAAGCCGCUAACUUAGCUUCUCUGACAGCUUUCUUCGCCUCUUGCUUCGCUUUUCUAUACCUUUCACCAUUUUCAUCGGUCCUCUCCUUGUAUAAGGCUUUACAACAUUCCUUCUUAGCCUUCACCUUUGUUUGUACCUCCUCAUUCCACCACCAAGAUUCCUUUUGGUGUGGGGCAAAGCCCUUGGACUCUCCUAAUACCUCUUUUGCUACUUUUCGGAUACAACUAGCCAUGGAAUCCCACAUUUGGCUAGCUUCCCCCUCUCUAUAUCCCACACACAUUGGGUGAUUACCUUCUCUUUGAAAAUGGCUUGUUUUUCUUCUUUUAGAUUCCACCAUCUAGUUCUUGGGCACUUCCAAGUCUUGUUCUUUUGUCUUACUCUUUUGAUAUGUACAUCCAUCACCAACAAGCGAUGUUGAUUAGCCACGCUCUCUCCUGGUAUAACUUUGCAAUCCUUACAAGUUAUACGAUCCCCUUUCCUCAUUAGAAGAAAAUCUAUUUGUGUUUUUGACGACCCACUCUUGUAGGUGAUCACAUGUUCUUCUCUCUUCUUAAAGAAGGUGUUGGCUAAGAAGAGAUCAUAUGCCAUUGCAAAAUCCAAGAUAGCUUCCCCAUCCUCGUUUCUCUCCCCAAAACCAUGGCCACCAUGAAAACCUCCAUAGUUGCCUGUCUCCCUGCCCACGUGUCCAUUUAAAUCUCCUCCUAUAAAUAACUUCUCCGUCUGAGCAAUUCCUUGCACCAAGUCUCCAAGAUCUUCCCAAAAUUUCUCCUUCGAACUCGUAUCCAACCCUACUUGAGGUGCGUACGCACUAAUCACAUUGAUAAGUUCUUGUCCUAUUACAAUCUUGAUUGCCAUGAUUCUAUCUCCUACCCUCUUGACAUCUACAACAUCUUGUACCAAGGUCUUGUCCACGAUGAUGCCAACACCGUUUCUCGUUCUAUUUGUGCCCGAAUACCAAAGUUUAAACCCUGAGUUUUCUAGAUCCUUUGCCUUACUACCAACCCACUUAGUUUCUUGUAGGCACAUAAUAUUUAUCCUUCUCCUCACCAUAACUUCCACUACUUCCAUAGAUUUUCCCGUUAAGGUUCCUAUAUUCCACGUUCCUAAACGCAUUUUGCUCUCUUGAACUCUACCCUUCUGUCCUAGCUUCUUCACCCUCCCCCGUCUAAUAGGAUCAAAGUACUUCUUUUGUGUGUCCCGGGUAAAGUUGAUAGGAGCAUAUGCUCCCAAACAACUUUGAGUGGAGUCGUUCGAAAAGAAGUUUCUAUGGCCCCCUUGCUCAUUUAACACUGCAUCCGGGUGCCGAUGGAGAUACAGCGACCCUUGCUCACUUAUCACUGUGCUCGGGCCACACAGCGCGCCACUUACGGGUGACGCCCUAGCUUUAGCGCGAUUUUGUUCUGGAUUCAUUUUCAUAAGGAUUCGACGUGAUCAUGGAGUGUCGGCUGUCGACUACCUGACGCCCUCCCCCUCCUCCUUUAUCCAGGCUUGGAAAGAAGUGAAGAAGCAGUACAACGAUGGAGAAAAUUUUUGGAAGAAGCUUGCUUAUGUUGGUAACCCAACAGCCACAGAAAGAAUUCUAUUUUAGAUUUGCAGAUUAUUUUGGAUUUUUUUAACUUUUAAAUGUUAAAUAAAAAGCUAACAGAGUUUGAGAUUAGGUUAAGUUAGAUGACAUGUGUCAAAAUAUUAGCAAUAAGACAUACACACAAAAGGGGACAGCAGACUUGAAACCUUCAUACAGGGAUACAAAGUAUUCCCAUCUAUAUCUCAAAUAAAAGAUGACAUAAAUCAAUAUGAUUUGGUUUGUUUACAGAUGGCGGAUUGGAUUGGGACAAGGUCUUUUGUUCAACAUUUUAUGUAUCGAGACUAGAAAUUGAGAGUUUUUAUCAUUUUUUUUUCAGACAUGUAAAUGGCGUCCAUUGAAAAUUGGUGAUUGUGGGGGCAAGUCAAACUUUAAGUGUGACUUGAUCACUCUGAAUCUCAAAAUUUAAAGUACCGAAACCUAUUUUCAUGUCCAUGCUAUUGAAUUAUCAGAGAGACGAGUCGAUGGCCCAACUCCAACAACAUUGAUAUUGUUCCCAACUUGGUAAUUACCACCUGCACAAUCCGUCAGGUGUAGAGUUUUAUCACAAAAGGUCUCGAUUUUAGUUGAAAUGGGAUUAGGAUAUUUAAACUCUUCUUUUCUCAUUGAUACGGUGGAUGUGAGGCAUUUUAACACGCAUUCUCACGUGGGACCCAAUUAGUGGGUCACACAUGGAAGAUCCACACAUCGACAACCACGUGAAGCGAAGGAGACUCACCCAACACAGGGGGCCAAGGGACCCACCAUCAUCGCAUAGGGUCAAGGGGACCCAUCCAUCACGUGGCAGUACAGUACGGGCCAUCUUCUUGGCUCUGAUACCAUGUUGAAUUAUUAGAGAGAUGGGCCGAGGACCCAACUCCAACAACAUCGAUAUUGUCCCCAACUUGGUAAUUACUACCUGCACAAUCCGUCAGGUGUGAGAUUUUAUCACAAAAAAAACAUCGGUUUUAGUUGGAGUGAGGUUAUGGUAUUUAAACUCUUAUUUUCUCAUUGAUAUGAUCGAUGUGAGACAUUUCAACACAUGAACUUUUAUGCUGAUGGUUACUUUGUAUCUAAGUAGGGAAUGUUUAUUUGAUUUGUCAUUUUACCUAUUGGUUAAACUUUGAUCACUUAUCUUGGACAGAUAAAUCUGAGUUAUUUACAAUUGCACCAUGGAGGUCACUUUAUAGAAGCCUGUAAUGGGACAAUGACUUGUGUUGGGAAAAUUUUUAGUUGUGACUGGAACACAGAUGGUGCAUCACGUGUUUUUAUGUAAAUGGUGAAAAUUUUUAAUUUUUAAAUUAUUAACUUUUUAACAGACAUAUUCAACCAUUUACAUGAAUAUAUAUGAUAUAUCGUCUUGUGUGAUGGUCACACUAAAAAAUCUCUCAUUGUGUUGGUGGUCAUGUUGCUUGGUUUGACAAUAUGAACUGUGAUUUAAUGUCCAGGUGGGAUAUUGAGGAUUGUGCGAAGAAAGUAGGGUCACUACUAGAAAAAGAGCUACAGGACACCGUUCUUUAUAUUCUAUUCCCAAAUCGUGCAUAUUUGAAGAAAGUUGUCACCGUGAAAAAACAUUGGUGCAUUUUACAUUUUUUUACACUGAAAAACGGUGCCCAACAGAUAUUUGACAAAUUUUUUUUGGAAAUUAUUAACUUUUACUGGUGUCUAUAUGGAUUAUGGAGCGUGCCCUGACAACUUUUAUAGUCGAGUAAAUUGUAGUAAUGAUCUAUUAACUUUAAUCAAAUUGAAGCAAUGAUCAUUCAACUAAAAAUCCAUUACUAUUGGUCUUUCAACUUAUCAAAAUGUGUAGCUGUAGUCAUUUUCAUCAAUUUUAUCAAAAUAAAUUAUGUUGAAAUAACCAUUUAUAUAAUUAUGGUCCCUCAACUCAUCCAAAUGUGUAAUUAUGAUCAUUUUCGUCAACUAUGUCAAAAUUUUUGGCAAAACGAGUUAUGUUGAAAUGAUCAUUGCUACAAUUGGGUUAGAGUUAAGGGACUAUUUCUUCAGUUGAAUUAAAGUUGAGGGACCAAUAGUAAUGAAUUUUUAGUAAAUGAACUAUAAUUGCAUAUUUUGAUGAAUUUUUAUAAUCAAACCGAUUUGAUAUUGUAUAGAAAAUUUGAAUACAAAAGAUGCUGUAGAUGUAAUUAUUGAUUCCAUACUGAUGAAACCAGGUCAUUGUAAAACGCUCUCUCUAAAUCCAAUCCAACCAUGUGGCUGUGAGUUUCUCAAUUUUUUUAUUAUUAUCAAAGUAUGGACUGGAGCACAAAAGUAAAGUAAUAAACAAUAUUUCACCUCCACUCCUUUUCAUAUCAGUUUCCGGAUUCCUCUUCUCCUAAAAGCUUCUACAGUUUUUCUCCCAACACCUCAAGCGGUUGCAUGGCGUCCUCUAGAUCAGCAGCCUCUCAUCCGCAUGUCGUCAACAAUAUGCAUGUAGUCCUCUGUGUUUUUGUCGCCCUCUGAGUUUUAAAGUUGUUGGGAUGUGAAAGGCUGAGUCCACGAGAGAUUUGUUUACUGGGUUCGUAAGUUGUUUGAUGGGAGUUUGAUUGACUCUUAAACCUGGUAAAAAGUUUCCUUGCUUCUCUCUGUCUCUUCUCUUGCUUUAUAUUUUUUUAUUUUUUUAUUUUUUUUAUUUCUAAUUUUUAUUUUUGGUUGAAGUUUAAAACUUAGGCAAAAGACUGUUUACUACCCUCAUAUUUCGUGGUUUUCAACAUUUAGUAUAUCAAGUUUUUUUCGUCCCAGAGUCAUACCUAAAGUGUAAAUUUUGGGACAGUCUCAUACAUCUGUUAGUCAAACUGUUAAGUUUUCCGUUAACUGAUGACGUGGCGCCCAUGUGGACAAUGACUGGAUGCCACGUGUCAAUAAGGGUCCCACGUGGAUUUAAAAAUUACAAAAAAUUACAAAAUUGCAAAAAAAAAUAAAUAAAAAAAAAGCUGUUGUUGUCUACGCCCACCAAACCCUCUAUACUCGACCCAUCUCCCUCUCCUCCACCCUUUGCAAAAACCCUAACUCCCAAAAUCUUUUGAGUUUUCAAAAAAAUUGAGCAAACCGAGCAUGAAAUCCCUAAUCCCCAAAAUCUUUCCGACCCGUUUGAAUUUGACUUCAAUUUCAUCAAACACAUAAUGAAAACACAAAAAGACUUCGAUUUCGUCAUACCAAAAAACUGAUCAGUCAGGACUCGGACAUUCAUUUUCGUUUUGUUCCCCCCAAAUUUUCUCAACAACCAAACAGUCCAUUUCAAAUUAUAAACAACAAAAGCAGCAGAAUCACAAAGAUCAAUACACAAAAUUUGAAAUUUCUUAGCUAAUCCGUAACUCUGUUUGCGGGAAACAAAGCAGCUCUAAAUCACUCGCCUUUGAGUUCGAAAUGCAUACCUCGAUUUCUUAGAGAUAACGACGCUUUCUCAAACGUCGUCUAUGAGAAGGCCAUCCCGGCAAUGAUCAACGAAAAUCGGGAAAUGCAGUGAAAUUGGAAGCUGAAAGGACACCGUGACCUAGUUGGUGGCCAGACGACGGCAGAUAUGAUGAAAUUGCGGCAGAGAAAAUGGCUUUUAGGGUUUUAGAGAGGCAGUGAGUGAGGUGAAGAAUCUGGAAUUUUAGAGAGAGAGAGAGAGGAGAAGGGGGUCUCUACAGCUUGAAAAUGGCCUCAGCAAAGGCGUAGCGUUGGUGAAUCGCCUCGUCGAGGAAGCCACAGCGCUCCCGGCAUAAGGCGACGGCCAGAAGAUCGUCGAGCUUGGAGCUCGUCCAGCCCAUUGGGUUGGGUAUGGAGGGACUAUGAGAGGGAUGGGUCGGGUUGGGAGGUGGUGGUGAGGGAAGAACGAGUGCGAGUGGGGAGAGGGACGGAGGGGGGAGACCAAGUCGCUCGGGGUGGGGAAGACAAAAGGGAUCUGGAGAAGGAUGGAUAUGCAGAUGUGCAUAAGGAUUUAGGGAUUUGGGUAGUGAGAGCGGAGAGUGAGAGCGAAUGUGCAGAGGUACGUGUCACAGCAAAUCGCUCGGGGUGGGGAAGACAAAGGGGAUCUGGAGAAGGAUGGAUGUACAGAGGUGCAGAGGGAUAUGGGGAUUUGGGGAAUGAGAGAGAGCGGAGAGUGAGGGUGAGAGCGGAUGUGCAGAGGUGCAUAAGGAGAAGGGAAGCGGAUCGGGGUGGGGAAGACAAAGGGAAUCUGGGGAUUUUUUUUUUAUUUUUUUUAUUUUUAUACUUUUAUUUAAUUAAAAUUUUAAUUGUUUAUUUAUUUAUUUAUUUAUUUUUAAAUUUCCACGUGGAUGACCCGUGGCGCCCAGUCAUUGUCCACAUGAGCGUCACGUCAUCACUUAACGGGAGAUUUAACAGUUUGACUAACGGAUGUAUGAGACUGUCUCAAAAUUUAAACUUUAGGUAUGACUCUGAGACGAAAAAAACUUCAUGUACUAAAUGUUGAAAACCACGAAAUAUGAGAGUAGUAAACAAUCUUUUACCCUUAAAACUUUCUUUUAAAAGACUCAUUUUCUCUAAAAAGUAAUAAUAAAAAGGGAUAUCAAAUGAAAGGCUCUGGUAGUCUUGAAAUACGUGUAUUGUAGUUUCUCUAUGUAUAUAAAACAAGAACAAUUGAUAAUCUGUAUCUUUGGAAACCAACCAUAAUUCUCAGUUCCCCUCCUCUCUCAGAGUGCUCUCUCCCUCUCGUCAUCACGAGUAAGGCUAGAUCUAAUGAUCUGAUUUCAACGACGCCUCUGGCUACCAGAUCUGGUACUGGCAACCAUUUUUGCUUGGAUCUCGCUCUCUCUCCCUCUCGAGCUAAGCAGACGCACCUCCAUGGAAGAAGAUGGAUGCUCGACGUCAAAAUGAUGGAUGUAAGUUGACUGUAGAGAUCUGAUUUCCUGCUGCCUCUCCACCUCGUUUUCAUCAUGAUGUGCCCUAAACCUAAUCUGGUAGGUAUUUAUUUGGGUAUUUUUUUUAUCUCGGUUUCUUUUUCUAAUUCAUUUUCAGAUCGUUGGAAUGUAUGUAUAUCAAGUUCUAUUUAUAUUCUCUCUUUUUAAAUCAUUUUCAGAUAUUCGGGAUUGUUUGAGAAGACCUAUGAGAAUCCCACUUACAAAAUUUUGUGAGCAACAAACUUAAGUGUUGAAACAUUGUUUGUAUUUUCUAUUUUUCGUCAAAGUUAUUAUUUUUUAUUUUCUGUUUUUGUAUGCUUAAUGUUGACUCUUUUGGUGGUAUUGUUAUGAAGGUGAAUCUGGAAAAAUAUGUUCAUUCUAGAAUCGUUACUCGAGUUCUUGGAUGGAUGGGAAGGUUGUGGAACUCUCCUAGGUUUAAAUGAUUAAUUUUCAUCCAAAGCAUGUGGUAUUAAUCGUGGACUUCGUCAAUGGGAGCUCAGCGGGCUCCCUCUUUUUACAUACAUAAAUUGCAAUUUGGACACUGAUGCUAAAAGGCAUAUUUUAUGUGAAAAAAUAUUUAAUCUAUUAAUAAACAAAUAAACCAAAAUAUAAUAAUGUCAUAUAUCUACUAUUCCUUUGCCCACCAAUGUAUAAAUGGUGGUGUUUGUUACAAUAGAGACUUCUGUAGAGGACAUGGACCCUAAUUUAGUGGCUGCAUGAUGGCUGUUUAUGCUUGCCACCGAAUUCAGUGUCCAAUGUUUCCAAUUGGCACCAAUAAGAUAGUGUUCUAUAGCUAUUUUCUAAAAAAAAACUAAUGAAAAAGGCUUGAAAACUUUAAGUUUUAACGAUAAGGAUAAAAUAAAGGGUAAAAUGAAUAGUAUCAGAAUUGACUUUUUAGUGUAAAAAUAUAAUUUUUCGUUAAAGUGAACACUACCAUGAGUUUUUUAUUAAAACUCCUAUUUUUCUAGUAGUGGGUAUACUAAGACUGCUAAGUACCAUUACACAUUGUCAAAUGACAGAACUUACAAGCCCAUUGUUGCUGAUAGUGAUUUUUGGAGUCUAGCUACUGUAUUGCCCCUAAAUAGAGUGGUACUUGUGUACACCGUUGAUGAUGUCCAACUGAUCAAUUCAGCCCCAAACAUUGAAAUUCAAGCUUCAGCAAACUCUUUUGACAUUCCUUACAUGUCAGCCCCAAACAUUGAAAUUCAAGCUUCAACAAACUCUUUUGACAUUCCUCACGUCUGAUCCUUUUGGCAUAUUUGAGGGAUUUUUGGAGCAAGCUUAUGAAGGAGAUCGGGAACAAGACAACCUUGUUGAGGCAGGUAUACAUAACAUGGAAAAUGAAGAGAGAGAUGGCGAUGGCAAUUCGGAAGAUUCAAAUUAGUGAGACUCAGACUAUGAACAAAGUGAUGUCGAUGACAACUUAUUUGACGACAAUUUAGAGAAAACUAAAGGGAAAAAUACCAAUGGAAAAUGCAAUGGAAAUAGGAAAGCAUCACGUAAUACUGAACCCUUUCCUGAUUUAGGAUUUGGAGAUGUUGAAACAAACUACGAAGAUUCUGAUGGCUUUAGAAGUGGUUCUAGUUCAUCAUCUGAAGGUGAACAACCAGUGAAGCGGAAACGUAGGAAGAAAAUGCCCAAAUUCAUUCCUUUUAGAAGUGAUUUGGAUAUGAAGAACUGGAAUGAUAUUUGCCAAUAGAAGGGGGCUCAGACAAGCAGUGACAUAUUAUGGUUGUGUGAAUGGAAGACAAAUAAGAUUCCCAAUAAGAGAAGGUUAUAAAGUUCAGGGUAAGUGUACAAAGGAGGGAUGUCCAUGGGUGAUUUAUGCAAGCAAAACAGAUGGGAGCCCUGCACUUAUAGUGAAGACACUCAAUGACGUCCAUACAUGUCCGAGAGAGCAAAAGCUCAGAGUAUGCACCUCAAAUUGGUUAUCACAUAGGUAUGCUGACUAUUUGCUUGACAAUCCUAAGUGGGAAGUGUCAAAAUUUCAACAAACUGUUCAUAAACAAUACAAUAUGCAUGUAACACCGGCUCAACUUUAUAAAGCACGAUCAUUGGCAGCUGAGAAGAGUGAAGGGGGCUUAUGUGGAGCAAUAUGCAAGGUUAUGGGAUUAUUGUGAGGAGCUCAAGCGAAGAAAUCCUGGCAGUACAAUUUUGGUGAAGACUGAAAUGGAAGGAGGAAGGCCUAGGUUUCAGAGGUUGUAUGUAUGCUUUGCAGCAUUGAAAAAAGGCUUUUUGGAAGGUUGUAGGCCAGUGGUGGGAUUGGAUGGAUGCCACAUUAAAGGUCCACAUCCAGGCCAGUUGCUUGCUGCCAUUGGUAUAGAUGCCAACAAUGGCAUGUAUCCAGUAGCAUAUGCGAUUGUUGAAAUUGAAGAUAGAAGAACUUGGACUUGGUUUCUCGAGCUACUCAUCACUGAUUUGGGUAUUGAAAAUGGGCAUGCUUGGGUCUUUACGUCAGACAAACAAAAGGGGUUAAUAAAAGCUGUGAAGGACCUUAUUCCAACUGCUGAACACAUACAUUGUGUUCGACACUUAUAUAACAAUUUCAAGAAAACACACGUUGGCAUUGCAUUGAAACAAAUUCUUUGGUCAGCAGCUAGAGCAACCACCAUUCCAGGAUUUAAAGCAGAGAUGACUAAGAUGGAAGUUGAAGACGGAUUGGCUAUAAGUUGGUUUGAUGACAAACCAGCAUGUCAUUGAAGCAGAUCUUAUUCUAGGACAUCAUCUAAGUGUGAUAUCUUGUUGAAUAUUCUAUGUGAGUCUUUUAGUAGUGCAAUAUUGAGAGCAAGAGAUAAACCAAUAUUAACUAUGGUGGAAAGGAUUACAACAUAUCUGAUGGUCAGAAUGGCAAGAAUGAGAGAAGCAGCGGAUAAGUGGAAAACUGAGGUUGGCCCUAGAAUAUUUAAAAUGGUUGAAAAAAAUAAAUUAGAAAGUGGUUCAUGUAUUGCUUGGUUGUCAGGUGAUAUGGAGUAUCAAGUGAAGCAUAUGAGUGGAGCACAAUAUGUGGUUGAUUUAGCGAAACACACAUGUACAUGUAGAAGGUGGGAUCUCACUGGAAUUCCUUGUGCUCAUGGAAUUGCUGUAAUCUAUAGAAAGGAGGACGAUCCAUACAAGUAUGUUCAUUCUUGUUACAAGAAAGCAGCAUACUUGAGAGCCUACACUUAUAUCCAUGCCAUGCUUAGUCAAGAAUUUUGGCCACCUACAAAUCACCAACCCGUUGCAUCUCCAAAGUAUCAUAAGCAAGCUGGUAGGCCAAAGAAGGUGAGGGCAAGAGAGCAAGAUGAACCACAACCACCAUCAACCUUAAAAAAAUUGCCUAAAUGCUUCAGCAAGGUCACUUGUGGAAUGUGUGGCAAGAAAGGUCAUAAUCGUACAACAUGCGGGAAGAGGCAACGACAAGCUUCACAGGUAAAAAUAGCUUAAUGGUUUCACUUAUCUGCAUUUUUAGUCACAUAUGGUUGUUAUAAAUUGGGGAAUAUCAUCUCUUAGGCCUAUGGAGAAGCUGGGAGAGGACAAACUUGUGGGACAAAUGAAAUUGGCCAUAACUCACCAACUACUGAAAGUGGGCAAACACAAGCAAUGGUGUGCGUACUGAAAACUUCGGUAUUUUAAGGUUUUGUCUUGUAUUUAUUGACUGAUGUAUGUGUAACUCUUUUAUUGAUCAUUUUGUAGCAUGCCACUGGAGGAAAUACGGGAAGUGAAACUCCACCAAAUCAGGGACAAGAAAAAUCUGCACCUAAUGCAAGUUCUUUUGACCUAUGUCUUUGUCCCUUUCUCGUCAGGUUUUUUUUUACUUUUUUAUUGUUUGUAGGUUUCUAAAAGGGGUAGAGUGAAAAAAAAAUGCAAGAGGUAAGUCAAUGCACAAGUCAAGAAAACCACCUAAAAACCGUAGAAUCUGAAGAAAUCAUUUGAAACUUUAGACUUUUUGUUAAUAUUGUCAAUAUCCUCUUGGACUCGAUGGUACUGAGCACUGUGAUCAUGAUACUCACUAGAUCGAAGUGCAUGUUUAAUAAUGGAAUCACCAAAUGGAAAAGCAAAAUCAUAAGUUGGGUACAAGUUGUACUCGGACACAAUUCGAUGAUGUGGUGUAGAUUGUAGGGGUAAUAAAUAGGAUCUUGAAGAGAUUUUUUUUGGAUACUGCAUAUCCAGAGUUCUCCUCAAUGAAUGAUUAUGAUUUAGGUCACAAUUGACCUCGAAUGCCCAUUUUCUUCUCAAGAAUUUGAAAACGAAUUUGUGAGCUUAAUCAACAUCUAAUUGUGGACUAUCUCACCUAGAUAUAUCUACAAGAUGGUCAUAAUAUUAUUUGCUUGUUAUUACAAGCUCAAUUUCCCAAUUGUAGGCUAUUUCAGACCACUGGGAAUUACUUUUAAGCACACAAUUUUUCAUGGCUUAGCACAAGGUUAAGCAUUCUAUUCAUUGCUAAUUUUUGGUUAGGAGAAUCAUCUUGAUCCACAGGCAUGUAUCAUCAUGAUCAUUUCGGUUGACGUUUAUUUUUCAACCAACAAGAAAUUGUGUACACAAAGAUGGUUCAAUCCAUGAAAAUUGAGAUUCAAGUUUAUCUUUCUAAAUAGCAACUAAAAUACCUCUUUGUAAUUGCAAUAUACAAUUUAGUUUUACAAAAAACAUCCAAAAGAGUUUCAAGUCAUGCGGAUGAACAUUUUAUGCAAAUAUAUUGCAUGGGCUUGAUCCUUUUUACUUCAUCACUAGUCAUUCCCUCGCAUUCAGCAUGGAAACUUUAUGAGCAAUUCAUAUGAUGUAAUAAGUAAAGAUGGAAUUGAACAAUAACAACUUGAAAGAAAAGAAUUUGAAGACUUUACCACUCCUUGCAUGCCUCACAGCACACCAUGAGAUUAUCUGGGUUAUACGGUAUCUGACAAGUGCAAUACCUUAAAAAAUAAUUAAACAAAUAAACAGCACAUCAAAUUUCAUCUAUAAACACCACAUAUCAACUAAAACGUAAGAUAAAAGAGACUCACAGAGGAAUAAGAAAAUUGUCGAACCCUUUCCUAGAAUGCAAGACCUAAAUCUCUAAUAGUAAUCCUCAUAUGUUACCAUUUGGAGUUUUACGUACUCAUCAAGAGUGUGGACAUUACACUUUCCGAGAAUGGUAUCAAUGCUCAUAGUAUCACGAUGAUUAAACCAUAUGAGCUCAUCCUUUCCAAAGAAAGGAGGACGCUUUUCAAGGGCAUCAUCUGACCUAUAGAACCACCUCACCAUCACUUUCUUUUUAUUGUGACUAAAACGCAGGAUGGCCGCCACCCAUGGCUGAUCGUUCACUAUUGCACCAUCAUGAUUAAUCAUGACUUAAUCCCCAACGGAGAAAGUCUCAUUGGUAGUUGUAAUGCAACAAGUGGCCAUCCCUUCCAAAUAACUGGCAAUCAUAUAAAAGAGAUCCAACAAGAAGUGAUCAGCUUAACCCCAGUGUCCCUCCCAACUCUAAUGUCAAUCACAUAAAAGAGAUCCGUCUACUAUAUGACCUCAACUAUAACAAAAGAGCUCAAUCUUAUAACAAAAGAAUAAACAAAACAUAAAUCUUAUAACAAAAGAUUAAAAAAACAUAGCUAUUAGUGCUUUUAGUGAGGGUGAAAUAAUCUGGACAAUAGAAUUCAAACUACACCAUUACAUAAUUGAUCUACAUUCUAAUCACUAGCAGCAAAUGAAACCUUAAUUUUAAUUCAAAAUUGAAACCCUAAUAGCUCAAAAUUUCGAACUAUUACAUAAUUGAUAACUAGUUUUAAAUCAAAAUCACUAGCAGUAAACGAAACCCAAAUCGAAAUCAAGGUGAAAUUUCUUACCACGUGCAGUGCAAUCGUUGGAGGUGAAAGACAUAUAGAAUUCGAGAGGAGAAAGAGACUCAGAAACGAGUCGAGAGAGAGCCGGUGUGUGGUGAUUCUGAAUUUGAAUUAUAUUAGCCGUUGAAUUUAAAUUUGGACCGCCAAAUUUUUUACUGUUGGAUUUAAUCAUCUUAGCUGUUGAAUUUAAACACUUUAUAAAAGAAUAUGAAACGUAUUGAAAAAAAUUCUUUUAAUUAUUUCACUCGUUGAACUCCCGAGUCUCAACUCCAUCCCUUAAGACUCUCUGGAUUCCAAGUCUCCUACUACCAGGCACCACCACCAUCUCCUCUCAAGUCUCAACUCCCACAUCUCUUCUAUCUCCCGACUCCAACCACCACCAUCAUCUCCUCUCAACUGAAGUCGAUAGCUCGAUCCCUCCCACCACUGAGUAAGGUACUCAGUUUUAAUUUUUAGGGAUUUAAGAUUUAGUGUUUUCUAGAUUUUGGGGUCUUGAUCUAAUAAUUUCUAGUUGUCUGAUAACGGAAUCAACUGCUUAGUCUUAUAAUUUUGAAGCUUUGCUUUGAUAUUUUGAUUAAAUUGAAAUUUGAAUUAUGAGAAUAUUAGAAACUUACAUAUCUAUGUAAUGAAGAAAAAGAAAAUUAGAAACUUACAUGAAUUGAUCAAAAUAAUUACACCAACAAAAUAUCCAUUCAGUCAAAAUUUUGCACCAUUACAGAAUUGAUCUAAAUUCUAAUAACUAGCAGCAAACAAAACUUUAAUUUUAACUCAAAAUCGAAACCAUAAUAAAAUAGGAAAGUUAGCUAAAAAUUUCGCACCAUUACAAAAUUGAUUACAUUUUUUAUUCAGAAUAGAUUACAUUUUUUUUUUCCUUUUCAAAACAGGUUAUUUUCACAUAUCCUUUGUAAUCCAAACACAACACUAGCUCAAUUCAAUUUCAGAUCAAAACGACCCUGACUGUACUAUUAUUAUCAAAAUCCACAACCAUAUCAAUCACAAAAUGGAAGCUUGAAUGAGAUAAAAAAAUAUUUAAAAACUUAUCACUUUUAUCUUAUUGAAUAUGGCUUCCAGGGAGAAAAAAGGGAAAAAUUGAUGGCGAAAUCUCUUUUCUACAUGAACAACAAAAACCCAGCACAAUGACACCAAAUACAAUCUAAUCCAAUUCAAUCAAACCAAUCUCAAUUCUCAUAUUCGACUUUAAUCUCAAUUCAAUCUCAUAAUUCCAAAUACAAUCUGCUUUGCUCAAUUCAGUUUCAAAACAAACGACCCGGACUGUACUAUUAUUAUCAAAAUCCACAAGCAUAUCAAUAAGAAAUGGAAGCUUGAAUGAGAGAAAAAAAAUAUGUAAAAACUGACCACCUUUAUCUUAUUGAAUAUGGCUUACAAGGAAAAAAGGGAAAAACUGAUGGCGAAAUCUUUUAUCAACAUGAACAACAAAAACCCAGCACAAUGACACCAAAUACAAUCUAAUCUCAAUUCAAUCAAACCAAACUCAAUUCUCAUAUUCCAAUCUAAUCUCAUUUUAAUCUCAUAAUUCCAAACACAAUAUGCUUAUAAGAAUGACCCCAACACUUGCCCACCGAUCACCAACACCCCAAAUCUAAAUAUUCUCAUAAUUCUAAUUCCAAUUCAAUCAAAUACCAAAGCAAAGCUUCAAAAUUAUAAGACUAAGCAGUCGAUUCCAUCAUCAGACAACUAGGAAUUAUUAGGUCAAGACCCCAAAAUCCCAAAAUCUAGAAAACACUAAAUCUUAAAUCCUUCGCCCAUGAGCGGUAGGUCUUGGGUUCGAGACUUGGGAGCAGCCUCUCCAUAAAUGGGGGUAAGGCUAGCCGACAUUCACCUCUCCCAGACCCUGCGUAAAGCGGGAGCUUAUGCACUGGGUACGACCUUACUUAGUGGUGGGAGGGAUCGAGCUAUCGACUUCAGUUGAGAGGAGAUGAUGGUUGGUGGUGGUCAGAGUCAGGAGAGAGAAGAGAUGUGGGGAGUUGAGACUUGAGAGGAGAUGGUGGUGGUGCCUGGUAGUCGAAGACUCGGAAUCCAGAGAGUAUGGGGGAUGGAGUUAAGACUCGGAGUCCAACGGGUAAAAUAAUUAAAAGAAAUUAUUUCAAUGUGUUUCAUAUUCUUUUAUAUAGUGUUCAAAUUUAAAUUCAACGACUAAGAUGAUUAAAUCCAACAGUUAAAAACAAAAUUGACGGUCCAAAUUUAAAUUCAACGGCUAAUAUAAUUCAAAUUCAGAAUCACCGGCUCUCUCUUUCUCUCUCGACUCCUUUCUGACUGUCAAGUCUCUGUCUCCUCUCGAAUUCUGUCUUUCACCUCCAACGGCUGCACUGCACAUGGUAAGAUAUUUCACCUUGAUUUUAAUUUGGGUUUCGUUUGCUGCUCGUGUUUCUGAUUUUGAUUUAAAAUUAGUUAUCAAUUCUAUAAUAGUUCAAAAUUUUGAGCUAUUAGGGUUUCGAUUUUGAAUUAAAAUUAAGGUUUCGUUUGCUGCUAGUGAUUAGAAUGUAGAUCAAUUCUGUAAUGGUGUAGUUUGAAGUCUAUUGCCCAGAUUAGCUCACCCUCACUAAAAGCACUAAUAGCUAUGUUUUUUUAAUCUUUUGUUAUAAGAUUUAUAUUUUUUUUUAUUCUUUUGUUUUAAGAUUGGGCUUUUUUGUUAUAGUUGAGGUCAUAUAGUUGACGGAUCUAUUUUAUGUGAUUGACAAUAGAAUUGGGAGGGACACUUGGGUUAAGUUGAUCACUGCUUGUUGGAUCUCUUUUAUAUGAUUGCAUGUUAUUUGGAGAGGAUGACCACUUGUUGCAUUACAACUACCAAUGAGACUUUCUCCAUUGGGGAUUGUGUCCUGAUUAAUCAUGAUAGUGCAAUAGUGAACGAUCAGCCAUGGAUGACGGUCAUCCCGUGUUUCAGUCAUAAUAAAAAGAAAGCGAUGGUGAGAUGGUUCUAUAGGUCAGAGGAUGCCCUUGAAAAGCAUCCUCCUUUCUUUGGAAAUGAUGAGCUCAUAUGGUCUAAUCAUCGUGAUCAUGUGAGCAUUGAUAACAUUCUCGGAAAGUGUAAUGUCCACACUCUUGAUGAGUACGUAAAACUCCAAACGGUAACAUAUGAGGAUUACUAUUGGAGAUUUAGGUACUUGCCUUCCAGGAAAGGGUUCGACAAUUUUCUUAUUCCUCUAUGAGUCUCUUUUAUCUUACGUUUUAGUUGAUAUGUGGUGUUUAUGGAUGAAAUUUGAUGUGCUGUUUAUUUGUUUAAUUAUUUUUUAAGGUAUUGCACUUGUCAGAUGCCGUAUAACCCAGAUAAUCUCAUGGUGUGGUGUGAGGCAUGCAAGGAGUGGUAAAGUCUUCAAAUUCUUUUCUUUCAAGUUGUUAUUGAUCAAUUCCGUCUACUUAUUACAUCAUAUGAAUUGCUCAUAAAGUUAUUUUCCUCUUUGACUUAAAGGUAACAUGCUGAGUGCGAGGGAAUGACUAGUUAUGAAGUAGAAAGGAUCAAGCCCUAGCAAUAUAUUUGCAUAAAAUGUUCAUCUGCAUGACUUGGAACUCUUUUAGAUUUUUUUUUAAAACUAAAUUGUAUUUGCAAUUACAAAGAGGUAUUUUAGUUGCUAUUUACUUUUGGAUGUGUAGAACUAAAGAAAGAUAAACUUGAAUCUCAAUUUUCAUGGAUUGAACCAUUUUUGUGUAUACAAUUUCUUGUUGGUUGAAAAAUAAACGUCAACCGAAAUGAUCAUGAUGAUGCAUGUGGAUCAAGAUGCUUCUCCCAAGCAAAAUAAGCAAUGAAUAGAAUGCUUAAACCUUGUGCUAAGCCAUGAAAAAUUGUGUGCUCAAAAGUAAUCCCAGUGGCCUGAAAUAGCCUACAAUUGGGAAAUUGAGCUUGUAAUAACAAGCAAAUAAUAUUAUGACCAUCUUGUAGAUAUAUCUAGGUUAGAUAGUCCACAAUUAGAUGUUGAUUAAGCUCACAAGUACAUUUUCAAAUUCUCAAGAAGAAAAUGGGGAUCUGAGGUCCAGACCUAAAUCAUAAUCAUUCAUUGAGAAGAACUCUGGAUAUGCAAGAUCCAAAAAAAUCUCUUCGAAAUCUUGUUUAUUACCCCUACAAUCUACACGACAUCAUUGAAUUGGGUCCGAGUACAACUUGUACCCAACUUAUGAUUUUGUUUUUCCAUUUGUUGAUUCCAUUAUUAAACAUGCACUUCGAUCUAGUGAGUAUCAUGAUCGCAAUGCUCAUAUUUGUGCUAUUUUGAUUACCUUAUCUCGCUAUCACUUGAUUCAUUAGUUCUAAAGGAAGUUCUAAUCACUACGAAAACAGCUUAAUAACAGUUGAUUAUCCCUAAAACAAAGAGGGCAAACAUAGAAAUAGUGUUUGUACUCAAAAUCCCAAUUGUGUAACACAUGGUUGUAAUCUACCCUGAUCUCAAAAUUUAAAAUUCGACACAAAAAUGAAAUUUGGAAUGAUUAGCAGGGAAAUAAGAGAGAAGCGUGAGCGAAUAUACCCAUGAGGCCUUCGGAUCCGAGUUCGGAGCUUGAAGGGCAGAGGUUGCAAACCCAGAGCAUGGAAGAAGCGGGAAGGAUUUUCCUCUGUGCUGCCUCGUGUCUUCUACUAUUUAUCCAAGCAUUGACUGUUCAAAUAUUGGGUAGUGGGUAAUCUUAAAACUGAUAUAAUCAUAUAGAAAUAACUUUGUUCAAUCUUUCAGGAUCUUAACAACAUGUCUUUCAACAAUAUUUGUGAUGUUGAUUUUGAAUCAUGUCUCUAUUUUAGAUUGAGAGAGAGAGCAUGAUUUAAGCGGGAACUAUCUCAGAUUCUCAGGCAAUUUUCCUAUCUAGCAAAUGGUUAAGACAGAAAAAUGAACCUUCGAUAUAGAAAACAUCGUAAGCUUACAAAAGCCACCAAAUCAAAGUUAUGCUUUUUUAUGUGCUUGUUUGCAACAUGGCAUAUUUAUUGCUUUCCAGGGUAUAAAUGGCUAUCAUGCAAAAUGAAAAAGAAGUUAAAGACUUCCAACAAUGGAGAGCAUACCACCAUCAUAUGUGAUCCAGGGCAACACCAUAAAAGCAUGCUAGAAUUAGAGAGAUGAGACUGGUGGCUAGUGGCAUAUUUUAAUUAGCAAAACCUCCAAGAUAAGUCGACCUCUCUGAUCAUAUGGGAAUUUGCAAAGAAAUGGAUUUCCCGUAGAUAUCUUUUGCAUCAUCAUAGUCAUUAUAAAAAAGGUAAACAUGAUGACAUGUUUCAGGACAGCAUACAUAACACAUGCAUAAACACCCCAAUUGCAAACUCUACAAUGAAAGGGACCAAAAUAAAAUAAAAACUUCCGUUAAACUAAAACAAUUACAAAAUCCAAAAUUCAAUUCUUUUUUUUUUUUUGCAAACUCUUCAAUGAAAUGGACCAAAAUAAAAUAAAAACUUUAGUUAAACUAAAACAAUUACAAAAUGCAAAAUUCAAUUCUUUCUUUUUUCUUGUGUCAAAAUUAAAUUAUUGUAACCUUCAUAAAUGCAUCAAUUUAUGGAUCCGGCCUUAUAUUCCUUUCCCUCUCUAACCGUACCAAAUCAUUCAUGUAUGCUACAGCAUAAAACAAUUGACAAAAACAGGGGAAGGAUAUCAACAGUGCUCGAUUGAGUACAUGAAAUAAUUGCUGGAAUUAAGAAUAUAUACGCAUUGAAAGUAACGAAAUUGCAAUUAACAAGAACACACCUACAUAGGCUUCACUUGCAUCUUGACAUCUAGCUGUAAAAUCCAAUGUUUCUCUUACGGUCAGCUCUGGAAAAUGAUUAUCUGUUCGGUGGAUUUAUGCCCCAAAAUUCAAACACCAGAGUUUCCUAAAAGCAAAAAAGACUGAAAUCAGACAAUCACACGUAGCAUCCGAGCACACAUACAAAACCCUCCAAAAUUACAACAUAAAAGCAAUUGUAGGCUCAUUGGAAAAGUGUAUAUAUAUAUAUAUAUAUAUAUAUAUAUAUAUUUUUUUUUUUUUUGUGGAAAUGCUAAUAGAUUCAUUUUCCAAUCCUCAAAUCUAUUUCCCCACAAAACCAAAAAAAAAAAAAAAUGUUAGUUUGCACCCCUCCGAAGCAAAGGGAAUGAAAGAAAGGAAGAGCAAAAUAAAAGACAAGGGGGAGUCUAAACUUGGACACCAAGCAUAAUAAGUACAACUACUGCUAAAACCAUUUGUCAGAUGAUAUGAAAUAUGAAUCAUGAACAUACACGCAAUAAAGUUUCCCUUAUGGAAUCCUCAAAUAAUCUGGUACAGACUGGAUCACCUAGAGAUUAAGAAAUAAUAGUCCUACUAGUAUAGAAGCAUGCAAAAGAAGCUCUAGGAAUUAGAAAAACAUCGUCCUCCAUACCUGAUGAAAUAUCUCAGGCUGCGAGGUGUAACCAUUUGCAGUUCAUUUAUCUGCAUCCCACACCAUGCAGCUUCACUAAUGACCAACGAAUUCAUACUGCAGUGCAUAGAGAAAAAUGCAACUGCACAUAAACUCUUAACUACAUUGAAAGUCAUGAUACCAAAGCAAUGAUGAAACUUCUUCACAUGAUAUCAUUUUGAACCAUACCAAAGCAUGUCAAUUCUAUGUGAUUUUGUUAAGAGUAAAUGUUCAUUUUCUAUGUUGUAUAUAUCCAUGUACCAACUUCAGAUCUACUAACUUUGAGAGAAAGAGAAACAAUUACAACAUUUUUCUAUGCAUGACGAUAAUAAAUAUGACUCAUAAAUAAUUUUGACCUUAAACAAAAGAAAAUGCUUAGGAAAAUUAAAUUUAACAGAGGUCCAUACCUGUAGCAGGGAAAAGAAUGGAUGUAUCCCUUCUUUUUUUCUUUUUUGGUCUGAAUGUAUCCCUUCCCUUUAAAGGUUGCACUGCCCAAGAAGUAAACUCGUCAUAAAUUAAUCAAAAAAAUGAAAGUAAAUUAUGCAUCACGAUGUAGUCAAUUUGGAUUUUAGAGGAUUUUAAUGGAUUUUUUUAAGUGACAAAUUUAAAAAGAUUUUAAUAGAUUUACAAUUCUAUGUAGAUUUUGGCAGAUUUAUAUGGAUUUCUAUUAUAGAUAUUUAUGGAUUUGAAUGGAUUUCUUAGGAUUUUAGUUGACUCCUACAACAUAAAAUAAAUAUUUUUUUUAGUACACAAUCUGAAAAGAACAUAAAUUGAAAGGAACAUAAACAUAUAUCUAUUGAUAUAGAAAUACAAACCAAUCAAAUAUGUAAAUAGAAUGGGGUAUUGAGAAUAUUGAUCCAAGAGUUUGAAUAAUUGUUAAGGAUAGCAUCUGCUUUAGAACAUCAUAGCCAUUCAAGAAUGAUGAUUUCAAGUUCAAGAACAGGAUAUCCAAUCAUGAAUAAUAAUAAUAUAUGUGAAAGAAUACCAAAUGAAAAUCGAAAUUGAGUAGGACAUAUUUGGGCAGCAAAAUCCUGGGAUAAAAAACAUUUUAACCAUGACCAAAAAAAAAAAACAUUUGAAGCCAAAAACAUGGACACUAAUUUGCAGAAAAAAGGCUUAAAUCAAAUGGGAAAAGCCAAACUUAGAAAAAUCAAAAGUGCAGAUGAGAGAAUCUCAAUUCAGAAAAGCACGAGUAUAAAGCAAAACAAUAUACAACUAUAAUCCAACAACAACAACAACAACAACAACAACAAAGCCUUUUCCCACUAAGUGGGGUCGGCUAUGAAUCCUAGAACGCCAUUGCGCUCGGUUUUGUGUCAUGUCCUCCGUUAGAUCCAAGUACUCUAAGUCUUUUCUUAGAGUCUCUUCCAAAGUUUUCCUAGGUCUUCCUCUACCCCUUCGGCCCUGAACCUCUGUCCCGUAGUCACAUCUUCGAACCGGAGCGUCAUUCGGCCUUCUUUGCACAUGUCCAAAUCACCGGAGCCGAUUUUCUCUCAUCUUUCCUACAAUUUCGGCUACUCCUACUUUACCUCGGAUAUCCUCAUUCCCAAUCUUAUCCUUUCUCGUGUGCCCACACAUCCCACGAAGCAUCCUCAUCUCCGCUACACCCAUUUUGUGUACGUGUUGAUGCUUCACCGCCCAACAUUCUGUGCCAUACAAACAUCGCUGGCCUUAUUGCCGUCCUAUAAAAUUUUCCCUUGAGCUUCAGUGGCCUACGACGGUCACACGACACGCCGGAUGCAUUCUUACACUUCAUCCAUCCAGCUCGUAUUCUAUGGUUGAGAUCUCCAUCUAAUUCUCCGUUCUCUUGCAAGAUAGAUCCUAGGUAGCGAAAACGGUCGCUUUUUGUGAUCUUCGCUAGAUUGCUCCGGUCAUUAGUGUGGAUAAGUAUAUAAAUGGAUAGAGAUAGGAAAGCAAACACAAGAUGUACGUGGUUCACCCAUAUUGGCUACGUCCACGGAAUAGAAGAGUUCUCAUUAAUUGUGAAGGGUUUACACAAGUACAUAGGUUCAAGCUCUCCUUUAGUGAGUACAAGUGAAUGAUUUAGUACAAAUGACAUUAGGAAAUAUUGUGGGAGAAUGAUCUCGUAAUCACGAAACUUUUAAGUAUCGGAGUGUGGUGUCGUCUUGACUUGCCUUAUCUGUCUCAUAGGUAGAUGUGGCAUCUUCUCUGGAAGUACUCUUCCUCCAUCCAGGGGUGGUAUCUUUAACUGGUGGAGAUGCACAAGGUAAUGUAUCAAUUUCACUUGAAGCUUACUUGUAGUUUCAGGCUUGGUCAAGCGCGAUACAAACCAUGUAGUAGGAGUCCCCCAAGUCGCCGAGCUAGGGGGUCUGCUGAAAGAGGUGACAGACAAGGUAAGCAAUCAGAGCUCCGACUGAUUGUUCACCUUCUCCCCAUCUUGCAGCAGCAUGAAGGAUAAAGAGAAGAAAAAUGAGAAGAGAUGAUAUGAGAUACUUUUGCUUUUGAAGAAGUAACUUUCCACAAGCUUAUUCUUGAACUGAGCUGGAGGGUUUUCUGGUUUCCUCCAGAGUAUAAGGCCGACUGAAGAAUUUGAGGGUCAAAACAAGUCCAUCAAAUCUAGAGUACGUUCCACCCUGCUGAUAUGGGAUACUUUUGCUUUUGACAGAGUAAUGGAUGUAUCGGCACGUGUGCUGUUACGCUUGUCUCCACAUGCUUCCUUGUAUCCUUCGCACUUGCCCUAUCUGUUCCUCAAGCAGAUGCGGAAUCUUCCCUGGAAACAUAAGAUGUUGAAGAUGAGUACUCGAGAGCAAUGCCAGGUAAGUAAUCAGGUAAGGGGUUCCAGGCAGUCAGUUCCUGGCUGGAAGCUUGAUUCCAAGUGCUGACUGAUUGCUCUCUUUCUCCUUGUCUUGCAGGUAAAAACAAGGCCAAAGGAAAAGACAGGGAAAAAGCAUGAUAUGGGAUACUCUUGCUUUUAACCCUGAUGAUAUGAGAUAUUCUUGCUCUAGUAUAGCUUGUUUACAGAGGUAUUAUCGGGGGGAAAGAAAGCUGAAUAUUUCGAAAGGCUUCGUUGGGAGUGCCCUCUCAGAUAUGAUGAAGGGUUGAGCAUUUUUGCAGGUCUGCCUGUCCGUUGGGGAUGGAGGUCGACAUAUAUAGGAGUCUCCCUAACAAGUAGUAAUGCUAUUCCUUUACCCUGCUUGGUCAUAGCACGGUAGUAGGGAGCUGCCAGUUUCACAUGUUUUAACUCUGUCAGAGCACUUUGAAAAAGUGGUCUGUGGUAUUUGGCUCUCGAGAUUCGGAGAACGAUGCCUCUUCGAUUUUUGAGAAAGCAAUCAUGCUGGGGGUCUGGCUCUCGAGAUUCGGAGAGCAGUGUCUCUUCAAUUUUUGAGGAAGUAAUCAUGUUGGGAGUCUGGCUCUCGAGAUUCGGAGGGCGGUGCCUCUUCGAUUUUGGAGCAAGCAAUUUUUGUUGGGAGUGUUUGUCUCGAAUGUGAGUAAAGGUUGGGCAUGUUUGCUAGUCUACCUUGCCACGAAGCACAAAGGUUGACACACAGGGACUUUCCAAUUAUCCAGCAAUGGUACUGUUCCUUUACCCUCUCUCUUCGAUUUUGAGAAAGUAGUCAUGUUGGGAGUCUGGCUCUCGAGAUUCGGAGGACGGUGCCUCUUCGAUUUUGGAGCAAGCAAUCUUGUUGGGAGUGUUUUCUCGAAUGUGAGUAAAGGUUGGGCAUGUUUGCUAGUCUACCUUGCCACGAAGCACAGAGGUUGACACACAGGGACUUUCCAAUUAUCCAGCAGUGGUACUGUUCCUUUACCCUUGUGGGUAAUAAUAUGGUAGCUAGACCUUCAAAAUUUAUGUGUCUAAACUUUGUUAGUGCUGUUUCUUUGCUAUUCUUUUACCUUUCUUGGUCAGAGCGAUGUAGUGGGAGCUGCAAGCUUCACGUGCUCAACUUUGGCAAAGUUAUCUGUGGUACCCAUGAGCUAUUGUUGCGUGUGGGAAGUGGGUGAUUGAACAGUAAGAUUCAUGUGCUUUCUACUUCACCAGAAGUCUUCGACAGAAUGCCCAUAAUUUCUGCAAAGCUGAGUGUGCGUGUGACAGGUGCUGACAAGGCUAGAAAAGUAGGUGUCUCUUCGAUUUCUGAGAUCGGCCCUCGUGGUCUCUGAGCAGCCCAGCUUUUGAGAAAGCGAGCGCCUCUUCGAUUGAUUCGGAGAACGAUGCCUCAUCGAUUUUUGAGAAAGCAAUCAUGAUGGGGGUCUGGCUCUCGAAGAUUCGGGGAGCAGUGUCUCUUCGAUUUUUGAGAAAGUAAUCAUGUUGGGAGUCUGGCUCUCGAGAUUCGGAGGGCGGUGCCUCUUCGAUUUUGGAGCAAGCAAUCUUGUUGGGAGUGUUUUCUCGAAUGUGAGUAAAGGUUGGGCAUGUUUGCUAGUCUACCUUGCCACGAAGCACAGAGGUUGACACACAGGGACUUUCCAAUUAUCCAGCAAUGGUAUUGUUCCUUUACCCUCUUCGAUUUUUAAAAAAGUAGUCAUGUUGGGAGUCUGGCUCUCGAGAUUCGGAGGACGGUGCCUUUUCGAUUUUGGAGCAAGCAAUCUUAUUGGGAGUGUUUUCUCGAAUGUGAGUAAAGGUUGGACAUGUUUGCUAGUCUACCUUGCCACGAAGCACAGAGGUUGGCACACAGAGACUUUCCAAUUAUCCAGCAGUGGUACUGUUCCUUUACCCUUGUGGGUAAUAAUAUGGUAGCUAGACCUUCAAAAUUUAUGGGUCUAAACUUUGUUAGUGCUGUUUCUUUGCUAUUCUUUUACCCUUCUUGGUCAUAGCGAUGUAGUGGGAGCUGCAAGCUUCACGUGCUCAACUUUGGCAGAGAACUUUGGCAAAGUUUUCUGUGGUACCCAUGAGCUAUUGUUGCGUGUGGAAAGUGGGUGAUUGAACAGUAAGAUUCAUGUGUUUUCUACUUCCCCAGAAGUCUUCGACAUAAUGCCCAUAAUUUCCGCAAAGCUGAGUGUGCGUGUGACAGGUGCUGACAAGGCUGGAAAAGUAGGUGCCUCUUCGAUUUCUGAGAUCGGCCCUCGUGGUCUCUGGGGAGCCCAGCUUUUGAGAAAGAGAGCGCCUCUUCGAUUUCUGAGAUCAGCCUUCGUGGUCUUUGAGCAGCCCAACUUUUGAGAAAGCAAACGCCUCUUCGAUUUCUGAGAUCAACCCUCGUGAUCUCUAAGCAGCCCAGCUUUUGAGAAAGCAAACGCCUCUUCGAUUUCUGAAGCUCCGUCGAGUGCAGAUUUUUAUAGGGGCUGGCAUUAAGUUCCAAAGCACACUUGAAUCUCCACCAGUAGAAGCUUCAUUCUUGCACUUCUAAGAUCUUGAUUUGUCCGACCUCUUCUCUCUUCAACACCUUUGAAAAUGUCUGGCCCCUCCGACCGUCGUUUUGACUUGAACCUUGUUGAAGAGGCAGCCCCGCCUUCUCCAGACAACAUAUGGCGCCCAUCCUUCGUCUCCCCUACUGGUCCUCUUACCGUUGGGGAUUCCGUGAUGAAGAAUGAUAUGACCGUUGCGGUGGUGGCCAGGAACCUUCUCACUCCCAAAGAUAACAGACUACUUUCCAAACGGUCUGAUGAGUUAGCUGUUAAGGAUUCGCUGGCUCUCAGUGUUCAGUGUGCAGGUUCUGUGUCUAAUAUGGCCCAACGCCUAUUUGCUCGAACCCGCCAAGUUGAAUCAUUGGCGGCUGAAGUGAUGAGUCUCAAACAGGAGAUUAGAGGGCUCAAGCAUGAGAAUAAACAGUUGCACCGGCUCGCACAUGACUAUGCUACAAACAUGAAGAGGAAGCUUGACCAGAUGAAGGAAACUGAUGGUCAGGUUUUACUUGAUCAUCAAAGAUUUGUGGGUUUGUUCCAAAGGCAUUUAUUGCCUUCGUCUUCUGGGGCUGUACCGCGUAAUGAAGCUCCAAAUGAUCAACCUUUGAUGCCUCCUCCUUCUAGGGUUCUGUCCAGUACUGAGGCUCCAAAUGAUCCCCCUCCGGUGCCUUCUCUUUCUGGGGCUCUACCGACUGCUGAGACUUCUCCUAAGCAACCUUUGUGAAGGCUCCCUCUUGUGUGUUUUAUUUGACUCAUGUAUAUGCACAUAUUUGUAGCUUAUCGGGGAUAUCAAUAAAUAAGCUUUCCUUCAUUUCAACGUAUUGUGUUAAAUACACCAAAGCCUUCUUCGCUAAGUUCUUUGAAUUUUCUUUUGUUGAAGCUUGUAUGUUGAAGCUUUCUGAGUGGAGCAUGAAGGUUGGGGUAGUGUUCCCUUAAUUUUCCGAGUGAGGAAAACUUCUCGGUUGGAGACUUGGAAAAUCCAAGUCACUGAGUGGGAUCGGCUAUAUGAAUCUUAGAACGCCAUUGUGCUCAAUCCUGUGUCAUGUCCUUCGUUAGAUCCAAGUACUCUAAGUCUUUUCUUAGAGUCUCUUCCAAAGUUUUCCUAGGUCUUCCUCUACCCCUUCGGCCCUGAACCUCUGUCCCAUAGUCGCAUCUUCUAAUCGGAGCGUCAGUAGGCCUUCUUUGCACAUGUCCAAACCACCGUAACCGAUUUUCUCUCAUCUUUCCUUCAAUUUCGGCUACUCCUACUUUACCCCGGAUAUCCUCAUUCCUAAUCUUAUCCUUUCUCGUGUGCCCACACAUCCAACGAAGCAUCCUCAUCUCCGCUACACCCAUUUUGUGUACGUGUUGAUGUUUCACCGCCCAACAUUCUGUGCCAUACAGCAUCGCCGGCCUUAUUGCCGUCCUAUAAAAUUUUCCCUUGAGCUUCAGUGGCAUACGGCGGUCACAUAACACGCCGGAUGCACUCUUCCAUUUCAUCCAUCCAGCUUGUAUUCUAUGGUUGAGAUCUCCAUCUAAUUCUCCGUUCUUUUGCAAGAUAGAUCCUAGGUAACGAAAACGGUCGCUCUUUGGUAUUUCUUGAUCUCCGAUCCUCACCCCUAACUCGUUUUGGCCUCCAUUUGCACUGAACUUGCACUCCAUAUAUUCUGUCUUUGAUCGGCUUAGGCGAAGACCUUUAGAUUCCAACACUUCUCUCCAAAGGUUAAGCUUUGCAUUUACCCCUUCCUGAGUUUCAUCUAUCAACACUAUAUCGUCUGCGAAAAGCAUACACCAAGGAAUAUCAUCUUGAAUAUGUCCUGUUAACUCAUCCAUUACCAACGCAAAAAGGUAAGGACUUAAGGAUGAGCCUUGAUGUAAUCCUACAGUUAUGGGAAAGCUUUCGGUUUGUCCUUCAUGAGUUCUUACGGCAGUCUUUGCUCCUUCAUACAUAUCCUUUAUAGCUUGGAUAUGUGCUACUCGUACUCCUUUCUUCUCUAAAAUCCUCCAAAGAAUGUCUCUUGGGACCCUAUCAUACGCUUUUUCCAAAUCUAUAAAGACCAUGUGUAAAUCCUUUUUCCCAUCUCUAUAUCUUUCCAUCAAUCUUCGUAAGAGAUAGAUUGCCUCCAUGGUUGAGCGCCCUGGCAUGAACCCGAAUUGGUUGUCCGAAACCCGUGUCUCUUGCCUCAAUCUAUGCUCAAUGACUCUCUCCCAGAGCUUCAUUGUAUGACUCAUUAGCAAUUCUCAUCUUCCCAAAGGAAUAAACCAAGAGCAUGAAUUCAGAAAAAUAUAUAAACAAGGCGAAAACGGGGAGUCUUCUGGGAAAUGCUCUAAACUCAUGGUAAGACUGUUCACCUUCUAUGGUUUGGUGUGAAAAGAAAUUUGAGGGGGGGGGUUGGAUUGUUAAUAGCAUUUGGUAUUUAUAUCACCCACUCUCAAAUCCCUUAAAAUCCUUCAUUCACAAAAAUCCUAGCAAAUCUUUAACAUUUCCACUACACCUAGAUUUGUAUGGACUUUUUAAACUUUUAAUUGACUACCCAUGAAUUUGGAUGUAUUCUUUAAAUCCUCCUAUAUCCUAAUUUGACUACACCAUGAUUUUAAAAUAUUUUAAAAUCCACAUUCAAACUUCUAAUUAACUACUCUGAUUUUAAAGUCCGUUAAAAUACUAUCAAAUUCUAGUUUGACUACACCUCUUACUUUUCCGGCAACUUCUUGCAGUGAAGAAGGGGCGAAAAGAAAUUCCUGGAAAUUAGCUUACCUUACUUCUCCCUUACUCUUUCUCCCUGAACCCAUACCAAACAGAAAUCGCCGAAAAUCCUCUCCCCUACCCUCUGUCACUUGGCGAAUUACAGAAAUGCAGCUGUUGGAUGUGGAAUCAAGCAGGGAAAAUGGUAAUUUCACUACCCCACUCUCACUCCAGAGUCAAAGAUCCGCACCAAAUCUCUCUCACUCUCUCUGUCUCUCUCUGCAAGCGACAUUGCUGUCCCCCUCUGUCGGCUCUAGAAUUCCCUACCCAUCAAUCCAAAUUCGUCCCAAAAUUAAGAUGACAAAAGUGCCCUGCAGCCCUUCAAUCUCAUCCGCGUGAUCCUAACCCUAGAUAGAUAUUUCCGUCAUUUAAGCACCCUAAGGCAUACAAGUAUGUUCAUUCUUGUUACAAGAAAGCAGCAUACUUGAGAGCCUACACUCCUUAUAUCCAAUCCAUGCCUAGUCAAGAAUUUUGGUCACCUACAAAUCACCAACCCGUUGCACCUCCAAAGUAUCAUAAGCAAGCUGGUAGGCCAAAGAAGCUGAGGGCAAGAGAGAAAGAUGAGCCACAACCACCAUCAACCUUAAACAAAUUGCCUAAAUGCUUCAGUAAGGUCACUUGUGGAAUGUGUGGCAAGAAAUGUCAUAAUUGUACAACAUUCGGGAAGAAGCAACGACAAGCUUCACAGGUAAAAGUAGCUUAAUGCUUUCACUUAUCUGCAUUUUUUUUUUUUUUGAAAACUCACUUAUCUGCAUUUUUAGUCACAUAUGGUUGUUAUAAAUUGGGGAAUAUCAUCUCAUAGGCCUAUGUAGAAGCUGGGAGAGGACAAACUUGUGGGACAAAUGAAAUUGGCCAUAACUCACCAACUACUAAAAGUGGGCAAACACAAGCAAUGGUGUGCUCACUGAAAACUUUCGUAUUUUAAAUUUUAGUCUUGUAUUUAUAGACGGAUGUAUGUGUAACUUUUUUAUUGAUCAUUUUGUAGCAUGCCACUGGAGGAAAUAUGGGAAGUGAAACUCCACCAAAUCAGGGACAAGAACAAUCUGCAUCUAAUGCAAGUUCUUUUGACCUAUGUCUUUGUCCCUUUCUCGUGUGUGCUUUUAUAACCCAAUGCCAUCUGUUAAUUUUUCAGGUUUUUUAUUAUUUAUUAUUUUUAUUAUUUGUAGGUUUCUAAAAGGCGUAGUGUGAAAUGAAAUGCAAAAGGCAAGUCAGUGCACAAUUCAAGAAAGCCACCUGAAAACUGUAGAAUCUGAAGGAAAUCAUUUGGAAAUUUAGACUUUUUGUUAAUGUCAAUUUUUUUUUUUUUUUGAUGAAGACAAUGUUGUGAACUUUAAGCCCUGUUUUUUAUUUUGAACAUAAUUAAGCAAUGAAAUAAUAUUUUUGAUAUGGUAGCAAUCAAAUGAUCAGGCAUUGCAUUCUGUUAUGGUUGCUCAAAAUAUGUUUAAGAUACAAUAGUGGGUGUGUUCAGUUUAGCAUGUCACAAAAUCAAAUUUUAUAUGGGCUCUGUAAUAUAAGAAACGGGUUGAGAUUGGUGCCAUAAAUGGAGUUGUAGAUGCAUAUGCGCUACUCGAACACAACUAUCCACAUGAAUACUCUCUAACAAAAUUUUAAGAGUUUUACUAAAGAAAAGUAAAAACUUGUUAAAAGAUCUUAAAAUGACAUAAAUAACCCCGAACAAAGCCAUGUGUGAGGCACAUGACUUAUUUUGGAUGGAAAACUUAACGGAGUAAGAGUGAGAUGACAAAUUGAUGAUUUCGACAAGUUGGUAUGAUAAAUUGCUUAAAAUUUUAGUUUAUAUGACACAUUGAAAAAGAUGUACAAGUUCAUAUUAUAUUUCAAAAAAAUUCCUUGGAAAAAUUAUGGUCCCUACGUCCAACCAAAUAAUAAGGUUUUUGAUGAGAUAAUGCAUGCCAACUUGAGCAUUAUAAUGUUCAUGAUUUUGUUUGAGUCUAUACAUAUAUUUACUCCGUAAACGUAGAUUAGGUCGGUUGGUAAGCCAUUGUAUCUGUCACGUUUUUAUAUUUAAGUUUAAAUUAUUCUCUCGUAACUCGUAAGUUAUAGCUUCUAAUACCGUCUUAACAAAACUAAAUAUACUUAUUUUUAGUGGGAUAUAUUUUGCUUAAGUAUGCAUGUUUGCAAGAUUAAAUGAAAACCUCCAAAACGUAUGGGGUUAAAUUGAAUUCUAACCACCACCACCACCCCCAUAUAAUUAGGGCAAAAGGCGAAUUUAGGAGGGCUCCUGUUACAGCCCAUCCAUAAUUUUUUUUUGUUAAAUGUGUAACGAUCAAAAUGCCCUUAGAGGGUAUGUGUCGACUUUCAUUAACUUACUGGACAGGUCACGUGUGACAUAUUAAUUAGUAUAUUCUGACAGCAUUCGUUAUUAUGAAUGACUGAUCAUAAGCAUAGCGAAAAUUAGAACUAGAAGCAAGAUUUUAUGAAAUAGUAUAAAUCAUUUUAUUUAAAGUAAUGGAAAAGAUAAUAACACUAGAUAUAAAAUAUGAAUGAUAGAAUAAAAUAAUUUUUAAAAAAAAAAGAUGAAAAGAUGAGAGGUGGAGAAGGAUCGGGAAGAAACGAAAAGAAGGGAAAAGUGGAGAAGGGGGAAAGAAACUUUUCUUCUUCUUCCUUCUCCUUCACUCACGGUAUCCCUUUCAAACUAUUUUCAUCAUAAUUUCCUCAUACGAUAACGAAAUCACAUGAGGUGGGAAGCUAUAGUUUCGUAGCAAGGCCGUCUUCAAUCUUACCAUACCCACCCUUUCAAAACCAUUGUAUAAAGAAAACGAGGUCCAAAUAUAUUGACGUGUUAUGGCGACUUUUCUCUGAUUUCGGGCAAUCCCACUGGAAUCUAGCUCGACCCAAGUGAAAAUAAUGAUUUUCCCCUCGUGGGCUCUCCUCUAGCGUAAGCAUUUUUCCAAGGUUUUAACUUUUAGUUUUGGGGUCAAUUCAUGGUUUCGAAUUUUAAUUCGAUAUUUUGUAUGCAUAUUUGAGAUGAUGCUUGUUGUAUUGUUUAGGAGUUGAAUCGGAACCGGGUAGUCAUGUUUGGUUGCAUAUAUAAGGAAGAACAUUGAAAUCCUAACCUCAAUUCGAUUCUCUUUAGAAAUUUAAGGGUUGGGUUUGUGUUAUAAGCAUUAAUGUUAUUCCAUAAUCGAGGCCAGAUACGUUGGAAUAUUUUGUGUGCCAUAUUUGUCCUACCCUUUAUGCACUGAAAAGAACAUUGCUGAAAUUGUAUGUGUUGCAGCCUAGGUUUGUCACGCCCCGAUCCCGACAUACGUUCAUGAUGGACACGUGACGUCAUCAAAUAACCAUAUAUCUAACAUACCCGUCUUUGGGAUAUGUACCAAGCACAUCCCAUACCUCGAAUUGCGUAGUCAUUUUUUUUUUGUACACUUUAUGGCUGCAUCUAACCUCCCGUUAGACUGCCUACGUACCCUCAAUAGGGAUCAAGCCAUUCGUAGUUCGUCAUUCACUAAUUUAGACAUUUAUUCUAGUACGUUCUAACAGGAAUACGUAGCAUUCUGUAAUUAAUUAUUAGAACUUGACAUGCAUGACAUUACCAAGUUCAAGGCUACAAAACAAACCAACAUGCCAUUGUCAUUCCACAAUCUUGUCAAUCGAUCAAUUCAUAAAUCAAAGAUACAUGAUCUUAGCAUUUAAUUAUGUUAAUCAAUGAAUGCAAUAACAUGUCAUUUCACAAAAUUAACCAAGGAACUCUAUAUAAUUUCCUACUUGGAUUAUGAGCAAUAACAUGGUAAAUCUAUUUUAUAUUCGCAAGGUCUAUUGUGGAUAACUCUCAUUCAUUCGAAUCUAGGCUUCUAGACUAACCUUAUGGGAAUGAGCAAGAGCAAGGAUUCCGGACCACUCAACAGAAUCCAACAACACUGAGUUUCGGACCACUCAACGAAACCAAAAUAUCAAGUGGUUUCUUAUAAUCUAUCCAGGCCUGUCAUAUGUAAAAUCAGUGCCAACAUCAUGGAAAUGGUGCACCGACCAAACAGAACUCGGAUAAGCUGCGAAGCUCGGGUGAGUGACAAUAAUACAAGUAUGUGAUAAUCAAUAAAAACAAAGACCAUUGAUCAGAGUUUAUAAACCUCAAUAUAAGUUCGUAAAUAUAAAAACAUAGUCAAGUCUCUAACAACUCUGAAUGAGUCAUCCAGACAUCCAACGGCUUUUCCCAUUCAAACCACCAAGAUUCUCAAAAACCAUCAUUCAUAUGUACAUUAAAAACUAGGGCUAGAGGGAUGUAGUUCAGCCGAAGCCUACAUAAGUAACCAAACACGAAGUGGCCACCCAAAGCGGAUUAACCAAGCAGAGCCACCCCUGAGAAAGUAACCAAGUAGGCAAUGACCCUCCAAUGCGGAUUAACCAAGCAGAGUCACUCAUAUAGUUGUUAGGAAGUGAUCACCCAAUGCAGAUUAACCAAGCAUGAUCACUCAUAAGCAUACAUGGCCAUAAGGAUCGCCCAACGCAGAUUAACCGAGCGCGAUCCACAUAUAGUAUGGUCCCCCAAUGCGGAUUAACCAAGAAGGACCACUAGUGACCCCCCCAAUGCGGAUUAACCAAGCAGGGUCAAGAUAAUUAGGUAGGUAGUGACCCCGAACGCGGAUUAACCAAGCAAAGUCACACCUACAGAACUGUUAGGCAGUGAUCACCUAACGCGGAUUAACCAAACAUGAUCACCCCUAAGUAUAAAUGGCCAUAAGGAUCACCCAACGCGGAUUAACCAAGCGUGAUCCAUAUAUAGUAUGGUGCCCCAUGCGGAUUAACCAAGCAGGACCAUCGAUAUACCAUUGCUCCAUGGUGCAGGAAAUUUAACACAUAAUCUACCCACAACUCAACCCCUAUGGGUUACAACGUAGUCACUACACCAUCAACUUCUCAUGGCCACCAACUAAUACAUCACACAAUCAUAUAAAUUCUACAUAAUACUUCUAAUAGGAUUCUAAGAUCACAUAGUCAUAGCAUUUAUCAUUCUUAUCAUUCACAUUGCUAAAAAGAGAUAAUUAAACACACGUAUAUUACAAUCAUCAAUACACAAGCCAAAUCACGUAUAGCUAAAUAUAUAUAUAUAUAUAUAAAAAAUCACAUUUCAAAAGAAAUUACAUUUAUAAAACCAAGUCAUAUUCACAAAUGAUAUUAAUAUAAGAAAUUAAGGUAAUAACCAUAUCACAUAUAUUCAAAUCACUCUCUAACCAAUGGUUCACUAGACUUCACUUAGUCUCCCGUAGUACCAAUUUUAGUAUCCAAAACGUUUCGGGACAUGUUGACCAAAAGUCAACUCUCGAUCAACGGUAGGGUUCGCAACUCCACGUAAUUCAAUCCGAAAGAUCUGCCGAUCCGAUUUUGGAUCCGUAAGUUCUUAGGUCCUUAUUAUUCUCAUAGAAUAACAUACUAAAUUCUCAUUGAGAUCCGACGGCCGGAUCUCCGCCAAUUUCUAGAAUUAGGUGGCGGUCAACAAUAAGUUUUACAAACUUAGAAAUUCAAUUCGGGAAAAUCCGUACUUCGGAUUCCCGAUCCGUCAAUUUCUAAUGUCCUAAAAUAUUAUGUGUUAUAAUGCACUAAAGUUUGGAGACGAUCCAACAGUUGGAUCAUCAAUUCGUAUAAUGAUCAAGUGAUGUAUCAUAAUGAAACUAGGUUCAAUUAAUCAAAUCACAUUAUUCGGAUAUCAAAUAUGAAAUUAGGGCAUCUAAUUGGACUUAGAAAGACAUCAUCGGUCCACCGCCGCACGCGCCGCCGCACACGGCGGCCUGUCGUCCCAACUUGCAGGAAAAUUCAACUAACUCCAAAAAUUAUCAAAUUUUACAGGCAAGUAGAUUUCAAUAAGAGGAACAACUUUCAUACCUGGUCCAAAGUCCAAUUCAGCCGGGAAGUGGCCUGAAAACUCCUCCAUCAGCCAGAACCCUAGAAAUUAGGUGCGGUUCAAUUCAAUGUCAAACUCAACUCCACCGCCUCCAAUGUUGAUUGGGCUUUGUUCCUGGACUCUAAAGACACUUGAGGGUGGUGAUGGUUGACGGAAAUCCCUUCGAAAAUAGGCGGAUCGCCGUCAUGGCUUCGGAACACCCACUGUCAGUUCUUCACCAAAUUACCCUAAAUUACUUCGAAUAGGGAGUGGUGAGAUAAAGCUUGGGCAUGUGAAUUCGGUCCAAUUUGAUGGAAAUCCAAUGGAAAACCAUCAGAAAAUAUGGUGGAACAAGUCGGGUGCGCGGGUCAAGGGGAAACUCGAUUUCCCCCUCAUUCUCUCCUUCCCUCAUUUCCCCUUCUUUCUUCCUCCCUCAUUCGCUACCUCCUUUCUCUAUCCUCCUCCCCUUGGCCGAAACUCUCCCCUUUUCCUCUUGAAACUCCCUUCUUCUUUCUUUUCUUCCCUUUUUUUUAAUUGGCUGCUGCCUAACCUUUUUUUUUUGUUUAAAUCUGAUUGGUCAUUUCCCUCUUCUAACCAAUUGGUCCUUUAACCCAAAUAUCGGUAUGGGCCUCUUACUCACAAAGUGGGAGAUAAUUAAUUCCUAAAAUCUAUAGUAUCACAACUUUAAACGUCGGUAAUUAUACUGUUAUAAUCCGAACUCGCAAACGGCUUUCGCUUGUGCGUUCAUGGGAUCGAGCUCUAUUCAGAAAUAUAAAUUGUGACCUCGAAAGAUCUACGGAUUUUAAAUAAUUAAUUUCCAAACUUCAAACUUCGUAACUGGUUUAAUUAAAAUCUAAAUUCAAAUAAAUUACUAUAAAUUCCCAAAAACAACAUAAAAUUUCAAUAAUAAUAAUGCGUGGAUUAUAACAGUGAAAUCCGGGAACGAGAUUUCACAAGGUUUGUGCAGUUAAUUAGAGUUCUAAAACUACUGAAUGGUUCUUUAUUCUUCCCAUGGCAUAUUUAUUCUUCCCAUGGCAUUGCCAGAUGUUGAAUAUUUGAUUGGACAAUGUUAUUAUUAGAGUAUUAUAUGACUUUUGUUUUGGCUGUGGAUUUAUUGGUGGUUCUUUAUUUCAUUCUUUCAGCGGAUGAAGAGCUUAAGACUGCUAGGAAUUUACAUUUUUAUUUUGAGGCACUUGAAUAAACAAUUUGGUUUUUCUAUAAUAAUAAUUAAGGAUCAUUGAUGGUUGGGCUAGUGUACUAGUUACGAAUAAUUAUAUGAAUGUUAUAGUUUAUGGAUUGCAUGUUAUUCUAUGGCCUGAGAACUAGUUCCUUGGUUAAGAUUAAUGGAUUAUCAAACAUUAUACAUAUUCUCUAAUUGAAUACAUUACUAUGUUUAUGAGUUCAAGAUCAAUUUAUUAUGGCUGGUAUAGAUAUCAAUAGUUGACAUAUCCAAUUUGGUGUGGUUACUUUUCGUUUAAGUAUUUCACGCUUAUACGUAUCAUGUUGUUUGCUUAAAUGAUACAAUGGAUGUCCUAUUAGGUGUAAAUGUCUACAUGCAUGCCUAUUCUGAAACCAAAAUCAAGUUGAUGGUUCAUGUUUUGAAGUUAUAUAUAUGUGUGAGUGUGUGUGUGUGUGUGUGUGUGUCUCAUAUGCCUAGACAAGCUAUACAAAGAAAGUAUACCGUUUCUAUUAGUUAUUCUGAUUACAUGUACGUAGUAAUGACUUGCAGUGGUGAUAUGAGUUUAUUGAAAUGAUAAACCACAAAUGACUUGAUCCCUUUAGGGUAUGUAGGCAGUCUAACGAGGAGGUUAGAUGCAGCCAUAAAGUAUACUAAAAUUACUACGCAAUUCAAAUCUUGAGUUAUGCUUUGUACAUAUCCCGGAGGCGGGGUAUGUUAGAUAUACAGAUACUUGGUGACGUCACGUGUCGAUCCUGGACAUAUGUCGGGAUCGGGGCGUGACGGCUCAUUUCAAUCAUUUUGUACCCCUACAUAUUAUUGUGAUUCAAUGAAGCUCCCCAUUAAAUGAAUUGCACCAAAUAGGGGAGGCCUUCGCGGGAUCUCUGUGUCCGAAGCCGACAAACACAGAGAUCCAAACCACUCAUUUUAAAUUAUAUGGUUCUUAUUAGCUCAUUCUAAUGGCCUUCCUCACACAAACCACUGAGUUUAGAUCUCCCUCUCUUUAACUACCUUGGAUAUGGGGUCACUCUUUAACCACCACCACCCACCCACAACAAAAGUACAACUAUAAGCAAAGUUGUAUGAGGGGUCGCUCUAAAAUUGAUCUUAAAAUUAAAUAGUCCGUCGUUCCAAAAAUUGUUUUGGCAAUAUUGCAUUUAAAAUUAUCUGACAAUAUAACAUUAUUCCGAAAAAAAUUUGUAUAAAUUAUAAGUUCAAACAAAAGACACUAUAUAGCUUAUUCUUGACUAUUUUAGGUGUAUAUAUACUCCAUUGCUGAAAAUUCUACUAUGCUCAUCAUAAUUCUUGCCAAUUGACCAGGCAAUUGGGUUAAAUUACCUUUGACCAAAAAUAUGAUGGUCCGUCGAUGCCAAAUUGGGCAGGCAAUUGUUGGGCUCCAAGAAGCUCGUUGAACUACCCUUGCAGCCCGUUGGCAAUAAGUAACGACGGGCCUGACGUCAAGUAGCUGGAGGCUGACCUUAACCCCGUGCACCAAUGUUGAACCAAACAGCUCUAAUUUGGGCGCCCCACAACUAUUGGAUUUUCAACAAUUUGUUGAUCCGGACUAUUAAAUUUCAAAAGAUACAAGUAAUUUAAAAGAUGAUGUUGUGCCACGUGGCACUUUGUGGCGCAUUUGAUAUUAAAAUUUUGAAAAAUUCAACGGUCAGGAUUAAUCCCACGGUAAAAAAUACAAAAAAAAAAUUAGAAAAAAUUUACAACAAAAAAUAUCUAAAAAAACUUUCAAAUUUCACACUUAAACAAAAAUCUGAGCUGAUAUUACUAAUAGAUAAAGACACGUGGUGCGAUGAAAGUGGUUGAAAAUGGAAAAGUAUCCUCUCCGGCUCCCUUCCACCAAAUCCACCAAGUUCAAAGAUCCGAGUAAUUUAAAUUUGAUCAAACGGCUACAAACAAAGUUCACUAUAAAAGUUAUAAUAGAUUUGAUCAAAUUUCAAGGGCCGAUCCGAACUUGUGAAUUUGGCGGAAGGGAUCCGGAGUCAUUUCUGUUGAAAAUCUCAUCGCCUCUCCUUUCAGCCCUUCAAGGAAAACCCACUUCUUGGGCCGUCUUCAACCACGUAAAGCUUCACUCUUAUAUUAGUUUCGGUGUUUAAAAUUGUUGGGAUUUGCAGUUUUGGAUUGAAAUUUGUGUUUUGGGAUUUGUUGGGUGCUCGCAUGUGUUAAUUUGGAAAAUUUUAGUUGUGGAUUAUGGGGAACUGAUGUAAUGGCGAUCCCGUUUCAUGUAAGUUGCUUUUGUUGAUGUGUUUUUGGUGAAAUAAUGACGAGGAGGGUUGGAUAGUUUGGCUGGUUUUAAUUUUUUUUUGUGAAAUUAGAGUGGGAUCAAUCAAGGUUGAGACUUUUUAAGGUAAGAGUUAUUGUGAAAGUUAUGUUUUUACAAAUUUUUGGGCAAAUUUUGUGACUUGGUGGAUUUGGAAUUUUGGUUAUAUUAGAUAUAUGUGUAAAGAAAAUAGUUGAACUGCAUGAAGCUUGAGGGGUAAUGAGGGUUUUAGGUAUUUAGUGACAUUCAGGCCAUGCUUGAUGUCUAUUUGAUGUCGGUGUAUCGGAAAUGCUUGAACAAAGAAGAAAGGUGCUCGAAGAGCUGCAGUAGUUAACUACUUGGUUUGAUUAGAUUGCUAUGUUAAUCAAAAUGUCCCCUGUAGUAUGUUUAUAGGGUUAAAGUUUUACUUUAGCGUUCUUUAGCGACUUGGUUUCAAAAGUUCACUUUCCUUGGUCUGUGAGGCCAAUGGUAGAAUGAUCAUGGAAAAAUGAAAUUGUUCUGUCUUAAUUUUGUCUGGUAAGAGCGGGUAUGCAUUCUUACAGGACUCGUUUGUCAUUCUUUUAAGCUGUUUAAUGUGCUCAUUUCAGUAUGCAUCAUCCAAAGUCUUUAACCGCUCAAAGUAGCACUACAAGGGCCAGGGAGCUAUCAUCUGUUUGUAAAUAAGAGCUAUAGACAUGUCCUAUAAGGUCAAUAGGUCUCAGUUGCAUAUCUAACUUGUUUCUCAUGUGUUUUCAUCCUAAAGGUUAGAAAAGGUGGGUGCUCUAGACACGCAAGGAGUGGUUCAUCAACACCAAGGGAUGGCGGCUGAUCUCAUGUAUGUGGUUACAUGCUGGAGUUUUCCAUGUGCUUGCCAAUAUGCUGAGUCUUGUAUUCAUUGGAAUUCGGCUUGAGCAAGAAUUUGAAUUUGGUAAGCAUCUGGAUUUUUAGCUUCAUGUAUGUUAUCAUGCAUGUAUGGCCACAUCCAUAAGUGAUUGUAGUAAAAGAUAAUACAUAUAUAUAUAUAUAUAUAUAUAUAUAUAUAUAUAUAUAUAUAUAUAUAUAUAUAUGAGCAAAAAGCCGUCUCAAAGAAGGAGAACGAAGCUUUAAUCUCAUUGGCUACUACAUAAUGGAUAAAAAGGUCGUACCUAGUGCACAAGGCUCCUGCUUUACGCAGGGUCUGGAAGAGGUGAAUGUCGGCUAGCCUUACCACCAUUUAUGGAGAGGCUGCUCCCAAAUCUCGAACCCGAGACCUACCGCUCAUGAGCGAAAGCACUUGCCAUCGCACCAAGUGCGACCUCUAGCUACUACAUAAUGGAUGCAUCAAAAAAAAAAUCCACACAUAUAUGACAUUAGCGUAAAAUUAUAUGAAAUGGGUUCAGUCUAAAACUUGUAACAAGCUAAGUUGUACAUUUCUUGAAUUCAUCUGGCAAAAGGCUAGUUCUGUCUUAGCUAACUUUGUAAUAUACUUCUACUAAAGCAUGCCAACAAUCUAAGUUUAAGUUCCUAUUACUACUAAGGCAUUCCAUCUUUCAACUCUAAAUCUUAAGAAUAAUCAGAAAUCCACCAACUUUAAAGAUAUUUGACCCUCCCACAACAUGGAAUUGAUGGUUUACAAACACAGUAUCAAACAGAAAAUAGUAUUGCAUAUGAACAUGAUUUGAACGAAAUAGGAGCCAGAAGAAAGAAAUGCCCACCAUCCUGUCAUGAACUUUUUUGAUGCCCAACUUCUAACAAUUUUGGAAAACGUCUGCACAGAGAUAAAAAGAGAUUAGAAUGAUUGUUAUGAAGAUUAAGAAAAAGGAGCACAAACACUCAAAGCAUCGGAAAACUUAUGCCCCAACUUAGGCCACCAAAAAGUAACAAACUUUGACACACUGUAACCGUUUCUUCUUCUCCUUCCGAUUCAGAGUGUAUUAUGCGUCUUGCCUAGUUGUAUUAUGUUGAAAAGUUGGACUGGGCAUUCAUAUGGCUUCCCUUUCUCCGGCCAAAACCAAACAACAGCUUGCUCAUCCCCUGCAAUUAAAAUACAACAAAAAAAAUCAAAAGAAUAAGUUAAAAUUUAAAAUCUCAUCUGGGUACGUUGGGUUCGAUAUUUUAUCAAUUGUUGUUUCUGAGUUGUGUUUUUUGCGGAUUUUCACAACCAAAAAUAAACCUUAAUACCCAGACCUAAAUUCUUGUUCGGAUUUUAUUAGAUUUUUUAUACCGUAUAACUUACCAAUUUCCAUUGUGUUUGAGAAGAUAAACUACUUUUGUAAAGAACUUUAGAAUUCUAAAUUAGGAUAAAUUGCUUAUCUUUAGCAAAAUGGAUUCUACUGCUAUUCUUCACAGGCGACGGUGAAUGUUUGGGUGCCGCUGCUGGUUGGGAUUGCGCUAGUUGUUGCACACGCGGCGUUGAGGUGGACCGAUGGGUUGCCGUGGACAAAGAGAGCUCUGCGUUGUUGACUGGUUAUUCGGCUCGAUUAUGCGAAUUCAUGGAUUUGGAUGAAUCAGUGAUGGCGGUGGUUUGGGUAAACUAUUUGGAGAAACAAUUUACAGCGUCACACGGUGGGGAAGCAUCCAGAAAUCAGGUGGGUCGACAGACUGAAACGGUGGGGCAAGGAAGAAUUCAGAAAUGAAGUAAAAGACCAAAGAAUAAUAAGGGGGUGUAUUCAAUUAUUGGUAUUUUAAGAGCUUUUAAUUUUUUUAAUGAAUAUAGGGUGUAUUCAAUUACGAUUUUAAAAAGGUUCACAAUAUUACAAAUGUAUUCAAUUAGUAUUUGAUUUUAAAGAAUUUUAGAAAGUUGAGUAAUUAUAGGAAAUUUGAGAGAUUUUGUAGUAUAUUUUAAGCAUCUAUAAAUCUCUUAUCUUCCCAUGAGAUUUCAAGGUAAUUAAAUUAAAAUUUUACAUAAAAUCUUUACAAAUCAAUUAAACUUCAUAAAAAUCCAUGAAUUUAUAAACCUUUUAAAAUCUCAUCAAUUCUCAAUUGAAUACACCCUUUUAAAGCAGGACUCAAGAUGGAAUCUCAUUGUACAAUAUACAGUAACGACAGAAACAGAGAAAGAAUAAAAAUGGAAUAACACUGUAGAAUAAACAGUGUUUUAGGCAAUUUUCUCUUUUAGUGUGUGUAUAUAAUUUGCAUAGUAUGUAACACUGAGAAAAAUGACACGUAAUAUAACAACAACAAAACACUAAGAACUACUAAAUCUUAUUCUAUUAUGCAUGGGUUAGCCGUAUAAAUUCUAAAAUUUCACUAAGCCGGUUUGGUGAUAAGUUUUUCGUUACCAUCGUACUCCAUAUCUUUCUUACCAUUUCUUCCCAAAUGUUCUUACUUCCUCUACCCUCUGAACUAACCCAAGAAACAUAAAUUUUUUUUUUUUUAAAAAACCCCAAAAAGUAGAAAAAAAAGAGGCAAACUUCAGAACCCAUUUCAUUCAAUUUUUCCCACAUUUUGAUUUCGAUGAGAUUCGAAUCAAAACCCAAAUGGGGUUUCUGGGUCUGAAUCCAAAUUUUUGAUUGAAGACAAAAAAAACGAAAAAAGGGGAGAUUUUUAUGGAGAGAGGCCAACCUGCUGCGCCGAGCAGCUUAGAGAUAAAGGUGGUGAGUCCACGGCGGAGCGACAACGUUGUGCACCCGGCGGGACAGCCUCCGGAGACGACGACGCCGCGGCAAUCGUUCAGCGACUACAGCCCGUUGAAGAGGUGGGUGUCAUGGCUGGUGCCGUCGAUUGUGGUGGCCAACAUUGUGGUUUUUGUGGUGACCAUGUUCGUGAACGAUUGCCCCAAGAACUCCGACACUUGCAUUGGUCGGUUCCUCGGCCGCCUCUCCUUUCAGCCCUUCAAGGAAAACCAUGUAAAUUUUUCACUCUUUUAUUUGUUGGGGUUUGGAGUUUUGGAUUGAAAUUUGUGUUUUGGGAUUUAUUGGGCAUUUACAUGUGGAAAUUUGGAAAAUUUUAGUUGUGGAUUGUGGGGAACUGCCGUAGUGGCGGCGAGCCCGUUUGUGUGUUUUUUGGUGAAACUAUGAUGAGGAGGGUUGGAUAGUUGGAUUGGUUUAGUUGUGAAAUUAGAGUGGGAUCAAUCAAGGUCGAGACUUUUUUAGGUAAGAGUAAUUGUGAAAGUUAUGUUUUUACCAUUUUUUAGGUAAAUUUUAUGACUUGGUGGAUCUAGAAUUUUGGUUAUAUUACAUAUAUUUGUAAAGAAAACAGUUGAACUGCAUGAAGCUUGAUGUAAUUCUGCUUUUAAUCAAUGUUGGACUUGGGAACCCUAGUGAAUAUAGAAGUGAAUCUACGAUUAGUUGAGAAACUUAAGGGAGCUUGACGGGUAAUGAGGGUUUAUGUAUUUAGUGACAUUCAGGCAAUGCUUGAUGUCUAUUUGAUGUCGGCAUAUUGGAAAUGCUUGAACAAAGAAGAAGGGUGCUUGAAGAGCUGCAAGUAGUGAACUACUUGGCUUGAUUAGAUUGCUAUGUUAACCAAAAUGUACCCUGUAAUAUGUUACAGGGUUAAAGUUUUACAGUAGUGUUCUUUAGCGAUUUAGUUUCAAAAUUUUCGUUCGACUUUCCUUGCUCUGUGAGGUCAAUGUUAGAAUGAUUAUGGAAAAAUGAAAUUGUUUGUCCUAGUAUCUCUGGUAAGAGCGGGUAUGCGUUCUUCAAGGACUUGUUUGUCAUUCUUUAAAGCUGUUUAAUGUGCUCAUUUCAGUAUGUGUCAUCCAAAGUCUAUAACUGCUAAAAGUAGCACUACAAGGCCGAGGGAGCUAUCAUCUGUAUGGAAAUAAGAGCUAUAGACAUGCCCCAUAAGGGUCAAUAGGUCUCAGCUGCACAUCUAAGUAUCUAACUUGUUUCUCAUCUGUUUUCAUCCUGAAGGUUAGAAAAGAUGGGUGCUCUAGACGUUCAGAGAGUGGUUCAUCGACACCAGGGAUGGCGGCUGAUCUCAUGUAUGUGGUUACAUGCUGGAGUUUUCCAUGUGCUUGCCAAUAUGCUGAGUCUUGUAUUCAUUGGAAUUCGGCUUGAGCAAGAAUUUGGUUUUGGUAUGCAUCUGGAUUUUUGGCUUCAUGUAUGUUAUCAUGCAUGUAUAGCCACAUCCAUAAAUGUUUGCAGUAAAAGAUAAAGCACACAACAUAAAUUGUAGAAUAAUAAAUUAGUUACCAAGUGCAAAACUUCUUUCAUAAAUCUAGAAGAGACACUUUCCGGAUGGUUUCAUCUACCUUGCGAUUAAUCUACAGAGGAUUUCUCUGCAUUUGUUUAUUGAAUUGUAAUCCUAGAGUAGUGGUCAUGUAGUGCUGGUUGCAUUAUAACUUUCACCAGUAUGUUGCUAGGUUUGAUGGAAACAAGAGGACGUUUUAUUCAGCGGUGAGCAAAGAAAAGAGUUUAUACACCGAAGAUGGGGUUCAAACUUUAGUUUUAGACAUAGUAUUUCAUUUUAUAGAAUAAAAUUGCUUGAAACAAAAGCUGAGAGAUUAUUUCAGUUUUCCAUCACAUCUGUGGGAACAAGGAUUGUUUUGGAUAUCCAGUACAUGUAGACAUGGUUCCUCAUUUUGAAAUGUUUCAAGAUGCCGUCUAUUUGAAAAGAUUGAAAAAAUAAUAGUUUGAUGCUGAUCUACAUCAUGUACGGUUGUUUUGAUGAACUGUUUUAACUAAUUGGUUUGAAAUUCUAAUUUUUUUUUUAUUUGUUCUUCGGCAGUUCGAAUUGGUUUCCUAUAUUCUCAUGUCUGGUUUUGGUGGGAGUUUGCUUUCAGCUCUUUUUAUUCAAUAUGGUAUUUCUGUUGGUGCUUCUGGUGCACUUUUUGGUUUACUCGGAAGCAUGCUUUCAGAGCUCAUAUCAAAUUGGACAAUGUAUGUAAAUAAGGUAAAUAAAGUUUCUGUAUACUCAACGAUGCACCUCUUUAUAGUAUGUGCACGACCCUUUGAUCUUACAGUUUCAGAUUUCAAUCCGCAGUUGGCAGCAUUGCUUACUUUCCUUUUCAUCAUCAUAAUAAACUUAGCAGUGGGAAUUCUACCACACGUGGACAACUUUGCUCAUAUUGGAGGAUUUGUCUCCGGAUUUCUUCUUGGAUUUUUUUUUCAUUUUGAACCAAAUGUUACAAAUUUCAAUCAAUGCUCUCGAGUCUUGAACCAAAUGUUUUUUCAUUUUGGAUGAUUGCCAAAUGUUUCCAGAGAGCUUCUGAAGUCAAGGUGCUUUAAGGGUCUUGGUCCUUGGCGUACCGAAAAUGCCAGACAAUAGGGCCCAGUAGUGGAAGUAAGCUAGUGAAGUCGUCUAAAAAAACAAGCCAAAGUUGUUCCUCCUAUGAUCCUAUCCUUGCUUUUCAGUGCAGUGUUCGUUUGCUGUAGGAGCUCCCUGCAGUCGGGACUCGGAGGGAAUGCGACGGAUAGGCUGGCGCUGCUUGCCAUCAAAGCUCAAAUAAAGCAAGAUCUCCAUAAUUACAACGUGAUGAGCUCCUGGAACGAAUCCACGCACUUUUGCAUGUGGAAUGGUGUGACGUGCAGUCGACGACAUCGUCAAAGGGUCACUACCCUAGACCUGCAAUCUCAAAAUCUGGUAGGGAAACUAUCCCCAAACAUUGGAAAUCUAAGUUUUCUAAGGGAGCUGUGGCUGUUAAAUAACAGCUUCAGUCAUGAAAUUCCUCCACAAAUUGGGAAUUUGCGUAGGUUGCAGGUAUUGCGAUUAGACUUUAACUCGUUUAGUGGCAGUAUUCCACACAAUAUAUCAUAUUGCUUCAACCUUAUCCAUGUGAAUUUCACUCGCAACAAGUUGGUGGGUAAAAUUCCUUCAGAAAUUGGAUUGUUGUCGAAGCUGCAAAAACUUGCAUUAGAAUAUAAUAAUGUAACGGGACAGGUCCCUCCUUCCUUGGGGAACCUUUCGUCUCUCCAGGGACUAAGUCUUCUUAGUAAUAACUUGAUGGGAAACAUCCCUAGUUCUCUUGGCCGGUUGAAAAAAUUAACCUUCCUGGGAUUGGGGGUAAAUCAGUUGUCUGGUAGCAUCCCUUCCUCCAUUUAUAACCUAUCUUCUCUUGUUACAUUUACCAUGCCAUUUAACCAAAUUCAAGGGAGUAUUCCAUCAGAUAUUGGCAAAAAUAUUCCUAAUCUUGGAUUCUUUAACGUCCACAAAAACCAACUCACUGGGUGCAUACCUCACUCAAUAUUCAAUGUCACAAGUGUUUUGGGUUUUGAUGUUGGGAGUAACAACCUAAUCGGACAGGUAUCGAAUCUCCAAAAGCUUCACAACCUCCUGCAUUUCAGCAUUCAAAAUAAUAAUAUUGGAAGCGGUAAAGAUGGUGACUUAAGUUUUCUCUCGGACUUGACCAAUGCCACCCAGUUACAACGGUUGUUUAUUAACAACAACAAUUUUGGAGGGACAUUGCCCAUGUCAAUAUCCAAUCUCUCAACCAAACUUGAUAUGUUUUGGGUUGGCGGUAACCAAAUAUAUGGAAGCAUCCCAUCUGGGAUAGGGAAUCUGGUGAGCUUGGAAUCGUUGUAUUUGGGGUAUAAUAGCUUCACAGGUAACAUCCCCUCUGACAUGGGUAAGCUGUCAAACAUUGGAAUAUUAGAUAUUUCCAAUAACACAUUAUCAGGAAAUAUUCCGUCUUCCAUAAGAAAUUUAACCAAGUUAUUCCGUCUUGCGUUGCAUAGAAAUCAUCUUGAGUGCAGCAUUCCUUCAGGUAUGGGGGAAUGCCAUGGGUUGCAAUUGUUGAAUCUUUCUUAUAACCUCCUAAAUGGCACAAUACCCAAACAAGUUUUUAGACUCUCCUCCUUAUCGAUUUCUUUGGACUUGUCUAAUAACCUCUUCACAGGUUCCCUUCCCUCGGAGGUUGGGAAUUUCCAGAGUCUAAGUGAACUGUAUCUUUCUGAUAACAUGUUAUCUGGAGAACUCCCCAGUAGGCUUGGUGGUUGUGAGAGUUUAGAAGUCCUGCAUUUGCAAGGAAACUUCUUCAAUGGGGCCAUUCCAUUGUCUAUGAGUUCAGUGAGAGGGAUUCAAGAUCUAGACCUUUCUCGCAAUAAUUUUUCAGGUGAAAUUCCGCAUUUUUUAGAAGGCUUUAGAUUCUUGAAUAAUUUGAACUUAUCCUUCAAUCAAUUUUGGGGAGUGGUACCAACUGGAGGUGUUUACAAAAAUGCGAGUGCUAUUUCAGUUAUUGGCAACACUAAUCUGUGCAGCCCUGUUGCUAAUUUAAGCUUCCCAAGUGCAAGUCUAUAGAGACCAAGACACAAAGAUUGUAUCGUAGCUUGAAACUAAUACUCCCUUUAGUAUUUGGACUUACUCUUCUAGGAAUAGCCAUGGUGUUCUCCUAUUUCUUUCUUUGUUCGUCAAGGAAGAAAAGGAAAGAAAUUUCAUUGAGCACUUUGGGGAACACUACUCUACAAGUGUCAUAUGCUGCUCUACUCAAAGCUACCGACGGGUUCUCAGAGGCUAAUUUAAUUGGUGCUGGUAGUUUUGGGUCUGUGUACAAAGGAGUUCUUGAUGAGGAUGACAAAUCUCAACUUGUUGCCGUGAAGGUGUUUAACUUGUUACGCCAUGGAGCUUUAAGGAGUUUCAUAGUCGAAUGUGAAGCUUUGAGAAAUAUUAGGCAUCGAAAUCUCGUCAAGAUUAUAACAAUGUGUUCAAGUGUUGAUUUUCAUGGUAAUGAUUUCAAGGCUCUAGUUUAUGAGUUCAUGGACAACGGGAGCUUAGAGGAGUGGCUGCAUCCACCUAUUGAAACUGAAGAGUUAAGAGACCAUGUACCCAAGAAGUUAAGUCUUCUUCAGAGGCUAGAAAUUGCCAUUGGUGUUGCUUGUGCACUGGAUUAUCUUCAUAAUCAUUGUAAAACUCCAGUAGUUCAUUGUGAUCUUAAGCCAAGCAACGUUCUCUUGGACAAUGAAUUGAUUGGCCAUGUUUCUGAUUUUGGAUUAGCAAGGUUUAUCUCACAAGUAACAAGUAAUGUUUCAGCAAUUCAGAGUCGGACAAGUUCUGUUGGAAUAAGAGGAACAGUUGGUUAUGCAGCUUCAGGUAUAUAUAUGUUAGAUAUGUACUUCAUUAUAUUUCCUUUUUUAUUUUGGAGUAUUGAAUUUACAAAAUUCAAAAUGAACUAUUUAUACACAAAUGUGAUGUUUGAAUUGUAGAGUAUGGCAUGAGGAGUGAGGUGUCAACGAAUGGUGAUGUCUACAGCUUUGGCAUUCUCUUGUUGGAGAUGUUUACACGGAAGAGACCCACUGACAACAUAUUUGGUGAUAGCUUGAACCUUCAUAAUUUUGUCAAGAUGGCUCUCCUCGGGCGAGUUACUGAGAUUGUAGACGCGCCACUUCUUCAAGGAGGCACAAACGAGAAUCCCAAUCAAUGCAACGCAAGAAUUCAUAAAGUUGAGGUGUGCUUGGGUUCAAUAUUUAGAAUUGGAAUUGCUUGUUCUGCUGAAUCCGCAACAGAUCGACUAAAGAAUAUCAAUGAUGCUGCAUCUGAACUUCAUUCCAUUAGGAAUACUUUUCUUGGAUAGAAACUCUUUUUUAUGUGCUUUUGUGAUAGAGAAGUUUCGUGUGAAGGGUGUAUUACUACUUUUAUGUACUGCCUGUGUAAGUCUAGCUUUUAUGUUACCACAGUAGAUGUGGAAGUUUGCAAUGUAAAUAAUCACCAAUGAGGUUCAUUGUGUGAAGAGUGUAUUACUACAUCUUGUACUUGGUAUUUUUGUGUAAGAUUCACAUCGAUUUGUUUGGAUCAAAACUUAAACUUUGGGCUCGAAGGAAGUUGGCCCAAAGAGCAGCCUAAAGGGGAGAGGUACUCGAAGGCCCAGUCAAAACCCAGCCGAAGUCCAGAAGACAGGAGAAGCUUGUUUCUGACUAGGUGCAGGCCAUGCAGACCACUUGCUCACCUACCCAAAGGCCAAGUGGUAUAGACCAGCCAGCUAAUCAGCCCAAAAAGUACUUUUAAAUGGUAGUACAAGUAAAUAGCUGAUGAGUCACUACCCUUCAAACUGCAUUCGGGCAAGGUUGUUGCUACCGGAGGCCAAGCCAAGGUGUCUAUAAAAGGAGAAAGAGAGGUCAGAAUCAAGGACACUCAAACAAACAAAUACAAGCACAAACUCUGCUCAAAGCCAGAUUUGCCUUCAAAACUAAGCUGUAGUCAGCCCAAGCCUUCAUCCAUUUCGGGAUAAACCUUUUGUAAUAGCUCUGCUACCCUGUUCAACUCUUGUUGUAGUAUCGAUUUCUUUUGUAAACUCACCUCCCAACCCUUUUUCUAAGCUUUCAAACUUUCUGAUAAACCACAAAGAUAGGAAGUUGCAAGACGAUCAGCCUUGCCUGACAAGGUUAAACCUUGCCCAACCCUCUUUGUUUUUUUUCUUUUCAUUCAUUAGCCUAGCAAUAUGUUGUAUACUACAAGUUGUAUCCCAGUUGUUUCUAGUAAUAUGGCUAUUAAAGGACUCUCUCAGCACUUGAAUCCGAUUUGAAUAUGUCUUCACAGUUUAAGCCAGAUUUAAGUUCUAAGUCUUCGGGCAUAUAAGAUUUGAUCAUUCUAAAAGUCCUUGGCCUCAAGGCAUAAAAAAGAACCUGAUGUGGACUUAACCCAUCCACUACAAGCUUUGAUAACAAGAAGUCCGAAGUUACUUGGGGCGCAAGUAAUCGACCUGUCACUUAGUUUUAUUGCUGUUAUAUUAUGAUUACCAUAUAGCGUCCGAGGACAGGAUGAAUUCUGAUGGGAAGCCUCAAGGCCUAUUCAAGGCCCCACAAAGGCACCUAUUUGGAUUCAUCCUAUUUCUCGGGCAAGAACAUUGAGUAUAGAAGGGGUUUUGAUGGGAAGCCUCAAGGCCUAUUUAAGGCCCCACAAAGGCAUCUAUUUGGAUUCAUUCUGCUCUUUGAGCUCAGGUAAUCAGAAGUAUGAUGGUUAUAAGACCCAUAUAACCAAGAAAAGGAACCUUAUGUGUUCGAGUACUAAGUUAGUUAUUUAUGGGAAGCCUCAAGGCCUACACCUAAGGCCCCACAAAGGCACCUGUCAAUAACUAAACUUAGUCUCUCGAAUAUAUAAUUAAACUCAAACAUCCGUUCUACAUCUGCCAUGCUGAAAAUGGCAGUGGCACGCCUGAGCACUUAAAAGUUAAUUUUGAUUGUGAGCCUCAAGGCCUACACCUAAGGCCUCACAAAGGCACCUUUCAAAGUUAACUUUGUCAUUCUCUUUCAGCCUUGCCCGACAAGCCCGCCAGUAAAGCAGGAGCCCGACAUAAAAGCAUCAACCGGCGCCAACCUCUCGGGGAGCUGUGUGCUCGUCGGACAGGAAGCAUCCCCCACGGAAAUUCCUGCCACGAACACGAUUAAAGUCUAGUUAGGGCCACGAAAUUGUUGAAUAUUCACAUUGACAUAUUUGAAAUUUUUGAAAGAUUCAUAACCUCAAAACCCUCAACGUUCAAUAAAAUCAUCUUGGCAGCUGUAAGAUGGUGAGUUGAGUUUCCUAUCAGACUUGACCACCAUCAGUGUUAGAUUCUGCAAGGGAAUUCCUAAUCUCAAGCUGCCCUAUUGCAAGUCUAAAGAGCUCCAAGAAAAGAAGAUUAGCUUGAAAUUAAUAAUCCCUUUAGUAUUCGGACUUGAUCUACUUGCAAGUGUCAUAUGCUACUUUCUCAAAAGCCACUGAUUGGUUUUCUUCAGCUAAUUCGACUAGUGUUUAACAUGUUAUACGUCAUGGAGCAUCAAAGAGUUUCAUAGCCGAAUAUAAGGCUUUGAGAAAUUUCAAGCAUCAAAAUCGUGUCAAGAUCAUAUCUACAUGUUUUCUCGAUGAUUAUUUCAAGGGUCAUGUUUAUGAGUUGAUGCACCAAAGGAGCUUAGAGGAGUGGUUGCUUCCCCUCCUGUAAUUGAAAAGGUAAGAGAUCAAUACAUCCAACAAUUUAAAAUCUUCUUCAAGGGCUAGAUAUUGUUAUUGGUGUUGCUAUUAUGCACUGGAUUAUUUUCAUAACCAUAGCGAAACACGAAUAGUUCAUUAUGAUCUAAAGCCAAGCAAUGUUCUUCUAAACACCAAGUUAACUGGACAUGUUUAUUGAAAGUAGAUUAAUAUCAGACUGUUACUUAUAUGAACUCCUCCAUAUAAGUGAAGGGAAUUGGGUUCAAGUUGGUUGGUUUGGUUAAUAGGGUUUGCAAAUGGCCAUCUUUUGUAGAAUUUUAACCCCAACUUUAAAGCCCAUGGGCUAUGACAAAUCAAGGUUUUCUAGCAUUGUUGCUAUCAAUAUUCUCCCAUGCGCAUUCUGAAGUCUAUUCCAAUGGUUUUAGCAGUCGUUCUACUAAUCUUGACAAUGAACGAGUUUUUAUUUAUUUUUUAUUCGAGCAAAUGAUAUUAUCUACACUAAGAGGAAGGGGAUAGUUUUAGUCUUAUAAUGGGCUAACAAUAAUGUGGUUUAAAUUCGUCUUUGGUGAGAAACGAACCCAAGACCUCUCACUUACAAGUGAAGAGAAUACCACUAGACCGUAGUACUAAGUGGCAUGAAAGAGUUUCUAUUAAACCCGCAAAAAUGAAAAUUCUCAACCAUUCAUUAAUGGAUACUAACAAAUUUUUUUUUAGUACAAAGAUAUGUCACGAUAAUGUAACUUAUAGUUGUGUCACUGACCUUUUAACUUAUUGCCCUAUCUUUAACUCACUCCAAUUAAUAUCGUCCUCUAAUUGUUAGUAUCUAAUGAAUCUCAUCAUAAAUUGUUACCCAAUAUAUUAAUUAUCAAAGCAAAUAAACUUGAUUGAGUUAUAAAUUUAUUGUGACCCAAUUGGUAUGGUUAGUAGAAAAAUCAAUUUUGUUCAUAAUUUUCAUGUCUUCCAAGUGAACAUGGGGCUAUAAGUGAAGUUCCAAAGGUUACGGUGGUGUAAUUUGGUCCAUGAAUUGUCUCCUUCAUUUUGCAUGCAUGCGGUAGGUUACUGACUACCAAUAAUUCUCGUUACCAAGCAAAUUAAAUACCAUUAAUUAAGAGCUUAAAAAGUCUUUAAUUAUUACCUCUCUAUUUUGCUUUAGCAAUUAGGAAAUUUUCCCCUUUUGCGUACAAUAUUAUAAGAAUAUUUGUGUUCUCCACACUCAAAUGAUGGUGAUGCUUACUACCUUAUUUAUCACUGUUAUAUGAGUUUAGUACCUUGGAUAGACACAAAUCUCAAAAUUUAAACAAAUACAACGGUAACAAAUAAGGUGGUAAGCAUUACCACCACUUGAGAGUGAUGACUAAAAAUCUCCCCAAUAAUAUAAGUAGUUAAGUUUGUUGGUGUGGUAGUUGGUCUUUAGCAAGCUUCUUAUAGAAAAGAAGAAGCAUUUAUUUGAAAAGAUUCAGACUCCUUUUGGAUAUAGAUAAACAAUGGCUUGUUAAAAACCAAAAUGAUAAGGCAUUCAACAUUCAACAUUCACCUAAAAAAAAUGAUAUACAUGAUAUCCAUCAAUGUUUUGGUAACAAAUUCCCAAAUUGCUCUAUCUACCAAACAUUUGCAGAUCAAUAGUUACAGAAGGUCACUUUUAUGAUAUUCAACCCAAUACCCACAUUAUUGGCAAAACAAACAUUGUAUAGAUCUUUUGAGUACCCGAGCCAAUGACAAUAACAUUGACGGCAACUACAAAAAAUUUACAUUAUAUAAAGAGGCAAUCUCAGAAUCAAAAUUGUCAAAAUCCAUAUUUGAUGGCAUUUUUUCAUCAGUCAAUCAAUACACACAUAACACAUAAUCACAAACUCGAUAAAAAUUCAAACCCAUAAAUCCAUAAUUAGCAAUGUUUUUUCUUAACCCCCAAAAACAAUCCAAAUCUUAGUGGUUACAUUCCUUAGUCAAGCACUCAACCACUUGGGCACAUCGACUACAACUUGGGAAUGUUACGCAAAUCUUAGGCAGCUUGAAUCAUUAAAUUUGAGUUGGAAGAAGCUCUGUUACCUGCUCUGCUAGUUGAGGAGUGUCACCAAAUUCGGCACUAUCAUCAGCAUCAACACAUUUCACAAACUCCCACUUCCAAAACAUUUCACAAAAUCAAAAAUCAAAUGAGUUUAUGUAGCAGAAAAGAUUGACGGAAAAAUAGACUAGGAAAAGCAAUUAAUAUUAAAUAGAGGAUAAAUGAUGUUGUCCAGUAAAUAAGACAGUUGUAUAUAUUUCUCGACCAUGAGAAAACAUCAAAUUAAUAGAGGCAUUAAUCCUAAGUUUGCCAUUCAUUGUUGUCGGUCUAAACUUGAUGACAUAUUGUAAAGUCCUCGUACAUACAGAUUCAUGAAAUAUUAAUUUAUUUCCAUGAGUUAUUUGAUUUUGCAAAUUCAAAAUAAUUGAAGAAUACUGAGAAUUACUAAACAUCCAAAGAUAGCAUUUGUGAAUUACUAUCCCAUUUGUGAAUUACUGUCCUUCUAAGCAUCCAAAGAUAGCAUACCCAAAAUACCAAAUUCAACUCCAAUAUAAUAAAAAAUUAAAAAACAAAUUAACCAAAUUGGGAUAGUUAGAUCAAAUAAAGAUUUACGUCAACCAAUUACACAAAAUAAUUCAUGCAAAGUAGGCUCCUAAGAAAAUAUACCACUAUGGAGGUGGAGGAGGCCCAGGCUCAAACAGUGGAGGACGGUAGCAUUUAAAUAUACCGCAGCAGCAUGGAAUCCACAAACUGCAUAAUCAAAACCAAAAUUUUAAAAUUUAUAUUUAUAUUUAAAUUUGAAAGAAAAAUGCAGUAGAAUUGUAUAAUGAGAAAUUCUCCAAUGUGGAUAAAUUAAUCUUGCAGGAUGCGAUCAGUUGUAUUGGGCUGGCAACCGGCUUAUGCUCAAAUCCAACUAAAUUUAUCAUACAGCCUUCCAACUACAAUUCAAGGGAAGAAGUUCCAAGUCCAUGCAUAAUGUUUGCUCAACUAAAAUAAAUUGCUUUUCAUGAUUAAAAUAGCCAACCAACCAACACUCAUUUGAUAAAAUUGAACAUUUGGAGUUAUAUAUCCACAUAUUCCACAUAUUUAAGAUCGAACGAACCUUCUCAUGAAGACCACCCAAGGGUCCAUUAGUGAGUUGUGUGACCAGAGGAUUUACUGCACUUGAGUUUCCUCGUGCAGCUGCAAGAGCUAUGAGCUUACGUUGACUGUCAAUCACUUCUCCGCUUAAGGUUUGCGUCACCGAUGAUGCAGAAUUAAUAGCUUCCUGCAAAGAAGUGCAAUAAGAAACCUUAAUUUGUUAAAAUGUGAGUAACUACAGUGUUCUCAAUUGAUUAAAACAUCAUCCGAUGGUGUUUUCUAGGCUUUUUUUUUCCUUCCUUUCGCAGGCCAUUAUUUCAUUAGCCAUCUGAAGAAUUGCAAUUGAUAGAAUCGGUGUUCUUUGAAAUAAUCAUAACACUUCACAACACAAUGGCAACAAUUUAUACAAAUUCUAACAACAAAUUGUCAAAAACAAUGAGAACAAUUACCAGAAAUUUCAAAUCUUUUGGGGGUUCAGAGUAAUUACCAAAGAGAUGAAAGCUAAAAUCAACAUUAGUCCAAUUUUUUCAAAAUAAGAACAGCUCCGAUCUGAGAAAUACAAUGCAAUUUCUGAAGGAAAAAAAAAAGCAAGAAAACCCUAAAAUCCCUAAGAACCCUAAUUUAUAAACCCUAAACAAACGCAAAAGGAGAGGAGACUCAAAUAAAGGGAAAAUCGAGAAAUUCAACAUACUAUCGGAGCGAGGACGCUUUCUGACGACCAAAUUCAUCGACACCGGAGGCGGUUGUCGACCAUCGCUGCACCUUCAUUUCGCCUCCGCCAUGUUUGAGGCUUUCGACCGUCACUACUUGGUUUGUGUGCUUCAUGUCGAGAGAUAUGGGGAGCCGAGAGGUUGUGGGUUUUCUAGUAGAGAAGGACAGAAACAGGAAGAGUGAGAGAUGAGAGAGCGCUCGCGUAGGAGAGAAAGAGGAAGAGUGAGAGAUGAGACCAGAGCGCACGCGUCUAACCCAUCGCAAUCCGUUAUAAACUUACCCUAUCAACUUUUGAGAAAUACCCUCCCAACCCAUCCCCAUUUGGCUGACAUUGUUGUAAAUAGCGUCAAAUUGAGUGGCAAAGAUUUGAAAUUACACCCGCUCAUUGCUGCAAGAAUCAGUUGUUUCAGGCGUAAUCGGAUGAAUAAAACACAUUUAAGUUAAAUUUAACACAAUUAUGAACAAACAGAGGGAUACAUGAGUGAAUGAAGUCGAUAAGAUAAGCAGUUUUGCUUUUAUAUACAUUCAAGUGAGCUAGCAUAUAAACAUAUUGUACAACGAGUGGGAAGAAACUGAACGUCUUUGAUUACAAAGAUAUGGUUUCCAAAAAAGUUUUUUUUUCUUAAGAAAUAGAAGAAACAUGUAGUUCACACAUAAUAUGUGUCUUGCAGUGUAGACAGUCAUUGAACAGGUAAUAUCAAGAAAAGAAAUUAAAAUAUUAGGCAUAUGAGUGCAAGCUUACAAAUACGUUGUUUUUGUAUAAUUUCUUCUCCCUUCAAUGAUAGUUUGUUUCUUAUGCAGAAAAAUAAAAUGACCAGGUCAAUGAUACUCACAUGUGCAAAAUGCUAAUUCUAAGGUCUAAAGCUAACUGAGUUUUUAAGUGUAAAAUCCCUAAUUUCACUGCAUUUGGAUUGAUCACAGUUCGUGACUUGUUAAACUUGAUAUCCCCUUGUACAUUUUGUGAACUUGACAACUUAAAGAAGUGCUCAUAAAAGCAAAUUACACAAUAUCUACUGAAAAACUUAGAGAAGAGACUUAACUAAUCAACAAACAGGUGCCUCACACUUAAAUAUUAAAGACCAAAGAGAGAAAACCAAGCCGAACUCUUCAAAAUUCGUUGGCACACAUGCUUCAUUAGCUCAAUUGAAUGUAUAAUGCCUACUUAGAUACAACAAUUCGAACAAUAGCUCAUAAACAGUGCUGAAAUUCCAUUAGCACUAAUCACACACUGCAGGAACAUAGAUCCUAGCAAAGCUACACCAAUUAAAUGACAACGACUAAAAACCACAAACAGGAAAAAUAGAAAAACAGAGUUAUUAGACAGCAUGAUUCAGAUAUAAUUUUAUUAGGGUUGGUAAAAGAACAACCCAUCCAGCACUUCGAACACACCGUGGGAUUUAAAAGUAGGUCUUUCUUGAUUAUAAGCUCAUAUGUCUUGCACCUAAUUUUCAAACACUCAAGCGUCAGUGUCUUAAUACUUCUAACCCACAGUUCAAAACAGAAAGAACCUCAUUUGAUGAAAAUGCCAAAAUUUUCUAAGAAUGGAGUCCAAAAAUUUAUUUUUAAGCAUCCAAAAAGCCAUUAAACUAAAAAUAGUUAGUUCUUCGUACCUUUGUAUGAAGAUAUCACAGGAAAACAUUAGCCUUCCUACAUGCUAUGUUGGAAUUUCAGGGGUUAGAUUAGAGCCACACUUGAGUUCGACAUUGAAAGUGAGGCCUCGCUGGUGUGUUUCCACACCACAUGCUCUGCAAAAGAGAUACAAUCUCAGAAUCAUAAACACAUUGAUAAGAAAUAUACACACCAUAUAUAUAGCAAGAGAAACUUAAGAAACGAAAAGUUCAAUCAAAGUGAGUGAAGUGAACCUUUCUUCUUUUUUUAACCCAAAGCAUUGAAAGUAGCGCAAACCAUUCUUUUGUCCUCUUUCUCCCCUCUUCCCGUGUCCCUCACUCUUUUUCAUCCUUUGAAACAAUAACUGAUAAGGAAAAAUUAAAAAUUACUAUGCAAUCUUGAUUCUGCUAACAUUCCAAAAUUAUUAUCAGUAAGUCUCCAUAUAACCUUUUUGAUUCGCUUCUUUUUCCUCCUAUUUCCCAACCAACAACACAUUUCUUAUCAUCUUUCUUACUAACAUAUGGGCACACACAAAAUAUGUGAGAAAAGUUUUUAUUUUUGUUUUUGAAAUAGAAUGAGAGAGGAAGAGAGUGCUAGAGAAUGUGAAAGUGGGAAGGUUUUUUUUUAUUUUUUAAUUAAAGAUAUGUUAGGAUUACAUGUAAGUGAGACUUUGAAAAAAAAAAACAAAAUUUGAUUGUGUAAAAUUACAUUUCUUAUGCAUGUUCUGUUUUAAUUAGAGGGUUAAACUGGUAAUUUCAUAAGAUUUUGAUUGACAAUGAGUUUCAUUAAUUAGUAGAGAUUCAUAUAUAUGACAAUAAACAAAAAAAAAACAAUAUGCAAAAGAUACAAAAAGUAACAAUAGCACCUUCAUAUUUACCAUUUACACUUGAAGUAAAAUCUCGAAAUAUUUCAGAAAUAUUGUUGAUGCACAAAAUCAGCGAUGACUUUGGUACAACAGAAAGUGUCAAGUUUGUGACCUUCGCUAGAUUGCUCCAGUCACUAGUGUGGAUAAGUAUGUAAAUGGAUAAAGAGAGGGAAGCAAACACAAGAUGUAUGUGGUUCACCCAAAUUGGCUACGUCUACAGAGUAGAGGAGUUCUCAUUAAUUGUGAAGGGUUUACACAAGUACAUAGGUUCAAGCUCUCCUUUAGUGAGUACUAGUGAAUGAUUUAGUACAAAUGAAAUUAGGAAAUAUUGUGGGAGAAUGAUCUCCUUUUAUAGAAGAGAGUUUCUAGCUUUGUUUUGACAUUGACAUGUGUCGUGUUAUGAUUGACUUCUGAUGUUGACACGUGUCGCAUUAUGAUUGGCUUCUGAUGUCGACACGUGUCGCGCUGUGAUUGGCCUCCUGGUUGGAGGGAAACUCUUCUGGGUCAUUGACAAUAUAACGUUGAUCGGUGCUCGGUAGUUUCGAGAUUGAUCAAGUAUGGUACAAACAAAUAUCAUAUGAAAUGCACAAUGUUACAAAUGAAAUUGAUUAAUUAGCACACAAAAAAAAUUGAUAGUGGAGAAUUGGAAAUAACUAUAGGUCGUACCCAGUGCACAAGGCUCCCGCUUUACGCAGGAUCUGGGAGAGGUGAAUAUCGGCUAGCCUUACCCCCAUUUAUGGAGAGGCUGCUCCCAAGUCUCGAACCCGAGACCUACCGCUCAUGGGCGAAGGCACUUGCCAUCGCACCAAGUGCGACCUCUAGAAUUGGAAAUAACUAUAAAAAAUUAAAAAUAUCAAUAGACCAGGAGAAAACUACUUUAAACAAAAUGAAAACUCAGAAUUUAGGAUAAAAAGAAGGAAAGAAAUCAAACAGAAAAGAAGACAAAAGAGAAGAAAAAAAUUAAAGCAAAAUACCUGAAGCUCGGUGAGAUUCAAGCUUCGAACUGAAAAAUGAAACAUUCGGCGGUCAACACCCAAUCACUAAUUAACUAAGUGGUGACCUGCUGACCAUGAACACGUGAAUAAAAUUGUAGAGGUUAAUUAUACGGAAUCUUACCGCAAAAAAAAUAAAAAAUAAAAAACUAAUUGAAAUUAGGGGUGGGUUCAAAAACGAAAACCGAAACCGAACCGAACCGAAAUCGAAAAAACCGAAUCAAAUUAAAAAAAUCGAACCGAACCGAAUUAAUUAAAUUAAUAUAUUUUUUUUAUAUUUAAUUAUUUGUUUUGGGUAUUAUUUUUUAAACCCAAUUUGUAAGCCCAAUGUGUUGCCCAAAAUCAGAAAUUCCAAAUGCAUCGCUACUUUUCCAUUAACUACAAGGAAGAAGUCGUAUAAAAAAGCAAGACCUAAAAUAGUGAUAACAAAAUGGUGCUAACUCCUGACACAGUACUGUUAGUUUCUUAUUCUUGUUUAAUAUGGCUUCUUGCUUCAAGUAUUUGUAUGCUUAUUCAAUACUUCAUUGCUUAUUGUUAUAUGCAGUGAUCAGGUAUUGGUUUUGAUAAAGUGUUUUCCCAUUUGAUAUUACUUCUUCCGACUAAAUAGUAAAUUACAUUACUAAAUGACCGAUAAUACAUACAAAGAGAGCAUAAUCGAUAUAUGACCCUCAUUGGUUAGUAUGAUAAUGCUCUCAUUGUACGUACUAUCGUGAUAAAAUAAUCAGCACAUGUUCACCAACAUACACCAGCUCUUUAUAUUAUUCAUGGUUAAGAGUUGAGGUGUGAAGAAAAUGGUAGAAAAUUUUACUUUUCUAAAAAGAAAUCUAUUUACAAUUAAACUUUAAACACAAAAUAUUAAAAAAAACCUUUAUGUUAUAAUUCUAGUUGAACUUUAAAUAUUUAUUUUCAUUUUCUUUUAUUCUAGUUGGAAUAUUUAUGUUAUGAUUAUGUUGGAGAUGUUAAAAUUUAAGACUUCAAUUUUUUUCAUUUUUUGAAAAAAAAAACACCGAAACCGAACUGGAAAAAACUGAAAAAAAAAAUGAACUGAACCGAAAUUUCGGUGAUUUCGGUUUUGGAAAAAAACCAAACCGAUUUGACCCGAACCCAGCCCUAAUUGAAAUUAUGUGUUGCACACAGUGAUAUCGAAGAAGAAUAAUUUCUAUUUAACUGAAAUUAAAUCCGAAUAAAUGAUUCAUAAAAUUACAGAUUUUCAAUCAAAUGCGGAAUAUACACAACAAUUUUAUUUCUGAUUUGAAUAUAACCAACUAAAUCCCAAGUUGUAUCAGUAUCAAUGGAUCCAACAUGGUGACCAUCUGCCCCUCAAGUAUUCAUAUCUGCAAACCCCCGUCUAAAGAAAAAUUCAUCCAGAAAUUAAUCACUGAGUAUGCAAGGUUGGCAUGCAUAUUCACGUUUUAUCGUGGCCAUGAUGAUAGGAAUUAAAAAAACACGAAAAUAGGAAUGAUGUACCUUUACUUAGAUUUCAGGGUUCUAAAACCUGUUGCUGAGAUUUGAGAAACAUAGGAAAUGUGUUUCAUGAUUUCAAUUUAGAUUUGCAUAAGAGUUCAGAAACACAUACAUCCCUUCUUUUCAUUCCGCGCCUAGGCUUGCAACACCAAAAUAGCACCAGAUCUUUGCAAUGUGCAGGGAAUAUACUGAAAAAACUUAAACCACAAUCAAUCAUCAUCUAUCUAAACAAAAUCAGAACCCAAACCCCUAAAUAUAUAAUAAUAAUAAUGAUUCUAGUAGAAAUUCCAAUCCAUUACAACAAAACACAGAGCUAAAACAACAAAACACAGAAUACCAGGUAUUGCUGGAUGUAGAUAUCCAAAACAGUGGCACCCAUCUAUUGAUCUAAUUACGUAUCCAUUCCCUAUCCAUGGCAGACAAAGUUUGUACUCCCUGUUUACAUGUUAUAAAACAUUUACUAGACCAGCAAUCAAAAUUAACAACCCUAAUUGUUGUAUACGCUAAGCUCUCCAACUGAAAAUGUUUAAUUAAAUUUUCCAACUUAAAACCCUAAAUUAAAUCCUACAAUUUGAAAUAGCAGAAACAAAAUUAGAGAGAAGGAAGAAAUCAAUGACCUUCGAGUUGUUGAAAGCUCAGAUAGGUGUUUCUUUUCAUCCAGCCCUAAAAUUAACCCAGCCUGUGUAUAGAAAAAUUGAACAAAUUUAGACAUUUAUAUGUAUGUAUAUUCCAGUAAAAAGAAUGAAAUGCAUUGAACCCUAAAUUGCAAAACUACAUCAAACUGAUUAAAGAAAAGAAACAGAGAGGGAGUGGGACAGAGAGAAAACCCUAAAAACAGAACCCUUUGGCAACCUAAUACAAAAUCAAGCCAACAAAUUCCAUUCCAAUUUUGACAAAACAAAUCGAAAAAGAAUAAUGAAAACCUGAAUGAAUUACGGAGGAACCGAUGGGUUUAUGCAUCAGCAAUGUGAUAAAACCCAGAAACACAAAACCUAAUAUGUAACAGCUACAAAAACCCAAAUAAAUAAAUAAAACACUCAAAUUUCAAACGAAGAUGUCAUAGAUGGAGGAAGAGAGAAGCGAUAGAGGGGGAGAGAUACUAACUCAACCCCACCAUCUCUCUGCAGCCAACACACUGAUUCCCUCAACCCUACCCUCAAAUCUUGUACCCAAUCAACUCUCUUUCUGUCCCCCUAAUCGUGCACCCGCCGUCACCUUCUCUCUGCAACCAACCCCCUCUCCUCUCUUCCCCAUAUCACACCCCCACCUGUGAGGGCACUGACAGCAGACUACCUCCCUAGAAACCGGCCCUAAAAACCCAUACCCAUACCUCCCUUACUCGUUCCCUUUAACCCUCGCAUAAAAUCCUCCCAUCUAUCUGUCUUUGCAAAUCGCAGAAAACAAACCCUAAACCAAAUCCCUAAAAUCCCACCUCAAUCCUCCCACACUUCUCUUGGACACUCCCUAUCUCUCUCUGCAAUUCGUAAAACAAAUCUCCUAAAUCCUAUCUCGGGCACCCGCAUCUCUCUACAAAUCACACAAACAAAACCCCAAACCUAAUCCUUGAAAUCCUACCCAAACCUAAUCCCUGAAACCCUUUCUCUUGGACAUCCCAUACCACAGAAAAUGUAUCUGAACUUUAGUUUAUAAAAUCGCAGGCCGCCUUCUCUCUUCCUACCUUUUAACAAUUCACCAGUAAGAUUAUCUCAAUAAAAACUUAUAUUAGCAAAUCCAGUGACGAAUGAUGUCAAACUGAAGCCGUAAUGAAAGCAUAUUUUGAGAAAGAAUGAAAAGCCGUCUUUCUACAACUUGAAACCAAAAUUUAAGUGAAUGGCCUUGUAACUAAGGUUAUUGAACAUGAUUAACUAUUCGCAACCCUCAACCUUGUCCCAUCUUUCUGUCCCUGCAAAUUGCAGAAAACAAACCCUAAACCAAAUCCCUAAAAUCCCGCCUAAAUCCUCCCACACUUCUCUUGGACACUCCCUAUCUCUCUCUGCAAUUCGUAAAACAAAUCUCCUAAAUCCUAUCUCAGACACCCCCAUCUCUCUACAAAUCGCACAAACAAAACCCCAAACCUAAUCCUUGAAAUCCCACCCAAACCUAAUCCCUGAAACCCUUUCUCUCGGACAUCCCACACCAUAGAAAAUGCAUCUGAACUUUAGUUUAGAAAAUCGCAGGCCGCCUUCUCUCUUCCUACCUUUUAACAAUUCACCAGUAAGAUUAUCUCAAUAAAAACUUAUAUUAGCAAGUCCAGUGACGAAUGAUGUGAAACUAAAGCUGUAAUGAAAGCUUAUUUUGAGAGAGAAUGAAAAGCCAUCUUUCUACAGCUUGAAACCAAAAUUUAAGUGAAUGGCCCUGUAACUAAGGUUAUUGAACAUGAUUAACUAUCCGCAAUAUGACAACCAUCUGCAACCCUCAACCUUGUAACCUGGAUCAAGCUGGUUUCACACAUACCAAUAGAAAACCAAAAUAUCAAUGUUUGGGGAAGUUACCUUAUUUGAAAUACCACUAAAAAACAGAGUACACUUUUAGGCAAAUAUUGUUUAAACACGCAAACAUAAUUCAUGAUAUGUGCCAAAAAGAAAAUACCUCUCGAUUAGAUUUCUUUUGUUCAUGAACUUUCUCCCUGACAAACUCCUGAGAUAGAACCAAAAAAGAAAAUAAGUCACAACUGAUGCAAGUAGAGGGGAAUGAGGCAGAGAAAAGUAUGAAUUUAUGAGUACACCACUCCUGUUUUAGGUUCCCAACUUAUAAGGAUGCUAACUUCAUCAUAUAGGACUAUUGUUAAACUCAUUUCUUUCCGAAAUUAAAUUAAGAAAAAAGUUCGACACUGGCAUGCCACAACACAAUGUUACAUAAAGUAAUCUUACCAUCACAACCAAAUUGACACAAAACUUCUAACAGUCAUUUUGAAAGUGAAAAUCAAGCAAAUACUCAUUUUCCGAAAAAGAAAAAACCCAACAAAAAUAAACAAAAAGUAGAAGUACCUAAGUUCCCAAUAGUCCAAUCCAUCAGGAAAAUACAAACUUGCACAUGUUUGAGUAAAAGGACCAUAAGAAAGAAGCAGGGGAUGCAAAAUUUUGAGAAUGGGUCUAAUAAUACUCAUCAAGUACAGAUAAUCAAAGUUAAAAGGAGGUAAUAAAGGUAUUGAAAAAAGAAGAAUAUAUUCUACAAGUGAAUGAAACAAAAUAUGGUGAAACUAGAAUGGAAACACUUCAGGAGGCCAGAGGAAGAGGGACAAUACUAUAGCAAAUAAAUUGAUAAUGCUUGUGCUCUCCUCUGUUCUUUCCCAAGUUGAUCCUACAAACAAAAGCACAGACAAAACUUAAAAAACGAUGCCAAUCAAUGAAAGCUAUAUUAUACCCAUCCUGAAUCUUUUAUAAAACAAGGCACCAAGAAAAUUUCAACAGCAAAUAUUUCAUACGAUAAACAAAACGAUGAAAUAAAUUUCAACAUCGGCUUGUUUCAGACAUUAACAUCUUACUUUGAAAUUUCUCCCAUGGUUCGUUGACAGUCAUUGUAGAGUAAACAUUAGGUGGACAACUCUUUGACUACGUCAUUAGACAACUACAAAAGCUUACUUUCCAUAAGCUUGUAACUUACAAAUUCCAAACUACAUGUAUCAUUUGUGUGCCCUCAGCUUUCAUUCUGUAAUCACAUUUACGAUUGAAACAUUAACCAAAUCCAACAACAACAACAACAAAGCCUUUUCCCACUAAGUGGGGUCGGCUAUAUGAAUCCUAGAACGCCAUUGCGCUCGGUUUUGUGUCAUGUCCUCCGUUAGAUCCAAGUACUCAAGUCUUUUCUUAGGGUCUCUUCCAAAGUUUUCCUAGGUCUUCCUCUACCCCUUCGGCCCUGAACCUCUGUCCCGUAGUCACAUUUUCGAACCGGAGCGUCAGUAGGCCUUCUUUGCACAUGUCCAAACCACCGGAACCGAUUUUCUCUCAUAUUUCCUUCAAUUUUGGCUACUCCUACUUUACCUCGGAUAUCCUCAUUCCCAAUCUUAUCCUUUCUCGUGUGCCCAUACAUCCCACGAAGCAUCCUCAUCUCUGCUACACCCAAUUUGUGUACGUGUUGAUGCUUCACCGCCCAACAUUCUGUGCCAUACAACAUCGCUGGCCUUAUUGCCGUCCUAUAAAAUUUUCCCUUGAGCUUCAGUGGCCUACGACGGUCACACAACACGCCGGAUGCACUCUUACACUUCAUCCAUCCAGCUUGUAUUCUAUGGUUGAGAUCUCCAUCUAAUUCUCCGUUCUCUUGCAAGAUAGAUCCUAGGUAGCGAAAACGGUCACUUUUUGUGAUCUUCGCUAGAUUGCUCCGGUCAUUAGUGUGGAUAAGUAUAUAAAUGGAUAGAGAUAGGAAAGCAAACACAAGAUGUACGUGGUUCACCCAGAUUGGCUACGUCCACGGAAUAGAGGAGUUCUCAUUAAUUGUGAAGGGUUUACACAAGUACAUAGGUUCAAGCUCUCCUUUAGUGAGUACAAGUGAAUGAUUUAGUACAAAUGACAUUAGGAAAUAUUGUGGGAGAAUGAUCUCGUAAUCACGAAACUUCUAAGUACCGGAGUGUGGUAUCGUCUUGACUUGCCUUAUCUGUCUCAUAGGUAGAUGUGGCAUCUUCUCUGGAAGUACUCUUCCUCCAUCCAGGGGUGGUAUCUUUAACUGGUGGAGAUGCACAAGGUAAUGUAUCAAUUUCACUUGAAGCUUACUUGUAGUUUCAGGCUUGGUCAAGCGCGAUACAAACCAUGUAGUAGGAGUCCCCCAAGUCGCCGAGCUAGGGGAUCUGCUGAAAGAGGUGACAGACAAGGUAAGCAAUCAGAGCUCCGGCUGAUUGUUCACAUUCUCCCUAUCUUGCAGGCAGCAUGAAGGAUAAAGAGAAGAAAAAUGAGAAGAGAUGAUAUGGGAUACUUUUGCUUUUGAAGAAGUAACUUUCCACAGGCUUAUUCUUGAACUGGGCUGGAGGGUUUUCUGGUUUCCUCCAGAGUAUAAGGCCGACUGAAGAAUUUGAGGGUCAAAACAAGUCCAUCAAAUCUAGAGUACGUUCGACCCUGCUGAUAUGGGAUACUUUUGCUUUUGACAGAGUAAGUGGAUGUAUCGGCACGUGUGCUGUUACGCUUGUCUCCACAUGCUUCCUUGUAUCCUUCUCACUUGCCCUAUCUGUUCCUCAGGCAGAUGCGGUAUCUUCCCUGGAAGCAUAAGAUGUUGAAGAUGAGUACUCGAGAGCAAUGCCAGGUAAGUAAUCAGGUAAGGGGUUCCAGGCAGUCAGUUCCUGGCUGGAAGCUUGAUUCCAAGUGCUGACUGAUUGCUCUCUUUCUCCUUGUCUUGCAGGUAAGAACAAGGCCAAAGGAAAAGACAGGGAAAAAGCAUGAUAUGGGAUACUCUCUUGCUUUUAACCCUGAUGAUAUGAGAUAUUCUUGCUCUAGUAUAGCUUGUUUGCAGAGAGGUAUUAUCGGGGGGAAAGAAAGCUGAAUAUUUCGAAAGGCUUCGUUGGGAGUGCCCUCUCAGAUAUGAGGAAGGGUUGAGCAUUUUUGCAGGUCUGCCUGUCCGUUGGGGAUGGAGGUCGACAUAUAUAUAGGAGUCUCCCUAACAAUCAAGUAGUAAUGCUAUUCCUUUACCCUGCUUGGUCAUAGCACGGUAGUGGGAGCUGCCAGCUUCACAUGUUUUAACUCUGUCAGAGCACUUUGAAAAAGUGGUCUGUGGUAUCUGGAAAGCUGAUGUUGCGUGUGAAGAUUACAGACAAGCUUUAUCCAAGGAGAUCCGGCUCUUGAAGUUGGGAAAGUGGUGCCUCUUCGGAUUUUCGAACAAGCAAUCCUUGUCGGGGAUCUGGCUCUCGAGAGAUUCGGAGAACGAUGCCUCUUCGAUUUUUUGAGAAAGCAAUCCUGCUGGGGGUCUGGCUCUCGAGAUUCGGAGAGCGGUGUGUCUCUUCGAUUUUUGAGAAAAGUAAUCAUGUUGGGAGUCUGGCUCUCGAGAUUCGGAGGGCGGUGCCUCUUCGAUUUUGGAGCAAGCAAUCUUGUUGGGAGUGUUUUCUCGAAUGUGAGUAAAGGUUGGGCAUGUUUGCUAGUCUACCUUGCCACGAAGCACAGAGGUUGACACACAGGGACUUUCCAAUUAUCCAGCAAUGGUACUGUUCCUUUACCCUCUCUUCGAUUUUUGAGAAAGUAAAUCAUGUUGGGAGUCUGGCUCUCGAGAUUCGGAGGACGGUGCCUCUUCGAUUUUGGAGCAAGCAAUCUUGUUGGGAGUGUUUUCUCGAAUGUGAGUAAAGGUUGGGCAUGUUUGCUAGUCUACCUUGCCACGAAGCACAGAGGUUGACACACAGGGACUUUCCAAUUAUCCAGCAGUGGUACUGUUCCUUUACCCUUGUGGGUAAUAAUAUGGUAGCUAGACCUUCAAAAUUUAUGUGUCUAAACUUUGUUAGUGUUGUUUCUUUGCUAUUCUUUUACCCUUCUUGGUCAGAGCGAUGUAGUGGGAGCUGCAAGCUUCACGUGUCUCAACUUUGGUCAGAGAACUUUGGCAAAGUUAUCUGUGGUACCCAUGAGCUACUGUUGCGUGUGGGAAGUGGGUGAUUGAACAGUAACGAUUCAUGUGCUUUCUACUUCACCAGAAAUCUUCGACAGAAUGCCCAUAAUUUCCGCAAAGCUGAGUGUGCGUGUGACAGGUGCUGACAAGGCUGGAAAAGUAGGUGCCUCUUCGAUUUCUGAGAUCGGCCCUCGUGGUCUCUGAGCAGCCCAGCUUUUGAGAAAGCAAGCGCCUCUUCGAUUUCUGAGAUCGGCCUUCGUGGUCUUUGAGCAGCCCAAGCUUUUGAGAAAGCAAACGCCUCUUCGAUUUCUGAGAUCGACCCUCGUGGUCUCUGAGCAGCCCAGCUUUUGAGAAAGCAAACGCCUCUUCGAUUUCUGAGCAGGCGCCUCUUCGAUUUCUGAAGCUUCGUCGAGUGCAGAUUUUUUAUAGGGGCUGGACAUUAAGUUCCAAAGCACACUUGAAUCUCCACCAGUAGAAGCUCCAUUCUUGCACUUCUAAGAUCUUGAUUUGUCCGACCUCUUCUCUCUUCAACACCUUUGAAAAUGUCUGGCCCCUCCGACCGUCGUUUUGACUUGAACCUUGUUGAAGAGGCAGCCCCGCCUUCUCCAGACAACAUAUGGCGCCCAUCCUUCGUCUCCCCUACUGGUCCUCUUACCGUUGGGGAUUCCGUGAUGAAGAAUGAUAUGACCGCUGCGGUGGUGGCCAGGAACCUUCUCACUCCCAAAGAUAACAGACUACUUUCCAAACGGUCUGAUGAGUUGGCUGUUAAGGAUUCUCUGGCUCUCAGUGUUCAGUGUGCAGGUUCUGUGUCUAAUAUGGCCCAACGCCUAUUUGCUCGAACCCGCCAAGUUGAAUCAUUGGCGGCUGAAGUGAUGAGUCUCAAACAGGAGAUUAGAGGGCUCAAGCAUGAGAAUAAACAGUUGCACCGGCUCGCACAUGACUAUGCUACAAACAUGAAGAGGAAGCUUGACCAGAUGAAGGAAUCUGAUGGUCAGGUUUUACUUGAUCAUCAGAGAUUUGUGGGUUUGUUCCAAAGGCAUUUAUUGCCUUCGUCUUCUGGGGCUGUACCGCGUAAUGAAGCUCCAAAUGAUGAUCAACCUCUGAUGCCUCCUCCUUCUAGGGUUCUGUCCAGUACUGAGGCUCCGAAUGAUCCCCCUCCGGUGCCUUCUCUUUCUGGGGCUCUACCGACUGCUGAGACUUCUCCUAAGCAACCUUUGUGAAGGCUCCCUCUUGUUUGUUUAUUUUGACUCAUGUAUAUGUACAUAUUUGUAACUUAUCGGGGAUAUCAAUAAAUAAGCUUUCCUUCAUUUCAACGUAUUGUGUUAAAUACACCAAAGCCUUCUUCGCUAAGUUCUUUGAAUUUUCUUUUGUUGAAGCUUGUAUGUUGAAGCUUUGUGAGUGGAGCAUGUAGGUUGAGGUAGUGUUCCCUUAAUUUCCCGAGUGAGGAAAACUUCUCGGUUGGAGACUUGGAAAAUCCAAGUCACUGAGUGGGAUCGGCUAUAUGAAUCUUAGAACGCCAUUGUGCUCGGUCCUGUGUCAUGUCCUCCGUUAGAUCCAAGUACUCUAAGUCUUUUCUUAGAGUCUCUUCCAAAGUUUUCCUAGGUCUUCCUCUACCCCUUCGGCCCUGAACCUCUGUCCCAUAGUCGCAUCUUCUAAUCGGAGCGUCAGUAGGCCUUCUUUGCACAUGUCCAAACCACCGUAACCGAUUUUCUCUCAUCUUUCCUUCAAUUUCGGCUACUCCUACUUUACCCCGGAUAUCCUCAUUCCUAAUCUUAUCCUUUCUCGUGUGCCCACACAUCCAACGAAGCAUCCUCAUCUCCGCUACACCCAUUUUGUGUACGUGUUGAUGCUUCACCGCCCAACAUUCUGUGCCAUACAGCAUCGCCGGCCUUAUUGCCGUCCUAUAAAAUUUUUCCCUUGAGCUUCAGUGGCAUACGGCGGUCACACAACACGCCGGAUGCACUCUUCCACUUCAUCCAUCCAGCUUGUAUUCUAUGGUUGAGAUCUCCAUCUAAUUCUCCGUUCUUUUGCAAGAUAGAUCCUAGGUAACGAAAACGGUCGCUCUUUGGUAUUUCUUGAUCUCCGAUCCUCACCCCUAACUCGUUUUGGCCUCCAUUUGCACUGAACUUGCACUCCAUAUAUUCUGUCUUUGAUCGGCUUAGGCGAAGACCUUUAGAUUCCAACACUUCUCUCCAAAGGUUAAGCUUUGCAUUUACCCCUUCCUGAGUUUCAUCUAUCAACACUAUAUCGUCUGCGAAAAGCAUACACCAAGGAAUAUCAUCUUGAAUAUGUCCUGUUAACUCAUCCAUUACCAACGCAAAAAGGUAAGGACUUAAGGAUGAGCCUUGAUGUAAUCCUACAGUUAUGGGAAAGCUUUCGGUUUGUCCUUCAUGAGUUCUUACGGCAGUCUUUGCUCCUUCAUACAUAUCCUUUAUAGCUUGGAUAUAUGCUACUCGUACUCCUUUCUUCUCUAAAAUCCUCCAAAGAAUGUCUCUUGGGACCCUAUCAUACGCUUUUUCCAAAUCUAUAAAGACCAUGUGUAAAUCCUUUUUUCCCAUCUCUAUAUCUUUCCAUCAAUCUUCGUAAGAGAUAGAUUGCCUCCAUGGUUGAGCGCCCUGGCAUGAACCCGAAUUGGUUGUCCGAAACCCGUGUCUCUUGCCUCAAUCUAUGCUCAAUGACUCUCUCCCAGAGCUUCAUUGUAUGACUCAUUAGCUUAAUACCCCUAUAGUUCAUGCAAUUUUGUACGUCGCCCUUAUUCUUGUAGAUAGGCACCAAAGUGCUCGUUCGCCACUCAUUUGGCAUCUUCUUCGUUUUCAAAAUCCUAUUGAAAAGGUCAGUGAGCCAUGUUAUACCUGUCUCUCCCAAAACUUUCCACACUUCGAUUGGUAUAUCGUCUGGGCCUACUGCUUUUCUAUGCUUCAUCUUCUUCAAAGCUACAACCACUUCUUCCUUCCGGAUUCUACGAUAAAAAGAGUAGUUUCUACACUCUUCUGAGUUACUCAACUCCCCUAAAGAAGCACUCCAUUUCAUGUCCUUCAUUGAAAAAGAUUAUGAAAAUAACCUUUCCAUCUGUCUUUAACCGCGUUCUCUGUAGCAAGAACCUUUCCAUCCUCAUCCUUGAUGCACCUCACUUGGUUUAGGUCCCUUGUCUUCUUUUCCCUUGCUCUAGCUAGUUUAUAGAUAUCCAACUCUCCUUCUUUGGUAUCUAGUCGCUUAUACAUAUCGUCAUAAGCCGCUAACUUAGCUUCUCUCACAGCUUUCUUCGCCUCUUGCUUCGCUUUUCUAUACCUUUCACCAUUUUCAUCAGUCCUAUCCUUGUAUAAGGCUUUACAACAUUCCUUCUUAGCCUUCACCUUUGUUUGUACCUCCUCAUUCCACCACCAAGAUUCCUUUUGGUGUGGGGCAAAGCCCUUGGACUCUCCUAAUACCUCUUUUGCUACUUUUCGGAUACAACUAGCCAUGGAAUCCCACAUUUGGUUAGCUUCCCCCUCUCUAUCCCACACACACUGGGUGAUUACUUUCUCUUUGAAAAUGGACUUGUUUUUCUUCUUUUAGAUUCCACCAUCUAGUCCUUGGGCACUUCCAAGUCUUGUUCUUUUUUUUCUCACUCUUUUGAUAUGUACAUCCAUCACCAACAAGCGAUGUUGAUUAGCCACGCUCUCUCCUGGUAUAACUUUGCAAUCCUUACAAGUUAUACGAUCCCCUUUCCUCAUUAGAAGAAAAUCUAUUUGUGUUUUUGACGACCCACUCUUGUAGGUGAUCACAUGUUCUUCUCUCUUCUUAAAGAAGGUGUUGGCUAAGAAGAGAUCAUAUGCCAUUGCAAAAUCCAAGAUAGCUUCCCCAUCCUCGUUUCUCUCCCCAAAACCAUGGCCACCAUGAAAACCUCCAUAGUUGCCUGUCUCCCUGCCCACGUGUCCAUUUAAAUCUCCUUCCUAUAAAUAACUUCUCCGUCUGAGCAAUUCCUUGCACCAAGUCUCCAAGGUCUUCCCAAAAUUUCUCCUUCGAACUCGUAUCCAACCCUACUUGAGGUGCGUGCGUACGCACUAAUCACAUUGAUAAGUUCUUGUCCUAUUACAAUCUUGAUUGCCAUGAUUCUAUCUCCUACCCUCUUGACAUCUACAACAUCUUGUGUCAAGGUCUUGUCCACGAUGAUGCCAACACCGUUUCUCGUUCUAUUUGUGCCCGAAUACCAUAGUUUAAACCCUGAGUUUUCUAGAUCCUUUGCCUUACUACCAACCCACUUAGUUUCUUGUAGGCACAUAAUAUUUAUCCUUCUCCUCACCAUAACUUCUACUACUUCCAUAGAUUUUCCCGUUCAAGGUUCCUAUAUUCCACGUUCCUAAACGCAUUUUGCUCUCUUGAACUCUACCCUUCUGUCCUAGCUUCUUCACCCUUCCCCGUCUAAUAGGAUCAAAAUACUUCUUUUGUGUGUCCCGUGUAAAGUUGAUAGGAGCAUAUGCUCCUAAACAACUUUGAGUGGAGUCGUUCGAAAAGAAGUUUCUAUAGCCCCCUUGCUCAUUUAACACUGCAUCCGGGUGCCGAUGGAGAUACAGCGACCCUUGCUCACUUAUCACUGUGCUCGGGCCACACAGCGCGCCACUUACGGGUGACGCCCUAGCUUUAGCGCGAUUUCGUUCUGGAUUCAUUUUCAUAAGGAUUCGACGUAAUCAUGGAGUGCUGGCUGUCGACUACCUGACGCUCUCCCCCUCCUCCUUUAUCCGUCUCUCUCUCUGUGGCUUUCUUAUAACACAAAAAUAUCCCUAAUUAGAGCAUGCCACACACCAACACAUUGCUAUUAUAGAAGUAUUUUUCUUAGUGGCAAGUAUUAUACUCUCAUUUGGCCAAGAGGAUAUGAAAUUGGUUGAGUAUAUUGUUCUAGCCAUUUGGAUCAAUAAGCUCAAGUUUGUAUUGUACAAAACCAUAAGUACUCAGACAUAUGAAAUCCAAUCUUUCACUUUACAAACAACAUAUGGGUAAGAAAUAGAAAGCUUUAGAACACAAAUAUACCUGAAGUGCUGAAAUAUGAGCUGAGGAAAUGUUUUCUUCUUAUUUUGAGGGAAGAAAAAUGCAGCUCUGAAUUAGGACCCAUUUCUUAACCUGUGGUUCCUAUAACCCAUAAAUAAUUUUAGUGUCAUUCAAAAUCACAAAUACCCCAGAUGAAUUGAAAAACUGCAGAGAUUAGUUUCAUGAAUACAUAAUGAAGCAGAAAGCCAUAGUUAAUCUAAAAAGAGCGUUUAGUUAAUCUAAAAAGAGGCAUACACAUACUACCAAUCCUCCGAAUGUUCUCUGCACGAUGUUCUGCUUUAAAACUAAGGUCGUAAUUCAAGCCAUGCCUGACAUUGUCCCCAUCAAGAAUGUACAACAGCUUCUGCUGUAGUACAAACUCCCACUCAAAGCACAUGCCACCGUGCUCUUCCCUGCACAAACAAAAUAAAUUAUACGCAAGUAAUGAGCAACUUUCUUUCGGCACAUAGUCUAAGUUCAUACUUAACCUUUAGCAUCGUUCAAUCAUAUACUACCAGUAUGUUGACCAAGGUAUGAUUCUAAUUUACAUAUGUUCUUAUAAAAAAGUUUAUACACAUAAAUUUCAAUAUGUCUCCUUACAAUUUUUAAAGGGAUUAGUGAGGAUAAGAUUAGGGAUACGCUUUAGACAUCAACCCCUUCUUAAUCCUUCAAUUGUAAUCUAGUCCUUCAUAUUAAGCAUGGCCUAAAUGCUUAACAAUCAGGGAUAACUUGUAUGGAAAUGAACUGACAAUGAAGGUGGGUUUUUGUCUUUUGGGUGAUCUCAUGAUGCAAACAUAUACUGGAGGAUAGGUAGCUAAAGCUAUUUAUGCUUCGUUCACAUUUUAGUAUCUAUUUGUACAGUGCGAAGUUCUUACCCCAAAGUUUGCCUUAUAUGUGACAGCUUUCUCCAUGUAUGCGCCAUUGAAAGUUGAACCACUGAAAUCAGAUUCCCUCAUAUCCGCUCAUGUUAAAUUGGCUAGCUCUUCUGCAUCAGUCAGUUUACAUUGAUGUGAAAAUGCAGAUACUAAUGACAAAAUUAGUCUUCUUCUUUUCAAACCAAAUACAUUAGCUUUAGCAGGUCGUUCAUUAUGGAGGGUAGCAGACAAAUGCAACAAAGAAAAACAACAAUUUGCGGAAAGAAAGAAAUUAACAAAAUAAAAAAUUGGUUUUUUUUUCUCAUGUGAGGGACCAUACCAAUAUUUGAUUCAACCAAGGGUUUUUCUCUGAGCUAAAAGUUCGGACUUCCACUUUUCAACUGAGGAUGAAAUAACAGAGAAAACGCACAAAAUAAAAGGCCUAAUUCCAAAUUAUUUAAAGGAAAAUAAAAAAAUUAAUUUGAAUCAAACUGAAGAAAAAAGUUCAAAUUAAGAAAAUCCUAGUAAGUGGAAAAGGAUAUGGUGAGUGACUAUUUGCCUUGAAAACUCACAGUUUGGAAUGGAUCAUCAAUCAUCUCUGGAGUCAUCAAGUGGCAGCAUCAGCUUCACAUCCAACAACAGGAAGUAACUCUGUAUUCUUGUAUAAAAGAGUGCUCAUAUGGGUUAGCAAGAGUGGGGCAUUGAGUCUGCCAAUCGAAAACCUUAACCUCCCACUCCCUGUAAGCUGUAGGUACAACAUUCUCGGGAAGUUCUAUUGGGCACCCUUCCCUUGUGAAGUCUGCUCCAUGGCCAUCCCAUUCACCGGACACAUUCCUGGCAAAUUCGGACCAAACACAUAAAAGAGAGAUUGAAUUACAGCAGCACGUCAAAUAUAUUAACUUAUAGAUUCUAGACUUCAAAUAGUUAACAUAACAAAUACAAAUUCAACCAUCAUCUCUCUUAUCCAUUGCCUUUUCUACUAUAAAUGAAACCGGAUAUUAAAUAACCCAUGGUUUUAGAUUGGCAGAUUGCAAUUUCUUUGGAAAUUAGUCGUAAAAGUUAAUACAUUUCAUCACUCCAUUUCUGACUUAUCCUUUUAUCAACUGUUGUGCACCCUAAUCCAAAGAAUGGAAUUUUACCCGCCAAAUAUCAAACUGGAUAUCUAACAACUAGAAAUUUUCCAUUGGAUAUCUAAUAAAUUUCAAUUACUCAAUUUCUAUACAACCCCAAAUCCAAAUACCGUAUGUUGCUCCAAAUAUCAAUGCAAAGAUGCAAACCUUUUUUACGCUACAACAAGAACCAUACAAUUUUAAUAAAACCCACAAAAACCAAGUAAAUAAGCAGAUUUUUGGCAAAAGCACUUAAAAUACACUCACCAGAAGCAAAAGUGGAAAUGGGAUUGAAGCCUUUGCUGCGGUCCUCCUCCUGGAGCUGCAGCUUAACAUCUGACACAGCGCUGUUGGCAGAGGAAGAGGCAGCGCUCUGGACAAUCUGACCUCUCUGGCGGCAGUUGUGAGGCAGUUGGAAUCUAUAGGCCUCGGUUGAUGGAUCUCCCAUUUGGUCACACUGUUGUUAUAUCCAUUUUUGUUCUUCCUUGUCAAUCAGGAUCUGCACCCCUGAAAACCCACAAAGACAUUAGAAAUGGAACCCUCUGCAUUUCUUUUGAAAAUAGAAACACAGAGAUCAGACGAAUCAUUUUAAAUCAUAUGAUUCACAUUAGCUCAUUCUACUAACCUUCCUCGUACAAACCACGAGUUCAGAUCUCCCUUUCUUUAACUACCUGGCUAUCCAAGUUCUUGAAUUUCGAAAACAAAAAUCCGAAGAGGAUCUUGACUCCAAAUAGGGUAGCUUUUCUACCGUGCAGGUAGCUAGCCCUAAAAAUAAGGGAAACCCCACCCCACGCACAACAAAAGUACAAUGUCGCUCUAAAAUUGAUAUUAAAAUUAAGUAUGUUUUAACGAAAAAUUUGUGGUACUGUUUAUUUUAACGAAAAAUCAUAUUUUUAUACUAAAAAGUCAAAUCUGGGACUAUUUAUUUUACCCUUUAUUUUAUCUUUAUCGUUAAAACUCAAAGUUUUCAAACCCUUUUUAUUAAUUUUUCUCAAAAUUAACUAGUCCAUCAUUCCAAAAAUUGUUGUGACAAUGUUGCAUUUAAAAUUGUCUGACAAUAUAACAUUAUUCUGGACAAAACUUUUGUAUAAAUUAUUAGUUCAAACAAAAGACGUUAUAUAGCUUCUUCCAAUUUUAGGUAUAUAUAGUCCAUUGCUGAAAAUUCUACCAUGCUCAUCAUAAUUCUUGACAAUCAACCAGGCAAUUGGGUUAAAUUGUCCUUGACCAAAAAAAUGAUGGUCCAUCAAUGCCAAAUUGGGCCGGCAAUUAGUUUCCCAAAAUAAAAAAAAAUUGGGCAGGCAAAGGUAGUUGAACUACCCUUUCAGCCUAUUGGCAAUGAGUAACGAUGGGCCUAAUGUCAAGUAGGAGAGGCUGGACAACUGAUUGUUUCCCAUAGCUUCUGUGAUCCAAACAAUGCUUUGAAUUGGAUGCACCAUCUUUCGUAAUUUUCUUUCUUCAAUGUGGGAACCUGGAGCUGCACUAAGUUGGACGCCAUAACUGCUACACUUGCCAGAAUGGUAUUCUGGCUCUGAUACCAAUUGUUGGUAUUCACAAGAGUUUACUAACUCAAUACCAAAAUAUGUGGGUGAUAAGUUUACAAACUAUAUCACACCUCUCACUUGCACUCUCAAUAAUAUUGGACAAAGAAAUAGAGAAAGGAGGGAAGCUACAAGCUUUGGCAAACAAUGCACUUUGAUAUAUUUAAAAAAGUUUGCAAACACACUUCUUAAAUGGAAUGACAAAUCAGAGAGAUAUAUAUUCUAAAGCCUUACGUGAGGCUUAUUUAUACAAGCAGAAAAGAAGGACCACUCAAGUGCUUUUAAUAAAAUAAACACAACAGCACACACAAACAAAUCAUAUGAACUUUGGACAAUCUAGCACACAUAUGCAGCUAUCUUUCCAGCUUGCAAUCAACACACUUUCGGCUAGCAUAUCACAUGGCAGCACACUGCUGUCUUGUAAUCUGCUUUCGGCUAACAGAUGGAGGAGCAAUGAUGUUUAUAUUUGCUGGAUACAACCUGGAAAGAAAAGCUAGCAUCACAUGGACAUAUAGUUAGACAUCACAUGGCUUUUAAUUUAAAUUUCCAACAUGCCCCCUCAAAUUAAAACGCCUUCAUGCCUAGCAUUUCACGUAGUAGUCGGAAUGAUUCAACUGGUAGUGGCUUAGUGAAGAUGUCUGCCACUUGUUCCUUCGUGUGACAAUAGACAAGCUCAAUUGUCUUUUGCUUCACAUGGUCCCUUAGAAAAUGGAACCUGGUAUCAAUGUGCUUGCUCCUUCCAUGUUGAACAGGAUUCUUUGCAAGCUUGAUUGCAGACAUGUUAUCCACAUGAAUCACAGUCGAUUCCACUUGUGGAUGACACACUGACUUCAAUAGAUUUCUUAACCAAAUUGCCUCACACACUGUUGAGGCUACAACAACAUACUCGGCUUCACAUGAUGACAAAGCAACAAUUGAUUGCUUCUUUGAAGUCCAUGAGAAAGUUGUUGAUCCUAGAAAAACACAUAGCCAGUUGUGUUUUUCCUUUCAUCUUGAUCACCUCCCCAAUCACUAUCUGAAUAACCAAAUAAUUUUGCAUCUUCACCAAAAUUAUAAAACAGACCAUAGUUUAGAGUACCUCUUAUGUACCUCAAAAUUCUCUUGGCGGCCAGCCAAUGAGACUCCCUUGGUGUUUCCAUGUAUCCACUCACGAGUCCAACACCAUAAACUAUAUCAGGUCUUGCGAUUGUAAGGUAUCUUAGGCUUCCAACCAAGCUUUUGUACACGGUCGAGUUUACAAACUCACCUUCUCCUUCCUUGGACAGCUUCAAGCCAGUUGCAACUGGAGUGUUGACAAUAUUGCACUUGUCCAUAUUGAAUUUCUCCAAUAUAUCUCUCAUGUACUUUUGUUGAGAGAUGUAGAUACCGUCACUUUCUUGCUUCACCUCUAUGCCAAGAAAGUAUGACAUUAACCCAUUGUCAGUCAUCUCGAAUUCACUGAACAUGGAUUGCUUGAACUCACAGAACAUUGCUUCAUUGUUCCCUGUAAACAACAAGUCAUCUACAUAGAGACAAAUAAUUAAGAACUCCCAUUUUUCACCGUUCUUCAUGUAAACUGAAUGCUCGUAUGGACAUUUCUGAAAUCCAUUUUGGUGAAGGUAGUUAUCAAUCCUUGAGUUCCAAGCUCGUGGUGCUUGCUUGAGGCCAUACAAAGCCUUCUUCAAACGAUACACCUUAUCUUCUUCUCCUUGUACUUGGAAGCCUUCCAGUUGUUCCACACACACCUCUUCCUCAAGAACUCCAUUAAGGAAGGCUGACUUGACAUCUAGUUGAUAAAUUUUCCAUUUAUGAUGAGCAACAAGAGAGAUUAGCAAUCUUACCGUGUCAAGUCUUGCAACUGGAGCAUAGACUUCAUCAUAGUCAACUCCAUACUUCUGUUUGUAGCCCUUUGCUACAAGCCUUGAUUUGUACCGAUCCACACUCCCAUCUGCAGUGCGUUUGAUCUUGUACACCCACUUGACACCAAUAGCCUUCUGAUUUGGUGGGAGCUUUGUCAACUCCCAAGUGUCAUUCUUCUCGAUGGCAUGGAUUUCUUCCUCUAUGGCUAUUCUCCAACGAUCUUCUUCCAUAGCUUCAUUGAAUGAGAGAGGCUCGUGGUCUACAUACAAGCAGAAAAAGUUGGUUUCUUAUUCUUCUUCUUGUCCAUAUAUCUCAGUGAGACUUCUUAGCCUUACUGGAGUUGAGGAGCUGCUUUCUUCACUGGAUGUAGGACCACUCUUUGCAGUUCUGUGCAAUGGAGUUGUUGUGUUUGUUUGAGCAGGCUGUUGCUCAACAGGUAGUACAACUUCUGGUUCUUCAAAAUCAGUGGAGACGAUCUUUUCUUUACUGACUUCUUUGUUGUUCCACUUCCAUGCCUCUUCCUCACUGAAGAUGACAUCUCUACUAACCACUAGUUUGCCAGUUAGUGGGUUGUAGAGCUUAUAUGCCUUGGACUCUUCACUAUAGCCCACAAAAACACACUUCUCACCUCGAUCAUCGAGCUUUCUCAUCUUGGCUUCUGGAACUUAAGCAUAUGCAACACACCCAAAAACUCUUAGGUGUGCAACAUUCGGCUUGUAUCCACUCCAAGCCUCUUGUGGUGUCAUCCUCUUGACACUCUUUGUUGGACAUCGAUUAACAAAUAAAUCGAACAAGCUACAACUUCUGCCCACAAUUCUUUUGGAAAAUUCUUCUCCUUAAGCAUGGACCUUGUCAUGUCAAGGAUGGUUCGAUUCUUUCUUUCGGCUAUCCCAUUUUGUUGUGGGGUAUAGGCAGCAGUCAGUUGAUGCCUAAUUCCUUGCUCCUUGCAGUAUGCUUGGAAAGCAUUGGAGGUGUACUCUCCACCUCUAUCUGAUCUCACAGCCACAAGCUUGUGGUUGCUUUCAGCCUCUGUGAGUGCCUUGAACUCCUUGAAGAUUCUUAGGGCAUCCGACUUCUCCUUGAGAAAAUAAACCCAAGUUUUCCUACUAAAAUCAUCAAUGAAAGUAAUAAAAUACCUAUUACCUCCAUAAGACAUGGGAUACAAUGGACCACAUAUAUCUGUGUGCACCAACUGCAGUGGUGCCUUUGCUCUCCAUGUAUCACCAACAGGGAACGAUAGUCGUGCUUGCUUGCCAAGCACACAACCUUCACAUACUUGGUGUGUGGCUUCAAUCUGGGGUAGACCACGAACCAUUCCUCCACUUGACAGCAACUUUAGGCCAUUGAAAUGAAGAUGGCCAAAUCGAAGAUGCCAUUUCCAUGACUCAUCUUCCAUUACAUCGAUGUUGCAACUCCCAAUCUUUGUGUUCAACUUCAACGAGAACAUUCGGUUCUUUGACAUUUGAACACGUGCAAUAAGUUUUCUCCUUGCAUUCCUGAGAGUGAGAAACAUAUCCUCCAUAUGUAUAACAUACCAUUUCUGGAGCAGUUAACCAAUGCUCAUAAUGUUGCUCUUCAUACCUGGUAUGUAGUAGGUAUCGGAGAUGUAUUCUUCUCUACCAUCCUUCUGGAUGAUUUUGAUCUUUCCUUUGCCUUCAACUGGCAACUUUGAGGAGUCACCAAGACUCACAGAUCCAUAAUGCCCAUCUUUGAGUUCGGCAAAAAACUCUUUCUUUCCACACAUGUGGUUACUUGCACCAGAGUCCAAAUACCAAACAUCUUGUUGGCUACUGAUAUCAUGGUGUGCUAGUAAGACUGUAAAUUCUUCACCAGCAUUUCCACUUGAUUCUGCCAUGUUGACAUGCUCACCAAUGUUAUAUGAACAUUCAUUGGCAUAAUGUCCAUAUUGCUUGCAACUGUGACACUGGAUAUGCGCCUUUCCUCGAGUUGAUCUCCACUCUUGAGAUUGACCUCGGUUUUGUGCAUAGCCUCGACCUCUUCCUCGGGCUCGUCCUCGGCUACGGUUGGAUGAACUCCCACGACGUGAGUUCCACUGCCCACGACCUCCAUUUGGUUUGUCAAUAUUCAACUUUGACUCCAAAGCUUGCUCUAGCAUUGUAGGGCUUGCAUUCUUUUAAAUGCGUUGCUCAUGAACUAGGAGGGAUCCUAGUAGCUCCUCUGUGCUCAUCGCCUCCAAAUCCUUGGAUUCCUCAAUGGCAGUCACCACAUGCUCAAACUUAGAUGUGAGUGAUCGGAGUAUCUUCUCCACAACUCGUACUUCAUCGAGUCUCUCGCCAUUUCUCCUCAUCUGAUUUACUAUCACAAUGAGCCUUGAGUGAUAGUCGGAGAUGCUCUCCCCUUCAUUCAUGUGAGCAGUUUCAAAAUCUGCUCGAAGUGACUGUAACCUCACUUUCUUGACUCGAUCUACUCCUUUGUAGAUUGUACUGAGUGUGUCCCAUACUUGCUUGCUCGUUGUUGCUUCUGCAACCUUCUCGAACGUUGAAUCUUCCAGACCCUGGUAUAGAAAAUACAGCGCCUUCUGGUCCUUAUUUCGUAAGUCCUUGAGAAUGUUCCUUUGGUCUGCAGUAUAUGCGGCUUCUUGCUCGGCAGUGGGUACAACAUACCCACUACUAACUAUUUCCCAUAGCUCCUGUGAUCCAAACAAUGCUUUGAAUUGGAUGCACCAUCUUUCGUAAUUUUCUUUCUUCAAUGUGGGAACCUGGAGCUGCACUAAGUUGGACGCCAUAACUGCUGCACUUGCCAGAAUGGUAUUCUGGCUCUGAUACCAAUUGUUGGUAUUCACAAGAGUUUACUAACUCAAUACCAAAAUAUGUGGGUGAUAAGUUUACAAACUAUAUCACACCUCUCACUUGCACUCUCAAUAAUAUUGGACAAAGAAAUAGAGAAAGGAGGGAAGCUACAAGCUUUGGCAAACAAUGCACUUUGAUAUAUUUAAAAAAGUUUGCAAACACACUUCUUAAAUGGAAUGACAAAUCAGAGAGAUAUAUAUUCUAAAGCCUUACGUGAGGCUUAUUUAUACAAGCAGAAAAGAAGGACCACUCAAGUGCUUUUAAUAAAAUAAACACAACAGCACACACAAACAAAUCAUAUGAACUUUGGACAAUCUAGCACACAUAUGCAGCUAUCUUUCCAGCUUGCAAUCAACACACUUUCGGCUAGCAUAUCACAUGGCAGCACACUGCUGUCUUGUAAUCUGCUUUCGGCUAACAGAUGGAGGAGCAAUGAUGUUUAUAUUUGCUGGAUACAACCUGGAAAGAAAAGCUAGCAUCACAUGGAAAGAUAGUUAGACAUCACAUGGCUUUUAAUUUGAAUUUCCAACAAUAGCUCCCUCGCCCUUGUAGUGCUACUUUUAGCAAUUAUAGACUUUGGAUGAUGUAUACUGAAAUGAGCACAUUAAACAGCUUAAAAUAAUGACAAACAAGUCCUUUAAGAAUGCAUACCCGCUCUUACCAGAGAUAUUAAGACAGAACAAUUUCAUUUUUCCACGAUCAUUCUACCAUUGGCCUCACAGACCAAGGAAAGUCGAACGAAAAUUUUGAAACCAAGUCGCUAAAGAACACUAAAGUAAAACUUUAACCCUAUAACAAACUGCAGGGGACAUUUUGAUUAACAUAGCAAUCUAAUCAAACCAAGUAGUUAACUACUGCAGCUCUUUGAGCAUCUUUCUUCUUUGUUCAAGCAUUUCCGAUACGCUGACAUCAAAUAGACAUCAAGCAUGGCCUGAAUGUCAUUAAAUACCUAAAACCAUCAUUACCCCUCAAGCUCCUUUAAGUUUCUCAACUAAUCGUAGAUUCGCUUGUAUAUUCACUAGGUUUCCCAAGUCCAACAUUGAUUAAAACCAGAAGUACAUCAACCUUCAUGCAGUUCAACAAUUUUCAUUGCACCACAUGUCAUUAUCUAUAAGUAAUAUUAUCUUAGAUUUUUGUUCAAGUGUGAACUUUGAAAGUUUUAUUAGAUAUUUUUUGUUGCAAGUUUUUUCUAAUUUUUUUGGAUUUUUUAACGUCUGAUGUGAGAAAAUAUUGGGUUCCAUGUAUUUGUUUUUCCAUUUAGGAUGAUUGCCAAAAUGAAUUAUGGAUGAUAAUGCUAUUUCGAGUCAGCUUCUGGACUCAAGGUGCUUUAAUGGUCUUGGUCCUUGGCGUUCACCGAAAGUGCCAAACAGUUCCCAGUAGUGAAGUCGUCUAAAAAAACAAUCCAAAGUGGUUAUCAUAUUUGAAUUUUCAAUAAAAAGAAACUGUGGUGGAGGUUCAUCCUAUGAUCCUAAAGGUGCUUUAAUGAUCUUGGUCCUUGGUGUUCACUGAAAGUGCCCAACAAUAGUUCCCAGUAGUGGAAGAAAUGGAACUCACUAUGAUGCUAUUCUUGGACUUUUUCCAGAUAGUCUAAAAAACCAGUCAAAGUGGUUAUCAUUUACUUGGACUUUUUCCUUCCCAUAUUUGAAUUUUCAAGAACCAGAAACCGUGAUGUAAGUUCCUCCUAUGAUGCUAUUCUUCUAUAAAUUGUCUUCCCAUGCAACAAAUGGAACUCACCACUUUCACAACUCAACACCUAUCUCUCUGUCUUUUUGCUUCUCUCUCUAGUUAUUUUGUUAAUCAGAUCAGAAAUGGGGGUUUUGGUUGUGAAAUUGAUCUUAACAUGCUUUUCAGUGCAGUGUUCGUUUGCUGUUGGAGCUCCCUGCGAUCGGGACUCAGAGGGAAUGUGACGGAUAGGCUGGCGCUGCUAGCCAUCAAAGCUCAAAUAAAGCAAGAUCUCCAUAAUUACAAUGUGAUGAGCUCCUGGAACGAAUCCACGCACUUCUGCAUGUGGCAUGGUGUGACGUGCAAUCGACGACAUCGCCAAAGGGUCACUAAGCUGGACCUGCAAUCUCAAAAUCUGGUAGGGAAACUAUCCCCAAACGUAGGAAAUCUAAGUUUUCUAAAGGAGUUGUGGCUGCGAAAUAACAGCUUCAGUCAUGAAAUUCCUCCACAAAUUGGGAAUUUGGGUAGGUUGCAGGUAUUGCGAUUAGACAUUAACUCGUUUAGUAGCAGUAUUCCACACAAUAUAUCAUAUUGCUUCAACCUUAUCGUUGUGAAUUUCACUCGCAACAAGUUGGUGGGUAAAAUUCCUUCAGAAAUUGGAUUGCUGUCGAAGCUUCAAAAUUUUAUAUUAGAAGAUAAUAAUAUAACGGGACAGGUCCCUCCUUCCUUGGGGAACCUUUCGUCUCUCCGGGCACUAAUUCUCGUUAGUAAUAACUUGAUGGGAAACAUCCCCAGUUCUCUUGGCCAAUUGAAAAAAUUAACCUUCUUGAGAUUGGGGUUAAAUCAGUUGUCUGGUAGCAUCCCUUCCUCCAUUUAUAACCUCUCUUCUCUUGUUACAUUUUCCAUGACAAAUAACCAAAUUCAAGGGAGUAUUCCAUCAGAUAUUGGCAAAAGUCUUCUUAAUCUCGAAAUAUUCAACUUCGGCAUCAACCAACUUACUGGGUCCAUACCUCCCUCAAUAAUCAACGUCACAAGUGUUUGGUUUUUUGACGUUGGGAGUAGCAACCUAAUCGGACGGGUACCGAAUCUCCAAAAGCUUCACAACCUCCAGGUUUUCAACAUUCAAUAUAAUAAUAUUGGAAGCGGUAAAGAUGGUGACUUAAGUUUUCUCUCGGACUUGACCAAUGCCACCCGGUUACAAUUUUUGAUUAUUAACACCAACAAUUUUGGAGGGACAUUGCCCAUGUCAAUAUCCAAUCUCUCAACCAAACUUGAAAUUUUUGCAGUUGACACUAACCAAAUAUAUGGAAGCAUCCCAUCUGGGAUAGGGAAUCUGGUGAGCUUGGAAUGGUUGUCUUUGGGGAAUAAUAGCUUCACAGGAAACAUCCCCUCUGACAUGGGUAAGCUUUCAAACCUUGGAUUAUUAAAGAUUUACAAGACCAAAUUAUCAGGAAAUAUUCCGUCUUCCUUCAGAAAUUAACCAAGUUAUACCAUCUUUCGUUGGUUGGAAAUUAUCUUGAGGGCAGCAUUCCUUCAGGUCUGGGGGAAUGCCAUGGGUUGCAAUUGUUGUAUCUUUCUUAUAACCUCCUAAAUGGCACAAUACCCAAACAAGUUUUUAGACUCUCCUCCUUAACGAUUUCUUUGGACUUGUCUAAUAACCUCUUCACAGGUUCCCUUCCCCCGGAGGUUGGGAAUUUCCAUAGUCUAAGUGAACUGGAUCUUUCUGAUAACAUGUUAUCUGGAGAACUUCCCAGUAGCCUUGGUGGUUGUGAGAGUUUAGAAGUCCUGCAUUUGCAAGGAAACUUCUUCAACGGGUCCAUUCCUUUGUCUAUGAGUUCAGUGAGAGGGAUUCGAGAUAUAGACCUUUCUCGCAAUAAUUUUUCAGGGGAAAUUCCACAUUUUUUAGAAGGCUUUAGAAUCCUGAAUAUUCUGAACUUAUCAUUCAAUCAAUUUUGGGGAGUGGUACCAACUGGAGGUGUUUUCAAAAAUGCGAGUGCUAUUUCAGUCAUUGGCAACACAAAUUUGUGCAGUCUUGUUGCUAAUUUAAAGCUUCCCAAGUGCAAGUCUAAAGAGACCAAGAAACGAAGAUUGUCUCGUAGCUUGAAACUAAUACUCCCUUUAGUAUUUGGGCUUACUCUUCUAGGAAUAGCCAUGGUGUUCUCCUAUUUCUUUCUUUGUUCAUCAAGGAAGAAAAGGAAAGAAAUUUCAUUGAGCACUUUGGGGGACACUAUUUUGCAAGUGUCAUAUGCUACUCUACUCAAAGCUACUGAUGGGUUCUCAGAGGCUAAUUUAAUUGGUGUUGGUAGUUUUGGGUCUGUGUACAAGGGAGUCUUGAUGAUGAUGAUAAAGCUCAACUUGUUGCCGUGAAGGUGUUUAACUUGUUACGCCUUGGAGCUUCGAAGAGUUUCAUAGCCGAAUGUGAAGCUUUGAGAAAUAUUAGGCAUCGAAAUCUCGUCAAGAUUAUAAUUGUCUGUUCAAGUGUUGAUUUUAAUGGUAAUGAUGUCAAGGCUCUAGUUUAUGAGUUCGUGGACAACGGGAGCUUAGAGGAGUGGCUGCAUCCACCUACUGGAACUGAAGAGUUAGGAGAUCAUGUACCCAAGAAUUUAAGUCUUCUUCAGAGGCUAGAAAUUGCCAUUGGUGUUGCUUGUGCACUAGAUUAUCUUCAUAAUCAUUGUGAAACGCCAAUAGUUCAUUGUGAUCUCAAACCAAGCAACGUUCUCUUAGACAAAGAAUUGACUGGCCAUGUUUCUGACUUUGGAUUAGCAAGGUUUCUCUCAUAAGUAACAAGUAAUGUUUCAGCAAUCCAGAGUCAGACAAGUUCUAUUGGAAUAAGAGGAAUGGUUGGUUAUCCAGCUCCGGGUAUAUAUAUGUUAGAUAUAUACUUCAUUAUUUUUCCUUUCUUAUUUUGGAGUAUUGAAUUUACAAAAUUCAAACUGAUUUAUUUAUACAGAUAUGUGAUGUUUGAAUUGUAGAGUAUGGCAUGGGGAGUGAGGUGUCAAGGAAUGGGGAUGUCUACAGCUUUGGUAUUCUCUUGUUAGAGAUGUUUACAGGGAAGAGACCCACUGACAACAUUUUUGGUGAUAGCUUGAACCUUCAUAAUUUUGUCAAGAUGGCUCUCCUCGGGCGAGUUACGGAGAUUGCAGAUGCACCACUUCUUCAAGGAGGCACAAACGAGAAUUCCAAUCAAUGCAGUGCAAGAAUUCAUAAAGUUGAGGUGUGCUUGAGUUCAAUAUUUAGAAUUGGAAUUGCUUGUUCUGCUGAAUCCACAACAGAUCGACUAAAGAAUAUCAAUGAUGCUGCAUCUGAACUUCAUUCCAUUAGGAAUACUUUUCUUGGAUAGAAACUCUUUUUUAUGUGCUUUUGUGAUAAAGAAAUUUCGUGCUCGUGAAGUCUAGCUUUUAUGUUACUGCAAUAGAUGUGGAAGUUUGCAAUGUAAAUAAUCACCAAAGAGGUUCAUUGUGUGAAGAGUGUAUUACUACUUCUUGUACUUGGUAUUUUUGUGUAAUAUUCACAUCGAUUAAAAUCUAGUUCGUGCCACAAAAUUGUUGAAAAUUCACAUUGACAAAUUCCAAAUUUUUUGAAGAUUCAUAACCUCUAGACCCUCAAGAUUCAAUAAAAUCAACUUGGAAGCUGUAAAGAUAGUGAUUGGAGUUUCCUAUUAGACUUGACCAACAAAAUUGUUGGUUAUGAAGGUGUUUAACAUGUUACGUCACGGAGCAUCAAAGAGUUUCAUAGCCGAAUACGAGGCUUUGAGAAAUAUCAAGCAUCAAAAUCUCUUCAAGGUCAUAUCUGCAUGUUUUCUCGAUGAUGAUUUCAAGGCUCUAGUUUAUGAGUUGAUGCACCAAAGGAGCUUAGAGGAGUGGUUGCAUCCCCCUCCUGUAAUUAAAAUCUUCUUCAAGGGCUAGAUAUUGUUAUUGGUGUUGCUAUUAUGCACUGGAUUAUUUCAUAACCAUAGCGAAACACCCAUAGUUCAUUGUGAUCUAAAGCCAAGCAAUGUUCUUCUAAACACCAAGUUGACAGUGGACUAAUCUCAGACUAUUACUUAUAUGAACUCCUCCAUAUAAGUGGAGAGAAUUUGGUUCAAGUUGGUUGAUAUGGUUAAUAGGGUUUGCAAAUGGCCAUUUUUUGUAGUACUUUAACCCCAACUUUAAAGCCCAUGGGCUGUGACAAAUCAAGGUUUUCUAGCAUUGUUGUUAUCAAUAUUCUCCUAUGUGCAUUCUAAAUUCUAAUCCAAUGGUUUUAGCAGUCGUUCUACCAAUCUUGACAAUGAAAGAGUUUUUAUUUUAUUUUUUCGAACAAAUGAUAUUAUCUACACUAAGGGGAAGGGGAUAGGCUUAGCCUCGUAAUGAGCUAACAAUAAUGUGGUUCAAUUUCGUAUUUGACGAUAAUCGAACUUAAAACAUAUCACUUACAAGUGAAGAGAAUAUCACUGGAUCGUAGUACUAAGUAGCAUGAAAGAGUUUCUAUUAAACCAACAAAAAUGAAAAUUCUCAACCGUUCAUAAAUGGAUUUGAAUUUAGAUUUAUUACAAUUGAUAGAUUUUUUUUUUUUGGGUAAUCAAUAGGAUACUAACAAAUUUGUUUUUAGAACAUACGUCACAAUAAUGUGACUUGUAGCUGUGUCACUGGCCUUUUAACUUAUUGCCCUAUCUUUAACACACUUCAAUUAAUAUCAUCCACUAAUUGUUAGUAUUUAAUGAAUCUCAUCAUAAAUUGUUACCCAAAAUAUUACUUAUCAAAGCAAAUAAACUUGAUUGAGUUAUAAAUUUAUUGGCAUGGUUAGGAGAAAAAUCAAUUUUGUUCAUAAUUUUCAUGUUUUCCAAGUGAACAUGGGCUAUAAGUGAAGUUCCAAAAGAUACGGUGGUGUAAUUUGGUCCAUGAAUUGUUUCCUCCAAUUUGCAUGCAUGCGGUAGGUGACUAACUCCCAAAUAAUUCUCGUUACCAAGCAAAUUAAAUACCAUUAACUAAGAGCUUAAAAACUCCUGAAUUAUUACCCCUCUAUUUUGCUUUUGCAAUUAGGAAUUUUUCCCCAUUUGCAUAAAAUAUGAUAAGAAUAUUUUUGCUCUCCACACUCAAAUGAUGGUGAUGCUCACUACUUUAUUUAUCACCGUUAUAUGAGUUUAAUACUUUGGAUAGACACAAAUCUCAAAAUUUAAACUCAUACAACGGUAAUAAAUAAGGUAGUAAGCAUUACCACCCCUUGAGGGUGAUGACUAAAAAUCACCCCAAUAAUAUAAGUAGUUAAGUUGGUGUGGUUGUUGGUCUUUAGCAAGCUUCUUAUAUAAAAGAAGAAUCUGGGUACUUUGGCCGUUUUGCAGAAGAAAAAGAAAGGGGCAUUUGAUGUUUGGACAUACAUAGUGAUGGUGCUAGCUACCUGCUUCUUGGUGUUUUUUAAAAGAAAAUAAGAAAAAAAUGAGAAACGGCUAACUUGCACCCUUUGGAUAUUAUGAUGCCAUUUUGCUUGGUUGAGAAACUUGUGGCUUUUCUAAUGGAGAUUGCGUAAAGGUGCAAACAAUUUGUUAGUGGUUGUGCAAAAUAGGUUUCAUAGUAGAAAAAAUGCCCGCGCUCCGCCGCGGGUUUUGAAAUCGUAAACCACAAUUUAACAUACCCAUUUCUAAAUUAUUCAGAAAUCAAUCGGAGAAAACUUCAAAAUAGAAGAAAAAUGAGUUUUCAAUCAAAGAAAACUUCAAUUUCAUGCAAGCUUUUUUGUUCUAAUUUCAGGGCUUAACAAUGCAAGAUUGGAAUUUCCAAUUGGUUCAAGGAAGUAAGAUAAACCAAUAUGCAAAAUGAACUAAAAAAAUAGAAUCUAAUCCAAUUUGAUUUGCCGUUCAGGUUCAAAAAGACAAAACGAAGAAUAUUUGUAAGCAGCCAAACAUCAGUUAAAACUAAUCAAUUAAAGGCAAUAAAACUAAAGCAUUUCAUUGAAGACAUAGAUAACAUAUUUGGUUCUUUGUACCUAAAAUGGAAAACAUUUGCUUUCCUAUAUGCUCUACAGUUUGCGAAAGUGCUGGAAAUUUACAAAAUAUAAAGAGACAAUCUCAAAAUAAAACACAGUUGAAGGAAAAGUAAUAAGAAAAGAAUAGUGUUUUUUACCUAUGAUCCAUGUGAGGAGUAGAAUUUCCAGUCACAAUUGACAACCCAAGAGCUCUGUAAAUCAAAUAUAUAGGAAAGGAUCUAUAAAAAGUGAAUUACAGUUUCUCAAAUCAGAAAGUAACAUUUAUUGGAAAAGAUUCAGACUCAUUUUGGAUAUAGAUAAACAAUGGCAUAUUAAAAACCAAAAUGAUAAGGCAUUCAACUUCAACAUUCAACAUUCAUGUAAAAAAAUAAAAAAGAUAUACAUGUUACCAUCAAUGUUUUGGUAACAAAUUCCCAAAUUGCUCUAUCUACCAAACAUUUUCAGAUAUAUAGUUACAGAUGUUCACUUUUAUGAUAUUCAACGAAAUACCCACAUUAUUGGCAAAACGACAUGGUAUAGAUCUUUUGAGCACCCGAGCCAAUGACAAUAACAUUGAAGGCAACUACAGAAAUUGUACAUUAUAUAAAGAGACAAUCUCAUAAUCAAAAUUGUCAAAAUCAAUAUUUUAUGGCUACAUUUUUUCAUCAGUCGCUCAAUAUACACAAAACACAGAAUCACAUACUCGACAAAAAUUCAAACCCAUAAAUCCGAAAUUAGCAAUGUUAUUUCUUACCCCCCAAAAACAAUCCAAAUCUUAGUGGUUACAUUCAUUAGUCAAGCACUCAACCACUCAAGCACAUCGACUACAACUUGGGAAUGUUAUGCAAAUCUUAGGCAGCUUGAAUAAUUAAAAUUGAGUUGGAAGAAGCUCCGUUACCUGCUCUGCUAGUUGAGGAGUGUCACCAAAUUCGGCACUAUCAUCAGCAUCAACACAUUUCACACACUCCCGCUUCCAGAACAUUUCACAAAAUCGAAAACCAAAUGAGAUUAUGUAGCAGAAACGAUUGACGGAAAAAUAGAUUAAGAAAAGCAAUUAAUAUUAAACAUAGAGGAUGAAUGAUGUUGUCCAAUAAAAAAGACAGCUGUAUAUAUUUCUUGACCAUGAGAAAACAUCAAAUUAAUAGAGGCAUUAAUCCUAAGUUUGCCUGUUCGCUCCCUAAAUUCGCCAUGGGCCUCGCGGGCAUGUCGGGAAUUUAUUCAAACACGAAAUUGGUGGGGUGCGGGCGUGCCACUACUAGAUGCCGCUAGUAGACGGAUUUUGAAUGAUUGAGGUUGCACCUGAGUUCGACUUCUGACCACGAGAUUGUGUCAUUGAGUGGGAGUGACUCAAAUCAAGGUUCUUUGUUUCCCUUAAAAAUAAGGACUUUACUUAUAUGGAGAGGUAGAACAAUAUGUAAAUGACAAAGGAAAACGAAUGACUAAUAUUGUAGAUUGCUUGUAAAUUAAAUGACUGAAGAUAAGUUGUACAUGAAAACUACAAAGGAGAUCGAUACUACAAGUGAGCAGCAGAGCUAAUAAACUAGAUAAAAGAAGGCUUUUGAUUAAGGUUGAUCCUGAAAAAGAUGAAGGCAUGGUGCUGACUACAGCUUCAUAUGCAAAUCUGACUUGAGCAGAGUUUGUGUAUUUGUUUGAUUGAGUGUCCAUAAUCCUUGUGCAUCUGCCCCUUUAAAUGGAGAUCUGAAAAGAGACACAUGCUGAGAACCUUGUACUUGCCCGAAAGAAACUUGGGCAGCUUGCAUUGCUUUUGCCAACUUGCAUAUAGAAAUAAUAUUUAAAAGGGAAACUUACAUCUUCACCACAUGUUUUUAGCACAUGUCUCCCCAACUUGUAAUAAGUUGGCUUCUUUCACAUGUUCUCUGCAGGAUGUAUGUAUGCUUUCCAAUCCAUUUGUAAUGGGAAAGCAUGCAAUUGUUGACUUGGCAAAUCUCCACCACCCAAACAAAUUGGAGAAACAAUAUUAUAGUGUAAAAACUCAUCCACUUGCAGCCAAAUAUCUUUCUAAGUUAGCUUUGUUGCAUAUUAAUCCUUCAAAUACCAUAUUUUAUCCCAAUGGCCCAAGUAAAUUGGGCACAUUUUAAGUGCAAACAGAAGCCCCCCAAGUUUUAUAAAUUUGAGCAAAGUUUGUGAAACUUACGACUCCAAUAAGCUCUUCUCGAAAUGGAGGAUAUAGCAGGCAUAAGAGAAUUGAGCAUGAAGAACACUGAUCUCAAAGGGCAAUUGUUUGGGUUAAAACUUGAACUCCUCUAGACGAACAUCAACUUUGUUUGCUCUCCAGUGUUGCCAGGAAUGUCAUUGAAGGAAGAGGCACGUCUACCCCUUCGGUCCUUUUGUCGUUGAUAAACUUGGCAAGAUGAGCAAGGCAAUUGGUAGUACAACUAGCAUUGGAAAGAAUGUUGUAUGACUUGUGCUCCUUCUUGUUGAUACCAAAACAACAUGGAAGCAUCCUCAUUGGUUACAGAGAUAGUAAACUGGAAAAAUGCCCGAAGUCGGGCAAACUGGAAAACACAGAAAAAGAUAGAGAAGAGAGAAACUUGGGCAACUUUUCUUUUUAUUGUUCUUUUUCUUUUUUGCCUCUUUUCAUAUAAUAUAUAAUAUAACUUUCAUAUAUAUAUAUAUAUAAAAACCCAAAGCCCUUUCAGGCAACCCAAAACAGAAAGAGACAGGAAGAAAGAGAAAGGAAGGAAAAGAAAAAAGAAAGAAGAAAGAAGAAGGAAAAGGAAAGAUAGACGACAGCCACUUUGGGUGACUUUUCUUCCCUCUAUAUAUAAUAUAAUAUAAAGACAUAUAAUAUAUAUAUAUAUAUAUAUAUAUAUAUAUAUAUAUAUAUAUAGAAACCUUUGGGCAAAAUGGAAGAAAGAGAGAGAGGGAGAAAGAGAAAGAAAAAGAGAAAGAGGGUGUCCUUUCGGGCAAGAAAGGGACAGAAGAGAUAAGAGGGAAAGAAAAAAUAAAGAGGAAGAGGGAGAAGGAUAUAAAAAAAACGAAAUGGAAAUCAAACAGGUCAGCACUGGAAAUGGCUGCAGGGCUAGAACUUCUGCAAGGAGGUUUGAGCAUCAACAUCAGCAAAUCUGCUUUGGUCACCUAGAAAUUUGUGCGGAAGGGAUAGAUUCUGCAUUUGUGAAUUUCUUUCUUGCUUCAUCAGACUUCUGAUUUUGAACUCCUAAGGUAUUUUGAAAUAGUUCUCUUGGGGAAGUUACUGUCCAUCCCAAAAUUCAAAAAUCGAGAUGCAAAGGAUGAUCAAGCUGUUGGAGUACUGUUAGUUGAGGACGGUGCUGGUAUUAGGACACCUGGAUUUCCGGUUCCUGAUCGUAUAGGUUUUCAUUUGUCUGUGCAGUAAGUUUGCGAGCACCAAGCCCCCCAGUCUUCACAAUUUUCUUGUGCACAGUCGUUUCCCCGAAGCUCAUUAUUCUCAGUUGCUUAAGAGUCCACGAGUCUCAAUUUGUAGAUCUAACAAAGCUUGAUAUGAACGCCGAGAUUGCAAUGAACGGCCGAAUCAAUCGAUGCAGAGAAAGAUCCCAUAUGUAAUUGAUGCCCAAGUCUGGUUCUUUGCAUUAUAAUCGAAACACAUCUUGUUUUCUGACUUUGCCUCUGAGCCCAGGCCGGGCAUUUGGGUGAGCUGCAAAAGUAAAUUUCUGCACACCUCCUCCAACUAGUGGUGAGUUGAAGAUGACGGCUGAAGUGUAAUGGCUGGCUUUGAAGCUGCAGCUGCUAUGUUGGCUGCAUGUUGGGAGGUAACGACAGGCGGCUGUGAGCUGCUGGUUGGAUGUUGCAAGUUGCAACCAAUGGAGCCAAUGGGAGAGCAGAAGCAGAAUGACUACCUUCUAACAUUUGUAAUUUGUUUUGUCUUGUGAGAGUAGAAUUCAAAACUUGUAAAUCUGAUGCAGAUCCUUCUUAACCAGCCAAGACAUAAAGGAACAUGAGAUCAAAUGCGCAAGCAGCCAUAACAUUUUUUUUUAAAGUAAGCCACUCUUGUUACGGGAAGGUCCUUGCUCACUUUGAGAUGAUUUUUCUUUCUAGGAAUUGGUCAUCCUCUCUUGCAUCCUUCUCCAUAUUUUGACCAAGAUUACUUCACGAUAACUGGGAAAAUUAGAUCUCAUGACUGCAUGCUGUGGUAACCCAUGGUGAAGUUUUGAGGGAUCGAGAUGGCUUGUGUCUCCUUCCACUGUUUUAGACACCUCAAGCAGUACAAAGUGAGGAGAAUGGGCAGCAAAGUCAGAUGCUCUUGUUGUGGUUGCUGCUGUAGUUGUUGGUAUAUCAACAAUCUUCUGCUUUUCAGGGUCUGUUUUGAUCGGGGAUGGAUCUGCUGAAGCUUCCACUGAUGAUGCGGCAACAGCAAGAGCAUGAGAAGAGUUUAUUGCAAACGCACUACCCGCAGAGAAACUGAGUCCUGAUCCACGAAUGAAACUCAGAUAAAUGGCAUUUGGAGGGGGAUGACCAGCAGUUAUCAAGGGACCAUAACAAAGAGGGUAGGCAAGAAACAGAGCAACCAGCGUAGUAUGUAACAAGAACACUUCAUGUUUGCCAGAUCGAAUGUGGGGCCCCCACAUUUGAUUGACAAUAUCUAAAUCAAUUGUAGUGGAGAAUAUAUCAUGUCCCUUGGGCAAAAUUGUAGUUCCGUCGGGCAACCACUCAUUGGGUAAGAUAACCCAGUCGGGCAAGACAACAUCUACCCAAGUCGGGCAAGUAAGCAAAACAGAGGAGUAGAAAGAAAAAGAAAAGGAAAGGAAAAGAGAAAGAAAGAAAGGAAACAAAAGGGAAAAGACCGAGAGAGAGAGCCCUUUCGGACAAAUCAAAACAACAAAAAGAAAGCCCUUGUCGGGCAAUAGAAACAUAAACUACAGCCUUUUCGGGCAGAGUAUAAGAAAAGGUUAUAUAUAUAUAUAUAUAUAUUCUUGUUUUUUGUUGCCUGAUAACUCAAAAAGCCAAAGAAAGGCCUUUUCAGACAAAAAGGGAAGAAAGAGAAAAUGAGAAAAUGAGAAAGAAAGGAACUAAGAAAAAAUGUACAGGAGGAUAAUAGAAGGGAAAGCCAUUCGGGCAAGUUGUAGGAGCCUAUUGGCUACCCAUGUGUUAUUUUUCUCUUAACACUCAAAUCUUUUUCUCUUCUUAAAAUUAAGUAUAGAAAGAUCAGAUCCACCUUUUAAAUUGGCCAUACUAUGUAGCUUGGGAAUCAAAGGAGGUGGUCAUUCAAGUUUGAUCCUAAGCUUUGUCCUUCUCGAGAUCUCGAUGCGAGCAACAUGCUUGUGUUGGUGGGGAGGAGUGUACGAGCUUUUUUUUUCUUCUUCGGGCUCCACAUGAGGUGUGAGUUCGAGCCCCCCAAGAGUUGGUGUUUGGCCUACAACGGCUUGGUCUUCUACAACCAUAUCCAUUUUCAUGGAUUUUUCAUUAGGUGGGGCCAUUGUUUGGCCUUCAUCAAUGUGUAUGAUUUGUUCUUCCUUGGUUGUAGUAGGGUGAGUGAGCUUUGUAGAGCGGAUUUGACAUAUUUGAUCUAUCAACUUUCUCAAAGUUUCUCCAAAAGUUGUAUAGCCUUCCUCCACCCUUUUAAAACACUUAGUCACCUCUUCACCAUACUCGAUGCUUGCCACAUGGAGUUUGGACACCUUCUCUAAUUUGCCCACAUCCUCUUUGUAAAGCUUUUCAUUCGGAUGAUCAUGAGUUGACAUCUCAUAUAUUGGCUCUUUUGAAGCAUUUUGAUACUCAAAGCCAUUUGUUGGCCUAUCAUAGUAUUCAUGAAUGUGAUUGUCUUUAAAAGAAUAAUAAUCUUCAUCAUAGCCAUAAGUUGGCCAAUCUUCAAGAUUAUUAUUUAUUUGAUGGCCAUUAGUUGGCCGACAAUCAUGUUCCAUGGGACUUAAGUACUCUUCAGCCAUGUACCCAUAAGUUGGCAACUCAUAGGUUGGCUCUAUGUGAUAGCCAUAGCUUGGGCGCUCUUCAACACCGUCAUCCUCCUCAUACUCCGAAAAAGCAUAUUGAGAAAAAUCAUGAACAUAAGGAUUGUUCAUAAUCUAACUCUAUAUAAGGGUCCCACUGGGCGUGCCAAAAUAUAUUUGCUCCCUAAAUUCGCAAUAGGCCUCGCGGGCAUACCAGAAAUUUAUUCAAACACGAGAUUGGUGGGGUCCGGGCGUGCCACUACUAGAUGCCGCUAGUAGACGGAUUUUGAAUGAUUGAGGUUGCACCUGAGUUCGACUUCUGACCAAGAGAUUGUGCCAUUGAAUGGGAGUGACUCAAAUCAAGGUUCUUUAUUUGCCUUAAAAAUAAGGACUUUACUUAUAUGGAGAGGUAGAACAAUAUGUAAAUGACAAAGGAAAGUGAAUGACUAAUAUUGUAGAUUGCUUGUAAAUUAAAUGACUGAAGAUGAGUUGUACAUGAAAACUACAAAGGAGAUCGAUACUGCAAGUGAGUAGCAGAGCUAAUAAACUAGAUAAAAGAAGGCUUUUGAUGAAGGUUGAUCCUGAAAAAGAUGAAGGCUUGGUGUUGACUACAGCUUUGUAUGCAAAUCUGGCUUGAGCAGAGUUUGUGUAUUUGUUUGUUUGAUUGAAUGUCAUAUGAUCUCUUGGGGAGAGAAACGAGGAUGGGGAAGCUAUCUUGGAUUUUGCAAUGGCAUAUGAUCUCUUCUUAGCCAACACCUUCUUUAAGAAGAGAGAAGAACAUGUGAUCACCUACAAGAGUGGGUCGUCAAAAACACAAAUAGAUUUUCUUCUAAUGAGGAAAGAUGAUCGUAUAACUUGUAAGGAUUGCAAAGUUAUACCAGGAGAGAGCGUGGCUAAUCAACAUCGCUUGUUGGUGAAGGAUGUACAUAUCAAAAGAGUGAGAAAAAAGAACAAGACUUGGAAGUGCCCAAAGACUAGAUGGUGGAAUCUAAAAGAAGAAAAACAGGCCAUUUUCAAAGAGAAAAUAAUCACCCAGUGUGUGUGGGAUAGAGAGAGGGAAGCUAACCAAAUGUGGGAUUCCAUGACUAGUUGUAUCCGAAAAGUAGCAAAAGAGGUAUUAGGAGAGUCCAAGGGCUUUGCCCCGCACCAAAAGGAAUCUUGGUGGUGGAAUGAGGAGGUACAAACAAAGGUGAAGGCUAAGAAGGAAUGUUGUAAAGCCUUAUACAAGGAUAGGACCGAUGAAAAUGGUGAAAGGUAUAGAAAAGCGAAGCAAGAGGCGAAGAAAGCUGUGAGAGAAGCUAAGUUAGCAACUUAUGACGAUAUGUAUAAGCGACUAGAUACCAAAGAAGGAGAGUUGGAUAUCUAUAAACUAGCUAGAGCAAGGGAAAAGAAGACAAGGGACCUAAACCAAGUGAGGUGCAUCAAGGAUGAGGAUGGAAAGGUUCUUGCUACAGAGAACGCGGUUAAAGACAGAUGGAAAUGUUAUUUUCAUAAUCUUUUCAAUGAAGGAAAUGAAAGGAGUGCUUCUUUAGGGGAGUUGAGUAACUCAGAAGAGUGUAGAAACUACUCUUUUUAUCGUAGAAUCCGGAAGGAAGAAGUGGUUGUAGCUUUGAAGAAGAUGAAGCAUAGAAAAGCAGUAGGCCCAGACGAUAUACCAAUCGAAGUGUGGAAAGUUUUGGGAGAGACAGGUAUAACAUGGCUCACUGAUCUUUUCAAUAGGAUUUUGAAAACGAAGAAGAUGCCAAAUGAGUGGCGAAUGAGCACUUUGGUGCCUAUCUACAAGAAUAAGGGCGAUGUACAAAAUUGCAUGAACUAUAGGGGUAUUAAGUUAAUGAGUCAUACAAUGAAGCUCUGGGAGAGAGUCAUUGAGCAUAGAUUGAGGCAAGAGACACGGGUUUCGGACAACCAAUUCGGGUUCAUGCCAGGGCGCUCAACCAUGGAGGCAAUCUAUCUCUUACGAAGAUUGAUGGAAAGAUAUAGAGAUGAGAAAAAGGAUUUACACAUGGUCUUUAUAGAUUUGGAAAAAGCGUAUGAUAAGGUCCCAAGAGACAUUCUUUGGAGGAUUUUAGAGAAGAAAGGAGUACGAGUAGCAUAUAUCCAAGCUAUACAGGAUAUGUAUGAAGGAGCAAAGACUGCCGUAAGAACUCAUGAAGGACAAACCGAAAGCUUUCCCAUAACUGUAGGAUUACAUCAAGGCUCAUCCUUAAGUCCUUACCUUUUUGCGUUGGUAAUGGAUGAGUUAACAGGACAUAUUCAAGAUGAUAUUCCUUGGUGUAUGCUUUUCGCAGACGAUAUAGUGUUGAUAGAUGAAACUUAGGAAGGGGUAAAUGCAAAGCUUAACCUUUGGAGAAAAGUGUUGGAAUCUAAAGGUCUUCGCCUAAGCCGAUCAAAAACAGAAUAUAUGGAGUGCAAAUUCAGUGCAAAUGGAGGCCAAAACGAGUUAGGGGUGAGGAUCGGAGAUCAAGAAAUACCAAAGAGCGACCGUUUUCGUUACCUAGGAUCUAUCUUGCAAAAGAACGGAGAAUUAAAUGGAGAUCUCAACCAUAGAAUACAAGCUGGAUGGAUGAAGUGGAAGAGUGCAUCCGGCGUGUUGUGACCGCCGUAUGCCACUGAAGUUCAAGGGAAAAUUUUAUAGGACGGCAAUAAGGCCGGCGAUGCUGUAUGGCACAGAAUGUUGGGCGGUGAAGCAUCAACACGUACACAAAAUGGGUGUAGCGGAGAUGAGGAUGCUUCGUUGGAUGUGUGGGCACACGAGAAAGGAUAAGAUUAGGAAUGAGGAUAUCCGGGGUAAAGUAGGAGUAGCCGAAAUUGAAGGAAAGAUGAGAGAAAAUCGGUUACGGUGGUUUGGACAUGUGCAAAGAAGGCCUACUGACGCUCCGAUUAGAAGAUGAGACUAUGGGACAGAGGUUCAGGGCCGAAGGGGUAGAGGAAGACCUAGGAAAACUUUGAGAUAGACCCUAAGAAAAGACUUAGAGUACUUGGAUCUAACGGAGGACAUGACAUAGGACAGAACACAAUGGCGUUCUAAGAUUCAUAUAGCCGAUCCCACUCAGUGACUUGGAUUUUCCAAGUCUCCAACCGAGAAGUUGUCAUCGCUCGGGAAAUUAAGGGAACACUACCUCAACCUACAUGCUCCACUCACAAAGCUUCAACAUACAAGCUUUAACAAAAGAAAAUUCAAAGAACUUAGCGAAUAAGGCUUUGGUGAUUUAACACAAUACGUUGAAAUGAAGGAAAGCUUAUUUAUUGAUAUCCCCGAUAAGUUACAAAUAUGUACAUAUACUUGAGUCAAAAUAAACAAACAAGAGGGAGCCUUCACAAAGGUUGCUUAGGAGAAGUCUCAGCAGUCGGUAGAGCCCCAGAAAGAGAAGGCACCGGAGGGGGAUCAUUCGGAGCCUCAGUACUGGACAGAACCCUAGAAGGAGGAGGCAUCAGAGGUUGAUCAUUUGGAGCUUCAUUACGCGGUAUAGCCCCAGAAGACGAAGGCAAUAAAUGCCUUUGGAACAAACCCACAAAUCUCUGAUGAUCAAGUAAAACCUGACCAUCAGAUUCCUUCAUCUGGUCAAGCUUCCUCUUCAUGUUUGUAGCAUAGUCAUGUGCGAGCCGGUGCAACUGUUUAUUCUCAUGCUUGAGCCCUCUAAUCUCCUGUUUGAGACUCAUCACUUCAGCCGCCAAUGAUUCAACUUGGCGGGUUCGAGCAAAUAGGCGUUGGGCCAUAUUAGACACAGAACCUGCACACUGAACACUAAGAGCCAGAGAAUCCUUAACAGCCAACUCAUCAGACCGUUUGGAAAGUAGUCUGUUAUCUUUGGGAGUGAGAAGGUUCCUGGCCACUACCGCAGCGGUCAUAUCAUUCUUCAUCACGGAAUCCCCAACGGUAAGAGGACCAGUAGGGGAGACGAAGGAUGGGCGCCAUAUGUUGUCUGGAGAAGGCGGGGCUGCCUCUUCAACAAGGUUCAAGUCAAAACGACGGUCGGAGGGGCCAGACAUUUUCAAAGGUGUUGAAGAGAGAAGAGGUCGGACAAAUCAAGAUCUUAGAAGUGCAAGAAUGGAGCUUCUACUGGUGGAUAUUCAAGUGUGCUUUGGAACUUAAUGUCAGCCCCUAUAAAAAUCUGCACUCGACGAAGCUUCAGAAAUCGAAGAGGCGCCUGCUCAGAAAUCGAAGAGGCGUUUGCUUUCUCAAAAGCUGGGCUGCUCAGAGACCACGAGGGUCGAUCUCAGAAAUCGAAGAGGCGUUUGAUUUCUCAAAAGCUGGGCUGCUCAAAGACCACGAAGGCCGAUCUCAGAAAUCGAAGAGGUUUUCUUUCUCAAAAGCUGGGCUGCUUAGAGACCACGAGGGCCGAUCUCAGAAAUCGAAGAGGUUUGCUUUCUCAAAACCUGGGCUGCUCAGAGACCACGAGGGCCGAUCUCAGAAAUCGAAGAGGCACAUACUUUUCCAGCCUUGUCAGCACCUGUCACACGCACACUCAACUUUGCGAAAAUUAUGGGCAUGCUGUCGAAGAUUUCUGGCGAAGUAGAAAGCACAUGAAUCGUACUGUUCAAUCACCCACUUCCCACACGCAACAGUAGCUCAUGGGUACCAUAUAUAACUUUGCCAAAGUUCUCUGACAAAGUUGAGACUACUUUUCCAGCCUUGUCAGCACCUGUCACACGCACACUCAGCUUUGCGGAAAUUAUGGGCAUUCUGUCGAAGAUUUCUGGCGAAGUAGAAAGCACAUGAAUCGUACUGUUCAAUCACCCACUUCCCACACGCAACAGUAGCUCAUGGGUACCACAUAUAACUUUGCCAAAGUUCUCUGACAAAGUUGAGACACGUGAAGCUUGCAAGCUCUCACUACAUCGCUCUGACCAAGAAGGGUAAAAGAAUAGCAAAGAAACAACACUAACAAAGUUUAGACACAUAAAUUUUGAAGGCCUAGCUACCAUAUUAUUACCCACAAGGGUAAAGGAACAGUACCACUGCUGGAUAAUUGGAAAGUCCCGGUGUGUCAACCUCUGUGCUUCGUGGCAAGGUAGACUAGCAAACAUGCCCAACCUUUACUCACAUUCGAGAAAACACUCCCAACAAGAUUGCUUGCACCAAAAUCGAAAGAGGCAUCGCCCUCCGAAUCUCGAGAGCCAGACUCCCAACAUGAUUACUUUCUCAAAAAUCGAAGAGAGGGUAAAGGAACAGUACCACUGCUGGAUAAUUGGAAAGUCCCUGUGUGUCAACCUCUGUGCUUCGUGGCAAGGUAGACUAGCAAACAUGCCCAACCUUUACUCACAUUCGAGAAAACACCCCCAACAAGAUUGCUUGCUCCAAAAUCGAAGAGGCACCGCCCUCCGAAUCUCGAGAGCCAGACUCCUAACAUGAUUACUUUCUCAAAAAUCGAAGAGAGGGUAAAGGAACAGUACCACUGCUGGAUAAUUGGAAAGUCCCUGUGUGUCAACCUCUGUGCUUCGUGGCAAGGUAGACUAGCAAACAUGCCCAACCUUUACUUACAUUCGAGAAAACACUCCCAACAAGAUUGCUUGCUCCAAAAUCGAAGAGGCACUGCCCUCCGAAUCUCGAGAGCCAGACUCCCAACAUGAUUACUUUCUCAAAAAUCGAAGAGACACCGCUCUCCGAAUCUCGAGAGCCAGACCCCCAGCAUGAUUGCUUUCUCAAAAAUCGAAGAGGCAUCGUUCUCCGAAUCUCGAGAGCCAGAUCCCCGACAGGAUUGCUUGUUCGAAAACCGAAGAGGCACCACUUUCCCAACUUCAAGAGCCGGAUCUCCUUGGAUAAAGCUUGUCUGUAAUCUUCACACGCAACAUCAGCUUUCCAGAUACCACAGACCACUUUUUCAAAGUGCUCUGACAGAGUUAAAACUUGUGAAGCUGGCAGCUCCCACUACCGUGCUAUGACCAAGCAGGGUAAAGGAAUAGCAUUAUUACUUGAUGUUAGGGAGACUCCUAUAUAUGUCGACCUCCAUCCCCAACGGACAGGCAGACCUGCAAAAAUGCUCAACCCUUCCUCUUAUCUGAGAGGGCACUCCCAACGAAGCCUUUCGAAAUAUUCAGCUUUCUUUCCCCCGAUAAUACCUCUGUAAACAAGCUAUACUAGAGCAAGAAUAUCUCAUAUCAUCAGGGUUAAAAGCAAGAGUAUCCCAUAUCAUGCUUUUUUCCCUGUCUUUUCCUUUGGCCUUGUUCUUACCUGCAAGACAAGGAGAAAGAGAGCAAUCAGUCAGCACUUGGAAUCAAGCUUCCAGCCAGGAACUGACUGCCUGGAACCCCUUACCUGAUUACUUACCUGGCAUUGCUCUCGAGUACUCAUCUUCAACAUCUUAUGCUUCCAGGAAGAUACCGCAUCUGCCUGAGGAACAGAUAGGGCAAGUGAGAAGGAUACAAGGAAGCAUGUGGAGACAAGCGUAACAGCACACGUGCCGAUACAUCCACUACUCUGUCAAAAGCAAAAGUAUCCCAUAUCAGCAGGGUCGAACGUACUCUAGAUUUGAUGGACUUGUUUUGACCCUCAAAUUCUUCAGUCGGCCUUAUACUCUGGAGGAAACCAGAAAACCCUCCAGCCCAGUUCAAGAAUAAGCCUGUGGAAAGUUACUUCUUCAAAAGCAAAAGUAUCCCAUAUCAUCUCUUCUCAUUUUUCUUCUCUUUAUCCUUCAUGCUGCCUGCAAGAUAGGGAGAAUGUGAACAAUCAGCCGGAGCUCUGAUUGCUUACCUUGUCUGUUACCUCUUUCAGCAGAUCCCCUAGCUCGGCGACUUGGGGGACUCCUACUACAUGGUUUGUAUCGCGCUUGACCAAGCCUGAAACUACAAGUAAGCUUCAAGUGACAUUGAUACAUUACCUUGUGCAUCUCCACCAGUUACAGAUACCACCCCUGGAUGGAAGAAGAGUACUUCCAGAGAAGAUGCCACAUCUACCUAUGAGACAGAUAAGGAAAGUCAAGACGAUACCACACUCCGGUACUUAGAAGUUUCGUGGUUACGAGAUCAUUCUCCCACAAUAUUUCCUAAUGUCAUUUGUACUAAAUCAUUCACUUGUACUCCCUAAAGGAGAGCUUGAACCUAUGUACUUGUGUAAACCCUUCACAAUUAAUGAGAACUCCUCUAUUCCGUGGACGUAGCCAAUCUAGGUGAACCACGUACAUUUUGUGUUUGCUUUCCUAUCUCUAUCCAUUUAUAUACUUAUCCACACUAAUGACCGGAGCAAUCUAGCGAAGAUCACAAAAAAGUGACCGUUUUCGCUACCUAGGAUCUAUCUUGCAAGAGAACGGAGAAUUAGAUGGAGAUCUCAACCAUAGAAUACAAGCUGGAUGGAUGAAGUGUAAGAGUGUAUCCGGCGUGUUGUGUGACCGUCGUAGGCCACUGAAGCUCAAGGGAAAAUUUUAUAGGACGGCAAUAAGGCCAGCGAUGUUGUAUGGCACAGAAUGUUGGGCGGUGAAGCAUCAACACGUACACAAAAUGGGUGUAGCGGAGAUGAGGAUGCUUCGUGGGAUGUAUGGGCACACGAGAAAGGAUAAGAUUGGGAAUGAGGAUAUCCGAGGUAAAGGAGGAGUAGCCAAAAUUGAAGGAAAUAUGAGAGAAAAUCGGUUCCGGUGGUUUGGACAUGUGCAAAGAAGGCCUACUGACGCUCCGGUUCAAAAAUGUGACUACAGGACAGAGGUUCAGGGCCGAAGGGGUAGAGGAAGACCUAGGAAAACUUUGGAAGAGACCCUAAGAAAAGACUUGAGUACUUGAAUCUAACGGAGGACAUGACACAAAACCGAGCGCAAUGCCGUUCUAGGAUUCAUAUAGCCGACCCCACUUAGUGGGAAAAUGCUUUGUUGUUGUUGUUGUUGUUGUUGAUUGAAUGUCCAUAAUCCUUGUGCAUCUGCCCCUUUAAAUAAAGAUCUGAAAAGAGCCACAUGCUGAGAACCUUGUACUUGCCCGAAAGAAACUUGGGCAGCUUGCAUUGCUUUUGCCAACUUGCAUUGCUUUUGCCAACUUGCAUGUAGAAAUAAUAUUUAAAAGGGAAACUUACAUCUCCACCACAUGUUUUUAGCACAUGUCUCCCCAACUUGUAAUAAACUAACAAUUAAAAUAAACAAGUUGGCUUCUUUCACAUGUUCUCUGCAGUAUGUCUGUAUGCUUUCCAAUCCAUUUGUAAUGGGAAAGCAUGCAAUUGUUGACUUGGCAAAUCUCCACCACCCAAACAAAUUGGAGAAACAAUAUUAUAGUGUAAAAACUCAUCCACUUGCAGCCAAAUAUCUUUCUAAGUUAGCUUUCUUGCAUAUUAAUCCUUCAAAUACCAUAUUUUACCCCCAAUGGCCCAAAUAAGUAAAAACGGGCACAUUUUAAGUGCAAACAUUGCCAUUUAUUGUUGUCUGUCUAAACUUGAUGACAUAGUGUUCUCUUACAUACAGAUUAAUGAAAUAUUAAUUUAUUUCCAUGGGUUAUUUGAUUUUGCAAAUUCAUAAUAAUUGAAGAAUACUGAAAAUUACUAAACCCCAUCACAACAUCCCAUCAGUGAAAAAUCAAAGACAAAAGUAAAUUACUAUCUUUCUAAGCAUCCAAAGAUAGCAUACCCAAAAUACCAAAUUCAACUCCAAUAUAAUAAAAAAAUUAAAAAACAAAUUAGCCAAAUUGAAAUAGUUAGAUCAAAUAAAGAUUUAAGUCAACCAAUUACACAAAAUAAUUCAUGCAAAGUAGGCUCCUAAGAAAAUAUACCACUAUGGUGGUGGAGGAGGCCCAGGCUCAAACAGUGGAGGGCAGCAACAUUUAAAUAUACCGCAGCAGCACGGAAUCCACGAACUGCAUAAUCAAAACCAAAAUUUUAAAAUUUAUAUUUAAAUUUAAAUUUGAAAAAAAAAUGCAAUAGCAUUGUAUAAUGAGAAAUUCUCCAAUGUGGAUAAAUUAAUCUUGUGGGAUGCGAUCAGUUGUAUUGGGCUGGCAACCGGCUUAUGCUUAAAUCCCACUCAAUUUAUCAUACACCCUUCCAACUACAAUUCAAAGGAAGAAGUUCCAAGUGCAUGCAUAAUGUUUGCUCAACUAAAAUAAAUUGCUUUUCAUGAUUAAAAUAGCCAACCAACCAACACUCAUUUGAUAAAAUUGAACAUUUAGAGUUACAUAUCCACAUAUUCCACAUAUUUAAGAUCGAACAAACCUUCAAAUGAAGACCACCCAAAGGUCCAUUAGUGAGUUGUGUGACCAGAGGAUUUACUGCACUUGAGUUUCCUCGUGCAGCUGCAAGAGCUAUGAGCUUACGUUGACCGUCAGCUACUUCUCCGCUUAAGGUUUGAGUCACAGAUUAUGUAGAAUUAAUAGCUUCCUGCAAAGAAGUGAAAUAAGAAACCUUAAUUUGUUAAAAUGUGAGUAAUUCUCAAUUGAUUAAAACAUCAUCCGAUGGUGUUUUCUAGGCUUUUUUUUUUCCUUCCUUUCGCAUGCCAUUAUUUCAUUAGCCAUCUGCAGAAUUGCAAUUGAUAGAAUCGGUGUUCUUUGAAAUAAUCAUAACAUUUCACAACACAAUGGCAUCAAUUUAUACAAAUUCUAACAACAAAUUGUCAAAAAACAAUGAGAACAAUUACCAGAAAUUUCAAAUCUUUUGGGGGUUCAGAGUAAAUACCAGAGAGACGAAAGCUAAAAUCAACAUUAGUCCAUUUUUUUCAAAAUAAGAACAGCUCCGAUCUGGGAAAUACAUUGCAAUUUCUGAAGAAAAAAAAAAGCGAGAAAACCCUAAAAUCCCUAAGAACCCUAAUUUAUAAACUAUAAACAAACGCAAAAGGAGAGAGGAGACUCAAAUAAAAGGAAAAUCGAGAAAUUCAACAUACCAUAAUCGGAGGGAGGACGCUUUCCGACGGCCAAAUUCAUCGACACCGGAGGCGGUUGUUGACCGUCACUGUACCUCCAUUUCGCCUCCGCCAUGUUUGAGGCUUUCGACCGUCACUAGUUGGUUUGUGUGCUUCAUGUCGAGAGAUAUGGGGAGCAGGAAAAGCAGAGGAAGAUGAAAGAUUGUGGGUUUUCCAGUAACAGGAAGAGUGAGAGAUGAGAAGAGAGCGCACGCGUGUAACCCAUCGCAAUCCGUUCUAAACCAUACGGAUAAAAUUACCCUCUCAACUUUUGAGAAUUACCCUCCCAAGUUCCCAACCCAUCUCCCUUUGGCUGGCAUUGUUGUAAACAGCGUGAAAUUGAGUAGCAAAGAUUUGACUGUAGCUAAGCUACAGUCAAUUGCUCCUUAACUUUAGAAUAGACUAGAAAUUACGUUUGCACAUUGCUGCGGGAACCAGCUGUUUCACGCGGAAUCAGAUGAAUAAAACAUAUUUAAGUUGAAUAAAUUCAACAUAAUUAUGAACAGACAAAGGGAUACAUGAGUGAAUGAGGUCGAUAAGAUAAACAGUUUUGCUUUUAUAUACAUUCAAAUGAGCUGGCAUAUAAACACAUUGUACAAUGAGUAGGAAGAAACUGAACGUCUUUGAUUAGAAAGAUAUGGCUUCCAAAAAAGUUAUGUUUCCUUGAGAAAUAGAAGAAACAUAUAGUUCACACAUAAUAUGUGUCCUGCAGUGAAGGCAGCCAUUUCAACAAGUAAUGCCAAGAAAAUAAAUUAAAAUAUUAUGCAUAUGAGUGCAAGCUUACAGAAACGUUGUUUUUGUACACUUUCUUCUCCCUUCAAUGAUAGUUUGUUUCUUAUCCAGAAAAAUAAAAUGAUCAGGUCAAUGAUACUCACAUGUGCAAAAUGCUAAUCCUAUGGUCUAAAGCUAAUUGAGUUUUUAAGUGUAAAAUCCCUAAUUUCACUACAUUUGGAUUGAUCACAGUUCGUGACUUGUUAAACUUGAUAUCCCCUUGUACAUUUUGGGAACUUGACAGCUUAAAGAAGUGCUCAUAAAAGCAAAUUACACAAUAUCUACUAAAAAACUUAGAGAAGUGACUCAAUUAGUCAACAAACAGAUGCCUCACACUUGAAUAUCAAAGACCAAAGAGAGAAAACCAAGCCGAACUCUUCAAAAUUCGUUGGCACACAUGCUUCGUUGACCCAAUUGAAUGUAUAAUGCAUACUUAGAUACAACAAUUCGAACAAUAGCUCAUAAACAGUGCUGAAAUUCCAUUAGCACUAAUCACACACUACAAGAACAGAGAUCCUAGCAAAGCUACAUCAAUUAAAUGACAAAGACUAAAAACCACAAACAAGAAAAAAAGAAAAACAGAGUUAUCAGACAGCAUGAUUCAAAUAUAAUUUUAUUGGGGUUGGUAAAAGCACAACCCAUCCAGCACUUUAAAAGCAGGUCUUUCUUGAUUAGAAGCUCAUAUGUCUUGCACCUAAUUUUCAAACACUCAAACGUCAGUGUCUUAAUACUUCUAACCCACAGUUCAAAACAGAAAGAACCUCAUUUGAUGAAAAUGCCAAAAUUUUCUAAGAAUGGAGUCCAAAAAUUUAUUUUUAAGCAUCCAAAAAGCCAUUAAACUAAAAAUAGUUAGUUCUUCGUACCUUUGUAUGAAGAUCACACAGGAAAACAUUAGCAUUCCUAAAUGCUAUCUUGGAAUUUCGGGGGUUAGAUUAGAGCCACACUUGAGUUCGACAUUGAAAGUGAGGCCUCGCUGGUGUGUUUCCACACCACAUGCUCUGCAAAAGAGACACAAUCUUAGAAUCAGAAACACAUAAAUAAGAAAUAUACACACUACAUAUAUAGCAAGAGAAACUUAAGAAAACGAAAAGUUCAAUCAAAGUUAGUGAAGUGAACCUUUUUUCUUUUUUUUUAACCCAAAGCAUUGAAAGUAGCACAAACCAUUCUUUGGUCCUCUUUCUCCCCUCUUCCCGUGUCCCUCACUCUUUUUCACCCCUUGAAACAAUAACUGAUAAGGAAAAAUAAAAAAUUACUAUUGAAUAAUCUAACAAAUCAUUUAGCACCAUCGGUUGCCAACCUGCAAUCUUGAGUCUGCUAACAUUCCAAAAUUAUUAUCAGUAAGUCUCCAUAUAUCCUUUUUGAUUCGCUUCUUUUCCUCCUAUUUCCCAACCAACAACACAUUUCUUAUCAUCUUUCUUAGUAUCAUAUGGGCACACACAAAGUGUGUGAGAAAUUUUUUUUUAUUUUUGUUUUUGAAAUCGAAGGAGAGAGGAAGAGAGUGAUAGAGAAUGUGGGAGUGGGAAGGUUUUUUUAAUUUUUUUUUAAUUAGAGAUAUGUUAGGAUUACAUGUAGGUGAGAUUUUGAAAAAAAACAACAAAAUUUGAUUGUGUGAAAUUACAUUUCUGCCCCAUAUUUUUUAUUCAUGUUCUGUUUUAAUUAGAAGGUAAAAUGGUAAUUUCAUAGGGUUUUGAUUGAAAAUGAGUGUUUUAUUAAUUAGUACAGAUUCAUAUAUAUGACAAUAAACAAAAAAAAAUGUGCAAAAGAUUCAAAAAGUAACAAUAGCACCUUCAUAUUUACCGUUUACAUUAUAGUAAAAUCUCAAAAUAUUUCAGAAAUAUCAUAUGAAAUGCACAAUGUUACAAAUAAAAUUGAUUAAUUAGCACACAAAAAAAAUUGAUAAUGGAGAACAGGAAAUAACUAUAAAAAAUUAAAAAUAUCAGUAGACCAAGAGAAAACUACUUUAAACAAAAUGAAAACUCAGAAUUUAGGAUAAAAAGAAGGAAAGAAAUCAAACAGAAAAGAAGACAAAAGAGAAGAAAAAAAUUAAAGCAAAAUACCUGGAGCUCGGUGAGAUUCAAGCUUCGAACUGAAAAAAGAAACAUUCGGUGGUCAACACCCAAUCACUAAUUAACUAAGUGGUGACCAUGAACACGUGAAUAAAAUUGUAGAGGUUAAUUAUACGGAAUUUUACCGCACCAAAAAAAAAAAAAAAAAAACACUAAUUGAUAUUUGGGGUGGGUUCGAAUUCUUUUGGUUUGGUUCAGUUUUAGUGGUCUAGAAACCGAACCGAAUUAAUUAAAUUAAUAUUUUUUUUAUUUAUUUAAUUAUUUGUUUUGGGUAUUAUUUUUUAAACCCAAUUUGUAAGCUCAAUGUGUUGCCCAAAAUCAGAAAUUCCAAAUGCAUCUGCUACUUUUCCUAUAACUACAAGGAAGAAGUCGUAUAAAAAAGCAGGACCUUCAAUAGUGUGGUGCUAACUCUUGACACGGUACUAUUAGUUCCUUAUUGUUGUUUAAUCUGGCUUCUUGCUUCAAGUAUUUGUAUGCUUAUUCAGUAUUUCAUUGCUUAUUGUUAUAUGCAGUGAUCAGGUAUUGGUUUUGAUCAAGUGUAUUCCCUUUUGCUACUAAAUAGGAAAUCAUAUUACUAAAUGAUCGAUAAUACAUACAAAGAGAGCAUAAUCGAUAUAUGAUCCUCGUUGGUUCAAAGUGGGUUAUAGUAUGAUAAUGCUCUCAUUGUACUUACUAUCGUGAUAAAAUAAUUCAGCUCAUGUCCACCAACCUAUACCAGCUCUUUAUAUUAUUCAUAGUUAAGAGUUGAGGUGUGAAGAAAAUGGUAGAAAAUUUUACUUUUCUAAAAAGAAAUCUAUUUACAGUUAAAUUUUAAACACAAAAUAUUAAAAAAAAAACCUUUAUGUUAUAAUUCUACUUGAACUCUAAAUCUUUGUCUUUGAUUCUAAUUGGAAUAUUUAUGUUAUGAUUGUGUUGGAAAUGUUAAAAUUUAAGACUUCAGUUUUUUUCAUUUUUUGAAAAAAAAAACGAAACCGAACCGGAAAAAACCAAAUGGAAAAAAAAUGAACCGAACCGAAAUUUCAGUUUGGUUUCGAUUUUGGCAAAAAACCGAACCGAUUUGAACCGAACCUAGCCCUAAUUGAAAUUAUGUGUUGUGCACAGUGAUAUCGAAGAAGAAUAAUUUCUAUUUAACUGAAAUUAAAUCCGAAUAAAUGAUUCAUAAAAUUACAGAUUUUCAAUCAAAUGCGGAAUAUACACAACAAUUUUAUUUCUGAUUUGAAUAUAACCAACUACAUCCCAAGUUGCAUCAGUAUCAAUGGAUCCAACAUGGUGACCAUCUGCCCCUCAAGUAUUCAUAUCUGCAAACCCUCGUCUAAAGAAAAAUUCAUCCAGAAAUUAAUCACCGAGUAUGCAAGGUUGGCAUGCAUAUUCACGUUUAAUCGUGGCCAUGAUGAUAGGAAUUAAAAAAACACGAAAAUAGGAAUGAUGCACCUUUACUUAGAUCUCAGGGUUCUAAAAUUUGUUGCUGAGAUUUGAGAAACAUAGGAAAUGUGUUUCAUGAUUUCAAAUUAGAUUUGCAUAAGAGUUCAGAAACGCAUACAUCCCUUCUUUUCAUUCCCCUAAACGCUAAAGCCUAGGCUUUCAACACCAAAACACCCAAAUAGUACCAGAACUUUGCAAUGUGCAGGGAAUAUACUAAAAAAAUUUAAACCACAAUCAAGCAUCAUCUAUCUAAACAAAAUCAGAACCCAAACCACAUACAAAAUCUCUAAAUAUAUAAUAAUAAUAAUAAUAAUAAUAAUUCUAGUAGAAAUUCCAAUCCAUUACAACAAAACACAGAAUACCAGGUAUUGCUGGAUGUAGAUAUCCAAAACAGCAGCACCCAUCAAUUGAUCUAAUUACGUAUCCAUUCCCUAUCCAUGGCAUACAAAGUAUGUACUCCCUCUUUACAUGUUAUAAAACAUUUAGUAGACCAGCAAUCAAAAUUAACAACCCUAAUUGCUGUAUACACUAUACACUAUGCUCUCCAACUGAAAAUGUUUAAUUAAAUUUUCCAACUUAAAACCCUAAAUUAAAUCCUACAAAUUGAAAUAGCAGAAACAGAAUUAGAGACAAGGAAGAAAUCACUGACCUUCGAGUUGUUGAAAGCUCUGAUGGGUGUUUCUUUUCAUCCAGCCCUAAAAACAGAACGCACAAUUGUAAUAUAAUAUCCAAUCAUAGGUUAAGAAUCAAAUUAACCCAGCCUGUGUAUAGAAAAAUUGAACAAAUUUAGACAUUUAUAUGUAUGUAUAUUCCAGUAAAAAAGAAUGAAAUGCACUGAACCCUAAAAUGAAAAACUAUGUCAGACUGAUUGAAGAAGAGAAACAGAGAGGGAGAGAGAGUGGGACGGAGAGAAAACCCUAAAAACAGAACCCUCUGGCAACCUAACACAAAAUCAAGCCAACAAAUUCCAUUUCAAUUUUGACAAAACAAAUCGGAAAAAAAUAAUGAAAACCUGAACGAAAUACAGAGGAACUGAUGGGUUUAUGCAUCAACAACUUGAUAAAACCCAGAAACACAAAACCUAAUAUGUAUCAGCUACAAAAACCCAAAUAAAUAAAUAAAACACUCAAAUUUCAAACGAAGAUGUCAUAGAUGGAGGAAGAGAGAAGUGACAGAGAGGGAGAGAUACUUACUCAACCCCACCAUCUCUCCGCAGCCAACACACUGAUUCCCUCAACCCUACCCUCAAAUCUUGUACCCAAUCAACUCUCUUUCUGUCCCCCUAAUCGUGCACCCGCCGUCACCUUCUCUCUGCAACCAAACCCCUCUCCUCCCCCAUAUCACACCCCCACCUGUGAAGGCAGUGACAGCAGACCACCUCCCUAGAAACCGGCCCUAAAAACCCAUACCCAUACCUCCCUUACCCGUUCCCUUUAACCCUCGCAUAAAAUCCUCCCAUCUCUCUCUCACCCUUGUCCCAUCUCUCUGUCUCUGCAAAUCGCAGAAAACAAACCCUAAACCAAAUCCCUAAAAUCCUGCCUCAAUCCCCCCACACUUCUAUUGGACACUCCCUAUCUCUCUCUGCAAUGCGUAAAACAAAUCUCCUAAAUCCUAUCUCGGACAUUGUAACCUGAAUCAAGCUGGUUUCACACAUACCAAUAGAAAACCAAAAUAUCAAUGUUGGGGAAGUUACCUUAUUUGAAAUACCACCAAAAAACAGAGUAUACUUUUAGGCAAAUAUUGUUUAAACACCCAAACAUAAUUCAUGAUAUGUGCCAAAAAGAAAAUACCUCUCGAUUAGAUUUCCUUCGUUCACAAGCUUUCUCCCUGACAAACUCUUGAGAUAGAACCAAAAAAGAAAAUAAGUCACAAUUGAUGCAAGUAGAGGGGAAUGCAGCAGAGAAAAGUAGGAAUUUAUGAGUACACCACUCCUGUUUUAGGUUCCCAACUUAUAAGGAUGCUAACUUCAUUAUAUAGGACUACCGUUAAACUCAUUUCUUUCCGAAAUUAAAUUAAGAAAAAAGUUCGACACUCGCAUGCCACAAUACAAUGUUACAUAAAGUAAUCUUACCAUCACAACCAAAUUGACACCAAACUUCUAACAGUCCUUUUGAAGGAGAAAAUCAAGCGAUUAAUCAAAUACUCAUUUUCCAAAAAAGAAAAAACCCAACAAAAAUAUAUAAAAAGUAAAAGUACCUAAGUUCCCAAUAGUCCAAUCCAUCAGAAAAAUACAAACUUGCACAUGUUUGAGUAUAAGGACCAUAAGAAAGAAGCAGGGGAUGCAAAAUUUUGAGAAUGGGUCUAAUAAUACUCAUCAAGUAAAGAUAAUCAAAGUUAAAAGGAGGUAAUAAAGGUAUAGAAAAAAAGAAGAAUAUAUUCUACAAAUGAAUGAAACAAAAGAUUGUGACACUGGAAUGGAAACACUUCAGGAGGCCAGAGGAAGAGGGACAAUACUAUAGCAAAUAAAUUGAUAAUGCUUGUGCUCUCCUCUGUUCUUUCCCAAGUUGAUCCUACAAACAAAAGCACAGACAAAACUUAAUAAACGAUGCCAAUCAAUGAAAGCUAAAUUAUCCCCAUCCUGAAUCUUUUAUAAAACAAUGCACCAAGAAAAUUUCAACAAUAAAUAUUUCAUACGAAAAACAAAACACGAUGAAAUAAAUUUCAACAUAGGCUUGUUUCAGUUAACAUCUUACUUUGAAAACCUUAACCUCCCACUCCCUGUAAGCUGUAGGUACAACAUUCUCGGGAAGUUCUAUUGGGCACCCUUCCCUUGUGAAGUUUGCUCCAUGGCCAUCCCAUUCACCGGAUACAUUCCUGGCAAAUUCGGACCACGCACGAACACAUAAAAGAGAAAUUGAAUUAUAGCAGCACGUCAAAUAUAUUAACUUAUAGAUUCUAGACUUCAAAUACUUAACAUAACAAAUACAAAUUUAACCAUCAUCUCUCUUAUCCAUUGCCUUUUCUACUAUAAAUGAAACCGUAUAUUAAAUAACUGACCGUUUUAGAUUGGCAGAUUGCAAUUUCUUUGGAAAUUAGUCAUAAAAGUUAAUACAUUUCAUCACUCCAUUUCUGACUUAUCCUCUUAUCAACUGUUGUGCACCCUAAUCCAAAGAAUGGAAAUUUAACCGCCAAAUAUCAAACGAGAUAUCUAAUAACUGGAAAUUUUCCUUUGGAUAUCUAAUAAAUUUCAAUUACUCAAUUUCUACACAACCCCAAAUCCAAAUACCGUAUGUUGCUCAAAUAUCAACGCAAAGAUGCAAACUUUUUUACGCUACAACAACAACCAUACGAUUUUAAUAAAACCCACAAAAACCAAGUAAAUAAGCAGAUUUUUGGCAACAUCGCUUAAAAUACACUCACCAUAAACAAAAGUGGAAAUGGGAUUGAAGCCAUUGCUGCGGUCCUCCUCCUGGAGUUGCAGCUUAACAUCUGACACAGCGGUGUUGGCGGAGGAAGAGGCAGCGCUCUAGACAAUCUGACCUCUCUGGCGGCAGUUGUGAGGCAGUUGGAAUCUAUAGGCCUCGGUUGAUCCGUUGCUGUUUUUUUUUUUCAUUGGAUCUCCCAUUUGGUCUCACUGUUGUUAUAUUUGUUUUUGUUCUUCCUUGUCAAUCAGGAUCUGCACCUCUGAAAACCCACAAAGACAUUAGAAAUGGAACCCUCUGCAUAUCUUAUGAAAAUAGCGUUGAGCCUUGAGGUGUCCUCGCAACCCUAAGGUAUGGCGCAGUUGGAGUUUUCAACUACAUGAGCGCAACCUUCUCCGGAUCUCUGUGUACGAACCCGACAAACACAGAUCCACACAACUCAUUUUAAAUCAUAUGAUUCUCAUUAGCCCAUUCUACUCACCUUCUUAACACAAACCACGAGUUCAGAUCUUACUCUUUUUAACUACUAAAUAUCCGAGUUCUUGAACUUCGAAAACAAAAAUCCAAAGAGUAUCUCGACUCCAAAUAAGGUAGCUUUUUUACUGUGCAUGUAGCUACCCCAAAAAUGAGGGAAACCCAACCCCACCCCCCAAAAAAAAAACCACCCACAACAAAGUACAACUAUAAGAAAAGCUUUAUGAGGGGUCACUCUAAAAUUGAUCUUAAAAUUAUCUAGUCCGUCAUUCCAAAAAUUGUUGUGACAAUGUUGCAUUUAAAAUUGUCUGACAAUAAAACAUUAUUCUGGGCAAAAUUUUUGUAUAAAUUAUAAGUUCAGCCAAAAGACAUUAUACAGCUUCUUCCUGACUAUUUUAGGUCUAUACUCCAUUGCUGAAAAUUCUAUUAUGCUCAUCAUAAAUCUUGCCAAUCCACCAAGCAAUUGGGUUAAAUUACCCUUGACCUAAAAAAUGAUGGUCCAUCGAUGCCAACUUGGCCAGGCAAUUGGUGGGCUCCAAUAAGCUCGUUGAACUACCAUUGCAGCCCGUUGGCAAUAAGUAACGACGGACUUGAUGUCAAGUAACAGAAGGCUGGCCCCAAUCCCGUGCACCAAAUCGAACGAAACAGCUCCAAUUUGGGUGCCCCAUAGCUGUUGGAUUUUCAACAAUUUGUUGAUAUGAACCAUUAAAUUUCAAACGAUAAAAAAAAUUUAAAAAGAUGAUGUUGUGUAAUGUGGCACUUUGUGGCGCAUUUGAUAUUAAAAUUUUGAAAAUUUCAACAGACAGAUUAAGCUGAUGGUAAAAAAAAUCCAAAAAAAUAAGAAAAAACUUGCAACAAAAAAUAUCUAAAAAAACUUACAAAGUUCAUACUUAAACAAAAAUCUAAACUGAUAUUACUAAUAGAUAAUGACUUAAUGAAAAUGAAAGGAAUCACUCCGGCUCUCUUUCACCAAAUCCAUAGGAACCAUUGAAAUUUGGUUGUUACAAACAGAACCCACUGUAAAAGUUAUAAUAGGAUAGAUCAAAUUUGAAUGGCCCGAUCCCGGUCUUAUAGAUUUGGUGAAAGGGAUGGAUCCUUUCCGUUGAAAAUUUCAUCGCCUCUCCUUUCAACCCUUCAAGGAAAACCCACUUCUUGGGCGUCUUCAACCACGUAAAGCUUCACUUGGGGUUUGCGGUCUUGGAUUGAAAUUUGUGUUUUGGGAUUUGUUGGGUGCUCGCAUGUGGAAUUUUGGAAAAUUUUAGUUGUGGAUUGUGGGGAACUGACGCCCAUUUCAUGUAGGUUGCUUUUGUUUGUGUGUUUUUGGUGAAAUAAUGAUGAGGAGGGUUGGAUAGUUGGACUGGUUUUAUUUUUUUUGUGAAAUUAGAGUGGGAUCAAUCAAGGUUGAGACAUGCCCCAUAAGGGUCAAUAGGUCUCAGUUGCAUAUCUAACUUGUUUCUCAUGUGUUUUCAUCCUGAAGGUUAGAAAAGAUGGGUGCUCUAGACGCGCAGAAAGUGGUUCAUCAACACUAGGGAUGGCGGCUGAUCUCAUGUAUGUGGUUACAUGCUGGAGUUUUCCAUGUGCUUGCCAAUAUGCUGAGUCUUGUAUUCAUUGGAAUUCGGCUUGAGCAAGAAUUUGGAUUUGGUAUGCAUCUGGAUUUUAGUUCAUGUAUGUUAUCAUGCAUGUAUGGCCACAUCCAUAAGUGUUUGUAGUAAAAGAUAAAGCACACGACAUAAGUUGUAGAAUAAUAAAUUAGUUACCAAGUGCAAAACUUCUUUCAUAAAUCUAGAAGAGAAACACUUUCCGGAUGGCUUUAGCUACCUUGUGAUUAAUCUACAGAGGAUUUCUAUGCAUUUGUUUAUUGAAUUGUAAUCCUAGAGUAGUGGUCAUGUAGUGCGGGUUGCAUUAUAACUUACACCAGUAUGUUGUUUGGUUUGAUGGAAACAAGAGGAUGUUUUAUUUAGCGGUGAGCAAAGAAAAGAGUUUAUAGACCGAAGAUGGGGUUCAAACUUUAGUUUUAGACAUAGUAUUCCAUUUUACAGAAUAAAAUUGCUUGAAACAAAAGCUGAGAGAUUAUUUCAGUUUUCUAUCACAUCUGUGGGAACAAAGAUUGUUUUGGAUAUUCUGCAGUUCGAAUUGGUUUCUAUAUCUCAUGUCUGGUUUUGGUGGGAGUUUUCUUUCAACUCUUUUUAUUCAGUAUGGUAUUUCUGUUGGUGCUUCUGGUGCACUUUUUGGACAAUGUAUGUAAAUAAGGUAAAUAAAAUUCUGUAUACUUAAUGAUGCACCUCUUUAUAGUAUGUGCCCGACCCUUUGAUCUUACAGUUUCAGAUUUUGAUCCACAGUUAGCAACAUUGCUUACUCUCCUUUUCAUCAUCAUAAUAAACUUAGCAGUGGGAAUUCUACCACACGUGGACAACUUUGCUCGUAUUGGAGAAUUUUUCUUUGGAUUUCUUCUUGGAUUUUUGUUUUUGAUCCAUCCCCAGUUUAAAUGGCUUACCCAACGGAAUGCUCCCCCUGGACGUGUUACUACUCCAGUUAAAUCUAAACACAAGACGUAUCAAUAUGAGUAUUGUGGGUCCUCUCUUUGAUACUAUUGAUUGUUGGGUAAGCUCCUCCUCGAUCUCUGAUUUAACUAUUUGACUUCAUGAACCUAAUCGACUCCCUGCAUGAGAAUCUGGUAGCCACAGUUGACGUGUGCACAUUUUUUUUUAUCAAAUCAGAGAACUGGAUUUUGUGUAGAUAUGUAGAUAUCAUGUGUCCUGUAAUAUUUUCAUUGCGAAUAGGCUCUGUAUCUGCUUGUUUCUCAUCAUAAUGGUUUGGAGAAGGCAUUGUGUUAUCGCUAUUCUCUGUGUAAUACUAAUUUAUCACUUUGUUGAUAGCGGCUUCUACUUUGCUAUUUUGGAUUGCAUGUGUUGGCAAUACUGUAGACAUCGAAAUUUCGGUAAAUAAAUGUUGACCGAUAAAUCAAAGUGUCAACGCUCAUGUAUUACAUAAAUUUUACACGUAGCGUGUGACUCAACGAAAAUUGAAAUGAGUUGGAAAAGUCAUCAAAAACAGGACACGUGUCAACACCUGGCAGAAACAACUUAUUUCAUCUGGAAUAUUAUAUUCAAAAUUAGGCUAUAGAAAUUUCUAUAAAUAGAAGGCCAAUUCAUUCAUUUAAAGGGACCAAUUCAAAUUACACCUUGAAGCUCUGAAGCUCUGAAGCUCUGAAACUCCGAAGCUCUCAAGCAAAUCCCGAAGGAUCAAGAAAGCCCUUUUCGUUCUUCAUCAAAUCCUCCUUCAAGAUCAAGCCCCGACGGCCCUUGAAGAAAGUGUUCUUCGUUCAUCGUUCUUCCAAGAUCAAGCCCCGACGGCCCUUGGAUCAACAAUCCACCAAUUCAAGAUCACGCCCUAAAGGCCCUUGAAGAACUUCCACCAAUUCAAGAUCAAGCCCCGACGGCCCUUGAAGAAGGCACCAUCAUUCAUCAUCUGUUCAUCCGAGAUCAAGCCCCAACGGCCAUUUGGACCAACAACGUCGACAAAUCCACACAUUCCAACCGUUCUUCAAGAUUAAGCCCAAAAGUCCUUGAAGAGCCGUUCAUCACUGUUCUUCAAGAAUAAGCCCAAAAGCCCUUGAAGAUCCGUUCAUCACUGUUCUUCAAGAUCAAGCCCAAAAGCCCUUGGAGAUCCGUUCGUCACUGUUCUUCAAAGAUCAAGCCCAAAAGCCCCUUUGAAGAUCCGCUCAAAUCCACCUUCAAGAUCAAGUCCACGGCCCCUUGAAGAAACUUCCAACAGUUCAUCCAAGAUCAAGCUUUGACGGCCCUUAGAUCAACGAAACAUCCACAAAUACACACCUUACGAAGAUCGAAUCAGAGGAUCAAAAUUUAAGAGAGAUUGUAACCCAAAACCAUCAAAAAUACAAAUAUUUGUUUGUGCACGUUGUUCUUAUCUCUUUCGUUUCAGGAAUUUUCCGUGUUCACAAAUACUUUGUUGUUUUGUUAUUGGAAAUAAAGGUUCAUUUUCCUUGUAUUGUGUAGUAUCAAUAUAUGCAGGCAUUUUCUGAAAGAAGUCAUGUUUUUUACAAGUAUACUCUUGGCUUGGUUACUCUUUUUCGAGGGGUCAAUCUAAACAACCAUUGUUCCUGGUGUCAUUAUUUGAGUUGUGUCCCUACAUCAAAAUGGAAUUGCAAGUCAAAAUAUUUAUUGUCUGAUAAUAUGUUGUACUUUUCUGCGCAUAUUAGCUUCUACCUUAAUAUUUGAUAGACAGAAGUGCUUGCUUAUUAAAAUGAUCAUGGUUGCAUUCAGUCGUUCUAGUUUGGCAUGCCGUUUAGUCUAAUGCCUUAAAGAAAAGUAAUUUAAGAAAUGACUCGCGAAAUUCUGUGUCAGGAAAUUGUUUUUGCAACGUACUUUGUUAGUACUAUAAAUUGGUUUUGUACUGACAUAUUGUUCUUUAUAUGCAUAUAUGCACCAAUCUUGCAGUCGAGCCAGAUAGGGAAUCAGCUGAACUUAACGUGCGUAAGCAAUGGUAGAAAUGGGACAUAUUCAUUGUCGGAUCCCAGCCCCUCCCGGACUCAGCAGCUAUAUGCUGCUCUUUGUAGUUGACCAUACAUGUACAGAUUUCAGAGUUGAUAGAAUGUUGAUUGAUAUGCUUCAUUCUUGUAGUAAGUAUUCUUUCUCUUUCUUUUGUUUUUUGUUGGGUAAAAUAGUCAUUUGUAUUCACCAAGCAAUGGUUCUCAUUGUCAUUAUUCUUUUCAUUCUUUUACUGCCCUUGUACCUCUUUUCUACUAUUCAUAACAGUUGAAACCCAUACCGAUAAUUAUGAAAUUUACUUGCCAUGUAAAACUACUCAAACAUGCAAUUUACCCAUACCUAAGUUUGUUGAAUGUGGGAUGUUAUGGAUCCUCUCAAUCGGACCUUUGUUCUGUACCUUCUCGUCUCUCUCUCAUUCUGCAAUGUUGCAAGAUGAUCGGACAUAUGUAUACUUUGUAGUUCAUCCUCUAGAGACCAGCUUUGAAAAAAAAAUCAACUAAAUAAAAAAUCAUUUAACCAUUUAAUUAACAUUGUCAAAAUUUCAGUAUUUAAUUGAAAAACAUAGUUCAUUUAUUUAUUGGAUAACAAUUAGAUGACAAAACAAGUAUGAAUUACUUUGGUUUUUGGCGAAGUUGGACUUUAAAGUGAGGCAUUAAUAACUGGAUAUGUCUACAGUGGUGGAAUUCUCUUGCUAGAGACUUGAGCCCCCAUGAAGAAUAAAAAUUAAGAAAGCUUGAUCUCACUAGUAACUGAUACAAUUUUUAGAAAGGUUGCAUCCACAACAGGCUUUCUUGCAAUGGUACUUUAGGGGAACUAUGAGAAAAUCAGCAAUCUCACAAUCCAGCCCCUCAAAAAACAUAGAGACUUCAAAAUUUCCUUUCAUAGCCAGGGUCGCCUAGCAAGGUUACUUUCAUAUUAAAUGACACCAGCGUGACGUUUGAUGUGACCAAAAUAUAGGAUUCCUUGUAUUUGUUUUUUCAUUUUGAAUGGUUGCCAAAUGUUUCGAGUCAGCUUCUGGAAUCAAGGUGCAUUAAUGGUCUUUGUCCUCGGCGUACCGAAAGUGCCGGACAAUAGGUGGUUGCCAAAUGUUUCCAGUCAGCUUCUGGAAUCAAGGUGCUUUAAUGGUCUUCGUCCUUGGCGUACCGAAAGUGCCAGACAAUAGGUGGUUGCCAAAUGUUUCCAGUUAGCUUUUGGAAUCAAGGUGCUUUAAUGGUCUUGCUCCUUGGCGUUCACCGAAAGUGCCAAACAACAGUUCCCAGUAGUGGAAGUAAGCUAGUGAAGUCGUCUAAAAAAACAAGCCAAAGUUGUUGUCAUUUACUUGGACUUCUUCCUUUUCAUAUUUGAAUUUCAAGAACCAGAAAUUGUGGUGUAAGUUCCUCCUAUGAUCCUAUCCUUCUAUAAAUUUCCUUGUCAAGCAACAAUGGAACUCACCAAAUUCACAACUCAACAGCCAUCUCUCUAUUUCUUUCUGCUUCUCUUUCUAAUUAUAUAGUUAACCAGAUCAGGAAUGGGGGUUUUGGUUUUGAAAUUGAUCUUAAUAUACUAGCUUAUCAGUGCAGUGUUCGUUUGCUGUUGGAGCUCCCUGCAAUCGGGACUCGGAAGGAAUGCGACGGAUAGGUUGGCGCUGCUAGCCAUCAAAGCUCAAAUAAAGCAAGAUCUCCAUAAUUACAAUGUGAUGAGCUCCUGGAACGAAUCCAUGCACUUUUGCAUGUGGCAUGGUGUGACGUGCAGUCGACGACAUCGCCAAAGGGUCACUAACCUGGACCUGCAAUCUCAAAAUCUGGUAGGAAAACUAUCCCCAAACAUUGGAAAUCUAAGCUUGCUAAGGGAGCUGUGGCUGCAAAACAACAGCUUCAGUCAUGAAAUUCCUCCACAAAUUGGGAAUUUGCGUAGAUUGCAGGUAUUACGAUUAGACAUGAACUCAUUUAGUGGCAGUAUUCCACACAAUAUAUCAUAUUGCUUCAACCUUAUCUUUAUGAAUUUCACUUACAACAAGUUGGUGGGUAAAAUUCCUUCAAAAAUUGGAUUGUUGUCGAAGCUGCAACAUUUUGCAUUAGAAUAUAAUAAUGUAACGGGACAGGUCCCUCCUUCCUUAGGGAACCUUUCGUCUCUCCGGGGACUAAGUCUUCUUAGUAAUAACUUGAUGGGAAACAUCCCCAGUUCUCUCGGCCAAUUGAAAAAAUUAACCUUCUUGGGAUUGGGGUUCAAUCAGUUGUCUGGUAGCAUUCCUUCCUCCAUUUAUAACCUCUCUUCUCUUGUUACAUUUUCCAUAGUAAUCAACCAAAUUGAAGGGAGUAUUCCAUCAGAUAUUGACAAAAGUUUUCCUAAUCUCGAAAAAUUCAACGUCGGCUCUAACCAACUUACUGGGUCCAUUCCUCCCUCAAUAUUCAAUGUCACAAGUGUUGGGAGAUUUGACGUUGGGAGUAACAACCUAAUCGGACAGGUACCGAGUCUCCAAAAGCUUCACAACCUCCUUUUUUUCAACAUUCAAUUUAAUAAUAUUGGAAGCGGUAAAGAUGGUGACUUAAGUUUUCUCUCGGACUUGACCAAUGCCACCCAGUUACGAGUGCUGCUUAUUGACAACAACAAUUUUGGAGGGACAUUGCCCAUGUCAAUAUCCAAUCUCUCAAACAAACUGGAAAUGUUUUGGGUUGGCGAUGACCAAAUAUAUGGAAGUAUCCCAUCUGGGAUAGGGAAUCUGGUGAGCUUGGAAUCGUUGCUUUUGGAGAAUAGUAGCUUCACAGGUAACAUCCCCUUUGACAUGGGUAAGCUUUCAAACCUUGGAGAAUUAGAUAUUUCCAUGAACAAAUUAUCAGGAAAUAUUCCGUCUUCCUUAAGAAAUUUAACCAAGUUAUUCCAUCUUGCGUUGCAUAGAAAUCAUCUUGAGGGCAGAUUCCUUGAAGCCUAGGGGAAUGCCAGGGGUUGCAGUUGUUGAAUCUUUCUUAUAACCUUCUAAAUGGCACAAUACCCAAACAAGUUUUUAGACUCUCCUCCUUAUCGAUUUCUUUGGACUUGUCUAAUAACCUCUUUACAGGUUCCCUUCCCCCGGAGGUUGGGAAUUUACAAAGUCUAAGUGAACUGGACAUUUCUGAUAACAUGUUAUCUGGAGAACUCCCCAGUAGCCUUGGUGGUUGUGAAAGUUUAGAAGUCCUGCAUUUGCAAGGAAACUUCUUCAACGGGUCCAUUCCUUUGUCUAUGAGUUCAGUGAGAGGGAUUCAAGAUCUAGAUCUUUCUCGCAAUAAUUUUUCAGGUGAAAUUCCACAUUUUUUAGAAGGCUUUAGAAUCCUAAAUAAUCUGAACUUAUCAUUCAAUCAAUUUUGGGGAGAGGUACCAACUGGAGGUGUUUUCAAAAAUGCAAAUGCUAUUUCAGUUGUUGGCAACACUAAUUUGUGCAGCCCUGUUGCUAAUUUAAAGCUUCCCAAGUGCAAGUCUAAAGAGACCAACAAACGAAGAUUGUCUCUUAGCUUGAAACUAAUACUCCCUUUACUAUUUGGACUUGCUCUUCUUGGAAUAGCCAUGGUGUUCUCCUAUUUCUUUCUUUGUUCGUCAAGGAAGAAAAGGAAAGAAAUUUCAUUGAGCACUUUGGGGAACACUAUUUUGCAAGUUUCAUAUGCUACUCUACUCAAAGCUACUAACGCGUUCUCAGAGGCUAAUUUAAUUGGUGUUGGUAGUUUUGGGUCUGUGUACAAGGGAGUUCUUGAUGAUGAUGAUAAAGCUCAACUAGUUGCCGUGAAGGUGUUUAACUUGUUACGCCUUGGAGCUUCGAGGAGUUUCAUAGCUGAAUGUGAAGCUUUGAAAAAUAUUAGGCAUCGAAAUCUCGUCAAGAUUAUAACUGUGUGUUCAAGUGUUGAUUUUCAUGGUAAUGAUUUCAAGGCUCUAGUUUAUGAGUUCAUGGACAACGGGAGCUUAGAGGAGUGGCUGCAUCCACCUACUGGAACUGAAGAGUUAAGAGAUCAUGUACCCAAGAAUUUAAGUCUUUUUCAGAGGCUAGAAAUUGCCAUUGGUGUUGCUUGCGCACUGGAUUAUCUUCAUAAUCAUUGUGAAACACCGAUAGUUCAUUGUGAUCUCAAGCCAAGCAAUGUUCUCUUGGACAACGAAUUGACCGGCCAUGUUUCUGACUUUGGAUUAGCAAGGUUUCUCUCACAAGUAACGAGUAAUGUUUCAGCAAUUCAGAGUCAAACAAGUUCCGUUGGAAUAAGGGGAACAAUUGGUUAUGUAGCUCCAGGUAUAUAUAUGUUAGAUAUAUACUUCAUUAUGUUUCCUUUUUUAUUUUGGAGUAUUUAAUUUACAAAAUUAAAAAAUGUGAUGUUUGAAUUGCAGAGUAUGGCAUGGGGAGUGAGGUGUCAACGAAUGGUGAUGUUUACAGCUUUGGCAUUCUCUUGUUGGAGAUGUUUACAGGGAAAAGACCCACUGACAACAUGUUUGGUGAUAGCUUGGACCUUCAUAAUUUGUCAAGAUGGCUCUCCCCAUGCAAGUUACUGAGAUUGCAGACGCACCACUUCUUCAAGGACGCACGAACGAGAAUCUCAAUCAAUGCACUACAAGAAUUCAUAGAGUUGAGGUGUGCUUGAGUUCAAUAUUUAGAAUUGGAAUUGCUUGUUCUGCUGAAUCCGCAACAGAUCGACUAAAGAAUAUCAAUGAUGCUGCAUCUAAACUUCAUUCCAUUAGGAAUACUUUUCUUGGAUAGAAACUAUUUCUUAUGUGCUUUUGUGAUUGAGAAAUUUCGUGUACUGCCUGUGAAGUCUAGCUUUUAUGUUACCACAGUAGAUGUGAAAGUUUGCAACGUAAAUAAUCACCAAUGAGGUUCAUUGUGUGAAGAGUGUUUUACUACUUCUUGUACUUGGUAUUUUUGUGUAAUAUUCACAUCUAUUAAAGUCUAGUACGUGCCACGAAAUUCUUGAAUAUACACAUUGACAGAUUCCAAAUUUUCGAAAGAUUCAUCACCUCAAGAUCCUCAACUUAUAUUCAACAAAAUCAUCUUGGAAGCGGUAAAGAUGGUGAUUUGAGUUUCCUAUCAGACAUGACCACUAUCAAUGUAAGGUGCUUUCGAAAAUCAAAGUGCUAUUUCAAUUGUUAACAACACUAGAUUCUGCAAGGGAAUUUCUAAUCUCAAGCUGCCUAAUUGCUGCUAGAGUUUGAAUAGAAAAUGUGGGGUAUUGUUGGAACUUUUGUGAAUAUGUGGGAUUGGGAGUCCCGCAUCGCCCAUUUCCCAUCUUAAAGUUAUCUUUAUAAGUGUGUCCUCACACUUAUGGUUUGAAAACAAUUGGGCCUAGGCCAUGGACCUUGGGCCUUAGGCUUGGAAGGUUUAGGUGUAUAUUAAAUGUCAAAGAUGGGCCUUGGGCCAUGGUGCUCGGAUGGACGAAAACACAAGUUACGUUUUUUAUUUUUGGGAUUUAGUUUUUUUUCUGAAAGGAUAAAACUGAUUGAACAGUUAUGUCAGUUUUAUAACUGAUAAGAAUGAACAGUUAUGUCUGUUCAAUUUAUGCCAUUAUAUAUAUGGCAAUAAGAUCAGAAACUUAACAUAGAAUUUCCAACGCUUCCUUUUCAUCUUACACAGAGAAACGCACAACCAAUUCGCCAAGAAUCCAAGUUCGAGUGCAAGAACUUGGAUUAGAUAGUUGUAUCCUGCAAGAUAGAUGUCCGUUGAACUAUUGCAUGGGUGUAGGGGUGAAUUUCUGUCUUAGGUGAUUGCAUUUGCAAGCCUUUAUCUUCAAGAACAAGUCAAUGAUUUGUGAUUUUAUAUGCAAUUUACUUAAGUGUUUGUAUUUUGAUAUUUAUAGUAUUUGUUGUUGAAUUUAGCAUUCGAAAUAAACUGUGCAAAAUAUAUAUUGUGUCAGUGACAUUUGAUUGGUUUCCAACAUUCUAAGACAGAAAUUUUCAUUAUGAAACCAUGGAUCAAUCAAAUGUUGGUGUCGUCAAGCAACACGUUGAGAAACCUGAGAAAUUCAAGGUUGUUGAUUUCAAACGUUGACAACAUAAAAUGUUGUUCUAUUUGACAACUCUGAACUUGCGUCAUGUGAUUACUUCUGAGGCCCCUUGGAGAAUUAGAUAUUUCCAUGAACAAAUUAUCAGGAAAUAUUCCGUCUUCCUUAAGAAAUUUAACCAAGUUAUUCCAUCUUGCGUUGCAUAGAAAUCAUCUUGAGGGCAGCAUUCCUUCAAGCCUAGGGGAAUGCCAGGGGUUGCAGUUGUUGAAUCUUUCUUAUAACCUUCUAAAUGGAACAAUACCCAAACAAGUUUUUAGACUCUCCUCCUUAUCGAUUUCUUUGGACUUGUCUAAUAACCUCUUCACAGGUUCCCUUCCCCCGGAGGUUGGGAAUUUACAAAGUCUAAGUGAACUGGACAUUUCUGAUAACAUGUUAUCUGGAGAACUCCCCAGUAGCCUUGGUGGUUGUGAGAGUUUAGAAGUCCUGCACUUGCAAGGAAACUUCUUCAACGGGUCCAUUCCUUUGUCUAUGAGUUCAGUGAGAGGGAUUCAAGAUCUAGAUCUUUCUCGCAAUAAUUUUUCAGGUGAAAUUCCACAUUUUUUAGAAGGCUUUAGAAUCCUAAAUAAUCUGAACUUAUCAUUCAAUCAAUUUUGGGGAGAGGUACCAACUGGAGGUGUUUUCAAAAAUGCGAAUGCUAUUUCAGUUGUUGGCAACACUAAUCUGUGCAGCCCUGUUGCUAAUUUAAAGCUUCCCAAAUGCAAAUCUAAAGAGACCAAGAAACGAAAAUUGUCUCGUAGCUUGAAACUAAUACUCCCUUUAGUAUUUGGACUUACUCUUCUAGGAAUAGCCAUGGUGUUCUCCUAUUUCUUUCUUUGUUCGCCAAUGAAGAAAAGGAAAGAAAUUUCGUUGAGCACUUUGGGGAACAAUAUUCUGCAAGUGUCAUAUGCUACUCUACUCAAAGCUACUGACAGGUUCUCAGAGGCUAAUUUAAUUGGUGCUGGUAGUUUUGGGUAUGUGUACAAAGGAGUUCUUGAUGAGGAUGAUAAAGCUCAACUUGUUGCCGUGAAGGUGUUUAACUUGUUACGCCGUGGAGCUUCGAAGAGUUUCAUAGCCGAAUGUGAAGCUUUGAGAAAUAUUAGGCACCGAAAUCUCGUCAAGAUUAUAACCGUGUGUUCAAGUGUUGAUUUUCAUGGUAAUGAUUUCAAGGCUCUAGUUUUUGAGUACAUGGACAACGGGAGCUUAGAGGAGUGGCUGCAUCCACCUACUGGAACUGAAGACUUAAGAGAUCAUGUACCCAAGAAGUUCAGUCUUCUUCAGAGGCUAGAAAUUUCCAUUGGUGUUGCUUGUGCACUAGAUUAUCUUCAUAAUCAUUGUGAAACGCCAAUAGGUCAUUGUGAUCUCAAGCCAAGAAACGUUCUCUUGGACAACGAAUUGAUUGGCCAUGUUUCUGACUUUAGAUUAACAAGGUUUCUUUCACAAGUAAAGAGUAAUGUUUCAACAAUUCAAAGUCAGACAAGUUCCGUUGGAAUAAGAGGAACGGUUGGUUAUGUAGCUCCAGGUAUAUAUAUGUUAGAUAUACACUUCAUUAGAUUUCCUUUUUUAUUUUUGAGUAUUUAAUUUACAAAAUUCAAACUGAACUAUUUAUACACAAAUGUGAUGUUUGAAUUGUAGAGUAUGGCAUGGGAAGUGAGGUGUCAACGAAUGGUGAUGUCUACAGCUUUGGCAUUCUCUUGUUGGAGAUGUUUACAAGGAAAAGACCCACUGACAACAUGUUUGAUGAUAGCUUGAACCUUCAUAAUUUUGUCAAGAUGGCUAUCCCUUAGCGAGUUAGUAAGAUUGCAGAUGCACCACUUCUUCAAGGAUGCACGAACGAGAAUCCCAAUCAAUGUAGUGCGAGAAUUCAUAAAGUUGAGGUGUGCUUGAGUUCAAUAUUUAGAAUUGGAAUUGCUUGUUCUGCUGAAUCCACAACAGAUCGACUAAAGAAUAUCAAUGAUGCUGCAUCUGAACUUCAUUCCAUUAGGAAUACUUUUCUUGGAUAGAAACUUUUUUUUAUGUGCGUUUGUGAUAGAGAAAUUUCAUGUACUGCCUGUGAAGUCUAGCUUUUAUGUUACCACAGUAGAUGUGGAAGUUUGCAAUGUAAAUAAUCACCAAUGAGGUUCAUUGUGUGAAGAGUGUAUUACUACUUCUUGUACUUGGUAUUUUUGUGUAAUAUUCACAUUGAUGAAAGUCUAGUUCGUGCCACGAAAUUGUUGAAUAUUCACAUUGACAGAUUCCAAAUUUUUUAAAGAUUCAUAAUCUCAAGACCCUCAAGAUUCAAUAAAAUCAUCUUGGAAGCUGUAAAGAUGGUGAUUUGAGUUUCCUAUUAGACUUGACCACUAUCAGUGUAAGGUGUUUUCGAAAAUCAAAGUGCUAUUUCAAUUGUUGACAACACUAGAUUCUGCAAGGGAAUUCCUAAUCUCAAGCUGCCCAGCUGCAAUCUAAAGAGCUCCAAGAAUAGAAGAUUAGCUUAUAGCUUGAAAUUAAUAAUCCCUUUUGUAUUCAUACUUGCUCUACUUUGCAAGUGUCAUAGGCUACUUUCUCAAACGCCACUGAUUGGUUUUCUUCAGCUAAUUUGACAGUUUUGAGUUUGUAUACUGACAAUAGAGCUCGGCUUGUACUUGUAGAUAUGAAGGUGUUUAACAAUAUCAAGCAUCAAAGAGUUUCAUAGCCGAAUGUGAGGCUUUGAGAAAUAUCAAGCAUCAAAAUCUCGUCAAGGUCAUAUCUGCAUGUUUUCUCGAUGAUUAUUUCUAGGCUCUAGUUUAUGAGUUGAUGCACCAAAGGAGCUUAGAGGAGUGGUUGCAUCGCCUCCUGUAAUUGAAGAGGUAAGAGAUCAAUACAUCCAACAAUUUAAAAUCUUCUUCAAGGGCUAGAUAUUGUUAUUGGUGUUGCCAUUAUGCACUGGAUUAUUUUCAUAACCAGAGUGAAACACGGAUAGUUCAUUGUGAUCUAAAGCCAAGCAAUGUUCUUCAAAACACCAAGUUGACUGGACAUGUUUAUUGAAAGUAGACUAAUCUCAUACUGUUAAUUAUAUGAACUCCUCCAUAGAGGUGAAGGUAAUUGGGUUCAAGUUGGUUGGUAUGGUUAAUAGGGUUUGCAAAUGACCAUUUUUUAAAGAAUUUUAACCCCGACUUUAAAGCCCAUGGGCUAUGACAAAUCAAGGUUUUCUAGCAUUGUUGCUAUCAAUAUUCUCUCAUGUGCAUUCUGAAUUCCAAUCCAAUGGUUUUAGCAAUCUUUCGACUAAUCUUGACAAUGAAAGAGUUUUUUUUUUUUUUGUUCGAACAAAUGAUAUUAUCUAUACUAAGAGGAAGGGGAUAGGUUUAGCUUCAUAAUGGACUAACAAUAAUGUGGUUCAAAUUCGUCUUUGGCAAGAAUCCAACUCAAGACUUCUCACUUACAAGUGAAAAGAAUAGUACUAAGUGACAUGAAAGGGUUUCUAUUAAACCCACAAAAAUGAAAACUCUCAGCAGUUUAUUAAUGGAUUUGAAUUUAGAUUUAUUACAAUUGAUAAGAGAUUUUUUUUUUCAGCAAUCAAUAGGAUACUAACAAAUUUGUUUUUAGUACAAAGAUAUGUCACGAUAAUGUGACUUAUAGCUAUGUCAUUGGCCUUUUAACUUAUUGUCCUAUCUUUGACGCACUCCAAUUAAUGUCGUCCUCUAAUUGUUAGUAUUUAAUGAAUCUCAUCCUAAAUUGUUACCCAAAAUAUUAAUUAUCAAAGCAAAUAAACUUGAUUGAGUUAUAAAUUUAUCAUGAUCCAGUUGGCAUGGUUCGGAGAAAAAUCAAUUUUGUUCAUAAUUUUCAUGUCUUCCUAGUGAACAUGGGGCUAUAAGUGAAGUUCCAAAGGAUACGGUGGUGUAAUUUGCCCCAUGAAUUGUCUCCUCCAAUUUGCAUGCAUACGGUAGGUGACUGACUCCCAAAUAAUUCUCGUUACCAAGCAAAUUAAAUAUCAUUAAUUAAGAGCUUAAAACUCUUUAAUUAUUACCUCUCUAUUUUGCUUUUGCAAUUAGGAUAUUUUCCCCUUUUGCGUAAAAUAUUAUAAGAAUAUUUUUGUUCUCCACACUCAAAUGAUGGUGAUACUCACUACUUUAUUUAUCACCGUUAUGAGUUUAAUACCCUGGAUAAACACAAAUCUCAAAAUUUAAACCCAUACAACGGUAAUAAAUAAGGUUAUAAGCAUUACCACCACUUGAGGGUGAUGACUAAAAAUCACCCCAAUAAUAUAAGAGGUAGUUAAGUUAGUUGGUGUGGUAGUUGGUCUUUAGCAAGCUUCUUAUAGAAAAGAAGAAUCUGGGUACUUUGGCCGUUUUGCAAAAGAAAAAGAAAGAAAGGGGCAUUUGAUGUUGCAACAGGCAUAGUGAUGGUGCUAGCCGCCUGCUUCUUGGUGUUUUUUUUAAAAGAAAAUAUAAAAAAAUAAGAAAAGGCUAAUUUGCACCCUUCGGAUAUUAUGAUGCCAAUUUGCUUGGUUGAGAAACUUGUGGCUUUUCUAAUGGAGAUUACGUAAAGGUGCAAACAAUUUGUUAAUGGUUGUGCAAAAUAGGUUUCAUCCUAGAAAAUAUGUUCGCGCUCCGCUGCGGGUUUUGAAAUCAUAACCCACAAUUUAACAUGCCCAUUUUUAAAUUAUUCAGAAAUCAAUCAGAGAAAACUUCAAGUAGAAGAAAAAUGAGUUCUCAAUCAGAGGAAACUUCAAUUUCAUGCAAGUUUUUUUGUUCUAAUUUCAGGGCUUAACAAUGCAAGAUUGGAAUUUGCCUUUGGUUCAAAGAAGUAAGAUAAACUGAUAAGCAACAACAACAACAACAACAAAGCCUUUUCCCACUAAGUGGGGUCGGCUAUAUGAAUCUUAGAACGCCAUUGCGCUCGGUUUUGUGUCAUGUCCUCCGUUAGAUCCAAGUACUCUAAGUCUUUUCUUAGAGUCUCUUCCAAAGUUUUCUUAGGUCUUCCUCUACCCCUUCGGCCCUGAACCUCUGUCCCGUAGUCACAUCUUCGAACCGGAGCGUCAUUCGGCCUUCUUUGCACAUGUCCAAAUCACCGGAGCCGAUUUUCUCUCAUCUUUCCUACAAUUUCGGCUACUCCUACUUUACCUCGGAUAUCCUCAUUCCCAAUCUUAUCCUUUCUCGUGUGCCCACACAUCCCACGAAGCAUCCUCAUCUCCGCUACACCCAUUUUGUGUACGUGUUGAUGCUUCACCGCCCAACAUUCUGUGCCAUACAACAUCGCUGGCCUUAUUGCCGUCCUAUAAAAUUUUCCCUUGAGCUUCAGUGGCCUACGACGGUCACACAACACGUCGGAUGCAUUCUUACACUUCAUGCAUCCAGCUCGUAUUCUAUGGUUGAGAUCUCCAUCUAAUUCUCCGUUCUCUUGCAAGAUAGAUCCUAGGUAGCGAAAACGGUCGCUUUUUGUGAUCUUCGCUAGAUUGCUCCGGUCAUUAGUGUGGAUAAGUAUAUAAAUGGAUAGAGAUAGGAAAGCAAACACAAGAUGUACGUGGUUCACCCAGAUUGGCUACGUCCACGGAAUAGAAGAGUUCUCAUUAAUUGUGAAGGGUUUACACAAGUACAUAGGUUCAAGCUCUCCUUUAGUGAGUACAAGUGAAUGAUUUAGUACAAAUGACAUUAGGAAAUAUUGUGGGAGAAUGAUCUCGUAAUCACGAAACUUCUAAGUAUCGGAGUGUGGUGUCGUCUUCUUGACUUGCCUUAUCUGUCUCAUAGGUAGAUGUGGCAUCUUCUCUGGAAGUACUCUUCCUCCAUCCAGGGGUGGUAUCUUUAACUGGUGGAGAUGCACAAGGUAAUGUAUCAAUUUCACUUGAAGCUUACUUGUAGUUUCAGGCUUGGUCAAGCGCGAUACAAACCAUGUAGUAGGAGUCCCCCAAGUCGCCGAGCUAGGGGGUCUGCUGAAAGAGGUGACAGACAAGGUAAGCAAUCAGAGCUCCGACUGAUUGUUCACCUUCUCCCCAUCUUGCAGCAGCAUGAAGGAUAAAGAGAAGAAAAAUGAGAAGAGAUGAUAUGAGAUACUUUUGUUUUUGAAGAAGUAACUUUCCACAGGCUUAUUCUUGAACUGAGCUUGAGGGUUUUCUGGUUUCCUCCAGAGUAUAAGGCCGACUGAAGAAUUUGAGGGUCAAAACAAGUCCAUCAAAUCUAGAGUACGUUCCACCCUGCUGAUAUGGGAUACCUUUGCUUUUGACAGAGUAAUGGAUGUAUCGGCACGUGUGCUGUUACGCUUGUCUCCACAUGCUUCCUUGUAUCCUUCGCACUUGCCCUAUCUGUUCCUCAAACAGAUGCGGAAUCUUCCCUGGAAACAUAAGAUGUUGAAGAUGAGUACUCGACAGCAAUGCCAGGUAAGUAAUCAGGUAAGGGGUUCCAGGCAGUCAGUUCCUGACUGGAAGCUUGAUUCCAAGUGCUGACUGAUUGCUCUCUUUCUCCUUGUCUUGCAAUAAAAACAAGGCCAAAGGAAAAGACAGGGAAAAAGCAUGAUAUGGGAUACUCUUGCUUUUAACCCUGAUGAUAUGAGAUAUUCUUGCUCUAGUAUAGCUUGUUUGCAGAGGUAUUAUCGGGGGGAAAGAAAGCUGAAUAUUUCGAAAGGCUUCGUUGGGAGUGCCCUCUCAGAUAUGAUGAAGGGUUGAGCAUUUUUUCAGGUCUGCCUGUCCGUUGGGGAUGGAAGGUCGACAUAUAUAGGAGUCUCCCUAACAACAAGUAGUAAUGCUAUUCCUUUACCCUGCUUGGUCAUAGCACGGUAGUGGGAGCUGCCAGUUUCACAUGUUUUAACUCUGUCAGAGCACUUUGAAAAAGUGGUCUGUGGUAUCUGGCUCUCGAGAUUCGGAGAACGAUGCCUCUUCAAUUUUUGAGAAAGCAAUCAUGCUGGGGGUCUGGCUCUCGAGAUUCGGAGAGCAGUGUCUCUUCGAUUUUUGAGGAAGUAAUCAUGUUGGGAGUCUGGCUCUCGAGAUUCGGAGGGCGGUGCCUCUUCGAUUUUGGAGCAAGCAAUCUUGUUGGGAGUGUUGUCUCGAAUGUGAGUAAAGGUUGGGCAUGUUUGCUAGUUUACCUUGCCACGAAGCACAAAGGUUGACACACAGGGACUUUCCAAUUAUCCAGCAAUGGUACUGUUCCUUUACCCUCUCUUCGAUUUUGAGAAAGUAGUCAUGUUGGGAGUCUGGCUCUCGAGAUUCGGAGGAUGGUGCCUCUUCGAUUUUGGAGCAAGCAAUCUUGUUGGGAGUGUUUUCUCGAAUGUGAGUAAAGGUUGGGCAUGUUUGCUAGUCUACCUUGCCACGAAGCACAGAGGUUGACACACAGGGACUUUCCAAUUAUCCAGCAGUGGUACUGUUCCUUUACCCUUGUGGGUAAUAAUAUGGUAGCUAGACCUUCAAAAUUUAUGUGUCUAAACUUUGUUAGUGCUGUUUCUUUGCUAUUCUUUUACCUUUCUUGGUCAGAGCGAUGUAGUGGAAGCUGCAAGCUUCACGUGCUCAACUUUGGCAGAGAACUUUGGCAAAGUUAUCUGUGGUACCCAUGAGCUAUUGUUGCGUGUGGGAAGUAGGUGAUUGAACAGUAAGAUUCAUGUGCUUUCUACUUCACCAGAAGUCUUCGACAGAAUGCCCAUAAUUUCCGCAAAGCUGAGUGUGCGUGUGACAGGUGCUGACAAGACUAGAAAAGUAGGUGCCUCUUCGAUUUCUGAGAUCGGCCCUCGUGGUCUCUGAGUAGCCCAGCUUUUGAGAAAGCGAGCGCCUCUUCGAUUGAUUCGGAGAACGAUGCCUCAUCGAUUUUUGAGAAAGCAAUCAUGUUGGGGGUCUGGCUCUCGAAGAUUCGGGGAGCAGUGUUUCUUCGAUUUUUGAGAAAGUAAUCAUGUUGGGAGUCUGGCUCUCGAGAUUCGGAGGGCGGUGCUUCUUCGAUUUUGGAGCAAGCAGUCUUGUUGGGAGUUUUUUCUCGAAUGUGAGUAAAGGUUGGGCAUGUUUGCUAGUCUACCUUGCCACGAAGCACAGAGGUUGACACACAGGGACUUUCCAAUUAUCCAGCAAUGGUACUGUUCCUUUACCCUCUCUUCGAUUUUUAAGAAAGUAGUCAUGUUGGGAGUCUGGCUCUCGAGAUUCGGAGGACGGUGCCUCUUCGAUUUUGGAGCAACCAAUCUUAUUGGAAGUGUUUUCUCGAAUGGGAGUAAAGGUUGGGCAUGUUUGCUAGUCUACCUUGCCACAAAGCACAGAGGUUGACACACAGGGACUUUCCAAUUAUCCAGUAGUGGUACUGUUCCUUUACCCUUGUGGGUAAUAAUAUGGUAGCUAGACCUUCAAAAUUUAUGGGUUUAAACUUUGUUAGUGCUGUUUCUUUGCUAUUAUUUUACCCUUCUUGGUCAGAGCGAUGUAGUGGGAGCUGCAAGCUUCACGUGCUUAACUUUGGCAGAGAACUUUGGCAAAGUUUUCUGUGGUACCCAUGAGCUAUUGUUGCGUGUGGGAAAUGGGUGAUUGAACAGUAAGAUUCAUGUGUUUUCUACUUCCCUAGAAGUCUUCGACAGAAUGCCCAUAAUUUUCGCAAAGCUGAGUGUGCGUGUGACAGGUGCUGACAAGGCUGGAAAAGUAGGUGCCUCUUCGAUUUCUGAGAUCGGCCCUCGUGGUCUCUGGGGAGCCCAGCUUUUGAGAAAGCGAGCGCCUCUUCGAUUUCUGAGAUCAGCCUUCGUGGUCUUUGAGCAGCCCAACUUUUGAGAAAGCAAACACCUCUUCGAUUUCUGAUAUCAACCCUCGUGAUCUCUAAGCAACCCAGCUUUUGAGAAAGCAAACGCCUCUUCGAUUUCUGAGUAGGUGCCUUUUCGAUUUCUGAAGCUCCGUCGAGUGCAGAUUUUUAUAGGGGCUGGCAUUAAGUUCCAAAGCACACUUGAAUCUCCACCAGUAGAAGCUUCAUUCUUGCACUUCUAAGAUCUUGAUUUGUCCGACAACAUAUGGCGCCCAUCUUUUGUCGCCCCUACUGGUCCUCUUACCGUUGGGGAUUCCGUGAUGAAGAAUGAUAUGACCGCUGCGGUGGUGGCCAGGAACCUUCUCACUCCCAAAGAUAACAGACUACUUUCCAAACGGUCUGAUGAGUUAGCUGUUAAGGAUUCGCUGGCUCUCAGUGUUCAGUGUGCAGGUUCUGUGUCUAAUAUGGCCCAACGCCUAUUUGCUCGAACCCGCCAAGUUGAAUCAUUGGCGGCUGAAGUGAUGAGUCUCAAACAGGAGAUUAGAGGGCUCAAGCAUGAGAAUAAACAGUUGCACCGGCUCGCACAUGACUAUGCUACAAACAUGAAAAGGAAGCUUGACCAGAUGAAGGAAACUGAUGGUCAGGUUUUACUUGAUCAUCAGAGAUUUGUGGGUUUGUUCCAAAGGCAUUUAUUGCCUUCGUCUUCUGGGGCUGUACCGCGUAAUGAAGCUCCAAAUGAUCAACCUCUGAUGCCUCCUCCUUCUAGGGUUCUGUCCAGUACUGAGGCUCCAAAUGAUCCCCCUCCGGUGCCUUCUCUUUCUGGGGCUCUACCGACUGCUGAGACUUCUUCUAAGCAACCUUUGUGAAGGCUCCCUCUUGUGUGUUUAUUUUGACUCAUGUAUAUGUACAUAUUUGUAGCUUAUCGGGGAUAUCAAUAAAUAAGCUUUCCUUCAUUUCAACGUAUUGUGUUAAAUACACCAAAGCCUUCUUCGCUAAGUUCUUUGAAUUUUCUUUUGUUGAAGCUUGUAUGUUGAAGCUUUCUGAGUGGAGCAUGUAGGUUGGGGUACUGUUCCUUUAAUUUUCCGAGUGAGGAAAACUUCUCGGUUGGAGACUUGGAAAAUCCAAGUCACUGAGUGGGAUCGGCUAUAUGAAUCUUAGAACGCCAUUGUGCUCGAUCCUGUGUCAUGUCCUUCGUUAGAUCCAAGUACUCUAAGUCUUUUCUUAGAGUCUCUUCCAAGGUUUUCCUAGGUCUUCCUCUACCCCUUCGGCCCUGAACCUCUGUCCCAUAGUCGCAUCUUCUAAUCGGAGCGUCAGUAGGCCUUCUUUGCACAUGUCCAAACCACCGUAACCGAUUUUCUCUCAUCUUUCCUUCAAUUUCGGCUACUCCUACUUUACCCCGGAUAUCCUCAUUCCUAAUCUUAUCCUUUCUCAUGUGCCCACACAUCUAACGAAGCAUCCUCAUCUCCGCUACACCCAUUUUGUGUACGUGUUGAUGUUUCACCGCCCAACAUUCUGUGCCAUACAGCAUCGCCGGCCUUAUUGCCGUCCUAUAAAAUUUUUCCUUGAGCUUCAGUGGCAUACGGCGAUCACAUAACACGCCGGAUGCACUCUUCCACUUCAUCCAUCCAGCUUGUAUUCUAUGAUUGAGAUCUCCAUCUAAUUCUCCGUUCUUUUGCAAGAUAGAUCCUAGGUAACGAAAACGGUCGCUCUUUGGUAUUUCUUGAUCUCCGAUCCUCACCCCUAACUCGUUUUGGCCUCCAUUUGCACUGAACUUGCACUCCAUAUAUUCUGUCUUUGAUCGGCUUAGGCGAAGACCUUUAGAUUCCAACACUUCUCUCCAAAGGUUAAGAUUUGCAUUUACCCCUUCCUGAGUUUCAUCUAUCAACACUAUAUCGUCUGCGAAAAGUAUACACCAAGGAAUAUCAUCUUGAAUAUGUCCUGUUAACUCAUCCAUUACCAACGCAAAAAGGUAAGGACUUAAGGAUGAGCCUUGAUGUAAUCCUACAGUUAUGGGAAAGCUUUCGGUUUGUCCUUCAUGAGUUCUUACGGCAAUCUUUGCUCCUUCAUACAUAUCCUUUAUAGCUUGGAUAUAUGCUACUCGUACUCCUUUCUUCUCUAAAAUCCUCCAAAGAAUGUCUCUUGGGACCCUAUCAUACGUUUUUUCCAAAUCUAUAAAGACCAUGUGUAAAUCCUUUUUCCCAUCUCUAUAUCUUUCCAUCAAUCUUCGUAAGAGAUAGAUUGCCUCCAUGGUUGAGCGCCCUGGCAUGAACCCGAAUUGGUUGUCCGAAACCCGUGUCUCUUGCCUCAAUCUAUGCUCAAUGACUCUCUCCCAGAGCUUCAUUGUAUGACUCAUUAGCUUAAUACCCCUAUAGUUCAUGCAAUUUUGUACGUCGCCCUUAUUCUUGUAGAUAGGCACCAAAGUGCUCGUUCGCCACUCAUUUGGCAUCUUCUUCGUUUUCAAAAUCCUAUUGAAAAGGUCAGUGAGCCAUGUUAUACCUGUCUCUCCCAAAAGUUUCCACACUUCGAUUGGUAUAUCGUCUGGGCCUAUUGCUUUUUUAUGCUUCAUCUUCUUCAAAGCUACAACCAUUUCUUCCUUCCGGAUUCGACGAUAAAAAGAGUAGUUUCUACACUCUUCUGAGUUACUCAACUCCCCUAAAGAAGCACUCAUUUCAUGUCCUUCAUUGAAAAGAUUAUGAAAAUAACCUCUCCAUCUGUCUUUAACCGCGUUCUCUGUAGCAAGAACCUUUCCAUCCUCAUCCUUGAUGCACCUCACUUGGUUUAGGUCGUACCUAAAAUGGAAAAUAUUUGCUUUCCUAUAUGCUCUGAAGUUUGCAUAAGUGCUGGAAAUUUAUAAUAUAUAAAGAGACAAUCUCAAAAUAAAACACAUUUGAAGGAAAAGUAAUAAGAAAAGAAAAUACUAUUUUUUACCUAUGAUUCAUGUGGGGAGUAGAAUUUCCAGUCACAAUUGACAACCCAAGAGCUCUGUAAAUCAAAUAUACUGGAAAAGAUCAAUAAAAAGUGAAUUACAGUUUCUCAAAUCAGAAAGUAACAUUUAUUUGAAAAGAUUCAGACUCAUUUUGGAUAUAGAUAAACAAUGGCAUGUUAAAAACCAAAAUGAUAAGGCAUUCAACAUUCAACAUUCACGUAAAAAAAAAUGAUAUACAUGUUAUCCAUCAAUGUUUUGGUAACAAAUUCCCAAAUUGCUCUAUCUACCAAACAUUUGCAGAUCUAUAGUUACAGAUAUUCACUUUUAUGAUAUUCAACCCAAUACCCAAAUUAUUGGCAAAACGACAUUGUAUAUAGAUCUUUUGAGCACCCGAGCCAAUGACAAUAACAUUGAAGGCAACUACAAAAAUUGUACAUUAUAUAAAGAGGCAAUCUCAUAAUCAAAAUUGUCAAAAUCAAUAUUUUAUGGCUACAUUUUUUCAUCAGUCAAUCAAUACACACAGAACACGGAAUCACAUACUUGACAAAAAUUCAAACCCAUAAAUCCGAAAUUAGCAAUGUUAUUUCUUAACCCCCAAAAACAAUCCAAAUCUUAGUGGUUACAUUCAUUAGUCAAGCACUCAACCACUCAGGCACAUCGACCACAACUUGGGAAUGUUAUGCAAAUCUUAGGCAGCUUGAAUCAUUAAAUUUGAGUUGGAAGAAGCUCUGUUACCUGCUCUGCUAGUUGAGGAGGGUCACCCAAUUCGGCACUAUCAUCAGCAUCAGCACAUUUCACACACUCCCGCUUCCAAAACAUUUCACAAAAUCAAAAACCAAAUGAGAUUACGUAGCAGAAAAGAUUGAUGGAAAAAUAGAUUAAGAAAAGCAAGUAAUAUUAAAUAUAGAGGAUGAAUGAUGUUGUUCUGUCAACUAAAAGCAGCCAUGAGUAUUGGAUGGCUAGUGAAGUUAGGCUAGUCAACUUUCUUUAUGUAAAUUAGGCAAGUUAGGUAAGUUAGGCAAGUUAGGCAAAGUUAGGUUUUAUGUCUUCUUUCUUUCCCUAUAUAUAUGUUCAUCUUGUAAUGAGAAAAUCAUCAAAUAAAUCAAGGAAUUAACUCUAUUUUGGCAUGGUAUCAGAGCCAUUCUGAUCCAAAAAGAGUUUCUAUUCUGAUUCACUUACUGGCACUACUGCCAUCUACCCAAUAAGACCUGCUAUUCUGCAGGUCUUCUACUUUCAUACCAAUACCUGCUAUUCUGCAGGUCUUCUACUUUCAUACCAAUCCAAUCUUACUCUUUUUCAUUUGGCCAUAUCUGCCAACAUUAUUACCCAUAUCCAGCUUGUUAACCAUACAUAUUCCGCUGCAUCUUUUCCCAUAUUCUUCCCAUUUGCAGUAUCUCUGCAAAACCCAGAAAUCUUUCCACACAAAAAAUAUACUACCCAAUACCCCAUAAACCAUACCCGUUGGAAUCACCCAACAAAUUUACCCAUAACCUCUGAGGCAGUAAUAAUGGGUGACUCCAAGACCACUGUUUCAGCUACUGUUACUCAAAGUGAUAUGUCUCUACAUAUCACCCCAGACAAGUUGGAUGGGUCCAACUAUUCCUCAUGGUCCCAAAGUGUCCGCAUCUACAUCACUGGCAGAGGUAAAUGGUCUUAUGUCAGUGGAACAAAAAUGGCACCAGCAGAAGCUGAUGCAUUGUAUGCUAUAUGGGAGGAAGAGAAUGCCAUGGUUCAAUCUUGGUUACUCAACUCCAUGACCAGAGAUGUACGAGCCAUUUUUCUCCGACUCUCUACUGCAAAAGAUGUUUGGGAUGCUGUAACCCAAACUUACUCAAUUGAAAAAGAUGCAUCAAAGUUAUACGAACUUCGCCGUCAAGCACUGGCGACUCGCCAGAAUGGAGAACCUUUAUCUGCAUAUUAUGGUAAACUUCAGCAAACAUGGCAAGAAAUUGAUUUCUUGCGUCCUGGUAAAUUGAAGUGCGCUGAUGAUAUUGCUACCCGAGAGACAGAAAUUUCGGAAGAAAGAUUGUAUGAUUUUCUGGCUGGUCUUGAUCCUCAUUUAGAUCAUGUUCGCAGUCAAGUUUUGACUCAAACAACUCUGCCUUCUGUUCGUGCUACUUAUGCUCUUGUGAAUACUGAAGCAAGUAGGCAAACCAUUAUGUUGGUUGGCCCACAAGUGGAAGGAUCCGCCAUGGUAGCUGCUCCGUCUCGAUUUCCCCGUGGAAUCUCCAAUUCUCGAUUAGGUGGAUCCAAAACUACUGAUACAAGGAAGUGUACUUAUUGUGACAAGGAUAAGCAUACUAGAGACACUUGCUUCAAGCUGCAUGGAUAUCCUGAUUGGUGGGUUCAAAAGAAGGAAAAUAAAAAGAAAGGCAUUGGUGGAUCACAAGCACACUUGACACCAAAGCCUUCCAUACCUCGGGUGGAUCAAUCUGCUCACUUAGUUUCUCCUACUACUGCUUCUACUUCCUUAGUCGAUGCAGGUAACUUUGGUUUUGCCUUGAACACUACAAUUGUUCCUCCCAAUAAACCUUGGAUCAUUGAUUCAGGGGCUUCUGACCACAUGACCAAUGACUCUACAUGGUUUGUUUCUCACACUACUCCACCUUUAAAUACCGUUAAAGUUGCUAAUGGUAUUUCUACUCCAGUGCUUGGAGCAGGCUCCAUCUCAUUAACACCAGGCUUAUCUCUCUCAUCUGUUUUACAUGUUCCUAAUCUUUCUCACAAUUUGCUUUCCAUUGGUAAACUUACAAAUCAACUAAACUGUCUUGCCAUCUUUUCUCCUACCCAUUGUUGGUUUCAGGAUAUUCGAACGAAAGCAUUGAUUGGUCAUGGUAGAGAGAGGGGAGGUCUAUACUACUUGGACUUACCACCAGAUUGUGAGAAGACAAGUUACAGUUGUCAAGUGGAGGCCAAACAAUUUGAAGCUUCUGAAAAAAUUUGGUUAUGGCACAAAAGAUUGGGACACCCUUCCUUUCAGUACCUGCAAUAUCUAUUCCCUUCUUUAUUUUCUAAAGUCAAGGUUUCUGAUUUCCAUUGUGAAACUUGCAUUCUUUCUAAAAAUCAUCGUGUCUCAUUUCCUUUAAGUUCCCAUAAAAGUAAUGUUCCUUUCUCUCUUAUUCAUUCUGAUUUUUGGGGACCAUUUCAUAUUCCUACUUAUACUGGUGCUAAAUACUUUGUCUCUUUCAUUGAUGACUGCACUCGAGUUUCUUGGGUAUACUUACUCAAAAAUAAGAGUGAGGUUAUGACUAUUUUUCCAAUCUUUCAUCAAAUGAUUCAAACCCAAUUUCAUGCUAAAAUUCAAGUUGUUCGAUCUGACAAUGGGAAAGAAUAUUUGAAUUAUGGACUUGGAACAUUUUUUCAACAACACGGUAUCAUUCAUCAAACAUCUUGUCCACAUACUCCUCAACAGAACGGUAUAGCAGAACGUAAAAAUCGUCAUCUCUUGGAUGUGGCUCGCUCUUUAUGUUCUGCUAUGCACGUUCCUAAACGUUUUUGGGGUGAUGCCAUUCACACAGCUGUUUUUCUUAUCAAUCGCAUGCCAUCACGUGUUCUCCAAUUUCAAACACCUAUCCAGACCCUUUCCCAAUAUCAUUCUCUUCCUUCACUCCUUCAUAUUCCUCCAAAAGUGUUUGGUUGUGUCUGCUAUGUUCACGUCCCCAUGCAAAAUCGUGAUAAGUUGGAUCCUAGAGCCAUCAAAUGUGUGUUUAUUGGCUAUUCUGCUACUCAGAAAGGGUAUCGAUGUUACUAUCCUCCCACUGGGAAAUUUUUUGUCUCUAUGGAUGUUACCUUUCGGGAACACGAGGCUUUUUUUUCAAAAGAAGAUUUGGCCACUUCUCUUCAGGGGGAGAUAUGGAGUAAGGAGGAAGAGAAGUUGCCCCUUGGCAUUGGUGGUAUGCAUUUUUUAGAUGAACACUUGUCUGAUGUCGGUGAUUUGCCUAAUGAUGAGGCACAAGGUGAAAAAAUAUUGAAGGUGUAUGAGAGGACAAGAAAAAAGGGAGAUAAAGAAAAAAGGGAUGAUGAGAUAGACCACCCACAGACAGAUCCCCACAUUGACCAACUCUCUGACCAAUCAGCUGCUACUCGUACGAAUUAUCCUGAGGUAACCACUCAUUCUCCCUCUCUUCAGCCUACUAUAUUUGAUGAGUCCAAUCAUGAGAUUUCAUUAAGUGAUGAUCCAAAUGAUUCAAAUGAACCACAUCAUGAGUCUCAGGGUUCUCGUUAUCCUAUUCGAGAAAAUCGAGGGAUACCCCCUGUUCGUUAUGGUCAUUCUUCUACAAAGGGUAUUCAAUAUCCUAUAUCUAAUUUUGUUUCAUCUCAUCGCUUGUCAGACUCUUAUAUAUCUUUUGCAAACCAAUUGUCAUCAGUCUCAGUUCCUAAUAAGUUACAGGAUGCUCUUAAAGAUCCAAAAUGGAAAAAGGCUAUGAUUGAAGAGAUGGAAGCGCUUCGAAAAAACUCCACUUGGGAACUGAUUGCACUUCCUGAAGGCAAGAAACCUGUUGGGUGUAGAUGGGUGUUCACAGUAAAGCAUAAAGCUGAUGGUUCAGUGGAAAGGUACAAGGCUAGACUGGUAGCCAAAGGUUAUACUCAAACCUAUGGCAUUGAUUAUCAGGAGACAUUUGCUCCGGUAGCAAAGAUCAACACUAUCAGGGUUCUUAUGUCAUUGGUAGCAAAUCUAGGGUGGCCUCUACGACAGUUUGAUGUAAAAAAUGCAUUUUUACAUGGAGACUUGGAUGAAGAGGUAUACAUGGAUCUUCCUCCAGGAUUCACUACCACUUGCGAUAUUGGCAAAGUAUGCAGGUUAAGAAAGUCCUUGUAUGGAUUGAAACAAUCACCAAGGGCAUGGUUUGGCAGGUUCGCUCAAUCAAUGAGAAGUUAUGGGUUCAAGCAAACUCAAGCUGACCAUACCUUAUUUCUUAAGCAUGAUAGAGGUAAACUUACAGCCUUAAUUGUUUAUGUGGAUGAUAUGGUGGUUACAGGUAAUGAUGUCGAGGAAAUUCAAAAACUUCAAAAGUAUCUAGCCAAGGAAUUUGAAAUGAAGGACUUGGGUACUCUGAAAUAUUUCUUGGGUAUUGAAGUUGCAAGAUCAAAGCAUGGCAUUUUUCUUUCUCAAAAGAAAUAUGUUUUAGACUUAUUAACUGAGACUGGGAUGUUAGCUUGUAAACCUGCAGACACACCAAUUGAGCAAAACCAUAGAUUGGGAGACUAUCAUGAUCAAGUUCCGGCUAACAAGGAAAGGUACCAAAGAUUAGUUGGGAGGUUGAUUUAUUUGUCUCAUACACGACCUGACAUAGCCUAUGCUGUAAGUGUAGUGAGUCAAUUUAUGCACAGGCCAAGCGAAGCCCACAUAGAUGCUGUACAACGUAUUCUCAGGUAUUUGAAGUCUGCCCCUGGAAAAGGCUUGAUGUUUUCCAAUCAUGGACAUCAAGAAGUUGAAGGGUACACUGAUGCAGAUUGGGCUGGGUCAGUAACUGAUCGCAGAUCGACUUCUGGAUACUUUACAUUUGUUGGAGGAAAUCUAGUUACUUGGCGCAGUAAGAAGCAACAUGUAGUGGCUAGAUCCAGUGCCGAAGCUGAAUUUAGAGGUAUGGCACAUGGUGUGCAAGAAUUGUUAUGGCUCAGGACUUUGUUGAGAGAAUUAGGCUUUAAUUCUGCAAAGCCAUCAAAACUUUAUUGUGAUAACAAAGCUGCCAUUAGCAUUGCUCAUAAUCCAGUUCAACAUGAUCGUACUAAACAUGUUGAAGUGGAUAGGCACUUUAUUAAGGAAAGGUUGGUUGAUGGUACCAUUAACUUGCCUUAUGUGAAGAGUGAUGACCAGCUAGCAGAUAUUUUAACAAAGGCAGUGUCAAGUAGGAUUUUCCAUCUUUCACUCAGCAAGUUGGGCAUUCGAGAUAUUUACGCACCAACUUGAGGGGGAGUGUCAACUAAAAGCAGCCAUGAGUAUUGGAUGGCUAGUGAAGUUAGGCUAGUCAACUUUCUUUAUGUAAAUUAGGCAAGUUAGGUAAGUUAGGCAAGUUAGGCAAGUUAGGCAAAGUUAGGUUUUAUGUCUUCUUUCUUUCCCUAUAUAUAUGUUCAUCUUGUAAUGAGAAAAUCAUCAAAUAAAUCAAGGAAUUAACUCUAUUUUGGCAUGUUCAAUAAAUAAGACAGCUGUAUAUAAUAAAUAUCAAAUUAAUAGAGGCAUUAAUCCUAAGUUUGCUAUUCAUUGUUGUCAGUCUAAACUUGAUGACAUAUUGUAAAGUUCUCUUACAUACAGAUUAAUGAAAUAUUAAUUUAUUUCCAUGAGUUAUUUGAUUUUGCAAAUUCAAAAUAAUUGAAGAAUACUGAAAAUUACUAAACCCCAUCACAACAUGCCAUUAGCCAUUAGUGAAAAAUCAAAGACAAAAGUAAAUUACUAUCUUUCUAAGCAUUCAAAUUAAAAAACAAAUUAGCCAAAUUGGAAUGGUUAGAUCAAAUAAAGAUUUAAGUCAACCAAUUACACAAAUAAUUUAUGCAAAGUAGGCUCCUAAUAAAAUGUACCACUAUGGUGGUGGAGGAGGCCCAGGCUCAAACAGUGGAGGAAAGCAGAAUUUAAAUAUACCGCAGCAGCAUGGAAUCCACAGACUGCAUAAUCAAAACCAAAAUUUUAAAAUUUAAAUUUAAAUUUGAAAAAAAAAUGCAGUAGAAUUGUAUAAUGAGAAAUUCUACAAUGUGGAUAAAUUAAUCCCACUCAAUUUAAAUUUAAAGGAUGCAAUCAGUUGUAUUGGGCUGGCAACCGACUUAUGCUCAAAUCCCACUCAAUUUAUCAUACACCCUUCCAACUACAAUUCAAAGGAAGAAGUUCCAAGUCCAUGCAUAAUGUUUGCUCAAUUAAAAUAAAUUGCUUUUCAUGAUUAAAAUAGCCAACCAACCAACACUCAGUUGAUAAAAUUGAACAUUUGGAGUUACAUAUCCACAUAUUUAAGAUCGGACAAACCUUCUCAUGAAGACCACCCAAAGGUCCAUUAGUAAGUUGUGUGACCACACGAUUUACUGCACUUGAGUUUCCUCGUGCAGCUGCAAGAGCUAUGAGCUUACGUUGACCGUCAGCCACUUCUCCGCUUAAGGAUUGAGUCACCGAUGAUGCAGAAUUAAUAGCUUCCUGCAAAGAAGUGAAAUAAGAAACCUUAAUUUGUUAAAAUGUGAGUAAUUACAGUUUUCUCAAUUGAUUAAAACAUCAUCCGAUGGUGUUUUCUAGGCUUUUUUUUUUCCUUCCUUUUGCAGGCCAUUAUUUCAUUAGCCAUCUGCAGAAUUGCAAUUGAUAGAAUCGGUGUGCUUUGAAAUAAUCACAUAGAAUCGGUGUGCUUUGAAAUAAUCAUAACACUUCACAACACAAUGGCAGCAAUUUAUACAAAUUCUAACAACAAAUUGUCAAAAACAAUGAGAACAAUUACCAGAAAUUUCAGAUCUUUUGGGGGUUCAAAGUAAUUACCAGAGUGACGAAAGCUAAAAUCAACACUAGUCCAAUUUUUUUAAAAUAAGAACAGCUCCGAUCUGAGAAAUACAGUGCAAUUUCUGAAGAAAAAAAAGCGAGAAAACCAUAAAAUCCCUAAGAACCCUAAUUUAUAAACCCUAAACAAAUGCAAAAGGAGAGAGGAGACUCGAAUAAAGGGAAAAUCCAGAAAUUCAACGUACCAUAAUCGGAGCGAGGACGCUUUCCGACGGCCAAAUUCAUCGACACCGGAGGCGGUUGUCGACCGUCACUACUUGGUUUGUGUGCUUCAUGUCGAGAGAUAUGGGCAGCGGAGAGAGAGGAAAAGUAGAGGAAGAUGAAAGCUUGUGGGUUUUCCAGUAGACAAGGACAGAAACAGGAAGAGUGAGAGAUGAGAGGAAAGCACACGCGUCUAACCCAUCGCAAUCCGUUCUAAACAACAAAAUUACCCUCUCAACUUUUGAGAAUUACCCUCCCAACCCAGCCCCAUUUGGCUGGCAUUGUUGUAAAUAGCGUGAAAUUGAGUGGCAAAGAUUUGACUGUAGCUAAGCUACAGUCAAUUGCCCCUCAACUUUAGAAUAGAUAACUAGAAAUUAUUACCCGCACGUUGUUGCGGGAUUAAAAGUCAUAAAAAGCAUUAUGUUUGAAAGAUAUAAAAGUUGUACAAUUCACUGCUAUAUUUAAUUGAUACUCCACUUAAAAAUCGUAGAAGUUUUGGCUAUCUAUGUACAUAAAAUAUUAGAUCAAGACAUUCCACUUGGGUAGUUUAUGUAAUUUUCGGUCGACAACAGUACUUAUAUACAAAAGAUUAUGAAACUUUGGGCUAUUUACAUGCAAAAAUGUUAAGAAAUAUUGUGUCAUUUACAUUGAUAAAAUAUGACAAAAAUUAUUAAAUGGAACACCAAAAAUUCCCUCCAAUACUCUUGAUUGUCAAGAAAGUAGUUUAAACCAAUCCACAGACCGAAACUUCCAUGUGUAUUCAGUUUCUAUAAAUCAACCAACUACUCCAUUCCAAACUAUCCAACAAAUAUUUGAUAGCAAUACAACCAACCACCAACAAACAUUUUAUACCCAUCCAAAGACCAAAACCCUUUCAAAUUUCCAUGAGUAUUAAUGAUUUUCAACUAUAUUAUUUGAAGACGGAGACACACAGAGCUAGCAUAGGAACCAAAGAAGAUCUGCAAAAGCAAGUUAAGAGAUCAUCGUAUUACAGAAGCAAAUACAUAAUAAAAUUAAGAGAGUAUCAUAUUACAAAAGCAUAAUAAUGUUCGUUUCCUAAUGUAUUACAAAAACCUAUGAUUUCAUUCCACUUCACAUAAUUCACAGGGUUUAUUUUUAAAACCCACAAAAUUUACAGCUUAGUUCAAAGAAUUUGGUCUGAUUAUUAAUAUUCACACGGAAAAGAUAAGACUCAAAUAAACUGGGCAUUUGAAGUCACUUUCAUAUUUCUUAUAAUCACAUCAGUAUCAUAUAUAUAUACAAAUGUAGCAAAAGAGAAUAGCGAGUGCAAGCACAAAUCUUGUGAUAGUACACAAAAAAUGACUAAACCCGAAAUUCCCAAAACAUACACCAAUCUUAUACAAAAAUCGAUAUCUUAUCGAGAAGAAAUUAGAAUAUCAAAAUCCUAUAACAAAACAUGAGGCACAAUUAUCACAAUUAGAAAAAUAUUUCAAAUAAGAGCCAAACCAAAAAUGCACAUAAAGGUAAGUUGUGAACUCAAAUAAAACUCACUAUGAUGCUCAUUUCUAAUUAUGAAUGCUCUCGGGACUCCAAUCUUCUCAUCCCAGUCGAAAAUAAUGUCAAAUGCAGACUCCUCUGCUGUUUAGAGGGUGAUUGUGGUAACCCAAUUUUCCAAUUAUGUUGCCUUCCAAUUUUUUCUUGCAACCAAGUUUCUAAAAAAAAAAACAGAUUGAAUUCAAAAGGUAAUUGGACCAAGGCAUCAAAAGACAUAAGAAAAAGUAUAGAAAGAAUAAACCACAUAUAUCACGUAUUAUACUACUUUGUAUUCCAAAUACGUGUAAGAAUAUAUCCAUCAACGGCAUCAUAUUUAAGAGUUAGCUUCCAUCAAACCCUUCAUCUAAUCCCACCCUUACUUUCUUCUUUAACCCUUCAUAAUCCCACUUUUACUCUCUCAAACCCCUCAACUUACCCUGGACUUUGUUUCUGCAGCUUAGUUUCAUUUAAAAGCUUAUUUCUCAACAAAAUCAUCAUUAGUUUCAGUCUUAAAUAAUCAACGCAAGAGAACUUAGGAAAUUAUUCUCCACUCUCUUGGUGACCAAACAGAUGAUAAGUGGAGAAAAGGGGUUGUUAAGAAGAAGAGUACCUCAAAUGUUCAGAAAUUAAGAAAUUGAGAAGCUCAGUUGCAUCAUAUAUAUUUAAUAAAUCUCCAUCUUAAAUUAGCUUAAAUCUCCAUCUCAAAUGUUCAGUUGCAUCAGAAAUUAAGAAAUUGAGAAAAGGGGUUCUUCAUAACAUCAAUUUCCAUCUUAAAUUAGAAUAAUCUCUAACGUUAGAAAUAUGAGUACAAACGAAUGCUUAGUAAAAGAAUCGGCCAAUUCUAAUUAAGAAUUGUUAAUCGAACUGUAAAAGCAACAUAUAUAUUUUCCAACUUCUAACACAGAACCAACAGAGAGAAUCCAAUUGAAAACCAUUAUACAAUCAGAAGAAGAGAUAUUUCGAGAAGAAGAGUUCAUUACUGAAGGCAGGGGAGCAGCAGCAAAAACUGAAAAAAGCGAACUUUGGCCUCAAAUUUUAUCUAGAAUAAUUGAAAACAAUAACAAAAUUAACAGUUAAGGGUGAUAAUGUUAUUAAUAUGUGGGUUGUGUCUUUGAAACACCAAGAGGUCAAAAAAUCGAAACAAAGUGGAAUAUAAAUCUUAAAAAAAUUUAGACAAAAACAUCCUCCCCAGAUAAAAUUGAACGAAAAAUUCAUAAAUAUAAAAUUACAAAAAUUAAAUCAUUGGAAAAACAAAACGUACAUGACAACGAAUAAGGUACUUGCAGGCCUCUUAAGCUUGUUCGGAUCCUUCUCAACCUCCUUGCAUCUCCACGUUUACUCUUCAACCUAUGAAAAUCAGAAACCAACAGACACACAAAUAAAGAUGAGAUAUGUGCAUAAUAUCAAACAAAGCUUGGUGGUGAUCUUUUCAAAAGUCAAGUUCGGAGUACAACUUUAUAUUUUUUUUUCACUUACACUGAUGAUAAGUAUAAUCAAGACAGAGAAACUCAUGAACCAGCCUGUCAAAAUCAUUGACGGAGAAAUGAUAAAUAAACGGAUUCAGAAACCUAUUAAGCACUUGGACAAUGAACAUUCCUAAAAAAGGAAUUUCUUGGACAUGCAACCAACAGGUCUACAGAAAAUUAAACACAAAUACAAAAUCAACGGUUCAUAUCGAGAUCUCCGAUCAAAUCGCAAAAAGUGUAAAUACAUACAAAAUCCUUUGAGCCGCACGAUAUUGGAGAAAAUUCAUCUGGUGGUUCAUCAAUUGAAGGCGAUGAUGAUCCAAAAUCAAGAGCGGGGUAGAAGCCAGGUGGCCUUUCUCGAGGUUUAAUUGACAGCAAUUGGCUAGAGUCACCAACGACAUCUGCCCACCCGUAAUGCGGCUCAGCCCUUCAUCAAAAAGUGAAAGAUCAAAAUUACUUUUACAGUAAGAGCAAUACCAGAAAAUGUAAUCUAAAUUCUUUAUAUUUGGUUCCCCUGAAAUCCUUUUGACUGCUUCAACAUACUAUAUGCAGACAGAACCAGAACCAAGUCCAGACUCUUACUCGUAAUAGGUCUCCUCAUCCACAACAAUAUCCCAGCUUUCCCCUGUCGUGCUUUUCCCAUAUUUGUGCACCUUACUGCAAAGAGAGAGCAAGUUAACUUAUCAAAGAAAAGCCAGAACAAUAGAUGCCAAUGCAGUUCAGCAAGUUUAUUUCCUUUCGUACCCAUUUCCAAAGUGCUCUUCUCCUCAUGUCCUUGACCAACCUAGACAUAAGAGAACAAAAACAGAGUUACAUCAGAUUAAAUUAUUGAAAGAAAAAGUUCACUUAUGUUGUAACGAAUUGACAUUAGAAUCAAGCAACCGAGUUCUGAAAUACGAAUUUAAAAUGUAACUAUUUGCUGUGUCCGAAAUGAAUCUGUGAAAUCAAAUAGUUAAACCCUAAAAAGCACCACUGCAAAUAGCAUAAGAAAAUUGAAAUUAACCCUAAAUAAAUUGGGAGAGAAGAAUAUGAAAAGGGAAUACCUUUCGGCCCUUUGAGUUAUUGGAAAAAAAAAACCCAACAGAGCAAAAGAUAAACAAAAAUACAGGAGGAAAGAAUAUAAAUUUUCAACUUGUAAGAUUCAUACGCGAACAGAUUGGCGGUCAAAAGCAUUUCGGAACUCAGAGCCAUCAAGCUUUUUGAUCUGCAGGAAAUUAUUUAUGAAGUUUGAGAUUCUUAUAGACGCUUCAGACACAUCGACAUAUUGAAAAAGCAAUAUUCAACAACCUAGUACCCAUGCUUCAUAGAAGGUUACAGAAAAUAUGAAUGUCUGGACUCUGGAGUGAGAAAGUAAAAGGACUUACCGCAUACUUCAUAUCUUCUAAGUUUGUGUAGUCCACAAUCCCUGUUGUGCCUACAAAAGAGGCAUAGGUCUUAGGAUUACACUUUUGAAAUAACACUAUAUGAAAUAGUAGUGUAUAUCCCAAAAACAAUCUGAAAUCUGGUUGAUCAUCGAAGAGUUCGAAGGGAUUUACCUUUGGAUUCUUCGGCUUUCAGAUGGAGUUUGCUUGUGUGAGGGAGAGAGAGGUGGAGCUGCUAGGGUUUGAGUAUGGAAGAGAUGAAAAAUGGAGAGAGCACCUGUUUUGGCUGAAGCAGCUCACACGCGCGUGGAUCAAAAGUAGCGGCAUGGCCUCCCAUCCCCGAAACCCACCCGCAUGUCCCUCCCGAAAAUCCUUUCCCCGAAAUCCCGGCCAACGUCUCCCUCUCAACCCUUCUGUCGCCCUUCCCUCUCUCUCCCCGAGUCAAAGCCCAAAUCCAACCCAAAGAGUGAAGACCCGUUCUUAAGCCCAGUGGCAAUCUUGUAAAUGAAGCGAAAUUUGGGCUGAAAUCAGCCCGGUGGCAAACUCGUAAAUAACGUGAAAUUGAGCUAAAAUUGCACAGUGCCGUUUCCCCACCCCACCCUUUAGACUAAAGUAAUAAUUUGGGAAAAGGGAAAAUUUUUGAAAUGUCAUAUAAACUUGUACAUAUUUUUCAAUUUGUCAAAUAAAUUAAAAUUUUCAGCAAUUUAUCAUACCAACUUUCCGAAAUCAUCGAUUUGUCAUCUCAUCCUAAUUCUGUUAAAUUUUCCAUUCAAAGUCACAUAACUUGUGUUCAGGGUUAUUUAUGUCAUUUUAACACCUCAUUUCCUUCUAUUAAGUUGCAUUCGAUCACAAUAAUUAUAGGGUUUCUAAAGCUACAAAAAGGGACUGAUAUACGAUACGUGGUCUAAGAGUUUUCGUUCAAAAGGAGAACGACGACGCUUGUGUGUGUUUCAAAUUGAAGAUGACUAAAGAAUAGAGUCAUUGCGAACCCUUCAAUCUAUAUGAUAAAGUUGGAUGAAAUUAUUUAUUAUGGCUGUUUGGAUGAAAUUAUUUAUUAUGACUAUCUACGACAAUGAGAAAUCUGAUUCUUCUAGUUGUAGCUACUCCCGUUUUCUAUGUUUAUUUGCAUUCUUAUUUGAUGGAAUGGCGUUUUACCAUGACAUUGAAUGGUUUUUUAUUUGGUUCUUUGUUUAGUUUGAACUAGAAAAUUUGCCCGCACUUUGCUGCGGGUUUUGAAACCAUUAUCUACAACAGGCAAGAAUAAUUUCCAUAGAAAGUAACUAAAAAGACGGUCUAGCACCUAAGAACCAAUGAAGUGAAACUUUGCUUGUUAUAUAUGGAUAUACAUGCUAUAAGAAACCAUUCAUAUUCAGUUCCAGCGACAAUAUCGCUUUUCUUUAGUCCAUUUUGAAUGGUAUUUCCUGUGGCUUUGGAUCGACAAUAGUACUUGCAUACAAAAGAUUACGAAACAUUGUUUUAUUUACCUGAAGAAAAAUGACAAAAUAUUGUUUUACUUAGUUACCUUCAAAAAAUUUAGAAUUACACUAAAAAUGCUUUUGCUAUUCAAAUAUCAUAUGCCAGAUUGAAAUCGAAAAACUAGACUUCGAAUUCAAAACUAUUCACAUGUGGAAUAAAUUGAAAUGCCUCAAAAUAUUAUCAUUAUCCAAUUGUAUAUGGAAAAUGCCUGAAAGUAAUCCAUGCCUUUCUCAAAAAUAGGUCAUUCAGCGUAAAGCACCAAGUAAUAGCCUCUAAUAUCAGAGAAAAUACCUGCCAAGAAAAGAAAUUAAAAUAUUAGGCAUACGAGUGCAAGCUUACAGAAACUUUGUUUUUGUACACUUUCUUCUCCCUUCAAUGACAGUUUGUUUCUUAUCCAGAAAAAUAAAAUGAGCAGGUCAAUGAUACUCACAUGUGCAAAAUGCUAAUCCUAUGGUCUAAAGCUAACUGAGUUUUUAAGUGUGAAAUCCCUAAUUUCACUGCAUUUGGAUUGAUCACAGUUCAUGACUUGUUAAACUUGAUAUCUCCUUGUACAUUUUGGGAACUUGACAGCUUAAAGAAGUGCUCAUAAAAGCAAAUUACACAAUAUCUACUAAAAAUUUAGAGAAUGGACUCAAUUAGUCAACAAACAGGUGCCUCACACUUAAAUAUUAAAGACCAAAGAGAGAAAACCAAGCCGAACUCUUCAAAAUUUGUUGGCACACAUGCUUCAUUGGCCCAAUUGAAUGUAUAAUGCAUACUUGAUACAACAAUUCGAACAAUUGUUAGAGAUUCACAUAAGCCUCCAAACUUUAAAAAAUUUGAAACCUUAAGAAAGCAGAACCUGUUUUCCUUCAUAUUUUUGCUGUUUCGAUUAGCUUAUCUCGCUAUCACUUGAUUCAUUAGUUCUGAAGGAAGUUCUAAUCACUACGAAAACAGCUUAAUAACAGUUGAUUAUCUCUAAAACAAAGAGGGAAAACAUAGAAAUACUAUUUGUACUCAAAAUCCCAAAUGUGUAACACAUGGUCGUAAUCUACCUUGAUUUCUAAAUUUAAAAUUCGACACAAAAAUGAAAUUUGGAAUGAUUAGCAGGGAAAUAAGAGAGAGAAGUGUGAGCGAAUAUACCCAUGAGGCCUUUGGAUCCGAGUUCGGAGCUGGAAGCGCAGAGGUUAUGAACCCAAAGCAUGGAAGAAGCGGGAAGGAUUUUCCUCUGUGCUGCCUCAUGCACGUGUCUUGUACCAUUCAUCCAAGCAUUGACUGUGUCAAAUAUUGGGCAGUGGGUAAUCUUAAAACUGAUAUAAUCAUAGAAAUAACUUUGUUCAAUCUUUCAGGAUCUUAGCAACAUGUCUUUUGUUUCAUGACUUCUCAACAAAAGAUGUGGCAUCAACAAUAUUUGUGAUGUUUAUUGAAUUUUGAUGUAUAUUUGCUUUAUGAAACAAUUACAAGAUGAAACAUAUAUAUAGGGAAGAAAAAGAUCAUAAGCCUAAUUUUGCCUAACUUACCUAUCUUGUUUGACUAACCUAACUUGCCUAAUUUUGAACAAGAAAGUUGACUAGCCUAAUUUCACCAUUAUUCCAACAUGUUUAUUUCAUGCAUUUUAACACUCCCCCUCAAGUUGGAGUGUGAAUGUCGAUGACACCCAACUUGCUAAUUAAGACCUCAAAUUGUGCCGAGCUUAGUGGUUUGGUGAACAAGUCUGCAGGUUGAUUCGAGGUCCGUAUGUAAGCUGUUUGCACCAUUCCCAUUUGAAUCUUCUCACGUAUUAGGUGACAAUCUAUCUCUAUAUGCUUCGUUCGUUCAUGAAACACUGGGUUCGAAGCAAUGUGCAUGACAGCUUGAUUAUCACAAAACAUUGUGACUGGUUGUGCAUGAUUUACUUGCAAGUCCUUCAAAAUGUUUCUUAGCCAUAUAACUUCACAACAAGUAGUAGCCAUAAAACGGUAUUCUGCCUCUGCACUAGAACGAGAUAUUGUGCUUUGUUUCUUCGUUUUCCAAGAUAUCGGUGCUUGUCCAAGGAAGAUACAAUAAUCGGUUAUUGACCUUCUAAUGUCUUUACACUGAGCCCAAUCAGCAUCACAAAAGGCUUGUAAUUGUAGUGAACCUGUAGAAGGCAAAAGAAUUCCCUAUCCAGGAGAUUGUUUGAUGUACCUGAGAACCUUAUGCACCGCUUCAAGGUGUGGUUGUCGUGGCUUAUCCAUGAAUUGGCUCAACAUAUUAACCACAUAAGUCAGGUCAGGCCGCGUGAUGGUUAAGUAAAUCAGCCUCCCUACGAGUCGCCUGUAUGAAGAAUGAUCAUGUAGGAGCGUCCCAUCAGUUUGUGUAAGGGACAGGUUUGGUUCCAUUGGUAAUCGUGAGGGCUUCGCACCAAGGAACCCAACAUCUUCUAGUAUCUCCAACGCAUAUUUGCGUUGGCACAAGGCAAUCCCUUGUUUAGAUCUUGCAACUUCUAUCCCCAAAAAGUAUUUGAGUUUUCCCAAAUCCUUUAGUUUAAAAUGUUGGGAAAGGAUGAGUUUAGUCUCUUCAAUCUCUCAAAUUGUUACCUGCAAGUAUCACGUCAUCAACAUACACAAGUAAUGCCAUAAAACUGCCUUGACGGUUUCGGACGAACAAUGAGUAAUCUGACCAUGAUUGAUGAAAACCAGCAGUCUUGAGAGCACUAGACAGCUUGAUAAACCAUUGUCUUGAGGCCUGUUUUAAACCAUAAAUGGAUUUGUGUAAUUUGCAUACUCGUGUCUCCCCCUUUCGUCCGAACCCAGGAGGCAAGGACAUAUAAACCUCCUCGUAUAAGUCACCAUGUAAAAAUGCGUUGUUCACAUUAAGUUGAUGAAGAUGCCAGCCUCGUAUGGAGGCAAUACUCAGGAGGACGCGGACGGUGGUGAGCUUGGCAACUGGAGCAAAAGUUUCCCGAUAAUCAAGCCCCUCAAUUUGACUGUAGCCUUUAGCAACGAGACGAGCUUUGUAGCGUUCAACACUGCCGUCAGGUUUAAGCUUCACCUUAUAGAUCCAUUUGCAACCGAUGGGAUGUUUGUGAGGUGGUAAGGGCACAAGAGUCCAAGUGCGAUUGUCAUGAAGGGCAACAAUCUCUUUUUGCAUGGCGUCACGCCAUUUUGGAUCCUGAACAGCUUGCGAAAAACUGGUGGGUUCUUUGAUAAUGGUGAGGGUGGUGAGAAAGGUUUUGUGAGUGGGGGAUACAUGGUCAUAAGAUAAAUAACGAGAUAUGGGGUGAGAUGUACCUGAUGACUGGACCAUGCUUGUGGAAGAUGUGGGAGCAACACGGGAAGGGAGGGCCACCUCAACAUGAAAGUCCUGCAAAAAUGUGGAAGUUUUGGUCGGUCGAGUGCUACGACGGAGUGGAGGUGGUUGGUCUGGUGAUGGAGUGGUUGGAGGUGGUGAAGAGUGUAGGGUAUGUGAAUGUGUUGAUAAGGUAUCUGGUGGUGGAGUUGUAGUAGGUAAAGGAGAUGAGAGUGGGGUGAUGUCGGCAAGUGUGGGAGAGGUAAUGUUUAUUUCUUCGGGUGCAAGGCUUGAGUGCGACUCAAUGGGAGAGGUCAAGUCAAACGUGAUGGGUGAGGGUGUAAUGUUUGAUGGAGACGGGGCAGCGGAAGUGGUAUGAUUUUGGAAUGGAAAAUGAUCUUAAAAAAAAACAACAUCCCUAGAAACAAAAGUCUUAUUGUGUUUUAUAUCAAACAAUUUAUAACCCUUUUUACCAUAAGGAUACCCAAGAAAAAUGCAUUGGAUUGCACGGGGGUCGAAUUUAGAGGGCCUUUGGGCGUGUGUAGAAGCAAAACAUAAACUACCGAAAACCUUUAAAUGGGAAUAGUUAGGUGCUUUGUGAAACAGUUUUUCGUAAGGUGUUUUACCUUGGAGAAGUGGAGUGGGUGUUCUAUUGAUGAGGUAGGCUGAGGUUAAGAUUGCAUCCCCCCAAAAACGUUUUGGCAACAAGCUUGAAAGAGCAAAGCCCGAGCAACAUUGAGCAAAUGCAUGUGUUUACGUUCGACAACACCAUUUUGUUGUGGUGUGUUGACACAACUAGAUUGAUGUAUGAUGCCUUUGAGAGCAUAAAAUUGCUCAAGCUUAAACUCAGGGCCAUUGUCACUUCGUAUGAUUUAACUAUGGUAUUGAAUUGAGUCUCAAUCAUUUGAAUGAAUCCGACUAAAAUGUCUUUUGUGUCAGAUUUAUGUUUCAUCAAAUAAACCCAAGUGCUUCUAGUGUAGUCAUCUACGAUGGUAAGGAAAUACUUGGCACCUGAAAUAAAAGCAACUUGAUAACCACCCCAAAUAUCAAUAUGCAAUAAUUCAAAACAUGAUUUGGUAGAAAUAGAGCUCAAAGGAAAGGGUGAUCUUGUUUGUUUGGCCAAUGGGCAAAUUAAACAUUUUUCCAAAUCACAAGCCUUAUUGUUAAAUAAAGGUAAUAACGAAGUGACUUUAUGAUGGGUGUCCUAGGCGUUGGUGCCAAAGCUUUGGUGAGACGGUUUGAAUAUUGUUGCAUGUUCCUUUCUUUGAUGGGUCGAGGUAGUAAAGUCCAUCCCUUUCAGUUCCUGUCCCAAUCAUCUUCCCCGAGCGAAGGUCCUAAAUGACACAAAAUUGGGUGAAGAAAAUGGUGACAUAUAAGGAAUCAUAGGCUAGUUUACUGAUAGAUAUUAAAUUCAACCUAAAGAACGGCACACAUAGGACAUUUUCAAGGAUAAGAUUAUGAGAGAAAACAACUUGUCCAAUGUGAGUGACUUUGGCAACUGAACCAUUUGGCAAUUCAACUGUAUGAUUUUCAACAGCUCGUGAGUGUGUAAGGAGACUAGGACUGCAAACUAUAUGAUCUGUGGCACCACUGUCCAGGAUCCAAAUACUUUUGGUUCCUUUACAUGAAAAAUAGAAGGCUUUACCUGAAAGUUCUUCAUGACUAGGAAGAUUACUGACUUGAUUGGCAAAUGAUGAUUUGUUCUUGUUCAACAUCUGAAGAAUUUGCUUGCAGUCCUCCUGAGAGAACGGGAAAUUAGGCACUGUCUCUUGCUUGUUACUUUGUGAAACUUGAUUCCCCUUUGAAGAAAAGAGACGAUUGGAUUCGGUCUCUGUGGCUGCUUUCCGUUUUCGACAGAAAUCGAAGGUGUGGCCUUUCCAUCCGCAAAAAGUGCACUUGAGAUGUGCACGACAAUUUUUGGUGAUGUGAUUGGUUUUAUUGCACUUUCCACAUCGCAUCUCCUUGUCUUCAGGUGUAGGUUCUCGCAACAGAUUCUUCACUGCAAAGACAGCAGUUUCUAGUUGUGUGCUUUUCCCAUUGGAAACCUCUGCCUGGCGUUCAUGUCGAAGGACCAACGCAUAUGCCUUGUUCACCGUAGGCAGUGGUUCGAGAAGAAGAGUAUUGCUUCGAACCGUAGCAUACAAUUCGUUCAGUCCCAUAAGGAACUUCAUGGUUUUCUGAGUUUCAACAUAUGAGUUCAUCUCAUUCUUUGUUCCACAACUGCAUGCUAGAAUGGAACACAAAGUAUCACGUUCAUCCCAUAAACUUUUAAGUUUAGUGAAGUAAGAACUUACACUCAUAUUGCUUUGGACGCAAUCAUGGAUCUCGUUCUCAACAUGGAACAGCUGAACUAUAUUCACAUGUGAGAACCUCUCCUGCAGAUCGGUCCACAUUUGUCGAGCAUCCUUGUAGUUGAUGACACUCCCUGAAAUCUCCUUUGACAUGGAGCCUAGUAGCCAUGUAUUGACCAAGUUGUUGCAGCGAUUCCAUUGCUGCAGCUCCUCAAAAUUAUCCUCACUUGGUUUGUUGAUCGUUCCAUCAACAAAACCAAGUUUGUUCUUGACCGUUAAGGCCAUACUCAUGGAUUGAACCCAAGUGUUGUAGUUGUCUUCCACCAAUGGUUGUGGUACGAGGAUUGCACCAGGUUGAUCCGAGUGGUGGAGAUAGAGCGGGUGGUUGGGAUUUUCCCAUUUUGAAUGAGAGGCCAUGCCUAGAAUGGUUGACCUCGUGGCUGCUUUAGAGCUGUGUUUUGUGAUUUUUCCCAGAUCACAGCUCUGAUACCAUAUUGAAUUUUGAUGUAUAUUUGCUUUAUGAAACAAUUACAAGAUGAAACAUAUAUAUAGGGAAGAAAAAUAUCAUAAGCCUAAUUUUGCCUAACUUACCUAUCUUGCUUGACUAACCUAACUUGCCUAACUUUGAACAAGAAAGUUGACUAGCCUAAUUUCACCAUUAUUCCAACAUGUUUAUUUCAUGCAUUUUAACAAUGUUAAUUCUGAAUCAUGUCUCUAUUUUAGAUUGAGAGAGAGAGAGAGCAUGAUUUAAGAUGACAAAAGUGCCAUGCAUCCCUUUAAUCUCAGCCGCGUGAUCCUAACCCUAGAUAGAUAUUUCCAUCAUUUUAGCACCCUAAGGGCCGACCUUACGAAGAAUCUAAGAAGGCCCAUCAAACACAUGAUGGGCGGCCCAAAACAAAGUAACCCAACCCCUAAAACACACUAACCCACCCAGCCCUAAUUUGAUGGCAAUGGCAUAAAUAAAGUAAAAUCAAGUGGCAAACAAUUGACUGUAGCUAAGCUACAGUCAAUUCAAUCCUCAACUUUAGAAUAGAUAGUGUUUGUGUGUAGAAUGUUGUGCGUAGAAUGUCGACUACUUGUUUUAUAUUGAUGUCUUCCUGUGUUUUGUUUAUUUCUUUUAUGUAGAAAGCUGUAACAAGAAAAUUGAAUUGUAGAAGCCGUAGCUCAUAUUCAUUCCUUGGCAGCGUAUAAAUAUAUUGGAUUACAAAGAGUCCUACUGGAAUAAAAGAUGACAUAAAUCAACAUGAUUUGGUUUGUUUACAGAGGGUGGAUUGGAUUGGGACAAGGUCUCUUGUUUAACAUUUUAUGUAUUGAGUCGAGAAUUUGAGAGUUUUUAUCUUUUUUUUAGACAUAUAAAUGGCGUUCAUUGAAAGUUGGUUAUUGUGGGGCAAGUCAGACUUUAAGUUUGACUUGAACACUCUUAAUCUCAAAAUUUAAAGUACUAAAACCUAUUUUCAUGUCCAUGCACUUUUAUGCUGAUGGUUACUUUGUAUCUAAGUAGGGAAUGUUUAUUUGUUUUGUCAUUUUACCGAUUGCUUAAACUUUGAUCACUUAUUUUGUACAAAUAAAUAUGAAUUAUUUACAAUUGCACCAUGGAGGUCACUUUAUAGAAGCCUGUAAUGGAACAAUGACUUGUGUCGGUGGUCGUGUUGCUUGGUUUGACAAUAUGAACUGCGAUCUAAAUGUCCAAGUGGGAUAUUGAGGAUUGUGCGAAGAAGUUAGGGUAUACUAAGAGAUGGUUUGGGAGUGAGGUGCUUAAAAAAAACACCUAUGAAAAAAAGUUGUGAGGGUUUUAGGUGUUUGGUAAACUAAAAAAAAAGUUUAUUUUGGAAGCUGCUGUGAGAAUAAGCUAAAAUAAAAGGAAAAAGCUGAAGCUGCUAUUUGCAGCUUUGGAAAACUGGUUUUUUUUUCAAAAUACACAGAGCUACAGUGCUCCUUUAAUGAAAAUACCCACUAUGAGAUUUUUUUUUUUGCAAAAGCACUUUUACAAAAAAAGUUUACCAAACACUCUGCUAAUUUAUUUCACAGCCGCUUAUUCUCACAGCAAUUUUUUCAAAGCACAGCAAUACCAAACCAGCCCUAAGAUUGCUAAGUACUAUUACACAUUGCCAAAUGACAGAACUUACAAGCCUAUGGUUGCUGAUAGUGAUUUUUGGACUCUAGCUACUGUAUUGCCCCUAAAUAGAGUGGUACUGGUGUACAUUGUUGAUGAUGACCAACUGAUCAAUUCAGCCCCAAACAUUGAAAUUCAAGCUUCAGCAAACCCUUUCGACAUUCCUCACAUGUCAGCCCCGAACAUCGAAAUUCAAGCUUCAACAAACUCUUUUGACAUUCCUCACAUGUAUGAUCCUUUAGGUAUAUUUGAGGGAUUUUUGGAGCAAGCUUAUGAAGGAGAUUGGGAACAAGACAAUCUUGUUGAGGUAGGUAUGCAUAACAUGGAAAAUGAAGAGAAAGAUGGCAAUGGCAAUUCGGAAGAUUCAGAUUAUCGAGACUCAGACUAUGAACAAAGUGAUGUCGAUGACAACUUAUUUGACGACAAUGUAGAGAAAACUAAAGGGAAAUAUACCAAUGGAAAAUGCAAUGGAAAUAGGUAAGCAUCACGUAAUACUGAACCCUUCCCUGAUUUAGGAUUUGGAGAUGUUGAAACAGACUACGAAGAUUCGGAUGGCUUUAGAAGUGGUUCUAGCUCAUCAUCUGAAGGUGAACAACCAAUGAAGCGGAAAAGUAAGAAUAAAAUGCCCAAACUCAUUCCUUUCAGAAGUGAUUUGAAUAUCAAGAACCCACAAUUUAGAACUGGAAUGAUAUUUUCCAAUAGAAAGGAGUUCAGACAAGCAGUGACAUAUUAUGGUUGUGUGAAUGAAAGACAAAUAAGAUUCCCAAUAAGAGAGCGUUAUAAAGUUCAGGGUAAGCGUUCAAAUGAGGGAUGCCCAUGGGUGAUUUAUGCAAGCAAAAUAGAUGGGAGCUCUGCACUUAUAGUGAAGACACUCAAUGAUGUCCAUACAUGCCCGAGAAAGGAAAAGCUUAGACUACACACCUCAACUUGGUUAUCACAUAGGUAUGCUGAGGAUUUGCUUGACAAUCUUAAAUGGGAUGUGUCAAAAUUCCAACAAACUGUUCAUAAACAAUACAAUUUGCACGUAACACUGGCUCAACUUUAUAAAGCACGGUCAUUGGCAGCUGAGAAGAAUGAAGGAGCUUAUGUGGAGCAAUAUGCAAGGUUAUGGGAUUGUUGUGAGAAGCUCAAGCGAAGAAAUCCUGGCAGUACAAUUUUGGUGAAGACUAAAAUGGAAUGAGGAAGGGCUAGGUUUCAGAGGUUGUAUGUAUGCUUUCCAGCAUUGAAAAAGGCUUUUUGGAAGGUUGUAGGCCAAUGGUGGGAUUGGAUGGAUGCCAUAUUAAAGGUCCACAUCCAGGUUGUUGUGCUAGGAUAGCACCAAACCCGUUGGAACCAACUCAAGCUAACUCACAAGAAAUUUAUCAAAUGAAAUGCAAGAACAAAAUAUUAAAGACACCAAGAUUUUAACGAGGUUCCUCAACAGUCAGUGUAACUGGAGUACGUCUUUGGAGCAGUAAGAGCUCACCCAAUAAUCCACUAUCAACCAAAUGAGAGUUUACAAAGUGUUGGCAAUCUCACAACCCAAAUAACCCAAUACACCCAAUAACUCUCACUCACCAAAGAAACAAAUAGAGAGGGAAAUAUAGUGAAUAAUUUCCUCUCUAUACAAAGCUCAAAGCUAAUACACAAAUACAACUUUGAUUGAGUAAGUACCAACAAAGAAAGAAAUCACCUUUCUUUCUUCUCUUUCUGCUCUCAGUUUUCUGCUCUCUGCAGCUCUCUUUGCUCUCUCAAAGAUGGGCUACUAAAACUGAAAAUUAGUGCACUCAUCCUCUUCUCUUUUCUUCUCCGAAACCAAACAUAUUAUUGCUUUGAAAAAGCCACAAACAAGCCAUAAAACAAGGAAACAUAAUCAUGUUGUCCUUUCUUUUUUUUUCUUUAUAAUUUUUUAUAGCCAAAAGUUGGCCACUUGGCCACAUACUCCAACAAUCUCCACCUUGGCCAAGUUCCGAAAAAAAAGCCAUGAUAAGCCAACCAACACAAUAACACACAACAUCACUCCCAAACACUAGCAAGAGAACAACUCAUGCCGAGCCAAAUGCUCCAAAACUCCUACUGCUCAACGCCUUCUUUAUAUAGGCAUAAUGUGAGCCAAGUUCAAACAAUGAACAAAUUUGGCUACACCAACAACCUUAGUUAACAUAUCAGCGGGGUUGUCUUUAGUUGGAAUCUUCUGGAUAAUGAUUUCCCCUUCACCAACAAUUUCACGAACAAAGUGAUAACGCACAUUUAUGUGCUUGGUCCUCGCAUGAUGAACCUGAUACUUAGCCAAAUAAAUGGCACUCUGACUAUCACAAUGUACCUUCACCUGCUUCUGAUCAACCCCCAAAUCUCUAAUCAGCCCAUGUAUCCAAAUGGCCUCAUUUAUAGCUUCAGCAACUGCCAUAUAUUCAGCCUCUGUAGUAGACAAGGCAACAGACGACUGCAAAAUGGACCUCCAACAAACUGGUCCUUUAGCCAUAGUAAACACAUAGCCUGUAGUAGACUUCCUUCCAUCCAGAUCACCUGCAUAAUCUGAAUCAACAUAACCAACUGCAAAAUGACCAAUACCAGAGUCAUCCCUCUCAAAGCAUAAACCAACAUCUCGAGUACCAUGGAGAUAUCUCAAUAUCCACUUAGCUGCUUGCCAAUGCUCUUUACCUGGAUUAUGCAUAUAUCGACUCACCAUGCCAACUGCAGCAAUAUCCGGUCUAGAGCAUACCAUUCCAUACAUCAAACUACCAACCAAAUUUGCAUAUGGUAUAUUUUUUAUUUGCAGCUUCUCUUUAUCAGUUUUAGGACACUGUAGAGAACUCAAUUUAAAAUGAGGAGCCAAAGGGGUACUAACCGGUUUGGUUGAAUCAUGAACUCCAAACUUCCGAAUCAACUUCUCAAGGUAUUGUCUUUGAUUCAAACUGACCAAACCCUUCUCUCUAUCUCUAGUGAUCUCCAUGAUCAGGCAUUGCAUUCUCUUAUGGUUGUCACGAAAUCGAAUUUUAUAUAGGCUCUGUUAUAUGAGAAACAGGUUGAGAAAUCGAAUUUUAAUUAGGGCAAAAGGCAAAUUUAAUGACACACCCACACCCCGAAAUCCCCAAAUAUUAGGAUAGGCACGUGUUGAUCGACACCCCAGGGUGACAAGGCCAUUUUAAACAUGCAUGCAAAUUAAAUUAUAUAAUUAGAAAGAAAUAUGCCAAUGCAAGAACAUGUUCAGAGCAUACAACUAAUUAAGAAUAAUGUGAAAGAAUUAUUAUAAAAAGGUACGAACAAAGGAAUAGGUCAUACACUGAGAAGACUCGAAGAUAUCUAUGCAGAAAUGCCCUGACGCUGAGAUCGAAUGCCGCAACUCUAACUCCUAAAGGGGCCACAAAACAAAGGGUGAGUGGACCAAAGUUUAUAAUACUAAUACUAAUAAUAAGAAAACCAUUUUCUUUCUGAACAUACUAACCCCCUGUUUUGAAAACACAUAUAUAGUACUACAUAGUAGGUUUUCCGAAAACUCUAACAUGCCAUGAAAACAUUCGUAAAAUAUGUACGUAUAAAACAAUGCUCAAUAAAUUUGAUAUCGCCGCCCGAAGGCAAAUCCGUAAAUCUCAUCAAUGAUGUACUCACUAGGGGUAUCAUAGUCUCCCUAAGGCAUAACAUAUCCAUCACCCAAAGGUGAAGUUGUACGACUCUGGGAUAUGCCAAAGAAGAAACAUAUACAUGUAACAUCACUCACUGACACUAGCUGUGGUUAGUGAAGUUGUCCGACACUGGUUUCGUCAAUGAAGCUGGGAGUAUGACAUAAAUAUCCUCAACUGUGUCCUAUGGCCAUAGACGUCUACAUACCCGUGUUGUGUGGAUGUGUUGUAUGAUAACCCACUAGAUAAGCAUCGAAAACAUAUCUCAAAAACUCGUAUCAAAUCACCGGAGCUCAAAAGCUUAAAGCAUCAUCGCAUAAAUCCAUAAUAAAACAUAUGCGUAAAUCCGUAUAAUUUCAUAUAUGAAAAUCCAAUCAUUCCUAAUCUUUCGUAAAAUGUAAACUCGAUAAAUCAUAAAUAAUGCAUAAAACGUUAAAUCAUGAAAUCAUGCUUUUUGUGAAUUUGCGCCUAGUAUUUUAUAAAAACAUGCAAGUUAAGAAGGGCUCCACUCACAUAUAUUUUGUUGCACGGGAACCGCUAGAACUAGAGAGGAAGGUGUCACUUCCCACCGACCACCUAAACAUAAAUAGAGAUCAUUUAAUAAAACUCUACUAAAAUGGUCGAAUUUGGGAAAACAGACAGCAGAUUCGAAUUCGGCACGUCGAAAACCCUAAGGAGGGACCUCGGGUUCUUCCAUCCCACCCCACGUGCCGCCGCACUAGCCGCCAUGGGACGGUGGCCCAAAAGGCCACGCACCGCCGCAUGUGGCAGUUUCCAGCAACAAAAACCCAAUUUUCCAACCAACUCCAAAAAUUACCAAAUUUUACAGGAAUGUAGAGCUCAUCAAGGGGAAGAACUUUCAUACAUGGGUCGAAGUCCAAUUCGGCUGAGAAACUCCUGAAAACACCCUCGAUCCGUCGGAAACCUUAAAAAUAGGUGUACUUCAAUUCGCCAUCUCUGUUACUCCGCUACCUCCAAACUGGUUUGGGGUUUGUUCAUGACCUUAAGAGAAGUCUUUUGGUGGUGGUCAUCGAUGGUGAAGGUUGCUGGAGUGACAGAUCACCCAGGUGGUGUCCUCGAAGCCGUCGAUGCGAGAUCCACGAAACCUAGGCCAAAAUCUAUCGACUAUUAAGUAUGUAUGCUUGCAAGAUUAAAUGAAAACCUCCAAAACGUAUGGAGUUUAAUUGAAUUCUAAUCACCACCACCACCCUCACAUAAUUAGGUCAAAAGGCGAAUUUAGGAGGGCUCCUUUCAAUCAUUUUGUACCCUUGCAUAUUAUUGUGAUUCGAUGAAGCUUCCCGUUAAAUGAACUGCACCAAAUAAGGGAGAUCUUCUCUUGAUCUCUAUAUUCGAAGCUGAUAAACAUAGAGAUCCAGAGUACUCAUUUUAAAUCAUACGGUUCUCAUUAGCUCAUUCUACUGGUUUUCUUUACACAAACCACGAGUUCAGAUCUCACUCUCUUUAACUACCUGGAUAUCCGAGUUCUUGAACUUCAAAAACAAAAAUCUGGAGAAGAUGUUGACUCCAAAUAGGGUAGCUUUUCUACUGUGCAUGUAGCUAGCCCAAAAAAUAAGGGAAACCCAACCCCACCCCCCAAAAUAAAAAAUAAAAAAAAACCCACCCACAACAAAAGUACAACUAUAAGUAAAGCUUUAUGAGGGGUUGCUCUAAAAUUGAUUUUAAAAUUAAAGGAAAACUAACGAAAAAUUCAAAAAAAACUUUAGUUUUAAUGAAAAAUGACAAAUAAAUGUGUAGUGAAUAGUACCAGAGAAAGGUAAAAAUGUGAUUUUUUGUUAAAAGUGAACAAUACCGGAGUGUUUCGUUAAAACUCUCUAAAAUUAAAUAGUCUGUCGUUCCAAAAAUUGUUUUGACAAUGUUGCAUUUAAAUAUUGUUUGACAAUAUAACAUUAUCCUACAAAACAUUUGUAUAAAUUAUAAGUUCAAACAAAAGACAUAAUACAGCUUCUUCCCGACUAUUUUAGGUGUAUACUCCAUUGCUGAAAAUUCUACCAUGCUCAUCAUAAUUCUUGCCACACCAGGCAAUUGGGUUAAAUUGCCCUUGACAAAAAAAAUGAUGGUCCAUCGGUGCCAAAUUGGGCAGGCAAUUGGGGGGCUCCAAGAAGCUUGUUGAACUACCCUUGCAACCCAUUGGCAAUAAGUAACGAUGUGCCUGACGUCAAGUAGCAGAAGGCUGGCCCCAACCCCGUACACUGAAGUGAACCAAACAGCUCCAAUUUGGGCACCCCAUAGCUAUUGGAUUUUCAACAGUUUGUUGAUCCGAACCAUUAAAUUUCAAACGAUAAAAGAAAUUUAAAAAGAUGAUGUUGUGCCACGUGGCACUUUGUGGCGUAUUUGAUAUUAAAAUUUUGAAAAAUUCAACAGCCAGGAUUAAUCCCAUGAUAAAAAAUCCAAAAAAAAAAAAAGAAAAAAAAUUAGAAAAAACGUACAACAAAAAAUAUCUAAAAAAACCUUCAAAUUUCACACUUAAACAAAAAUCUAAGCUGAUAUUACUAAUAGAUAAUGACACGUAAUGCGAUGAAAGUGGUUAAAAAUGGAAAGGGAUACUCUCCGGCUCCCUUUCACCAAAUCCACCAAGUUCAAGGAUUCAGAUCAUUGAAAUUGAUCCAACGGCUACAAAUAAGGACCCACUUUAAAAAUUAUAAUAUGUUGGAUCAAAUUUCAAGAAUCGGAUACCCGGACUUGAUGGAUUUGGUGGAAAUGAUCCGGAGUCCUUUCCGUUGAAAAUCUCAUCGCCUCUCCUUUCAGCCCUUCAAGGAAAACCCGCUUCUUGGGUCGUUUUCAACCACAUAAAGCUUCACUCUGUUAUUAGUUUAUGUGUUUAAAAUUGUUGGGGUUUGCAGUUUUGGAUUGAAAUUUGUGUUUUGGGAUUUGUUGGGUGCUCACAUGUGGAAAUUUGGAAAAUUUUAGUUGCGGAUUGUGGGGAACUGACACAGUGGUGGUCCCAUUUCAUGUACUUUGUGUGUUUUUGGUGAAAUACUGAUUAGGAGGGUUGGAUAGUUGGACUGGUUUUAUUUUUUUUGUGAAAUUAGAGUGGGAUCGAUCAAGGUUGAGACUUUUUUAGGUAAGAGUAAUUGUGAAAGUUAUGUUUUAUAAAUUUUUUGGCAAAUUUUGUGACUUGGUGGAUUUGGAAUUUUGGUUAUAUUAGAUAUAUGUGUAAAGAAAAUAGUUGAACUGCAUGAAGCUUGAUGUAAUUCUGCUAUUAAUCAAUGUUGGACUUGGGAAUCCUAGUGAAUAUAGAAGCGAAUCUACGAUUAGUUGAGAAACUUAAAGAAGCUUAAGGGGUAAUGAGGGUUUUAGGUAUUUAGUGACACUAAGGCAAUGCUUGAUGUCUAUUUCAUUUCGGCGUAUCAGAAAUGCUUGAACAAUAAAGAAAGGUGCUCGAAGAGCUACAGUAGUGAACUACUUGGUUUGAUUAGAUUGCUAUGUUAAUCAAAAUGUCUCCUGUAGUAUGUUAUAGGCUUAGGGUGUGUUUGUUUGGACUCAUUGUCUUUCACUAGAUUAGACUGGACUAAGUUUUAGUCCAGUCCUGUGUUUGUUUCCUACCCGGACUAAGUUUAAUGGGAUUAGGAGGGACUCGCCUCGACUGAGUCCCUCGCUAACGGGUCUUCGCGAGCCCCCCAAUUCGGAGAGGAUUGCUAAGCCGCCCUCUAAUCCUGUCAUCUCACUUCUCUUUCACACCUUCGGACAUCAACCGCAGCAACUGCAACUUGCUCCUCGUCCCUUCGCACCUUCACCCUUUCCCUUCUCCUUCCUUGUCGCACCACCUCGUAGCCGUCCAACAUAUAAACAAUAGAUGACGGACCUGUAUCACUGGCGAUGGUCUGAUCAGGUGAGCUUCAUUUUCCUUGCAUUUCAAUGGGUACUUUUUUAAUUUUCCAAAUUCAAUUGCUUUUUGUUCAUUCCUUUCUUUGUUUAUGCAUUUCAAUGGGAUUUUCGAGUUUCUUUAGGGUUUUUGGUGAUUAACUAUAAUCCAACAUUCAUAAUUAUCAAAUUUAGUAUAACGGCACUGGGUCACUGACAGCAGCUUGUUUUUUGGAUAUACUUAUUAAGAAUUUGACAUUAGGGAAUCCAUUCACAGCUUAUGGAUGUUUUCAAUUUUUCUGGUUCUUAUUCACCCUUUUGUGGAGAUCUUAGUAGUGGAUUAGGGAUAUAUCAUGUCCAUGAUGACUGGUAUUGUAUUGGCAGUGACGGGGUAUCUAGUUGGAUUGGAUGUGUUGAACAAUUAUGCGAUGAGCUAAGAUUUAAGAAGAAGCCUCUCUACCUGUUUUGAUCAUACUUGAUCUUUUUCGAGCUUUGUAUUCGAGUAUUUAACCGUUUCUUCAGCCCUUGAGGGUGCCACUUGUUUUCUAGUGAAUAUAUAUUGGAAGCUUCUCUUUGGAAAUUUUUGUGAGUAAUCAUUUUCUGAAGCUUUCAUCAACGGAUUUAUCUUAUUGGAAGGUUCUGCUUGUUGCACAUCACCAUAGAUGUUCUAUUAUUUUGAUCCAAAAGUUUUUCUUCAUUAUUCAGAUACUCUUAUGCAUAUCUUGGACAGUUUAAUCAUUAUAAUUUUAUACAUAUUUGAGUUCACCUAUCAAAAGGAAUAUCAAACAAAUUGAUAUUAACAAAUCCUCGUGGAGCUAGGAGAUCACCAAUUUCGUGUUGAACUUUAAGAUUUUGUUAUAAACCAGGAUACUUGUACAUUUAACUAUAGUGACUUCUAGUUAUCAUGGAGAAUUUAGACUUGUCUACUAUGUUUGUACCAUACUUAGGGCCUCCGUAUUUAGACCUCGUAUAAAUACUCGGGGGACUCAAAUAUAAUUAUGUAAUAAAUGAAGGGGCAAAUAUGUAAUAAGUGAGGAGCCCUUAUUCUAUAAAAGGACUCCUCACUCUCCUCAUUAAGGGGGGUGAAGGUUUAGGCCAUGGGAAGAGAGAAAACAUCUCAGAGAGGGCAAACACAGAAAAUAGGCUAGAGAGCACACUGCCUCUAGCCUUCUUGUAUAUUCACCAUUCAGAGUGAAACAAUAUCAACAUCAGUGUGGACGUAGCCCAAACAUUGGGGUGAACCACGAUACAUCUUGUGUUCUUUACUUUCUUGCAGAUUCACGGUCGGAUUUAUGUUGUUCCAAGACACCUCCGGUUUUGUGCAUCAACAUUUGGCGCCGUUUGUGAGAAACGACACGAAAAGCUAUGUUGGUUCUCUUUCAUUUUUUUCAUCUUACCAUUGUGAAUCUGCACAACCCAAGAACCCAGAACCUCCCUCCUUGGGCUUUUCUAGAAAACUCCUAGCUUUCUCUCUUUCUACUCAUUUUCUUUCUCUAGAGUUUGGCCGAGUUAUCAAUUUCAUCGCAAUUACAAAUGAAUUCAAGGCGAUAAUAAGAGAGAGAAACAUAAACUGUCUCUUCUUCUCCUUCCAUGCGUUUCUUCAUAACCCACCACUUCUAGCCUUUUUCCCUUCCUCGCUCUCAGAAACCCAGAAGAAAAAAUUGCAAUCAUGAGGCUUCAACGGCGGAGGAGGUGGUGGUGGCGUCCUUAAUUUCUACACAAACGGGCGAUCCAUCUCCAUCUCCGUCGCCAUGAACGGCCACAACCCAUCUCAGAACAAUCCCUACCACCGAUCCCAGCUUCCCAACCUGUUUAUGGACCCUACCGCAUCCCAGAUCGCUCACCAAACACAGUUUCAACCACCGCAACCAGUCCCGGAACAAUUCGAAGUUACUGAUAACAUUGAAAGCAUUCCGGUCCGCUGUGGUUUUCAAUCUCAAAGACGAAACUUACCUGCUACUUCAUGGCCUCGGGAUGGAUGCUGUGUUGCUACUGUGGCGAAAGAAUUUUACCCAGACUCUCCCUCUCUGCUCACAUGGCCUAUCUUCCACCAUCUCAGCGGCUGCAGUCCUCAAUUCAAGGUUCACGCCACCAAAUAUUCUGUCUCGCCUCUCACAACUUCAUGCGCCUCCAGAGUUCUUCUCCAGAUUUGCGCUCCAUAGAUUAUUUUCUAUGUCGAUUUCCAUCAGAUUCGCGUCGAUCGUGUCACGAUCUACGCGUUGAUGGUGGUUUGAGAUUGUGAGGUGAUGGUUUGAGCUGUUUUUGAAUUCAGCUGGUUUUACCAGCUCGAGCUUCUAUGUUCGUCGCUCUUCGAUUCGAAUUUAAAGAUUUCGCAGACAGAGCUCUAACCAAAUCGGAAGAGAUUACAAGUAUUCGGCGGCAUUUCAGCAGCUGAUCCAAUUCGAUCUCGUGGUGGCUGAAACAUGUUUAAUCUUAACCAAAGGGUCAUGGUUCAUGGUUGUAAUUUCAUGAGACUGAAGCUUUUAUAUCGUGGGAUUUGGGUUGGGGUUAUGGGUUGAAUUCAGAUGGAUGUAUAAGAUAUCGGGACGAAAGACUCGGUGGAAGGGCCGAAGUGCUGGACCGAUCUUUGUCAUCCGGCCUUUGCCAUGGCAGUCGGACAUGGAUUCUGGACAACUACGGCCGCAUCUAUAUCUCGUCGCCAAAGUUUUGAAAGUUGCAGGAAAUGAAGUGGGAAACAAAAGCAAAAGAAGAAAAGAAUAGAAAAAGGAAAAUGAUGUCUGGAGAUGGAGAAAAUGAUGAGGUUUGUUAUGGGGGAGGCCAUAGUCCACCACUAUCAAGUCUGCCACACUCAAUCAUUCAUUUGCACUCAUGGAAAACAACCACAAAGAUAAGACUCUUAUCUUUACAGCUCUUACCCACUGUCAUUGAUGAAUAUUUUAUUAAGUUGUCUUCUGCAAACUGGAGCAAUUAUUAUAUAGUGAUACUGAUGUGUAAAGAAGGCAACAUGCCAAAAAAAAAUAAAUAAAUAAUGUCGGCAAGCCCAAAAUAGUGGGCUGGAAUGUUAUGUGAAGGGUGAAGGCCCAUAUGCACAAAAAAGCCAGGCCCUAUGGCUUCAAACUCCAACCUCCAUCCCUCCACUUAAGGUUCACCCUUUAUUAUCACCAACUAGGUGAUCAAAAGUACGUCUAGUACUCCAAUAUUAUUCGGCAGCCUGCUGUUAUUAUCAUUAACCAGGUGAUCAAAAGUACAACCCAUCCUUAAAAAAAUCAUACAUGAGCAUCACUCAUGACAAUCACCAUCAUACAUAAGCAUCACUCAUGUCAACAUUCAUGAACAUCACUCAUGUCAACAUCCAUGAGUAUCACUCAUGUCAAUCAACAUAAACAUUCAUGAGCAUCACUCAUGUCAAUUAGCUUCGAAAUCUUCAUUUACAGAGCUCUAGCUUCGAAAGCUUCAUUUAUAGAGCUCCAGCUUCAAAAGCUUCAUUCAUAGAGCUCCAGCUUCGAAAGCUUCAUUUAUAGAGCUCUAGCUUCGAAAGCUUCAUUUACAGAGCUCCAGUUUCGAAAGCUUCAUUUACAGAGCUCCAGCUUCGAAAGCUUCAUUUACAAGAGCUCCAGCUUCGAAAGCUUCAUUUACAAAAUCUCCAACUUCGAAAGCUUCACCUACAAAGCUUCAGUGCAUGGUAUACAAAGACCGCAACCAAGGCAACAUAAGCCACAAACCGAGCAGCCUCGCAACAUGUGCUACUUCUAGUUGAGUAUCAUUUCAGAUUGAGCACCGCCUCAUAUCGAGUAUCAGUUCUAGACGACAUCUAGUUACUUCGGCCCACACAUGGACUGAAUUUCAAGUCUCCAGCCAAAAGACUCUCUUGAUUGAAGACUUGGGGGACUACUGUUUGUACCAUACUUAGGGCCUCCGUAUUUAGACCUCGUAUAAAUACUCGGGGGACUCAAAUGUAAUUAUGUAAUAAAUGAAAGGGCAAAUAUGUAAUAAGUGAGGAGCCCUUAUUCUAUAAAAUGACUCUUCACUCCCCUCAUUAGGGGGUUGAAGGUUUAGGCCAUGGGAAGAGAGAAAACAUCUCAGAGAGGGCAAACACAGAAAAUAGGCUAGAGAGCACACUGCCUCUAGCCUUCUUGUAUAUUCACCAUUCAGAGUGAAACAAUAUCAACAUCAGUGUGGACGUAGCCCAAACAUUGGGGUGAACCACGAUACAUCUUGUGUUCUUUACUUUCUUGCAGAUUCACGGUCAUAUUUAUGUUGUUCCAAGACCCCUCCGAUUUUGUGCAUCAACAUACUAAAACUUGUACAAGUGAUUCAAGCAUGUUUUUGCUCUCGUCAGUAUUAGUUAUUAACUCAUUGGACUCCAUACACAGUUUCUGUGAUGUUUUCUUCCACAAUUUUAUGGUUUGCAAUUCUGCAGAGGUUUCUACUCAGUUUAAUUGUUUUAAUUGUCUCAUUGACCCAUGCUGUUACACGAAAGAGAGAAAUUAUGUGUUUAUCAGAAAUCUGGCUAAACCAGCAAUACAUCACUCAACUUCAUUAGAACAUGACAAAUUUCACCUUAUGGUUCACAGGCCGUACUUCUCUUUGGCAUCGUAGAUACAGUCUUUUCCAUUUAAGUUUAUUCUGAUUUAUUUGCUAGCUUAAAGUGUAGUUGAAUGAUGUUGUGCAUGGCUAUCUGCAGCGCAAUGGGCACUUGGGUUUUCUCCGUAGCAGGGGCUUUGUUAGCGAUUCCAGUGGGGAUAAAAAGGAAACUUUAGCAUUGCUUGUGUUCUUCGGCACAACAUGUACCAUGCUUGACAUUAUAAUGGGAAUCGCUCAGUGUGAAAGAGAACAUGCAGAACGCCAAGCGAAGCUAUUAGAAGCCCAGAUUUCUGCAACUAAUGCUUCAUUUGCUGAGACUGGGGCGGAAACAUAGUCUUGACUCCUAAGCAUAUGCAUCAUAUGCCCAUGUUUGGCUGCUGUCAGUUUUCUCUUCAAAUUUCUUUACUGUAAAAGAUUAAUAGUCGAACCUGUAGAAUGAACCCUUUGCUUGAAUUUUGCCUUCCCCUUUUCAUGGGUUAAUAAUCACACGAAAGUUGUUACUGAUAUAACGUCAGGUUUAACCUCCCUCGCAUGGCACGAUUCCAUGAGUUAAUCAUUCGAAGCAGAGAAUUCUAAUUCCUCUGUUUUUAUUUAUCUUGGAGAUACCUAUAUGAAAAUUACUUUAAAGUUGUUCAGCAGCAAAGGUUAUGACUUAUAAUAUACGAUGUAUAAUCACGAAGAGAAACUGGUGACAGUACUGUUUUCAUUAUCCUGCUUUCUAGUCUGACACUGCACCAAACGCUUCACUAAGCUGGUUCAGCUUAGUCUAGUCUAAGCCAGUCCAGCUUAAUCCCUGAAGCUAGUCCAUUCCGAGACAGUCUGGUACAACAAACGCACCCUUAAAGUUUUACAUUAGUGUUCUUUAGCGACUUGGUUUCAAAAUUUUCGUUCGACUUUCCUUGGUCUGUGAGGCCAAUGGUAGAACAUCAUGGAAAAAUGAAAUUGUUUUGUCUUAAUAUCUCUGGUAAGAGCGAGUACGCAUUCUUAAAGGAAAAAUGAAAUUGUUUGUCAUUCUUUUAAGAUGUUUAAUGUGCUCAUUUCAGUAUGCACUACAAGGGCGAGUGAGCUAUCAUCUGUUUGGAAAUAAAAGCUAUAGACAUGCCCCAUAAGGGUCAAUAGGUCUCAGUUACAUAUCUAACUUGUUUCUCAUGUGUUUUCAUCCUGAAGGUUAGAAAAGAUGGGUGCUCUAGACGCACAGAGAGUGGUUCAUCAACACCAGAGAUGGUGGCUGAUCUCAUGUAUGUGGUUACAUGCUGGAGUUUUCCAUGUGCUUGCCAAUAUGCUGAGUCUUGUAUUCGUUGGAAUUUGGCUUGAGCAAGAAUUUGGAUUUGGUAUGCAUCUGGAUUUUUAGCUUCAUGUAUGUUAUCAUGCAUGUAUGGCCAUAUCCAUAAGUGUUUGUAGUAAAAAGAUAAAGCACACGACAUUAGUUGUAGAAUAAUAAAUUAGUUUACUAGGAAGCAUGCUUUCAAUAUGGUAUUUCUGUUGGUGCUUCUGGUGCACUUUUUGGUUUACUAGGAAGCAUGCUUUCAGAGCCAUAUCAAAUUGGAAAAUGUAUGUAAAUAAGGUAAAUAAAGUUUCUGUAUACUCAAUGAUGCACCUCUUUAUGUGCACGACCCUUUGAUCUUACAGUUUCAGGUUUCUACCCGCAGUUAGCAGCAUUGGUUACUCUCCUUUUCUUCAUCAUAAUACACUUAGCAGUGGAAUUCUACCACACGCGGACAACUUUGCUCAUAUUGGAGGAUUUGUCCCCGGAUUUCUUCUUGGAUUUUUGUAUUGUGGAUCCUCUCUUUGAUACUAUUGAUUGUUGGGUAAGCUCCUCCUCGAUCUCUGAUUUAAUUUUUUAACUUCAUGAACCUAAUCGAUUCCCUGCAUGAGAAUCUGGUAGCCACAGUUGGCGCGUGCACAUUUUUUUCUUUCUUUCUAUCAAAUCAAAGAACUGGAUUUUGUGUAGAUAUGUAGAUAUCAUGUGUCCUGUAAUAUGUCUUCAUUAUUGUCAUUGUGAAUAGUCUCUGUAUCUGCUUGUUUCUGAUUAGAAUGGUUUGGAGAAGGCAUUGUGUUAUUGUUAUCGUUGUUCUCUAUGUAGUACUAAUUGGUCACUUUGUUGAUAGCGGCUUCUACUUUGUUGUUUUGGGUUGUAUGUGCUGGCAGGUUGUUGUUUUGUUAUUGGAAGUAAAGGUUCAUUUUCCUCGUAUCUAAGUAGUAUCAGAAUAUGCAGGCAUUUUCUAACAAACGUCAUGUUUUUUACAGGUGUACUCUUGGCCUGGUUACUCUUUUUCGAGGGGUCAAUCUGAACAAUCAUUGUUCCUGGUGUCAUUAUUUGAGCAGUGUCCCUACGUCAAAAUGGAAUUGCAAGUCACAAAAUAUUUAUUGUUUGGUAAAUUAACUUCCGCCUUAAUAUUUGAUAGAUAGAAGUGCUUGCUUAUUAAUACGAUCAUGGUUGCAUUCAGUCGUUCUAGUUUGGCAUGCCGUUUAAUCUAAUGCCUUCAAGAAACGUAAUUUAAGAAAUGACUCACGAAAUUUUGAGUCAGGAAAUUGCUUUUACAAUGUACUUUGUUAGUACUAUAAAUUGGUUUUGUACUGACAUAUUGUUCUUUAUAUGAAUGUGAGGCUUAGAGAAGUAUAACUGCAUGUUCAAGUUUUGAUUCUCUUGGUAAUGAUUUCAAGGCUUUGGUUUAUGAGUACAUGGAAAAAGGAAGCUUAGAGAAGUGGCUGCAUCCACCGACUGAUAUUGAGGAAGCAAGAGAGGCACCCAAGAGUUUAAAUCUUUUGCAAAGGCACAACAUUUCCAUAGAUGUUGCUUGUGCUCUCAAUUAGUCAAUUAUCUUCAUAAUCACUCCGAAACACCGCCAGUUCAUUGUGAUCUGAAACCAAGUACUGUUCUUUUGGACAACAUGUCGACUGGACAUGUUUCUGACUUUGACUAGCAAGGUUCUCACAACUGACCAGUAUAAAAGCUUCAACAAAUCAGCAAGUUCCGCUGGAAUAACAGGAGCGAUUGGUUAUAUGGUUUUAGGUAAAUAUUCAAAUUCUCUCCACAAUAUCCUUUUUUUUUAAUUUUUAAAUUUUGCAUAAUUCAACUAAACUCCGCCUAUGUAAGUUUAUCUUACAUUGCCGGUCCCAAGCCCGGAUAAAGGAGGAGGGGGAGGGCGUCAGGUAGUCGACAGCCGGCACUCCACGGUUACGUCGAAUCCUUAUGAAAAUGAAUCCAGAACGAAAUCGCGCUAAAGCUAGGGCGUCACCCGUAAGUGGCGCGCUGUGUGGCCCGAGCACAGUGAUAAGUGAGCAAGGGUCGCUGUAUCUCCAUCGGCACCCGGAUGCAGUGGUAAAUGAGUAAGGGGACCAUAGAAACUUCUUUUCGAACGACUCCACUCAAAGUUGUUUGGGAGCAUAUGCUCCUAUCAACUUUACACGGGACACACAAAAGAAGUACUUUGAUCCUAUUAGACAGGAGAGGGUGAAGAAGCUAGGACAGAAGGGUAGAGUUCAAGAGAGUAGAAUGCGUUUAGGAACGUGGAAUAUAGGAACCUUAACUGGAAAAUCUAUGGAAGUAGUGGAAGUUAUGGUGAGGAGAAGGAUAAAUAUUAUGUAUAAGAAACUAAGUGGGAUGGUCUUAAGGCAAAGGAUCUAGAAAACUCAAGAUUUAAACUUUGGUAUUCGGGCACAAAUAGAAUGAGAAACGGUGUUGGCAUCAUCGUGGACAAGACCUUGACACAAAAUGUUGUAGAUGUCAAGAUGGUAGGAGAUAGAAUCAUGGCAAUCAAGAUUGUAAUAGGACAAGAACUUAUCAAUGUGAUUAGUGCGUAUGCACCUCAAGUAGGGUUGGAUACGAGUUUAAAGGAGAAAUUUUGGGAAGACCUUGGAGACUUGGUGCAAGGAAUUGCUCAGACGGAGAAGUUAUUUAUAGGAGGAGAUUUAAAUGGACACGUGGGCAGGGAGACAGGCAACUAUGGAGGUUUUCAUGGUGGCCAUGGUUUUGGGGAGAGAAACGAGGAUGGGGAAGCUAUCUUGGAUUUUGCAAUGGCAUAUGAUCUUUUCUUAGCCAACACCUUCUUUAAGAAGAGAGAAAAACAUGUGAUCACCUACAAGAGCGGGUCAUCAAAAACACAAAUAGAUUUUCUUCUAAUGAGGAAAGGGGAUCGUAUAACUUGUAAGGAUUGCAAAGUUAUAUCGGGGGAGAGCUUGGCUAAUCAACAUCGCUUGUUGGUGAUGGAUGUACAUAUCAAAAGAGUGAGAAAAAAAAAACAAGACUUGGAAAUGCCCAAGGACUAGAUGGUGGAAUCUAAAAGGAAAAAAACAAGUCAUUUUCAAAGAGAAAGUAAUCACUCAGUGUGUGUGGGAUAGAGAGGGGGAAGCUAGCCAAAUGUGGGAUUCUAUGGCUAGUUGUAUCCGAAAAGUAGCAAAAGAGGUAUUAGGAGAGUCCAAGGGCUUUGCUCCACACCAAAAGGAAUCUUGGUGGUGGAAUGAAGAGGUACAAACAAAGGUGAAGGCUAACAAGGAAUGUUGUAAAGCCUUAUACAAGGAUAGGACCGAUGAAAAUGGUGAAAGGUAUAGAAGAGCGAAGCAAGAGGCGAAGAAAGCUGUGAGAGAAGCUAAGUUAGCGGCUUAUGACGAUAUGUAUAAGCGACUAGAUACCAAAGAAGGAAAGUUGGAUAUCUAUAAACUAGCUAGAGCAAGGGAAAAGAAGACAAGGGACCUAAACCAAGUGAGGUGCAUCAAGGAUGAGGAUGGAAAGGUUCUUGCUACAGAGAACGCGGUCAAAGACAGGUGGAGAGGUUAUUUUCAUAGUCUUUUCAAUAAAGGACAUGAAAGGAGUACUUCUUUAGGGGAGUUGAGUUACUCAGAAGAGUGUAGAAACUACUCCUUUUAUCGUCGAAUCAGGAAGGAAGAAGUGGUUGUAGCUUUAAAGAAGAUGAAGCAUAGAAAAGCAGUGGGCUCAGACGAUAUACCGAUAGGUUUAGCAUGGCUCACUGACCUUUUCAAUAGGAUUUUGAAAACGAAGAAGAUGCCAAAUGAGUGGCAAAAGAGCACUUUGGUGCCUAUCUACAAGAAUAAGGGCGACGCACAAAAUUGCAUGAACUAUAGGGGUAUUAAGCUAAUGAGUCAUACAAUGAAGCUCUGGAAGAUAGUCAUUGAGCAUAGAUUGAGGCAAGAGACACGGGUUUCGGACAACCAAUUCGGGUUCAUGCCAGGGCGCUCAACCAUGGAGGUAAUCUAUCUCUACGAAGAUUGACGGAAAGAUAUAGAGAUGGGAAAAAGGAUUUACACAUGGUCUUUAUAGAUUUGGAAAAAGUGUAUGAUAGGGUACCAAGAGACAUUCUUUGGAGGAUUUUAGAGAAGAAAUGAGUACAAGUAGCAUAUAUCCAAGCUAUAAAGGAUAUGUAUGAAGGAGCAAAGACUGCCGUAAGAACUCAUGAAGGACAAACCGAAAGCUUCCCUAUAACUGUAGGAUUACAUCAAGGCUCAUCCUUAAGUCCUUACCUUUUUGCGUUGGUAAUGGAUGAAUUAACAUGACAUAUUCAAGAUGAUAUUCCUUGGUGUAUGCUUUUCACAGACGAUAUAAUGUUGAUAGAUGAAACUUAGGAAGGGGUAAAUAUGAAGCUUAACCUUUGGAGAGAAGUGUUGGAAUCUAAAGGUCUUCGCCUAAGCCGAUCAAAGACAGAAUAUAUGGAGUGCAAGUUCAGUGCAAACGGAGGCCAAAAUGAGUUAGGGGUGAGGAUCGAAGAUCAGGAAAUACCAAAGAGCGAUCGUUUUCGCUACCUAGGAUCUAUCUUGCAAAAGAACGGAGAAUUAGAUGCAGAUCUCAACCAUAGAAUACAAGCUGGAUGGAUGAAGUGGAAGAGUGCAUCCGACGUGUUGUGUAACCGCCGUAUGCCACUGAAGCUCAAGGGAAAAUUUUAUAGGACGGCAAUAAGGUCGGCGAUGCUGUAUGGCACAGAAUGUUGGGCGGGGAAGCAUCAACACGUACACAAAAUGGGUGUAGUGGAGAUGAGGAUGCUUCGGUGGAUGUGUGGGCACACGAGAAAGGAUAAGAUUAGGAAUGAGGAUAUCCGAGGUAAAGUAGGAGUAGCCGAAAUUGAAGGAAAGAUGAGAGAAAAUCGGUUACGGUGGUUUGGACAUGUGCAAAGAAGGCCUACUGACGCUCCGGUUAGAAGAUGCAACUACGGGACAAAUGUUCAGGGUCGAAGGGGUAGAGGAAGGCCUAGGAAAACUUUGGAAGAAACUCUAAGAAAAGACUUAGAGUACUUGGAUCUAACGGAGGACAUGACACAAGACCGAGCAUAAUGGCGUUCUAAGAUUCAUAUAGCCGACCCCACUCAGUGACUUAGAUUUUUCAAGUCUCUAACCGAGAAGUUUUCCUUACUUGGGAAAUUAAGGGAACACUACCUCAACCUACAUGCUCCACUCACAAAGCUUCAACAUACAAGCUUCAACAAAAGAAAAAUUCAAAGAACUUAGUGACGAAGCCUUUGGGGUAUUUAACACAAUACGUUGAAAUGAAGCAAAGCUUAUUUAUUGAUAUCUCCGAUAAGUUACAAAUAUGUACAUAUACAUGAGUCAAAAUAAACAAACAAGAGGGAGCCUUCACAAAGGUUGCUUAGGAGAAGUCUCAGCAGUCGGUAGAGCCACAGAAAGAGAAGGCACCGGAGGGGGAUCAUUCAGAGCCUCAGUACUGGACAGAACCUUAGAAGGAUGAGGCAUCGGAGGUUGAUCAUUUGGAGCUUCAUUAUGCGGUACAUCCCUAGAAGACGAAGGCAAUAAAUGCCUUUGGAACAAACCCACAAACCUCUGAUGAUCACGUAAAUCUGACAAUCAGAUUCCUUCAUCUGGUCAAGCUUCCUCUUCAUGUUUGUAGCAUAGUCAUGUGCGAGCCGGUGCAACUGUUUAUUCUCAUGCUUGAGCCCUCUAAUCUCCUGUUUGAGACUCAUCACUUCAGCCGCCAAUGAUUCAACUUGGCGGGUUCGAGCAAAUAGGCGUUGGGCCAUAUUAGACACAGAACCUGCACACUGAACACUGAGAGCCAGAGAAUCCUUAACAGCCAACUCAUCAGACCGUUUGGAAAGUAGUCUGUUAUCUUUGGGAGUGAGAAGGUUCCUGGCCACCACCGCAGCGGUCAUAUCAUUCUUCAUCACGGAAUCCCCAACGGUAAGAGGACCAGUAGGGGAUAAGAAGGAUGGGCGCCAUAUGUUGUCUGGAGAAGGCGUGGCUGCCUCUUCAACAAGGUUCAAGUCAAAACGACGGUCGGAGGGGCCAGACAUUUUCAAAGGUGUUGAAGAGAGAAGAGGUCAGACAAAUCAAGAUCUUAGAAGUGCAAGAAUGGAGCUUCUACUGGUGGAGAUUCAAGUGUGCUUUGGAACUUAAUGCCAGCCUCUAUAAAAAUCUGCACUCGACGGAGCUUCAGAAAUCGAAGAGGCGCCUGCUCAGAAAUCGAAGAGGCGUUUGCUUUCUCAAAAGCUGGGCUGCUCAGAGACCACGAGGGCCGAUCUCAGAAAUCGAAGAGGGUUUGCUUUCUCAAAAGCUGGGCUGCUCAAAGACCACAAAGGCCAAUCUUAGAAAUCGAAGAGGCGUUUGCUUUCUCAAAAGCUGGGCUGCUCAGAGACCACAAGGGCCGAUCUCAGAAAUCGAAGAGGCACCUGCUUUUUCAGCCUUGUCAGCACCUGUCAUAUGCACACUCAGCUUUGCGGAAAUUACAGGCAUGCUGUCGAAGAUUUCUGGUGAAGUAGAAAGCACGGGUGAAUCCUUACUGUUCAAACAAUCAGCUUCAUGGGUACCACAGAUAACUUUGCCAAAGAAGGGUAAAAGAAGAGUAAAGAAACAACACUAACAAAGUUUAGACACAUAAAUUUUGAAGGUCUAGCUACUAUAUUAUUACCCACAAGGGUAAAGGAACAGCACAACUGCUGGAUAAUUGGAAAGUCCCUGUGUGUCAACCUUUGUGCUCCGUGGCAAGGUAGACUAGCAAACAUGCCCAACCUUUACUCACAUUCGAGAAAACACUCCCAACAAGAUUGCUUGCUCCAAAAUCGAAGAGGCGCCGCCCUCCGAAUCUCGAGAGCCAGACUCCCAACAUGAGUACUUUCUCAAAAAUCGAAGAGACACCACUCUCUGAAUCUCGAGAGCCAGACUCCUAGCAAGAUUGCUUUCUCAAAAAUCGAAGAGGCACCGUUCUCCGAAUCUCGAGAGCCAGAUCCCCGACAGGAUUGCUUGUUCGAAAACCGAAGAGGCACCACUUUCUCAACUUCGAGAGCCAGAUCUCCUUGGAUAAAGCUUGUCUGUAAUCUUCACACGCAACAUCAGCUUUCCAGAUACCACAGACCACUUUUUCAAAGUGCUCUGACAGAGUUAAAACACGUGAAGCUGGCAGCUCCCACUACCGUGCUAUGACCAAGCAGGGUAAAGGAAUAGCAUUACUACUUGUUGUUAGGGAGACUCCUAUAUAUGUCGACCUCCAUCCUCAACGGACAGGCAGACCUGCAAAAAUGCUCAACCCUUCCUCAUAUCUGAGAGGGCACUCCCAACGAAGCCUCUCGAAAUACUCAGCUUUUUUUCCCCCCGAUAAUACCUCUGUAAACAAGCUACACUAGAGCAAGACUAUCUCAUAUCAUCAGGGUUAAAAGCAAGAGUAUCCCAUAUCAUGCUUUUUUCCCUGUCUUUUCCUUUGGCCUUGUUCUUACCUGCAAGACAAGGAGAAAGAGAGCAAUCAGUCAGCACUUGGAAUCAAGCUUCCAGUCAGGAACUGACUGCCUGGAACCCCUUACCUGAUUACUUACUUGACAUUGCUCUCGAGUACUCAUCUUCAACAUCUUAUGCUUCCAAAAAAGAUACCACAUCUGCCUGAGGAACAGAUAUAGGGCAAGUGAGAAGGAAUACAAGGAAGCAUGUGGAGACAAGCGUAACAGAAUAUGUGCCGAUACAUCCACUACUUCGUCAACAGCAAAAGUAUCCCAUAUCAGCAGGGUCGAACGUACUCUAGAUUUGAUGGACUUGUUUUGACCCUCAAAUUCUUCAGUCGGCCUUAUACUCUGGAGGAAACCAGAAAACCCUCCAGCCCAGUUCAAGAAUAAGCCUGUGGAAAGUUACUUCUUCAAAAGCAAAAGUAUCUCAUAUCAUCUCUUCUCCUUUUUCUUCUCUUUAUCCUUCAUGCUGCCUGCAAGAUAAGGAGAAUGAGAACAAUCAGCCGGAACUCGAAAUCAAACUUCUGAUCUGGGACUGAUUGCUUGGAGCUCUGAUUGCUUACCUUGUCUGUCACCUCUUUCAACAGAUCCCUUAGCUCGGCGACUUGGGGGACUCCUACUACAUGGUUUGUAUCGCGCUUGACCAAGCCUGAAACUACAAGUAAGCUUCAAGUGAAAUUGAUACAUUACCUUGUGCAUCUCCACCAGUUAAAGAUACCACCCCUGGAUGGAGGAAGAGUACUUCCAGAGAAGAUGCCACAUCUACCUAUGAGACAGAUAAGGCAAGUGAAGACGAUACCACACUUCGGUACUUAGAAGUUUCGUGAUUACGAGAUCAUUCUCCCACAAUAUUUCCUAAUGUCAUUUGUACUAAAUCAUUCACUUGUACUCACUAAAGGAGAGCUUGAACCUAUGUACUUGUGUAAACCCUUCACAAUUAAUGAGAACUCCUCUAUUCCGUGGACGUAGCCAAUCUGGAUGAACCACGUACAUCUUGUGUUUGCUUUCCUGUCUCUAUCCAUUUACAUACUUAUCCACACUAAUGACCGGAGCAAUCUAGCGAAGAUCACAAACUUAAUACUUUCUGUUGUACCAAAGUCCUCACUGAUUUUGUGCAUCAACAAUCCUUAAGUCCCUACCUUUUUGCGUUGGUAAUGGAUGAGUUAAUAGGACAUAUUCAAGAUGAUAUUCCUUGGUGUAUGCUUUUCGCAAACGAUAUAGUGUUGAUAGAUGAAACUCAGGAAGGGGUAAAUGCGAAGCGUAACCUUUGGAGAGAAGUGUUGGAAUCUAAAUGUUUUCGCCUAAGCCGAUCAAAGACAGAAUAUAUGGAGUGCAAGUUCAGUGCAAAUGGAGGCCAAAAUGAGUUAGGGGGUGAGGAUCGGAGAUCAGGAAAUACCAAAGAGCGACCAUUUUCGCUACCUAGGAUUUAUCUUGCAAAAGAACGGAGAAUUAGAUGCAGAUCUCAACCAUAGAAUACAAGCUGGAUGGAUGAAGUGGAAGAGUGCAUCCGGCGUGUUGUGUGACCGUCGUAGGCCACUGAAGCUCAAGGGAAAAUUUUAUAGGACGGCAAUAAGGCCGGCGAUGCUGUAUGGCACAGAAUGUUGGGCGUUGAAGCAUCAACACGUACACAAAAUGGGUGUAGCGGAGAUGAGGAUGCUUCGUUGGAUGUAUGGGCACACGAGAAAGGAUAAGAUUAGGAAUGAGGAUAUCCGAGGUAAAGUAGGAGUAGCCGAAAUUGAAGGAAAGAUGAUAUAAAAUCGGUUACGGUGGUUUGGACAUGUGCAAAGAAGGCCUACUAACGCUCCGGUUCGAAGAUGUGACUACGGGACAGAGGUUCAGGGCCAAAAGGGUAGAGGAAGACCUAGGAAAACUUUGGAAGAGACCCUAAGAAAAGACUUAGAGUACUUGGAUUUAACGGAGGACAUGACACAAAACCGAGCACAAUGGCGUUCUAGGAUUCAUAUAGCCGACCCUACUUAAUGGAAAAAGGCUUUGUUGUUGUUGCAUAAUUAAACUAUUUUGUUCUUAGUUUGCUAACAAUAUUUUCUUAUAUUUGAAUGGCAGAGUAUGGUAUGGGAAGUGAGGCGUUGAUAACUGGAUAUGUCUACAGUUUUGAAAUUCUCUUGUAGGAGAAGUUUACAAGGAAGAGAACCACUGACAACGUGUUUAAUGGGGACUUAAACCUUCAUGUUACAAUUUUCAAUCAAUGUUCUCGAGUCUUGAGGCCCCCAUGAAGUUUAAAAAUUAAGAAAGCUUGAUCUCACUAGUAACUAUUACAAUUUUUAGAAAGGUUGCAUCCACACCAAGCUUUCUUGCAAUGGUACUUUAGGGGAACUAUAAGAAAAUCAGCAAUCUCACAGUCCAGCCCCUCAAAAAACGUAGACUUCAAAAUUUCCAUUCAUAGCUAGGGUCACCUAGCAAGGUAACUUUCAUAUCGACACCAGCGUGACGUCUGAUGUAACCAAAAAUAGGAUUCCUUGUAUUUGUUUUUUUCAUUUUGGAUGGUUGCCAAAUGUUUCCAGUCAGCUUCUGGAGUCAAGGUGCUUUAAUGGUCUUGGUCCUUGGCGUACGGAAAGUGCCAGACAAUAGGUCCCAGUAGUCCACAAAUUGGGAAUUUGCGUAGAUUGCAGGUAUUUGCGUAGAUUGCAGGUAUUGCGAUUAGACAUUAACUCGUUUAGUGGCAGUAUUCCACACAAUAUAUCAUAUUGCUUCAACCUUAUCCAUGUGAAUUUCUCUCGGAACAAGUUGGU
rnacentral:lncRNA from 1 species